UUCUCUCUAUCUCUCCUCCCCCCUCCCCCUCAAUCCGAAUCUUCCCCCGGAACCCAAUCCAUGGCACCGCAGCGCUCGCUGCCCUCGGCCUCCUCACGCCGCCGCCGCCGCUCGUCCUCCUCGUCUUUGAAGGAAAUAUGCCCUAGAGGCAAUAAUAAAGUUAUUACUUAUUUCCUUAUUUCAUGAUAAAUGUUUAUUAUUCAUGCUAGAAUUGUAUUAACCGGAAACAUAAUACAUGUGUGAAUACAUAGACAAAUAAAGUGUCACUAGCAUGCCUCUACUUGACUAGCUCGUUGAAUCAAAGAUGGUUAAGUUUCCUAGCCAUAGACAUGAGUUGUCAUUUGAUUAACAGGGUCACAUCAUUAGAGAAUGAUGUGAUUGACUUGACUCAUUCCGUUAGCAUAGCACUUGAUCGUUUAGUUUGUUGCUAUUGCUUUCUUCAUGACUUAUACAUGUUCCUAUGACUAUGAGAUUAUGCAACUCCCGUUUACCGGAGGAACACUUUGUGUGCUACCAAACGUCACAACAUAACUGGGUGAUUAUAAAGGUGCUCUAUAGGUGUCUCCAAAGGUACUUGUUGGGUUGGUGUAUUUCGAGAUUAGGAUUUGUCACUCCGAUUGUCGGAGAGGUAUCUCUGGGCCCUCUCGGUAAUGCACAUCACUUAAAGCCUUGCAAGCAUUGCAACUAAUGAGUUAGUUGCGGGAUGAUGUAUUACGGAACGAGUAAAUAGACUUGCCAGUAACGAGAUUGAACUAGGUAUUGAGAUACCGAUGAUCGAAUCUCGGGCAAGUAACAUACCGAUGACAAGGGAACAAUGUAUGUUGUUAUGCGGUUUGACCGAUAAAGAUCUUCGUAGAAUAUGUGGGAGUCAAUAUGAGCCUCCAGGUUCCGCUAUUGGUUAUUGGCCGGAGACGUGUCUCAGUCAUGUCUACAUAGUUCUCAAACCCGUAGGGUCCGCACGCUUAAAGUUUCGGUGACGAUUGUAUUAUGAGUUUAUGUGAUUUGAUGUACCGAAGUUAGUUCGGAGUCCCGGAUGAGAUCGGGGACAUGACGAGGAGUCUCGAAAUGGUUGAGACGUAAAGAUCGAUAUAUUGGACGACUAUAUUCGGACAUCGGAAAGGUUCCGAGUGAUUCAGGUAUUUUCAAGGGUACCGGGGACUUACGGGAAUAAGAGGAAGAAGUAAUGGGCCUCAUGGGCCAAGUGGUGGAAGAGAGGAGGCAGGGCGCGUGGCCCCCCUAGCCCAAACCGAAUUGGACUAGGGCCCCCCCUUUCCUCUUCCCCCCCUCUCCUUCCUUCUCCUUCUCCUCCUUCCUUUCCUCCUCCUAGUAGGAGUAGGAAAGGGGAGUCCUACUCCUACUAGGAGGAGGACUCCUCCUCUUGGCGCGCCCAUAGAGGGCCGGCCGGCCUCCCCCUUUCUCCUUUAUAUACGGGGGCAGGGGGGCACCUCUAGACACACAAGUUGAUCUGUUGAUCUCUCCCAGCUGUGUGCGGUGCCCCCCUCCACCAUAUUCAACCUCGGUCAUAUCGUAGCGGUGCUUAGGCGAAGCUCUGUGCCAGUAGCAACAUCAUCACCGUCAUCAUGCCGUCGUGCUGACGGAACUAUCCCGUGAAGCUCUGCUGGAUCGGAGUUUGCGGGACGUCAUCAAGCUGAACGUGUGCUGAACUCGGAGGUGCCGUGCGUUCGGUACUUGGAUCGGUCGGAUUGUAAAGACGUACGACUACAUCAAUCGCGUUGUGCUAACGUUUCCUCUUUCGGUCUACGAGGGUACGUGGACAACACUCUCCCCUCUCGUUGCUAUGCAUCACCAUGAUCUUGCGUGUGCGUAGGAAAUUUUUGAAAUUACUACGUUCCCCAAUAGUGGCAUCCGAGCCAGGUUUUAUGCGUAGAUGUCAUAUGCACGAGUAGAACACAAGUGAGUUGUGGGCGAUAUAAGUCAUACUGCUUACCAGCAUGUCAUACUUUGGUUCGGCGGUAUUGUUGGAUGAAGCGACCCGGACCGACAUUAUCCAUACGCUUACGCGAGACUGGUUCUACCGAUGUGCUUUGCACAUAGGUGGCUGGCGGGUGUCAGUUUCUCCGACUUUAAUUGAACCGAGUGUGGCUACGCCCGGUCCUUGCGAAGGUUAAAACAACACCAACUUGACAAACUAUCGUUGUGGUUUUGAUGCGUAGGUAAGAACGGUUCUUGCUAAGCUCAGUAGCAGCCACGUAAAACUUGCAACAACAAAGUAGAGGACGUCUAACUUGUUUUUGCAGGGCAUGUUAUGAUGUGAUAUGGUCAAGACGUGAUGAGAUAUAAGUUGUUGUAUGAGAUGAUCAUGUUUUGUUGAAGUUAUCCGCAACUGGCAAAAGCCUUAUCGUUGUCUCUCUAUUGCAUAAGAUGCAAGCACCAAAUAAUUGCUUUACUUUAUCGCUAUGCGAUAGCAAUAGUUGCAAGAGCAAUAGUUGGCGAGACGACCAUGUGAUGACACAUUGAUAUAGAUCAAGAUGAUGGAGAUCAUGGUGUCAUGCCGGUGACGAUGGAGAUCAUGACGAUGCUUUGGAGAUAGAUAUCAAAGGCACAAGAUGAUGAUGGCCAUAUCAUAUCACAUAUUUUGAUUGCAUGAGAUGCUUAUCUUUUAUACAUCUUACUUUGCUUAGUUAUGACGGUAGCAUUAUAAGAUGAUCUCUCACUAAAUUUCAAGAUAAAACUGUUCUUCCUGAGUAUGCACUGUUGCCAAAGUUCGUCGUGCCCAGAAACCACGUGAUGAUCGGGUGUGAUAAGCUCUACGUCCAUCUACAACGGGUGCAAGCCAGUUUUGCACACACAGAAUACUCAGGUUAAACUUGACGAGCCUAGCAUAUGUAGAUAUGGCCUCAGAACACUGAGACCGAAAGGUCGAGCGUGAAUCAUAUAGUAGAUAUGACCAACAUAAUGAUGUUCACCAUUGAAAACUACUCCAUUUCACGUGAUGAUCGGUUAUGGUUUAGUUGAUAUGGAUCACGUGAUCACUUAGAAGAUUAGAGGGAUGUCUUUCUAAGUGGGAGUUCCUAAGUAAUAUGAUUAAUUGAACUUUAAUUUAUCAUGAACUUAGUCAUGAUAGUAUUUGCAUAUCUAUGUUGUAGAUCAAUAGCUCGCGUUAUUGCUUCCCUAUGUUUUAUAUGUGUUCCUAGAGAAAACUAAGUUGAAAGAUGAUAGUAGCAAUGAUGCAGACUGGGUCCGUGAUCUGAGGUUUAUCCUCAUUGCUACACAGAAGAAUUAUGUCCUUGAUGCACUGCUAGGUGACUGACCUAUUGCAGGAGCAGAUGCAGACGUUAUGAACGUUUGGCUAGCUCAGUAUGAUGACUACUUGAUAGUUUAGUGCACCAUGCUUAACAGCUUAGAAUCGGGAUUUCAAAGACGUUUUGAACGUCAUGGACCAUAUGAGAUGUUCCAGGAGUUGAAAUUAAUAUUUCAAGCAAAUACCCGAGUUGAGAGAUAUGAAGUCUCCAACAAGUUCUAUAUCUAAAAGAUGGAGGAGAAUAGCUCAAGCAGUAAGCAUGUGCUCAGAUUGUCUAGGUACUACAAUCGCUUGAAUCAAGUGGGAGUUAAUCUUCCAGAUAAAAUAGUGAUUGACAGAAUUCUCUAGUCACCAUCACCAAGUUAGUAGAACUUAGUGAUGAACUAUAAUAUGCAAGGGAUGACAAAAACAAUUCCCAAGCUCUUCGCGAUGCAAAAAUUGGCGAAGGUAGAAAUCAAGAAAAAACAUCAAGUGUUGAUGGUUGACAAGACCACUAGUUUCAAGAGAAAGGGCAAAGGGAAGAAGGGGAACUUCAAGAAGAACAGCAAACCAGUUGCUGCUCAAGUGAAGAAACCCAAGUCUGGACCUAAGCCUGAGACUAAGUGCUUCUACUGCAAAGGGACUGGUCACUAGAAGCGGAACUACCCCAAGUAUUUGGUGGAUAAGAAGGAUGGCAAAGUGAACAAAGCUAUAUUUGAUAUACAUGUUAUUGAUGUGUACUUUACUAGUGUUUAUAGCAACCCGUCGGUAUUUGAUACUGGUUCAGUUGCUAAGAGUAGUAACUCGAAAUGGGAGUUGCAAAAUAAACAGAGACUAGUUAAGGGUGAAGUGACGAUGUGUGUUGGAAGUGGUUCCAAGAUUGAUAUGAUCACCAUUGCACACUCCCUAUACUUUCGGUAUUAGUGUUGAACCUAAAUAAAUAUUAUUUGGUGUUUGUGUUGAGCAUAAAUAUGAUUGGAUCAUGUUUAUUGCAAUACGGUUAUUCAUGUAAGUUAGAGAAUAAUUGUUGUUCUGUUUACAUGAAUAAAACAUUCUAUGGUCAUACACCCAAUGAAAAUGGUUUGUUGGAUCUCGAUCGUGGUGAUACACAUUUUCAUAAUAUUGAAGCCAAAAGAUGCAAAGUUAAUAAUGAUAGUGCAACUUAUUUGUGGCACUGCUGUUUAGGUCAUAUUGGUGUAAAGCGCAUGAAGAAAAUCCAUGCUGAUGGGCUUUUGGAAUCACUUGAUUAUGAAUCAGUUGAUGCUUGCGAACCAUGCCUCAUGGGCAAGAUGACUAAGACUCCGUUCUCCGGAACAAUGGAGCGAGCAACCGAUUUGUUGGAAAUCAUACAUACUGAUGUAUGUGGUCCGAUGAAUAUUGAGGCUCGCGACAGGUAUCAUUAUUUUCUGUUCUUCACAGAUAAUUUGAGUAGAUAUGAGUAUAUCUACUUGAUGAAACACAAGUCUGAAAUAUUUGAAAAGUUUAAAGAAUUUCAUAGUGAAGUGGAGAAUCAUCGUAACAAAAAUAAAAGUUUCUACGAUAUGAUCGUAGAAGUAAAAUAUUUGAGUUACGAGUUUGGCCUUUAGUUAAAACAAUAUGAAAUAGUUUCACUACUCACGUGCAACGCCCUCGAUGCGGCUAUAUCUCCCACGUGUCAAAGCACGACUUAGAGGCAUAACCGCAUUGAAAGCAAUGUCGCAAGUGAGGUAAUCUUCACACAGCCCGUGUAAUACAUAAGGGAAAAAGAUAUAUAGUUGGCUUACAAUCGCCACUUCACACAAAUACAUGGAUAAAGCAUUACAUCAAACAGAUACAAUCAAUGUCCGACUAUGGAACCAAAAUAAAAGAAGAACCCCAAAUGCGACAAGGUCCCCGAUCGACCCCAACUGGGCACCACUACUGAUCAACUAGAACGAAACAACACAAAGGACAAGAUCUUCAUCGAGCUCCUCCUUGAGCUUGGUUGCGUCAUCUGCACGGUCUCAUCGGCACCUGCAAGCUGGUUUGAAAGUAUCUGUGAGCCACAGGGACUCAGCAAUCUCGCACCCUCGCGAUCAAGACUAUUUAAGCUUAUGGGUAAGGUAAAGGUAUGAGGUGGAGCUGCAGCAAGCGACUAGCAUAUAUGGUGGCUAACAUACGCAAAUGAGAGCGAGAAGAGAAGGCAAAGCACGAUCGAGAAACUAUGAUCAAGAAGUGAUCCUAGAACAACCUACGUUAAGCAUAACUCCAACAACCGUGUUCACUUCCCGGACUCUGCCGGAAAGAGACCAUCACGGUUACACACGCGGUUGAUGCAUUUUUAAUUAAGGUCAACUUCAGGUUUUCUACAACCGGACGUUAACAAAUUCCCAUCUGCCCAUAACCACGGGCACGGCUUUCGAAAGUUCAAAUCCCUGCAGGGGUGUCCCAACUUAGCCCAUCACAAGCUCUCACGGUCAACGAAGGAAUAGACCUCCUCCCGAGACAUUCCGAUCAGACUCGGUAUUCCGGUUCUACAAGACAUUUCGACAGGGUAAAACUAAACCAGCAACACCGCCCGAAUGUGCCGACAAAUCCCAAUAGGAGUUGCGCAUAUCUCUUUCUCAGGGCACACCGGAUCGUCCAAACUUUCGGUAGGCCAGCCCAGAGUUGCCCCUGGUGGCCACCGGCGGCUGACAAGUUGGACCAACACUCAGAGGAGCACUGGCCCGGGGAGGGUAAAAUAAUGAUGACCCUCAGGAGCGCGACUCCCAAGGGAAAAGAAAAGGCUAGGUGGCAAAUGGUAAAACCAAUGUUGGGCAUUGCUGGAAGAGCUUUACUUAAGGCGAACUGUCAAGGGGUUCCCAUAAUAGCCCAACCAUGUAAGGAACGCAAAAUCCGGGAACAUAACACCGAUAUGACAGAAACUAGGGCGGCAAGAGUGGAACAAAACACCAGGCAUAAGGCCGAGCCUUCCACCCUUUACCAAGUACAUAGAUGCAUUAAUUAAAUAAGAUAUAUUGUGAUAUCCCAACAAGUAAACAUGUUCCAACAAGGAACAACAUCUCCAUGUUCCAACAAGGAACAAACUUCAAUCUUCACCUGCAACUAACAACGCUAUAAGAGGGGCUGAGCAAAGCAGUAACAUAGCCAAACAACGGUUUGCUAGGACAAGGUGGGUUAGAGGCUUGGUUCAACAAUAUGGGAGGCAUGAUAGGCAAGUGGUAGGUAUCGCAGCAUAGGCAUAGCAAAAGAGCGAGCAUCUAGCAAGCAAAGAUAGAAGUGAUUUCGAGGGUAUGAUCAUCUUGCCUGAAAUCCCGCAAGGAAGAAGAACGAGUCCAUGAAGAAGACAAACGGACGUAGACGAAUGGGUCCUCACAAACUCGACGUUACCGAAACCAACCCGAAGAAGCAAACACCGGAAAGGAAGCACACAACAUAGUAAACAACCAACACAUGAACAUGGUAUGCUAUGCGGGAUGCGGUAUGCGAUGCAUAUGCAUGAUUUGACAAGGAAUUAUUGAACCUGGCCUCAACUUGGGAAUCCAAGUGUGCCACUGGAAAGGUGAGAUGAAAUCGCUUGAAAACGAUAUAAAGAACGCCGGAAUCGGAGUUACGGUUUGGAAAUGGCAAGCGAUUCAAAUAUGACCACGUUCUGCGAUUUACAGCAAGUAGUCAUCUAAAUGCAACAAGAUGAACAUGCUACAACACCCAAACAUGGCAACAAAAUACAUGGCAGGGAUCCACUCAAGAAGCUUAACAAAAAACUAGCACUGAGCUACGGUCAAAUCAUCCAUUAACAGGUUCAAACAAGCAUGGCAAAAAUGAAUAUGGUAAAACAGAUCUCAGACUUAGUGAAAUUAACACUUGUCUGGAAUUUCAGAUCAGAUAGCACUCUUCGGAGCAACAAAACUACAUGCUACAGGACCUGAACAUGGCAAAGUAAGGCAUGGCAUGGAGCUACUCAAAGAGCUUAACAAAAGUCCCUUAGUGACCUUGAGCCAAAAGGGAUCAGAAAAUACAUUUGCAAGCAUGUGAACAUGGCAAAAACAUAAUCAGUUCUCAGACUUAGUGAAAACUGGAGCAUGCAAAUCGGAUAUCAAGUAGGCAUGUUUACGAGCUCGAUGCACUCACUACGGAGCGAGGCAUGACAAUCUAAGCAUACACCCAUCAAGAAUACACAUUACACAAGCUAGACAUGGCAAGAACAACAACAUAGCACGCACGGAUCAACUACAACAUCCUCGGCAAAAUCGCUAACAAGUAGACAAUCUGCCCAGAUUCACGAAAUGACAAAAGUAGAGCUCGAUUGACUCAAGCUAGGGUGCUCCAUAAUUGCAAACAAAGGCAUGGAUGGAUAGGGCACUACAAGAUUAACAAAAGAUCCUUACUAGUCAUCCUCAAAAGAGGCACGAAUCACUAGGAAACAACAUGAACAUAUGGCCAUAUGAGAUAAACAGUCCAAGGACUUAGUGGAAAUGCUAAGUCCCUGAAAUCGGCAUUACCAAGUGCACCACUUUGCAAGCUCGUGCUAGGCACCACACACAUCACAAAAUACAUGGGUUGCACCUCUAGAAAGAUGGCAAACCCUUAACAAAACAUAUGUAGAGCUCAUGGGCAUAUCAUGCACACAAUAAUCAUGGCAAAAAUGACAAAUAUCUAAAUGGAGCAGCAGAUCUGACAAUUAUCUCAAGUAGCACUCUUCUAACAGCAUUUCGGGCAUCAAGAUGAACUCAAAUGAAAAUGAUGCAAUGAGAUGAAAUGAUGUACUCUCUGAGACGAAUAUUUUGAUAUGCUAUAUGCCCAAAACGGAUCUACGGAUGCGGAGAUAUAGCAUGAUGAACAUGGGCAGUUGAAACAUGGCAAUCUCGGGGACUUAGGGAAAUUCUACCUCCGCGAAAAGUCAACGGGACGGAGGGAUCCGGGAUGACGAGAUCCGGAUCGAGCGAGGGUGCGUUUGGUUCGGGGGAGUGGUGGAUCUCAUCCCACUCCCCGGACCGGAUCUGGCCUGCUAGGCCGGCGGGAGGCCUCGGCUCGCUCCCGAGCAAGGCCAUGGCGAUGGGGCGGCUGAAUGGCGGCGGGAACGGGCUCGUUCGGCCGGCCGGUGCCGGAUCUGGGCACGGCGGCGGUGUGGGCCACGACUCGCCGGAGUCCGGCGAGCGGGGAAAGGCGGAGCAGCGGACGGCGGGACCGGCGGACGGAGGCGCGCCGCGGCGGCGCUGGAGACGGCCGCUGGAGAAGAAGGGCGGCGGAGGUUGCUGCCGGCGAAAGGAGCCAUGGGCUCGGGCGGCGGGCGACGCCCUGGCGGGGGAGGCGACGCGGUCGGGCUUGCGCGGGCCCGCAAUGUGCUCGGCGGGCCGCGCGGUGGAGGAGGGAAGCAGCGACACAUGGCGGCGCGCGAGUGGAGGAGGGAGGCGGCGGUGCUGAGGUGGCGGCUCCCGAUUGGCCCGGGUGAGGUAAUGGCGGCGCGGACAUGUCCGCCGACCGGAUGGACAUGUCCGGUGAUGCGAGAGGAGCGGGGCUAGGGUUCAUCCGCGAAAAUUUCGGGGAUGGCCACAUAUAUAUAGGUAGAGGGAGCUAGGAGAGUCCAAAUGAGGUGCGGUUUUCGGCCACGCGAUCGUGAUCGAACGACUAAGAUGAUAGAAGGGGUUUAGGUGGGUUUUGGGCCACUUUGGAAGGGUGUUGGGCUGCAACACACACGAGGCCUUUUCGGUCCCUCGGUUAACCGUUGGAGCAUCAAACAAAGUCCAAAUGGUACGAAACUUGACAGGCAGUCUACCUGUAGUAAACCAAGGCCGCCUGGCAAGUCCCGGUCCAAUCUGGAAAUGUUUAAUCCCACACACGAGAAGAAGGUAGAAAUGACCACCAGAGGAGAACGGAAUGCCGGAUUGCAAAACGGACAACGGGGAAAAAGCUCGGAUGCAUGAGACGAACACGUAUGCAAAUGAAAUGCACAUGAUGACAUGAUAUGCAAUGCAUGACACGCAAGCAAUGACAAGGCAACAACAACGAAUAACUAGAGGACACCUGGCACAUCGGUCUCGGGGCGUUACAUCACGCCACCUGGAACACCACAGUGUAAUGGUGUGUCCGAACGUCGUAACCGUGCUUUAUUAGAUAUGGUGCGAUCUAUGAUGUCUCUUACCGAUUACCACUAUCGUUUUGGGGUUAUGCAUUAGAGACAGCUACAUUCACGUUAAAAAGGGCACCAUCUAAAUCCGUUGAGACGACACCGUAUGAAUUGUAGUUAGGCGAGAAACCUAAGCUGUCGUUUCUUAAAGUUUGGGACUGCGAUGCUUAUGUGAAAAAGUUUCAACAUGAUAAGCUCGAACCCAAAUCGGAGAAGUAAAUCUUCAUAGGAUACCCAAAAGAAAAUGUUGGGUACACAUUCUAUCACAGAUCCGAAGGCAAGAUAUUCAUUGCUGAGAAUGGAUCCUUUCUAGAGAAGGAGUUUCUCUCGAAAGAAGUGAGUGGGAGGUAAGUAGAACUUGAUGAGGUAACUGUACCUGCUCCCUUAUUGGAAAGUAGUUCAUCACAGAAAUCUGUUUUUGUGACUACUACACCAAUUAGUGAGGAAGCUAAUGAUGAUCAUCAUGUAACUUCAGAUCAAGUUACUACUAAACCUCGUAGGUAAACCAGAGUGAGAUCCGCACCAGGGUGGUACGGUAAUCCUGUUCUGGAGGUCAUGUUACUUGACCAUGACGAACCUACGAACUAUGAGGAAGCGAUGAUGAGCCCAGAUUCCGCGAAAUGGCUUGAGGCCAUGAAAUCUGAGAUGAGAUCCAUGUAUGAGAGCAAAGUAUGGACUUUGAUUGACUUGCCUAAUGAUCAGCGAGCCAUUGAGAUUAAAUGGAUCUUCAAGAGGAAGACGGACGCUGAUAGUAGUGUUACCAUCUACAAAGCUAGAAUUGUCGCAAAAAGGUUUUCGACAAGUUCAAGGUGUUGACUACAAUGAGAGUUUCUCACUCGUAUCUAUGCUUAAGUCUGUCAGAAUCAUGUUAGCAAUUGCCGCAUUUUAUGAAAUCUGGCAAAUGGAUAAACAAAACUGCAUACCUUAAUGAAUUUAUUAAAGAAGAGUUGUAUAUGAUGCAACCGGAAGGUUUUGUCAAUCCUAAAGGUGCUAACAAAAUAUGCAAGCUCCAGCGAUCCAUCUAUGGACUGGUGCAAGCAUCUCGGAGUUGGAAUAUACACUUUGAUAAGUUUAUCAAAGCAUAUAGUUUUAUACAGACUUGUGGUGAAGCCUGUAUUUACAAGAAAGUGAGUGGGAGCACUACAACAUUUCUGAUAAGUAUAUAUGUAUGACAUAUUGUUGAUCGAAGAUAAUGUAGAUUUAUUCUGCAAAGCAUAAAGGAAUGUUUGAAAGGAGUUUUUCAAAGAAAGACCUCGGCGAAGCUGCUUACAUAUUGAGCAUCAAGGUCUAUAGAGAUAGAUCAAGACGCUUGAUAAGUUUUUCAAUGAGUACAUACCUUGACAAGAUUUUGAAGUAGUUCAAAAUGGAACAGUCAAAGAAGGAGUUCUUGCCUGUGUUACAAAGGUGUGAAGUUGAGUAAGACUCAAAACCCGACCACGGCAGAAGAUAGAGAGAGAAUGAAAGUCAUUCCCUAUGCCUCAGCCAUAGGUUCUAUAAAGUAUGCCAUGCUGUAUACCAGACCUAUUGUAUACCCUGCCCUGAGUUUGGCAAGGGAGUACAAUAGUGAUCUAGGAGUAGAUCACUGGACAUUGGUCAAAAUUAUCCUUAGUGGAAUAAGGAUAUAUUUCUCAAUUAUGGAGGUGACAAAAGGUUCGUCGUAAAAGAUUACGUCAAUGCAAGUUUUGACACUGAUCCAGAUGACUCAAAGUCUCAAUCUGGAUACAUAUUAAAAGUGGGAGCAAUUAGCUAGAGUAGCUUAGUGCAGAGCAUUGUUGACAUAGAAAUUUGCAAAAUACUUACGGAUCUGAAUGUGGCAGACCCGUUGACUAAACUUCUCUCACAAGCAAAACAUGUUCACACCUUAGUAUUCUUUGGGCGUUAAUCACAUAGCAACGUGAACUAGAUUAUUGAAUCUAGUAAACCCUUUGGGUGUAAUGUGAACUAUGGGUGUUAAUCACAUGGUGAUGUGAACUAUUGAUGUUAAAUCACAUGGCGAUGUGAACUAGAUUAUUGACUCUAGUGCAAGUGGGAGACUGAAGGAAAUAUGCCCUAGAGGCAAUAAUAAAGUUAUUAUUUAUUUCCUUAUUUCAUGAUAAAUGUUUAUUAUUCAUGCUAGAAUUGUAUUAACCGGAAACAUAAUACAUGUGUGAAUACAUAGACAAACAAAGUGUCACUAGUAUGCCUCUACUUGACUAGCUCGUUUUGAACCAAAGAUGGUUAAGUUUCCUAGCCAUAGACAUGAUUUGUCAUUUAAUUAACGGGGUCACAUCAUUAGAGAAUGAUGUGAUUGACUUGACCCAUUCUGCUAGCAUAACACUUGAUCGUUUAGUUUGUUGCUAUUGCUUUCUUCAUGACUUAUACAUGUUCCUAUGACUAUGAGAUUAUGCAACUCCCGUUUACCGGAGGAACACUUUGUGUGCUACCAAACGUCACAACGUAACUGGGUGAUUAUAAAGGUGCUCUACAGGUGUCUCCAAAGGUACUUGUUGGGUUGGCGUAUUUCAAGAUUAGGAUUUGUCACUCCGAUUGUUGGAGAGGUAUCUCUGGGCCCUCUCGGUAAUGCACAUCACUUAAAGCCUUGCAAGCAUUGCAACUAAUGAGUUAGUUGUGGGAUGAUGUAUUACGGAACGAGUAAAGAGACUUGCCGGUAACGAGAUUGAACUAGGUAUUGAGAUACCGACGAUUGAAUCUCGGGCAAGUAACAUACCGAUGACAAGGGAACAACAUAUGUUAUUAUGCGGUUUGACCGAUAAAGAUCUUCGCAAAAUAUGUGGGAGCCAAUAUGAGCAUCUAGAUUCUGCUAUUGGUUAUUGGCCGGAGACGUAUCUCGGUCAUGUCUACAAAGUUCUCGAACCCGUAGGGUCCGCACGCUUAAAGUUUUGGUGACGAUUGUAUUAUGAGUUUAUGUGAUUUGAUGUACUGAAGGUAGUUCGGAGUUCCCGAUGAGAUCGGGGAAAUGACGAGGAGUCUCGAAAUGGUCGAGACGUAAAGAUCGAUAUAUUGGACGGCUAUAUUCGGACAUUGGAAAGGUUCCGAUUGAUUCGGGUAUUUUCGGGGGUACCGGAGAGUUACGGGAAUACGAGGAAGAAGUAAUGGGCCUCAUGGGCCAAGCGGUGGAAGAGAGGAGGCAGGGCGCACGGCCCCCCCUAGCCCAAACCGAAUUGGACUAGGGGGGCGGCUCCCUCUUUCCUCUUUUUCCUCCCUCUCCUUCCUUCUCCAUCUCCUCCUUCCUUUCCUCCUCCUAGUAGGAGUAGGAAAGGGGAGUCCUACUCCUACUAGGAGGAGGACUCCUCCUCCUGGCGCGCCCAUAGAGGGCCGGCCGGCCUCCCCCUUGCUCCUUUAUAUACGGGGGCAGGGGGCACCUCUAGACACACAAGUUGAUAUGUUGAUCUCUCCCAGCCGUGUGCGGUGCCCCCCUCCACCAUAUUCAACCUCGGUCAUAUCGUAGCGGUGCUUAGGCGAAGUCCUGCGUCGGUAGCAACAUCAUCACCGUCAUCACGCCGUCGUGCUGACGGAACUCUCUCGUGAAGCUCUGCUGGAUCGGAGUUCGCAGGACGUCAUCGAGCUGAACGUGUGCUGAACUCGGAGGUGCCGUGCGUUCGGUACUUGGAUCGGUCGGAUCGUGAAGACGUACGACUACAUAAACCACGUUGUGCUAACGCUUCCGCUUUCGGUCUACGAGGGUACGUGGACAACACUCUCCCCUCUCGUUGCUGUGCAUCACCAUGAUCUUGCGUGUGCGUAGGAAAUUUUUGAAAUUACUACGUUCCCCAACAGACUUCCCCCGCGUGCGUUCUCCUCUUCCUCUCCUCUGCGCCACGCCGGCUUCCGAUCCCGCGCCUCCAACCCCUGAUCCAUCGACGCUGCCGGAGUGCCCUUCGGCGGAGAGAAGGCCCAGGGCGACACCGGCCCCCAAUCCCAUGUGUCGAGCCCCUGCUUCGUGCAUGGUGCUGGAGCACCCUUCAUCGCCGAGGAGGCGCAGCGCGACAAGGCCACCGCCGGUGCUCCCUGGCGCGACACGACCUCCGCUGGCGUUGGUUCUCCAAGCACAUCCACUCCGACGAUGCCCAGGUGAUCCAUUCUCCUGCCUAGAGAUGCUGGUCUAUCUUCCCUUUCGGUUCUAGGUUUUCGUGUUUACAUUGAUUUUGUGUCGGAUUUAUCAUUGCAGGUCCUCUGUAGUUGUUGUUUGUUUCGUUUGUCGAAGCUUCGGCCAGCCUGCUGUCCGUUGCCGUGUCAAGAUGUUGCAAGGUUCGUGGUUGGCGAGCUCUUCCUUUUCCUUCCUGUCUAGCAGAGUUAUUAGUUGUUAUGUGCAGCUCCUGUAGCUUUUUGGAUGUGUUGACUGCCCGAAUCUUUUUCUUGGAUGCAUUGGUUGCUCGAUCCUAGUUCUGAUCGGAUUCCUUUGGAUGGAUUAGGUGUUCGGUUCUGUUUGGAUCCCUGGUAUUUGUUGUUGCUUUGCAGGAGACUAGGCCUCGUGCCUAUAUCCGGGGUAGAUUUUUGUUGCCUUUCUUAAUUUCUCUGGUGCUGGGAUGCAUUAGGUGCUCGAAUAUUGUUGUUGUUGUGUAGGAGGUUGUUGCGGUCUGCCUAGAUUCCUAUAUUUUUGUUACCUUUUUUUUGUCUGCUGCCUGAUUUGUCCUUAUCAGUGGUGACAAGGGAAGGGAAAGGUUUGGCACUGGCUCGCUAAGUUACUUACCUUGAACAUGAUAAUAAAUAUAACAUGGUUGUAGUUGUUAGUAAUUAAUUUCACCCAUGUAAUAAUCCAUUUUCCUAAAGCUAAAUGUUUUAUCUUCCAUAUUGUUGGUGUGUGACAGGUUAAAAUGGCAUGGACGAGUACUCAUUUAUUCAUGGAGCUAGCGCAGAGCAUCCUUUUUCGAUAGAGGGAUUUCGGCAUCAAUCCUUGGCCUUGCUCCUGAUUAUGUAUGGGAAGUGGGAGUGCUAAUUAGGCAUUGGAUGUAUACUUUGCCUAUGAAGCUUAGUGGAACUGCUCAAAUUUACCUCAAAUAUAGUUAUAAGGUUACAUUCUUCUUCACUCAUAUAUGAUCUUUUUUAUGCACUCUUGUUUCAUUUAUGGAUUUGGUGUAUCCUCAAGUAUGUAAAUCCACAAGGUAUAUAAUUAGUACAGGAUUAAGCACAAAUUAUUGAGAGCUGAUGUUGAACAAUGCACUUGAACUUUGAGCGAUCUGUCAGCCAUUGUUCAAAUCACAUCUUUAUGUGCUUAGGAUUAGGAGGAUAUAUAUGAACCCAACUUCGACACAGGUUUUGCAUUGGCUGCAUAGGCCGCUGCCCCGCUCAUUAAGUUUGCUAUCCAUCUUACUCACAUUGUUGGUUGUGGUUGCCAUCAUCAAUAUAUUACAGGUUCUUCAUUUCCUUCUGUUGUGCCACCCUGCAUUCUUAACUAUAUGCUCUUUAUGGAAAUCAUAUAGGUUAAUGAAAAAGGCUAUCUCAUUGCAGGAGACAUGUUCAGUUUUUUUUUUUAAGGAUAAACUCUUCAUGCCCCUACUACAACAAGAGGAGAUAGCUCAAGGUAAAUAAAAACUCAAAAGAUUCAGCUUCUAGGUGUGUUCCACCUGGGUGAUACUAAUUCAGGUAGAAUUCCUCUAGGUGUAUUUUGUAUGUUUUGGUGUUUUGGAAUAGUAGUAUCUAGCACCGUGAUAAUACUGCAUACUGAUUAUACCUCCUUUGAUACUUGUCUUUAGCUUUGUACAUCAGAUGAUUCAACAUUUUAUUUUGUAUUCUAGGCAAUUUAAUAAUUAUAAGAGUAAAUCCUACAAUUGCAGGCUUACAAACAGUUCAUGAGGCUUCCUUCGAUAUUUAUUUUUUGCACAUAUCUCUGAAUCUAUAGCAGUUCAGAUGUUUUCGCCAUGCUAGGCCAAGCAGACCAAUGGCAUUCUUAACAGUAUAAUAGAAUGCUGAAUGGGAAUGUCAUAGUUUAGUCUUAUGCCUUAAUUUAUUUCUUUGUUUUUCAUAUCUGUAUUGUGAACAAUGUUGACCGGCACCAUCACCUGCUACAGGAGCUUAAUUUAUUGGGAACUGCAUGUCCGUAUUGGUAAAAUCUCUAAUCCAUUUUUCAGAUGCACUUCUGGUAUUGUUCUGCAAUCUGUUUACACAUCCGGGACUGCUGUUGUUGUUGCUUGUGGUUGUCUCAUGAUCUUGGCUGUUGGUGGCUGGUACCAGCUCAGGUGCUACUCUAUUCUUGUCGCUUCCUUCAUGCCUUUCUAUACGCACGCUCGAUCUUUUUUCUUUUGUAUGAUGUUAUCGUAGGAUAUUGUUGUUGGAACUGCUGUUAUUGUUGCUACGGGUUGCUCAUGAGCUUAGUUACUUUUUUAGGUUGCCCUGCUGGAUGCCAUUUUUAGGUUGUUGUGUACCUACGGAUAGUUCGUUGUUCUGCAAUACCAUAUUUAGUCGUACUUUGUUUACAUGAUUGCUGCUACAUUCCAGAAACAAUGGUCUGUUGGUUGCAGAAUUAUGGUGGCUAGCUGGGACAACUAAUUCAUUUCUUGAUCUUGAUCAAAGAUAACUGGAUUAUUGCACUGCUUUAUCCAGAAAUAUGAGACAAAGGGAGCCACCGGUGCUCUCAGCGAUUGGCGCAUUUUGACCGUCGGAUCAAUUUGCUUGAUGGGUUUCUGGGCGUCCGGUCGAGCGGUGGAAGGACGUCGGCCUUCGGAUCGAAUCCCCCUCCCCUGUAGCAUGGUUGAUCCCGUUUGGCUCGCCCCGUCGAUUACUCCUUCCAUUUGACCGGUUGUCGCUGACCUGGGGGGUCCCGGCAGGUGGGCCGUGCCCGUCAGCGAGCGGGGGUGUGGGUGCAGCCGGUGCGUUCGGUCGUGCGCGCGCCUGCGGUAAAUAUCUCGUGCCACCACACGUAAAUCUUGCCCCCCCCCCCCGCCGAGGGCUUUUUCGUCAUUUCCUGUCCAGGCAGCGUGCGUGGUGGACGGUGGUUGGCUCCGUGCGGCUAUGUGGUGGGGGAGGGCGGCUGGCUCGCUUCUCGUCCGGCCCCUUCGUUCCCUUCUCUCGGUCUCUCCUCCCCGUCCCCCCCCCCCAAAUCUGAAUCUUCCUUGGCCGCUUCGGUGCCAUUGGUGUUCGUGCUCGUUGGUGGGAUGUGUUGGGGAACGUUGCAGAAAACAAAAAUUUUCCUACGGUUUCACCAAGAUCCAUCUAUGAGUUCAUCUAGCAACGAGUGAUCGGAUGCAUCUACAUACCUUUGUAGAUCGCGAGCGGAAGCAUUCAAAGAACGGGGAUGAGGGAGUCGUACUCGACGUGAUCCAAAUCACCAGAGAUCCUAGCGCCGAACGGACGACACCUCCGCGUUCAACACACGUACGGUCAGCGUGACGUCUCCUUCUUCUUGAUCCAGCAAGGGGGAAGGAGAGGUUGAUGAAGAUCCAGCAGCACGACGGUGUGGUGGUGGAUGCAGCAGUACUCCGGCAGGGCUUCGCCAAGCUCUAUGGCGGAGGAAGAGGUGUUGGAGAGGGAGAGGGAGGCACCAAAGGGAUGGGUGUGAAGCCCUCCCUCCCCCCACUAUAUAUAGGGGGCCUAGGGGGGGCGGCCCUAGGAGAUCCAAUCUCCUAGGGGGGCGGCGGCCAAGGAGGGUGGAGUGCCCCCCAAGGCAAGUGGGGAGCCCCCCACCCUAGGGUUUCAACCCUAGGCGCAAGGGGUGGGCCUUGGGGGUGCACCAGCCCACUAAGGGCUGGUUCCCCUCCCCACUUCAGCCCAUGGGGCCCUCUGGGAUGGGUGGCCCCACCCGGUGGACCCCCGGGAACCUUCUGGUGGUCUCGGUACAAUACCGGUGACCCCCGAAACUCCCCCGAUGGCCGAAACUGCACUUCCUAUAUAUAAUUCUUCACCUCCGGACCAUUCCGGAACUCCUCGUGACGUCCGGGAUCUCAUCCGGGACUCCGAACAACUUUCGGGUUACUGCAUAUUCAUAUCUCUACAACCCUAGCGUCAUCGAACCUUAAGUGUGUAGACCCUACGGGUUUGGGAGACAUGUAGACAUGACCGAGAUAGCUCUCCGGUCAAUAACCAACAGCAGGAUCUGGAUACCCAUGUUGGCUCCCACAUGCUCCUCGAUGAUCUCAUCGGAUGAACCACGAUGUCGAGGAUUCAAGCAACCCCGUAUACAAUUCCCUUUAUCAAUCGGUAUGUUACUUGCCCGAGAUUCGAUCGUCGGUAUCCCAAUACCUCGUUCAAUCUCAUUACCGGCAAGUCACUUUACUCGUACCGUAAUGUAUGAUCCCGUGACCAGACACUUGGUCACUUUGAGCUCAUUGUGAUGAUGCAUUACCGAGUGGGCCCAGAGAUACCUCUCCGUCAUACGGUGUGACAAAUCCCAGUCUUGAUCCGUGUCAACCCAACAGACACUUUCGGAGAUACCCGUAGUAUACCUUUAUAGUCACCCAGUUACAUUGUGACGUUUGGUACACCCAAAGUACUCCUACGGUAUCCGGGAGUUACACGAUCUCAUGGUCUAAGGAAAAGAUACUUGACAUUGGAAAAACUCUAGCAAACGAACUAUACGAUCUUGUGCUAUGUUUAGGAUUGGGUAUUGUCCAUCACAUCAUUCUCCUAAUGAUGUGAUCUCGUUAUCAAUGACAUCCAAUGUCCAUAGUCAGGAAACCAUGACUAUCUGUUGAUCAACGAGCUAGUCAACUAGAGGCUUACUAGGGACAUGUUGGUGUCUAUUUAUUCACACAUGUAUUACGAUUUCUGGAUAACACAAUUAUAGCAUGAAUAAAAGACAAUUAUCAUGAACAAGGAAAUAUAAUAAUAAUGCUUUUAUUAUUGCCUCUAGGGCAUAUUUCCAACAGGAUGGUGCAAGGCGCAACUCAGACGUGGUUCCUCACCGGUUGGACGGCGUUCAGGCGAAACCCCGGUGCCCACUGAGUACUGCCUUGGCUACAACCUCCCUCGCUGAGGUCCAUCUUCCCCUGCUCUCCUUAGGCUAUUGUAUGGGACAUGGCCAGGCUAUGAUGAUCAGUUAUGGAUGAUAUAGGCAUGCUCUCGAGUAAUCGAGGCACUUGUGGGUAUUAAUUUGGAUCCUCCCUCGUUUCUUUGAAUUGUUUUGACCACGUUCUUAUUUUAGUGGCUCUGUCCUUGGAUGGUCAUUUUUGAUUAGUGAUAACCAAGGCAGUUUCACCCUCGUAAGAACAUAUUGAUCUGGUGAAACUUGUAAUAAUAAAUAAGACCCGCGGCAAGUUCCCUGGCUCCUCGGAUCUCAGGCACUUUUGGCCGUCGGAUCGAUUUCCUGAUGUGAUUUUGGCCAUCGGAUCUCGAUCCGGUUUGAUCUCGGCCGUUGGAUCGAGCCCGGGCUCCUAUAGCAAUGAAUAGUUACUCCCGCGGUGAGAUAUCUCGUGCCACCGCGUUUGAAUCACGUGCCCCGUCGGUCGGAAGCCAUUCUUGCUAGGGCGGUGAUGAUUAGCCAUGGCUGAAAUAAGUGUGCCUUUGAGCAAUCGAGGGACCUGUGGGUAUCAAGUUGGAUCCUUCCUUGUCUCUAGAAUCCUUUUUGAUCCUGUGAUACUUAUUGUUCUGUCCUUGGAUGGUCAUUCUUGUUGAGUGAUAACCAGGGCAGCUCCACUGUAUAAACAGAUUGAUCUGGCGAUAGGAGAUGAUGGGGGUAGAUUAUAUGAUCGAGGAAAGGCGAAUCUGAGCCCACUAUGCAUGGAACCUUGAACCCUUCUUAUUUGUAUUUAAAGGUGUUGCUUAUUUAUGCUCCAGUGUUUAUAGCCGUCUUAUGUAAAGAUUUCUUCUCUCUCAUACCUUUGUUGCAUAUACGUUGUUCUUGAUCUUUUAUUGUUUGUUGUUGGUCCUUGAUCUAAUCUGGUUAAGAGUAAGUUGCACUUUGUUAUUCUGGGAUAAGCGAUGGUUCGCAAUGCUAUUGGUUCUUCAUGAGUUCAGAGGAGGAUUUCUGAUAUGAGUCAUGCCAGUAAGCUUUCUUGCAGGUACCCACACUUCUCUCUUCCUCCUGAUUAGCCUGAUCUCUUUUCUAUACGUGUCUACAAGUUGUGUGUCUACAAGCUGUGAAUUACAUAUGUUAGUGAAAUGUAGGUGUUUGUAUUAGCACAAUGCUUUAAUCAGUAGGGUCUUUCCCAUCUAUGAUCAAGGUUGAUUGCGUCAGCUCUGUUGUGGCUUUCAUGUAUAUGACAAUGGAAUGAUGUUAAAUUAUGGUAUCGAGGCUUAUUUUUUAAGCAUGCCUAGGGUUUUGUUCCUGUUUGUGUUGAUCUGAACAUGUGCUCUGUUCAUGUAGAAGAACUCAUAUGAAUCUGUCUUAGGGAAAUAAUUGAGUACAUGUGAUCAGUAUGUUAGCCAAAACUGAACAUUUGAUCUCUAUUGAACUGAAAGGAUUGUAUAUUUGAUCUUUGUUUAACUGAAAAGAUUGAACCCUUACUUUUGAUCUCUGUUUAAGUUUAAAAAAUCAGCUGUUCCACAAACCUUCUAUAGUUCAGAAACUGAAUCUUUAGAUGUACUCUGUUUUAGUGCACAAACUGAAUUAGUACAGAAACUGAAAAGACUGAACCUUUACUUUUGAUCUCAGUUUAAGUUUAAAAAUUCAGAUGUUCCACAAACCUUCGAUAGUUCAGAUACCGGACCUUUACAUAUACUCUGUUUUAGUGCAGAAAAUGAAUUAGAAUAGGAACUGAAAAGACUGAACAUUUACCGUUGAUCUACGUGUAAGUUUAGAAGUUCAGCUAUUCCACAAAUAUUCUUUAGUUUAGAUACUGAAUAUUUAGAUACACUCUGUUUUAGCGUAGAAAAUGAAUUUUAGCGCACAAACUGAAUUAGCGCAGAAACCAUUGCAAAAACUGAUUUUUGAUUUCUUUGCUUUCUUUAAGUGCAGGAAUUUAUUUAUUUUCUUUCCGGAGCCGCGGCCGCCGCCCUGUGACCAGAAGCAUUGGGGAUCUCGAGAGGGAAUUUUGUAGUUGUGGCCAUUUUAAAAAUAGACCUCUGUGAAAUCUAUGUACUCCUGAUACUAUUAUAUCAUGCUACAUUUCCUGUGAUAUAUCAAAUAUCUAUCCUUUGUCCUAAACAAGAGGCCUUACGUUUAUACUGAGCAAUACUAAUUUGGUCAGUAUAUAAUAUUGCAAUGCUUAUAACCCUUUGGUCAGUGGCCCAUCUGAAUUGAGAUGCAUCAUAGUUAUCUUAAUAUUAUUUGUUCUGUUUCUUACUCACUGAUCCAUCCCACACAAUAAGUAUUCUUCCUGAGAACUAUGCUCAGAUAGUUGAAUAUAUUAUUUUGUACUUAAUUGUUGAAAGAUGGAUUUGUAUUACUAAUGCUGAGAUGGGCAUUACAAUUUUCUUUCAAGGGAACAGACCAAACCAAACUGCGACUUUAUUUGUAAAUAUUUGAAAUUUAUAUUAUGUCUCUUAUGUGAUCUCAGAGGACUUAAUUUUUGUGUGGGGACCUCAAGCUACCUUUAGUGACUUACAAGAUAUCAACCAACAAGAGUUUUCCCUGCUUUUGGAGCCUGCUAAGCUAUCAACAAACAAAGAGGUUGCCCGUUCUCUUGCUAAUGAAAUAUGUAUUUACUAGAAUUUUUGUUAUUAUCAGAAGAGGGUUAUAUUUUUAUGGGAGGCCGCAUUUGUAAUGGUUCGGUAUUUCUAAAGGGGUACAUUUCUUUGUAGGUACUAUGCUGAGACUGAAGAGGAUGCUAGCCAGCGGCCCAUCUCUCUUGCCAUCACCGCUGAGCCGCCAUGUCUCCUUCAGAGGCUUAUUGUAUUGCUACAUGUUUAUGCUUCUUAUCCACACACCCAUUGUAGUGUAGGUUUGUGUUCUUGGAUCUCUUUCCCUCCAUUUCUUAUUUUUGGUGAACGGGUGAGCUAAUCGGGCUAUUUUCCUCUAGGUCUGCCGCGGCAAUUGAAUGCUUCAAAGGAUUUUAAUGGAGUUCAUUGUGGCUGAGUCGCGAAUCUCCAGCUUGCUUCCAUGUCUUUUCUCACUAGAGACACCUCCUGCCGGCGACGGCGAUGACCGCUACCCUGCUCCUCUCCCGGCAAUGUCUACCUCUCCUGUGAAGUUAAGGCCAUCUUUGCCUCUUCCUUCAGUUUUUCCUCUGUUUUUUGUUACACGACUUUGUGGUGCUUAGUGUANNNNNNNNNNNNNNNNNNNNNNNNNNNNNNNNNNNNNNNNNNNNNNNNNNNNNNNNNNNNNNNNNNNNNNNNNNNNNNNNNNNNNNNNNNNNNNNNNNNNNNNNNNNNNNNNNNNNNNNNNNNNNNNNNNNNNNUAGCAAACUCCAUUUUUGUUUAUGUAGAAAAACAAAGGAAACUCCAUUUUUGUGUAUGUGGAAAAAACAAAGGAAACUGCGUUUUUGUGUAAUUACAAACAAAUGAAACUCCAUUUUUGUGUAAUUACAAACAAGAGACUUUUAGACGGCGAAGACUAUUGCCCUGAUCCUAAGAGCAUACUGACAUUUCACCAACUCUUGUUAUAAUUUUUUUAUCAGCAGCAGAUACUUUUAAAUUUGUCUUUACAAUUCCAAGUACAUGACCAUACUGAUCCUUCUAUUUUUUAUGUAGCGGAAUAAACGUUCGUAAUCCUGGCCGGUUGAUGGCUUUGUUAAUUCAAAGCCGGGCUCGACUUGAGCCUUCGUUCUAAAAAAAAACGUUCGUAAUUUAUACACCUAGGCUCAGCUUCUCUAUAUUGAUACGAAGGCCUGGAGCAUGUUUCUUUUGUUUUCAAGUUGAGGGGACCAGGUAGGGCCAUAUAGACACAGUAAAAGGCCAGUUUAUUUGUUCCACGCCUUACAAAACCGAGCAAGGCUGAUAUAAUAUUUCUGGUUCCCUUCUACCGUGUGCAAACAGAACCUGGCGGCGCAAUAGCAGCUCAACUACUAUUGUUAUUAAUCAGGAUAAAUGCUUCUGCCUGGCUGGCACACAUGCUUAGGCACAACAGUCUGCCCCAGCACCGCAGGGCAAGGCGCGCUGCAGGUCAUUUAUAUAGCAUCUCCUCAUUUGUAUAUUAUUCACAUAUAGCAUCUCAUUUCUUGGUUGAUUGCUUACAUGUAUUCAACUUCUGGCUCUUUCGCUCCCAAGCUGGCCUCCCUCUCCUCGGUGCUCAGCGGGAGAAGCAUGAGGUGAUGCACCUUUGACCCCGUAGUGCUCGGCUCCAAUUUAUCAGGGAGGUCACCGGCAAGCAUCAAGCUGCCCUUGUUGCUUCCUCGUCAUCAAGGAGGAGGAGGUCGGGUAGCACCGUCCUCAAGGUACGUCCUCGCUGCUUUGACCCGCCUCUUUCGUGCACCUGUCCUUCCCUAUUUCUCUUACUGUCGCGGUGCUCGUGCGGCUGCCGAUCCUAACCUAGGUCGCCGUCACUCCUCGGCGCUUCGCAGGACAGGCACAACCACGACACCGCAGAGACGGACGAGAAUGUGGUGCUGCUCCUUCUUAUGGUGUAUGCAUCGGCGUGGCUUGCGGUAGUGAUGCAUAUCUUCGUGGGCAAUGCUAUUUGAAGACCAUUCAAGUGAUUUAAAGGAGAAGAUGUCCAGACUGCAAGGAGGUUGAAGAUGACGAUCAAAAGAUUGACAUAUUAAGCGACUACCAAGAAGCCAAUAAUGCUUGCCCCUGCCAUUAGUAAUACCCUUGCUCUUCUUUAUGAAAUCUUUCCUAACUAUCGUUGCAGAUUGUGAGAUCCCUAUUUAAAUACAUCACUCAGCAGCUGGCCGGUACAGAGUUGGUGGCAGGCAUAUGUGUUCUCAGCCACCUUAUCAAUUGUAGGCUUAGAAUGAUUUGCUUCGUCCAGGUGUUGUUCGUCAACAAUUCCUUUGUUUGUCCAUGUCAAUUCUGAUUUUAGAGGAUUACAAGUUUUAGAGUGGUUGGGCUUUUUUAGAACCGUUCGUUGAUGUCGAUCUAACGGCAGACAAAUACGAAGUACUGGGUAGUACUCCGAUGAAAGUACGCGAAAGUACUAAAACGAGUGGGGCCGGUACUCGUGACAAGGUGGGGACGCGUUUUAAUCUAGGGGCAGUUUAGUCCUAGGAAAAUUUGCACGCGCCGCCCCUCUCGUCGAAUGAAUAACCGCCGCCAUGGUGCUACACAUUCCAUAAUUACUCAUCGGCGGCCAUCUCCUCCCUCUCCUCCAUGUCCACCGCAGUCAUCUCCUCCUUCUUGCCGCUGCAACUUCGCUCCACUCAGGCAACCCCCCCACCCACCCCCACCCCCUCUUCCACGGCAGAUCGAGCUGAUGGCCGGCGGCGAGAACACCGACUUCGUGCAGAUCGCCGGCGGCGACCAGGUCAAGUUGGCCAGGUUGAGGGAGAUCCGUUCUUGGUUUGACAACACAAGGCAGAUGAGCUGGACGGCAAUGGCCACUCNNNNNNNNNNNNNNNNNNNNNNNNNNNNNNNNNNNNNNNNNNNNNNNNNNNNNNNNNNNNNNNNNNNNNNNNNNNNNNNNNNNNNNNNNNNNNNNNNNNNAAUUUGUAGUAUUAGUUAGUUUGAAUGUGGAAGUACCUUAAUUUGUAGGAACGAAAUGUUGCUAUGUAUGAUCAAGGGUUUCAUACCUUAAUCUUUGGAUUAUUAAUUAUGUGAACUGUUGGAUGUGGCGCAUAACGAAACGCCUCUACCAUUGAUACUAGUUCAACAUGUCGGUCCAAUUAGAGACCAGCCACUUCCAUAUAGAACAGUUAGCAUUUCAUACUACAACCUAGCACGUACAAAACAUCACACAGUGGAAGCACAUCCCUAAGCACCUUGCAUUGUACAAGGUCUUAGAGACAAGCCUCUACCAUAUAUAACAGUUACCAUGUCACACUACAGCCUAUAAAACAUCACACAGUGGAAUAAUCAUAGCUAGUAGAGCAUUAGGUACCAGUUAAUAAUAGUUGCAAUCCAUCACAAGCAAUAGUACCUAGAUAUGAGUAGAUAUAGGUACGGUAAUACACGACAAGUACUCGCAAACAAGAGCAAACAUAACAAGUUCAUUUCAGUUUGAUACAUGGCCCACCGCAGUUCUAAAUGAGGUGGAUGGUGAUCAUCAUCCUCAAGUCAUGGCGACGGGUGUUCGCAACAGUGAGUAGGAUGGCCUGUCCUACCCGAAGAAUCUUGACACGAAGGAACUUCUUCCACCCUGCCCUGCUCAAGACAGUGCGACCGUCCGUGUCCACUGCAUAGGCACAGCUGGUGAUGGAGCCCGUUCUGGUAAGGUGUAGUCCAGCAGCCAUGCCUUCUUCGUCCGGGUCGAUGCCACAGCUAUCAAGUAACCUCUUAGGUAAUUUCUGAAAACAGUUGACAUGAUCAUAUACAUUAGUGGAAAUAGCAAAACAGUUGACAUGAUGUAUGAUCAUGUCACGUGCAAUUAUCAACAAAGCAUACACUUGAAGACACAUAUAUCAUUGGAUUCAACACUGAGCAUAUAUAUCAUCACAUCAGUAUACUAUACGCCAAGCAUCAAAUUACUACAGUAAUUAGGCAUAUCAUUAUAUUACUGCGUACACUAAGCAUAUCAUCGCAUAUUACUACACUACAUGCAUGUCAUAAAAUUCUUCACUAAAUGAAUUGUAAACUAGGCCUCUCAUCACAGUACUACAACAUGCAUAUCAUAUGAACUACUACACUAACUAAGCAUGUAUAUCAUGUAAUUACCACACUAAGUAACAUACCAUGAUAUGCCGUUUAACAUUAGUCCUUGUGAGGCGGGUCACGAAUGGCUUCCCUAGGUAGUCUUCACGUAGCGGAAGCAUGUCCCAGAGGUUGCCGAUUUCCUCGUCGCCCAGUCUUAGUCCUUGGGCAUACAGGUAUUCAACAAGUGGGUUCUCAUCAUCAUCAGAAUCGUCAUCAUCUGACUCAGCACCAUCUUCCUCAUGAACUUCAUCCUCACUAUCCGGAAUCAAAUUCAGAUAGAUAACAGAAAUCCCGGGCCUAUCUUUUCUGAAGGAGAAGCUGAUCAAUUCACCCCCACUAAGACGGUUGUGGGCGAUGAAACGAUCCCAAUCAUCUCCUCCUAUCUGGGUUAUCUUUCGCCCCUUCUCGACUUGCAUAGUGUAUGGGCCCCCAAGAGCAUCGAAGGUCACGGUGUCUGCGACGAGCUCAUUGAAUGCCAAUCUCACAUUGCAUGGUACGAUCUAUGUAAGAUAAAAACAAAUAACAGACACAAUACAUUAGUGGAAAUAGCAAAAAAACAAAAAGAAUGUACUGUCAGAAGGUUCAUAUAAAUUGUUACCGCUGUAAAAACAAAAGAAGGCUGGAAGUAGAUGCUGAACAGCGUGGCAGUAGAAAGGCUGGUCCGGCACCGUGAGUUGCAGCGUCCACAUUGUGCUUCCUCCAUUCUACACAGAACGUGUUGAACUCUAAGUUGAAUUGUACAUAGUACAAUACAAAGAUCAUACAUAUAAUAAAUCACAGUGAUAACCUAUACUGGCAAUGGCCAAUCAAUCUAUUUUCUAUCAUCUACGUAAUAAAGCAAUGGCAAUGACAAUUCAUCUAAACCUGGGAAUAGUUCGGCAUCCAAACUAAAACCAGUCCAAUCCACAGCACACAUCAAAACCAAACCAAUCCAGAUAUUUUCAUUUAGAAUCUAGACCAAACCGAACUAUACAUGCUCGUCAUCCAACCCAGUCCAAACCGUUUUCAACUUUUGGAUUGAAUCCAAAGGUUCAAACCGUGGACAAAGCCAUACACGAGGGCACGUCAUGAAUCUAGAUCAGACAUGGCGUCAAAGCUCGAGAGAGGCGACGAGCUCCGGCCAGCAACAGCGGGAUUUGAAGCAGUAGUAGGUGGUAGUGGUGGCUCAAACUAAUUGAUUGAUUUGGUCUCAAACCAUAGAAACCAAAUCAAGAUCCAAUCCAAAAACUAAGUUUCAGUCCAAAACCAAUCGGCUCAAAUCCGCCUCCGUAGGGAGACGCGGUUGGGGAAGGGAAUAAGAGGGGAGAUCUCACGUACUUGCCGGAGUUGGCGGCGGCCGCGCACCGGCAGCAAAGAGAGGGGUCGUCGAGAGAUGGCGGCGACGGCGGCGGCGCUGGUCGAGAAGGGGAGAAAGAAAAAUGUGGAGUGGUCGAGACGGGGAGAAAGAAAAAUGUGGUACAUGUGGUGGCUCGGUUGUGUGGAUGACAAGGGGACCCACUUGUGAGACCGAUAGCAAUUGAUGGCUAACCGCAGGAGGUGCAGGACCGCGUGCACGACCGCCACGUCCCCACGUGGAAUGGGGACGGCCGGGUGGGUGUGUCAAGUCAAAUUGGCACCCGCGGCUUCUCGGUAACUCCAAGAGGCAGGAGCAGUGCAUUUCUUCCCCAUAUCGGGUAGAAAACCCUCGUCCUCUCCCCACCCUCUCUUCCUUCGUCACCACCUCACCACCCUCUCCUCCUUCCUCACCACCCUCCUCCCUUCCUACGCCUCCCUCCUCCUGUCUUCGACCGACAAUGAAGCGCGGGCGUGAAGAUGCGGCGGACGAGCCGGAGGCAACCAUCGGAGCAGAGCAGUCUGCUGCCGUGGAUGCAGCCGUGGGUGGAGCGGCUGAGUCCGCCGUAGCGGCGGAAGCUGGCGGUGCAGCGACCGUUGUGCCUGCUCCCGCUGCCAUCGCAGCUGUCGAGGCACCCGUCGGCGAGCACAAGGUCGGGGAAGAUCUGGAGGAGGAGGAGAUGAGAAGGCAUAAGCGGAAGGUGCAUGACUGAAAGUGCAACUAUCCCUAGGUGGUUUUGGUAAUUCAUAACAACAUAUAGCUCAUUGAGCUAAUGCUAUUUCAAGAUGAUUAUUUCAGGAAAGCUCAAUGAUUGGCAUGGCAUGGAUGUGAAAGUGGAAUCCUCAAAAUGCGAAGGAAAAAGAAUUGGCUCAAGCUCAAAAGUUCAAGACUCUUCAUUUUAUAUUUUAGUGAUCCAAGAUCACAUUGAGUCUUUAGGAAAAGCCAAUACUAUUAAGGAGGGAUGAGGUGUUGCUUAAUGAGCCUCUUGCUCUAUGUGCUUAGUGAUAUGCUCCAAAAUCCUCAACCACUUUUCCAUAUCCACAAAUGACCUAAACCCUAAGCCAAACUCGGUCUUACCGAUUCUGUCAAUCCGGCGCCACCGAGUUUCACUUGUCAUUUGAGACUGCCAAACCCUAGCAAUUCGGUCCUACCGAUAAGGUUCUCGGUCUCACCGAGAUGGGCUUGCAAACUCUCUGUUUCCCUUUCGUAACUUUUUGGUCUCACCGAAAGAGCGAAUCGGUCCCACCGAGAAUGCAAGGUAAACUCUAUGUUUCCUUCUUGUAACGUUUCGGUCUCACCGAAAGAGCAAGUCGGUCCCACCGAUUUUGCCUGACCAACUCUCUGGAUAGCUAAUUGCCGAACUUGGUCUCACCGAGAUUACGUUAUGCCCAAACCCUAACCGAAUCGGUCCUACCGAGUUGCAUCUCAGUCCCACCGAAAUUCCUAAUGGUCACUAGGUUUACCAUUUCGGUCCGACCGAGUUUGAUUAUUUGGUCCCACCGAGAUUGGAAAACUGUGUGUAACGGUUGGAUUUUGUGUGGAGGCUAUAUAUACCCCUCCACCACCUCUUCAUUCGAAGAGAGAGCAAGCAAAACACAUACAUCAUUCCUACUCAUAUGUUCUGAGAAAGAACCACCUACUCAUGUGUUGAGACAAAGAUAUUCCAUUCCUACCUUAUGAAUCUUGAUCUCUAGCCUUUCCCAAGUUGCUUUCCACUCAAAUCUUCUUUCCACCAGAUCCAAAUCCUAUGAGAGAGAGUUGAGUGUUGGGGAGACUAUCAUUUGAAGCACAAGAGCAAGGAGUUCAUCAUCAACACACCAUUUGUUACUUCUUGGAGAGUGGUGUCUCCUAGAUUGGCUAGGUGUCACUUGGGAGCCUCCGACAAGAUUGUGGAGUUGAACCAAGGUGUUUGUAAGGGCAAGGAGAUCGCCUACUUCGUGAAGAUCUACUGCUAGUGAGGCAAGUCCUUCGUGGGCGAUGGCCAUGGUGGAAUAGACAAGGUUGCUUCUUCAUGGACCCUUCGUGGGUGGAGCCCUCCGUGGACUCGCGCAACCGUUACCCUCCGUGGGUUGAAGUCUCCAUCAACGUGGAUGUAGGAUAGCACCACCUAUCCGAACCACGGGAAAACAUCCAUGUCUCCAAUUGCGUUUGAAUCCUCCAAACCCUUACCUUUACAUUCUUGCAAGUUGCAUGCUUUACUUUCCACUGCCAAUAAACUCUUUGCAUGCUUGCUUGAAUUGUGUGAUGAUUGCUUGACUUGCUCUAAGAUAGCUAAAAUCUGCCAAGAACUAAAAUUGGGAAAAGGCUAAGUUUUUAAUUAGUCAAGUAGUCUAAUCACCCCCCCUCUAGACAUACUUUCAAUCCUACAAGUGGUAUCAGAGCUUUGGUCUCCAUUUGGCUUGAUCUUCAUAGCUUUUGGUGGUCAUAGCCUUGGUUUCACAACCUAGGAGAGUAUGGCAUCUAGCGAGGGAAAUUAUCACCGUAGAGGUCCUUACUUUGAUGGCACUAAUUUUGCUAGUUGGAAGCAUAAAAUGAAAAUGCAUAUUCUUGGACAUAACCCCGCCGUAUGGGCUAUUGUUUGUGUUGGCUUGCAAGGUGAGUUCUUCGAUGGGAGGGAACCAAACCGUGAAGCUACCGCGGAUGAGUUGAAGAUGUUGCAAUACAAUGCUCAAGCUUGUGAUAUUCUCUUCAACGGAUUGUGCCCCGAAGAAUUCAACAAAAUCAGCGGCCUUGAGAAUGCAAAGGAGAUUUGGGAUACUUUGAUUGAUAUGCACGAAGGUACCGACUCCGUCAAGGAAUCCAAGUUGGAUGUGCUCCAAAGUCAACUUGACAAGUUCAAGAUGAAGGAUGGUGAAGGUGUCGCUGAAAUGUACUCCAGGCUUGCUCUCAUCACAAAUGAGAUUGCCGGCUUAGGAAGUGAAGAGAUGACCGAUAGAUUCAUCAUCAAGAAGAUCCUAAGAGCCUUGGAUGGGAAAUAUGAUACCGUGUGCACAUUAAUCCAAAUGAUGCCCAACUACAAAAUCUCAAGCCAACGGAAGUAAUUGGAAGGAUUGUUGCUCAUGAGAUGUCACUCAAGGAUAAAGAGGAACUUCACAAUAAAUCAAGUGGUGCCUACAAAGCGUCAUGUGAAGCCCCCGCAUCAUCAAGUGAGAAACAAAACUUCAAUGAAGAAUUGAGCUUAAUGGUGAAGAACUUCAACAAGUUCUACAAGAGUAGAAGCAAAGAUAGAAGCUUCAAGUCAAGGUCCUACAAUGACAAAAGAUCUUCUAGUCGAGAGCGAAACUGCUAUAAUUGUGGAAGACCCGGACACUAUUCCAAUGAGUGUACGACUCCCUACAAGAGAAGAGAAGAUUCUCCAAAAAGAAGAAGCAAAGAAUCUCCACCAAGAGAGAGAAGGAGUAGAGAUGAUCGUUAUGAACGAAGAUACUCACGGAGAAGCAAGGACUCGGAAAGGAAGGAAAAAUCAUCAAGGAGCUAUACAAAACAAAGACAUCAAGCUCAUGUUGAUGAAUGGGUAUCCGGCUUCGACUCCGACAGCCACUCAGAGAGAAGUUAUCACUCCGACUCCGAAGAUACUCAAGAUGAAGGUGUUGCCGGUCUAGCACUUGUGUCAACCAACUCCUACGACAUAUUUGACUCCCCAAAUGAAGGAAUUGGAAGAUGCUUCAUGGCUAAAGGUCCUAAGGUAACACACCCCGAGUACGUUGAUUUUAAUAGUGAUGAAGAUGACUUGUUAGGUAAUGAUGAUUUGCUUGUUGACAACUCUAGUGAUGAGUACUAUGAUGAAACAUCAAUUAAUCAUGCUAAAACGAAUGACAAUGAUAAGGAGAAGAUUGAGGCUCUAACUAAAGAACUAAACACUCUUAAGUUAGCUCAUGAAACUAUCUUCGAAGAUCAUCGAGAACUUUUAAGAGCUCAUGAGAAAUUACGCUUUGAAAAGCUCAAUCUUGAGCAAGAGCAUGAGUUCUUAAAAGCAAUCAACGAUGAUCUCCGCAAGAAUAGUUCUUCUUACAUUGCCAAGCGUUUACUAUUAUCCACUUACAUGCCUCAAGUCAAGACUAGUAACAAGAAUAAGAAAGAUUCUUCCUCUAGUAGUGACAAUGAUCAUGCUAAAUCCAAUAUUGUUGCUUCUAGUAGUUCUCUUGAUUCCACUAAUGAUUCUCUUAGCCAAGUUACACUUGAGCAAGAAAAUAGCUUAUUGAAGGGAAUUAUAGAGAAAGGUGUUUACAAGAGCCUUGCCGGAAGUAAGCAAUUCGAGGAAAUUGUGCACAAGCAAGGAAUGCACCGGAAGAAUCAAGGUGUUGGUUUUGAACGAAAGUUCAAUGCCAAUGGAGUUGAAUGGGAAGAAGAUCAAUACCCCAAGACAAAGUUUGUUCCUCAACAAGAGAAGUAUGACACUUCUUUCAAGGGGACACAAGCUCAAGAUGAUCUUCCACCACAAGACUACAAGCAAAAAGGCAAGGACAAGCUUCAAGAGGAGAUUGAUGCAUUUGAAGAAGCUCCCAAGACCUUAGUCAAGUGGAUUCCCAAGACUACUUCAAGUUCCACUACACCAAGUACGACUACAACUCCAAGGAUUCCCAUCAAGAUGGUGUGGAUCCAAAAGAAGAAGAACUAGAGAGUUCUUGAGGGUGACUCCGCCAACAUAAUUCACUCUUAUCAUUUUGGCAAGAACAAGUGCAAUCAACUUCCACAUCUUGCACUAGUUCAAGGAGUUACAAACCCUCUUGUUGGUAAGACAAGGGACAAGGUAACCUAAAGUUUUCAUGGACAUCAUCUUGUGUGUGCAUCACUCUAUGUCUAUGGAUAUCCUUGUUUGUUCCUUGUGGGACUAACCCAUGUAGGUAUUGAAAGUGCAAUUCACUCAAAUGGAUAGCUCCAAGUGAUCUACAUCAACAUUGAGCAUCCACAUCUUCAACAUCUACAUGAAGUCAUCAUCGACAAAACCCAAGGUUAGUUCAUCCCUCUUAGGGGGGAUAUCACAUCUAGGGGGAGCUUUACUCUAAGACUUGAGCUAAAGCAACUCUAAAGAUGUGAAUACAACAAUGCUUUAUGUAAAAGUGGUAACCCCACUUGAGCUUAAACGAUGGGUAUGACCUAUGAUCAAGUGUUCUCACUUGACUCCUAAGUCAAUAUGCUCAUAUAUAGAUGACCUAGUCAUCGCAAAUUGCUUUAUAGAUGCUAGAAUUGGUUGUGCAUGCUUUGCCACAUAUUUCAUUUGCCAUCUUAUUGUGUGAGCAUGUUGGUUGCAUAUUUUACUCAUUCGAGGACAUCCACUUGUUGUUUUGAUUGUUUGGCUUUCUUUUUUUGCCAAGUGGAUGGACAAGAAUGCCUAAGAACCUCCUCUAGCUAUCUAUGCUUUUCUCGUCUCAAACUCUAUUCAUGCUGCAUCACAAAACUUGAUCAAGUCAGAUUCGAACCACUCUGUGUGAGGAGCGCUCGGAGUCCCCGAUUCGUCAUAGACUUAAACUUCCAAAACCUCUUUAUGAAUCUCGGUCUGACCGAUACUCCAUUUUCGGUCCUACCGAGUUCAUUAAGUUGAUCUAGGUUUUCGAUCUCGGUGCAACCGAUUUGAACUUUUCGGUCACACCGAGUUGCAAUAACUGCACACAGUUUUGCAUCUCGGUGCCACCGAGUUGUUCCACUCGGUCACACCGACAGGGUCGGGCUAUAUAUAGUGACGGGAAAUUUUUUGGAAAUUUCUCCGAAACCCCUUCGCCCGCGCGAUAGCCUGCUCUGCCUUCGUGGUCUCCGGAUCGUCUUCUCGUCGCCAGCAGCCUCCAGUCACUGGUCUCCGCCGCCGUCAACGGAUUUCUGCCCCGCCGUUGCCGCCGUAGCGAGUCUCCGCCGAACUAGGGGUCAGCAGUCAGUUUGCAACAUGUCUGAUCAAAGUGACAGCCAGAAUGUGUCUGAGCAGCAAGUUGUGAUGAGUGAGGGCACUAGCCCCUCAAGCUCUUCUGAUGAUGGCAGCAGGAGCACCCCCAGCAAUCUGCCCAAGGCCGCCACACGUCAAAGGAAGAAGAGAACGUCUGAUUCUGAGGAUGAAGACUAUGUGGCAGAGGAAGAGGCCACAUCAAAGAGAGCUGAACCAGCUCAAGGAACCAAGCCAGGGCUGAAGAUCAAAAGGCCAACAGGCAGGCAGCCCAUGUCAAAGGCUAGGGCUUCAACUGUGAAGCCUGCUCCCACUGAGCCCGUUGCUGCUGAGGGCAAGAAAAGGAAAGAAAGGGUGAAAAAGACUGUAGCCAGAGUGCUUGGAAAGGCCUCCAUCAUGGUCGAUGAGGAGGAAGAAGAAGAGGUUGCUGCACUAGCACCCAAGGCAGCCAAACUCAUGGGAGAUGCUAUAAGGUCAGGAACAGCUGCAUCCAAGCCCAAGGAUGCACCUAAGGCUGCAACUAAGCCUAAGAGUGCACCCAAGAGAAACACACGAAGCAUCCCAGCUGCAGAAAAGAACAAGGCCCCAACGCCUGAAGCUAUUGAAGAAGAGGAAGAGAGUGUCCUUAGGAAGAUCAAGCCUGAGCGUCGACUUAGCACUAUGCAUUUUCUAGGAACUUUUUGGUAACUUGUUGCCAAAGGGGGAGAAGAUGUAUAGAUCAUAGGCUUCGAGAGAGAGUGUGUUGCUUUUCUCUCUUGUUUUUAUUUGGUGGUUUUUCGAACUUUGUUUGCUUGUGUGUGAGAUACUAUGUCGUUAUUCGUGAGACAUCGAUGAUCAUGUGUUUGAUCAUAAGCUACACUUAAUGUUUGCUUAAUGCUUGCUAUAUAUUAUCAUUCCAUCUAUCGUUUGUGAUCAUUCACUAUUCUUGGUGAUGAGUGCAUGUAUUUCAAUCUUAUCAUUUUUGAGCGCUCCACCAAGAUGUAUGUGACAUGGAAGAGUAACCCAUGAUUCUAACUCCAUGUGCAUUUGCAGUCCAAAGCAAAUUUUAAAUACGCACAAAUUUAGGGGGAGCUCUUAUUUGUCACAUACUUCUGAAAGCGACGAUAUAUUUCAUGCUUAUUAUCAUUUGUCGAAGCUUUGAUCUAUAUGUUGUCAUCAAUUACCAAAAAGGGGGAGAUUGAAAGUGCAACUAUCCCUAGGUGGUUUUGGUAAUUCAUAACAACAUAUAGCUCAUUGAGCUAAUGCUAUUUCAAGAUGAUUAUUUCAGGAAAGCUCAAUGAUUGGCAUGGCAUGGAUGUGAAAGUGGAACCCUCAAAAUGCUAAGGAAAAAGAAUUGGCUCAAGCUCAAAAGUUCAAGACUCUUCAUUUUAUAUUUUAGUGAUCCAAGAUCACAUUGAGUCUUUAGGAAAAGCCAAUACUAUUAAGGAGGGAUGAGGUGUUGCUUAAUGAGCCUCUUGCUCUAUGUGCUUAGUGAUAUGCUCCAAAAUCCUCAACCACUUUUCCAUAUCCACAAAUGACCUAAACCCUAAGCCAAACUCGGUCUUACCGAUUCUGUCAAUCCGGCGCCACCGAGUUUCACUUGUCAUUUGCCACUGCCAAACCCUAGCAAUUCAGUCCUACCGAUAAGGUUCUCGGUCUCACCGAGAUGGGCUUGCAAACUCUCUGUUUCCCUUUUGUAACUUUUCGGUCUCACCGAAAGAGCGAAUCAGUCCCACCGAGAAUGCAAGGUAAACUCUAUGUUUCCUCUUGUAACAUUUCGGUCUCACCGAAAGAGCAAGUCGGUCCCACCGAGUUUGCCUGACCAACUCUCUCGUUAGCUAAUUGCCGAACUCGGUCUCACCGAGUUUGUGCGAUCGGUCUCACCGAGAUUACGUUAUGCCCAAACCCUAACCGAAUCGGUCCUACCGAGUUGCAUCUCAGUCCCACCGAAAUUCCUAACGGUCACUAGGUUUACCAUUUCGGUCCGACCGAGUUUGAUUAUUCGGUCCCACCGAGAUUGGAAAACUGUGUGUAACGGUUGGAUUUUGUGUGGAGGCUAUAUAUACCCCUCCACCACCUCUUCAUUCGAAGAGAGAGCAAUCAGAACACAUACAUCAUUCCUACUCAUAUGUUCUGAGAAAGAACCACCUACUCAUGUGUUGAGACCAAGAUAUUCCAUUCCUACCUUAUGAAUCUUGAUCUCUAGCCUUUCCCAAGUUGCUUUCCACUCAAAUCUUCUUUCCACCAGAUCCAAAUCCUAUGAGAGAGAGUUGAGUGUUGGGGAGACUAUCAUUUGAAGCACAAGAGCAAGGAGUUCAUCAUCAACACACCAUUUUUUACUUCUUGGAGAGUGGUGUCUCCUAGAUUGGCUAGGUGUCACUUGGGAGCCUCCGACAAGAUUGUGGAGUUGAACCAAGGUGUUUGUAAGGGCAAGGAGAUCGCCUACUUCGUGAAGAUCUACUGCUAGUGAGGCAAGUCCUUCGUGGGUGAUGGCCAUGGUGGAAUAGACAAGGUUGCUUCUUCGUGGACCCUUCGUGGGUGGAGCCCUCCGUGGACUCGCGCAACCGUUACCCUCCGUGGGUUGAAGUCUCCAUCAACGUGGAUGUAGGAUAGCACCACCUAUCCGAACCACGGGAAAACAUCCGUGUCUCCAAUUGCGUUUGAAUCCUCCAAACCCUUACCUUUACAUUCUUGCAAGUUGCAUGCUUUACUUUCCGCUGCCAAUAAACUCUUUGCAUGCUUGCUUGAAUUGUGUGAUGAUUGCUUGACUUGCUCUAAGAUAGCUAAAAUCUGCCAAGAACUAAAAUUGGGAAAAGGCUAAGUUUUUAAUUGGUCAAGUAGUCUAAUCACCCCCCCUCUAGACAUACUUUCGAUCCUACAAUGACGAAAUCGAGGAGCUCUUCGAGGAGAACGCCAUAAAGGAGUUCGACCUAGAUAGCAGGAAGGGCAGCGACUUCGACGAGGAUGCCAUCGACGACCUAUCUGAGGUAGUACUCUGUUUUUGCUCUGUUUUUUUCAUGACAUUGGGGUUUUUCUUGUUAACUACAUGAGCAUCAAUUUCACUUGGGCGUGCUAGUUGUACGUAUGUAGGAUUGUAGGGAUCUAGCAUAGAUCUUCAUGUUGGAUGUGGUUUUUUAAAUCUGAUUGACAUUCUGAUUCCAGCAAAUACUUUGGGUUUUUUUCAUGGCAUUGGGGUUUGUCUUGUUAACUAGAUGAGCAUAAGUUCCACAAGGGAUACAUUAAUGAAAGAAGUGGGGUAAUGAACCCAACUACAAGAUAAUGUUCAUGGCAGGGAUACAUUAAUGGAAAAAGUGGGUUAAACAAUGGAUAUAUGGCAGGAUUCUCCAUUGGCUUCCCCAGGACAGUGACAAAAUGCUGCAGUUCCUGAUUCAUUUUAGUUUAUGUAGAUGAAUUAAUUUGCACACAUGUUCAUAGAUGAUUAGUUUGCACACAUGUUCAUAGAUGAUCCAUUUGCAAAUUCUAUACAGCUUUCCAUUUUGCAAAGGAAGUGAUCGCUCCCUUAAUAAUUAUGGGCUGACAGUACAUAUCCACUGGAUACCAAAAAAUCAAAACAUUUCAUCUAGCCAAUUUUCCACAGUAUGUUAUCUAGAUGAUCACAGCCACAUCUCUCAUCAAUAUGAGCAGUGAGACACCCCAUAGCUCCUUUACCAAUUUCCUUCUGAAACUUAUCAGGGUCUAACAAUGUUGGACAAGCAGUAUUGCCGGUGUCAGAAAGAAUAAUGGUUUCUUCAUUCCAGUAGAUAGAACAAACCCCCCUUGUGUGAAACAUGGAGGAGUACAAUGAAGCCAUUUUUCUGAUUCCAAUAAGAAUUACACCUGUAACAAGUAUCAAAUAUCAUUAAACCAAGCCACUUCAUGAAGUCUUUCAUGUGUUAAUUAUGUACUACUUGUGCACUAAUCUAUAAAUGCAACUAUUCCACCAUCCGUAUUUAUGCAUGUCAGUUUCUUUGGCUCAAUUAUGUAUGUGCACAUACGCCUUGUUUCUAGCAAAUAGAUAGUUGCCAUGUUACACGUGUGUACUUUCAAAACAUUGUAAUUAAAGUCAAUGUACCAUAAUGGAUUAGCUGAGUUCUUCUAUGUGUACUAAUUCACUAAUUCACAGGAGGAUGACGACGAUGUGGACUACUGCAUGGACAGCAGGCACAACAAGAGCCGGUACACCCUGAGGCAUCUGAUUGCUGGGAAGAUCAAGUACCGUUUCUUUGGCAAGAUUGGGUGCCCUUUCUGUUGCAAGGUGAUCGGUGGCGGCAUAGAUGGCAUGAUCCAGCAUGCCUUCAGCACUGGCAAUGGACAUGGUAAGAAGCAUAAAGCCAGUACUUUGGCUAAACAUGCUGCCUACGCACGCUUCCUCGAGAUUGUGAAAGUCAAUGAGCCCUACAACAUGCAUUGAACAAGGGAGAGAAGUGAUGUGCUGCUAGAGUGCUGCUGCUGCCCCAGGACCCCCGUGUCCUGUUAUGUUAUGUAUGUUUGUUUGUUGUUGGAGUCUAAAACUGAUGUCCUAUGGUGUGUCUGAACCUAUGCUGAGCGGUGGUUGAUCUGCCGUUUAUGUUAAGAGUUUGCUGCUACUCUAGUUUAGUGUUCCUAGUUGUUAAUACUAUUUUGGUGAUGCAUGUUUAAGCCUUGUACAAUGCUAGAUGCUUAGGGUGGUGCUUAGAAAAAUAAACAGGGUUUUUUUGAAGCACCAGUGCCUAUUUCUACAGGAGAGACGCCUAGUUAUGCGUCUACCCUGUACAAAUAAGCACCUGUGCUUAAGAAAAGCCUAGUUUAUUUCUAUAAGCAACUCCCCUAAGCGCCUUGCAUUGUACAAGGCCUUAGCAACUCAAGUAUCGUACGGUGGUCUACGUUAUGGUUGCUGUGUUAUUCUGCCGUACGGUGAUGCAUGCUAGGAACUGUCAUAAUAUGACUAUGGUAGUUAUAGCUUCGCAUGAUUAUGUUUAGUGUAUAACUCAGCAUGUUCCUACCAUAUCUAUGGGUAAUUACAACUGAACUAUGCAUUAAUUUUUGACAAAAUGAAAGCAUGCAAAUGAUUGCCGAUUCCACCUAUUGGAAAAUCAAGCUUUGGACUGAUGAUGCAUUAUAUAUUGCAAUAAGUAGAGGAUGCUCAUGAUUGCCAAAAGUACCUAUUUCCACUUUCUGAUAAGAACUAAACGUGUAUCAAAUGAUGCUAAAAGUAGAGCAUGAGCAUAAGCAUGUAUCAAUGCAUUAGAUAUUGCAAUAAGUAGAGGAUGCUCAUGAUUGCCAAAAGUACCUAUUUCCACUUUCUGAUAAGAACUAAACGUGUAUCAAAUGAUGCUAAAAGUAGAGCAUGAGCAUGAGCAUGUAUCAAUUGAUGCUACCUAUUUGUGUUUGAAUGGGCUCAAUAAAGCUGGUGCUGGUUUAUGCUCUCUGCGUGACCGUGAUGGUAACGAAGACACUUGGUUGGCUAUGGUCUUGCUGUCAAAUUUAAGUUUCAGUUCUUUAAGAUUCUUUGUUUUUGCUGCUUGCUCGGGAUCGACUAGCUUUCUCGGGCGUCCACGUGCUCUCUUCCUUUUGGGGGAGUUGGGUGCACCAUUUUUGGGGGAGUUGGCUGCACCGGUAUCCUUCUGGGAGUUGGAUGUGUCAGGUUCGUUGGAACCAUCGGGAUUGUUGACUAAUUGUACGUCCUCUUCUGAAGCAUCAGGUAGAACUGCUUGCUGGGCAUCGUACACCUCCUUCUGUAUAAGAGAGAGUGCUGCGUUAGUUCUAAUCAUGAGACUUAUGAAAUAAAUGAUAUAUUCUUCAUGUAGCGCUAACCGUUAUGGGGAACUUAUAUGAUUCGAGACGAAGCGCAUUGCAAUUUGAAUGCAGUAAGGCUGUACAUAUUUUCCACCUGAAAAUAUCUAUCCUUGCCUAUAUUGGAUAACCGACACUGACGUCAGCAUAGCUUUCAAGCUAAACAAAUUACAAAUUUAAAUUAGGCAUUCAAUUACCUGGUUCAAAAUAUCGGUCAUUUCAUCCCCGUUCCAUGACAACAUGUACUGCAGUGUCCAAACCGCACAGGAAGUCUUGCAAUGUUUAGUUAAAGAUCAGUAAUCUUAUUCGUGUACGCAAAUAAUAAUUUAUGAGGCCAUGCGUACCCAUCGGUCUGUUGUGGUAUGUUCUCAUAGUGUUUUUUGGUCCAUUUGGCAAAAUUGAUGUUAUUAGCUGGUGAUAUCAACCCUUUCUUGACCGCUUCGUCAAUGCAGAACUGAAUCGAGUCCACCUAGGUUACGACAAGUUAUACAUAGGGUUACGGUACUUUGGGAGCUCAUGUUCCAUGCGGAUCAAGAGAGGCAGCAAGAGAACACUUACAAGAGAAUCUUCCUUGGUCUUGUUGCAAUGAUAAUUCAUGGAGUUCAGAGUCUGAAUUUCUUUUUUGUCAAAAUUAAACAUCAUUAGCAUCCAAUGGUUUUGGUGUACAUUGAGUGGGACAUGCACCUGCAGUAAAAUUUGGGUUGGGUUGAGAACCGAAAUUUGUCGUGUACAGUGUGUACGUAAACUAUAAAAGUGUGGAAAACGUGUACCUUUCGGCGCCCUACAAAUUUUCCUGCUACACGAGCUAACCAUGAUGCUGCACGUCCAACAGGAACCACCCCCUUCAUUUGUAACAGCUUUUCGGUUUCUUGAGGGGAUAUGAUUGAGGUAGUAUCAUUCUCAAUUUGGCUAAUGAGAGCAUAUGCCAUAAUAACCUGCCAAAUUUUCAAUCAUACAAUAAUAAGACAGUUGUUGCAGUAAUGAUGUACAAUAGAGUAUAAUGGGCUUACAUCACCAUAAAUGUAUUUCUCGUCCAAAUUUCGCUUCAGAUUUUCUGCUGUGAGGGAAAUGUCUCCGAUUCUAGCUAUUUCAACAGGGUCAUAUGUUCCGCGGGUGUAAACGGCUGUCUCUAUGUCCUCAUCCGUGAACUUGUAAUCAUUACCAAAGACAGGCUUCAUCGGAGUUAAUUGUGGUUCCUCAUUGUUUUCCCUCACAUGUCUUGCACUUGGUGUACUCAAAGUCCCUGUCGUGAUUUGGCUAGCCCUAGGAGUUCCUGUCAGGGAUGAAUUGCACACAUUGACUUGAUCCUACAAUGAACAAAGGUAGUUCAUCAUUAGUUUGUUACUUUUAGAUAUUAACGUGUUGGGCCAAUUUUGAUCACCUGCACGCCUCCUUUCUGUGACACUGAUUGUCGGUUCCUUGUAAAUUCGUAUUUUAAGUCCUGUAACAAUGCAAACAAUAAUGAACAUGAAGGAACAUAUUCAUAAAAAAUACAAAAUGCACAGUAUGACAUACAUGGAGUUCCCUCCUUAAGUCUUUAAUUUCGUCCUCGGCCUUCGACAACCUAGGAUUAGUGCCAGUUUUAGUCUUCAUGUCGAUCAAGUCUUCACCUAGAGUCUGGUAUUUGACAUCAAAUCUGUGCUCAAUUUCCAUUAACUUCCUGCAUACCUUCUUUUCAUGAUCAGCAAUGCGUGCAUUCAUGACUUCAACUACCAUUUCAAUCUGUGUAAACAAAAUAAAACCCCAUUGGUAACAAUAGCUAAAUGAAUGAGGUUCCAUGACACCUAUUUGUGAUAUUGCAAAAACAAAUAGUCUUUGGAGUACAUACUUGCUGGCUACUAAAUUGCUGUCCUUGUGAUGGUGCUCGAUACGAAUCAUGUUGAUGCACAUGUUCAUCUUUUUUUCUUGGAAAAUUAUUAGAAUUAUCGGACGGUCGUUGAGGAGCACAAAUUUCCAUGACAACCUAUUUUUUUAAAAUAUAAUGAACCAUUAGUACCAAAUAAAAAAUCGAAUAUAGAAAGUUCAAUUGUAGAUAGGUACCAGCCCGUUAUGAAGACCUCCUUUCUCGUAAGCAUCGCUUCUUAAAGUAGCCAUCAUUUCGUCCCAUCGUGCGAUCAAUGGAGGGGGUCUAGAAGCAUACAUUAAUCGGCCACUACGCACGUGCUCCCAGUACCAAUACUACACAAUAAAUUAGUUCAUCACCAUACAGAUAUGCAACAGAACAAUAAUUAAAGGACAUUAAGUAGUGAUCUAUCACUAACCUAGAGCAGAAUUAGAUUUCAUUGUAGAUUUACGUGAUCUCGAUUUCUAAACUUGUGAACGGACUUGAAGAAGUGAUUAAGUGUGAAACAUCCCCAGUUAAAUUUCCGAAGGUUUUCAAGAUCUGUAACGAGGUUGAGAAAUUUCGAGUCCACAUAAUGUUGUGCUGUUGGUGCUAGAACAGUACCAAUUGCGUACAGAAUGAACCGCCUCAGGAAAUCGCCGUCUGGGGCUUUGGAAGCUCGGAUCAUUGUUUCAAGGUCAGAAAUCAAAAUUUGCCCAUUGUUUGCAUAGGCGGUAAACAAUUCUGUGUCGGUUUGCAUUUCCAGAUGUGGCUCUAUAUCCUCCCCUUCUAUCGGAAUGCCAAAUAUACCUUGCACGUCCUCUUUUGUUAUAGGAAUUGGCGUUUUACCGAUGGUAAUGGAUUGCGUGUCCAUAUCUAUGCUCUUGGCUAGUCUAACCAACAUUAUGCGCCGUAGAGUCACUUCAUGCAUCUGGGUCAGACCGCCAAGACUGGUUUCUGAUAUGAUGUACUUUCUGUGGUCUUAUGAAAACAGUUUCAUGGUUUUUCCGAACCUUGUCUGUGAGCAUACUAACUUCAUAUGACCAUGCUUUUCGGCGAGUUCCUGUUACAUGCCAUUAAAUAUUACUGAGUACACAUGAAUUAUGUGUACGAAACGAUUGUACACAAACAGUAAAUUACUUACCACAUCGGUAAUUUCGGAGAUGGGCUUUUCUCCAUUAUUAAGGUUCGUAUCUGAAACUGACAUUGCUGCCUCGUAUGCAAUGAUAAAAUCAGGCUCAAUUAAUCUGAACAAAAUUGGAAAAUCUAUAACAAAAUUAGCAGAGAAUUAAUUUUAACAAAAUUAACUGGGUCAUUUAACAUAUGAUCCACUUAUGGGUUUAAGCACAGAACCUACUUGGGUGCAAAACCUAUGAGGGUUCAACAACUAAAGCAUCGGCGAACAACGAUUAUAAAGAGUUACAAUCAGCUAAGACCUUACCUCGGAGAUGGUGCCACCGAGUAGAUGGCGGCGGUUAGUGCGUCGGAAACUAUAAGUGCCGGUAUAGCGCGGUCGACGGCGCAAAGGAAAAACGGCACGUUCACGCGAGGAGGAGGCGGCGAGAAGAACACUGACGUCCGAGCCCUUAGAUCACGUUGGCGGUGGGCGGCGAGUGGUGGUCGCCGACUCCUGUAUUCCAUGGGCGACCGGCGUCUCCGAUCUGAUCUUGCAGCGGUCGUGGGAGGUGCAGACGACCCGGGUGGUUAGAAUGCGGAGCUGUAAUCGCGGGAUUUAGGGAGGGGUGGGCCGCGUGAGUUAUGUGAGAUUUGGAUAAAUGAUAUAAAGAAAUAAGAAAAUCUUGUGAACUCGGUGUGGGGUUUAUGGGCUUUAGGGUUUAGGGGUUUAGGGUUAUUAGGGUUUAGGGAUUUAGGGGUUUAGGGUUAUCAGGGGUUAGGGUUAUCAGGGUUUAGGGUUGAGUGUUUACAUGCAAGCCCGGAAAUGCGCGUGUCAGAGAACAUACUUGCAUGUGUAUGUACUAAUGAUCCCAAACUUUCUUAAUGGCAUCCCAUGACCACAUAGAGAAUGAAUGCAUAAUGGUUUCCAUGUUGGGCAAAAUUUUGAAUGUUUUUACGGUUUAGUGGGGGGGGUGGGGUUAGGGUUAUCAGGGUUUAGGGUUUAAGGGUUCUAGGGUUGACGGAACUAUGUUUGUCUUACGGUGGACGUAGCACACACACCGGACAUUGGUGGAGCGUUGGUCUACAAUGGAUUCCCUCUGGUAGCAUCGAUCCGAUCCAUUGAAUGGCUCGGCCAACAAACUUCGUGCCACAUAGAGCAUGCAUCCAUCCACUGGACCGGAUCAAUGUUGGGUUGGUUUCAUACAGGUGAGGAAAGCAGCUAGUGCUUUCGGGGUGUUGACAUGCUAGGCCGGAAAUGCGCGUGUCAGAGAUCGUACUUGCAUGUAUAACCCCAAACUUUUUUCAUGGCAUCCCAUGACCCCAUAGAGAAUGCAUGCAUAAUGGUUUCCAUGUGGGGCAAAAAUUUGAAUGUUUUUACGGUUUAGUGGGGGGUGGUGGUUAGGGUUAUCAGGGUUUAGGUUUUAAGGGUUUUAGGGUUAACGGAACUAUGUUUUUCUUACGGUGGACUUAGCACACACACCGGACAUUGAUGGAGCGUUGGUCUACAAUGAAUUCCCUCCGGUACCAUCGAUCCGGUCCGUUGACUGGCUCGGCCGACAAACUUCGUGCCACAUAGAGCAUGCAUCCAUCCACUGGACCGGAUCGAUGUUUGCUUGGUUUCAUACAGGUGAGGAACCCAGCUAGUGCUUUCGGGGUGUUGACAUGCUAGGCUGGAAAUGUGCGUGUCAGAGAUCAUACUUGCGUGUAUAAUCCCAAAAAUCUUUCAUGGCAUCCCAUGACCACAUAGAGAAAUUUUGAAUGUUUUUACGGUUUAGUGGGGGGGAGGGGGUGGGGUUAGGGUUAUCAGGGUUUAGGGUUUACGGGCUCUAGGGUUGACGGAACUAUGUUUGUCUUACGGUGGACGUAGCACACACACCGGACAUUGGUGGAGCGUUGGUCUACAAUGGAUUCCCUCUGGUAGCAUCGAUCCGAUCCGUUGAAUGGCUCGGCCGACAAACUUCGUGCCACAUAGAGCAUGCAUCCAUCCACUGGACAGAAUCAAUGUUGGGUUGGUUUCAUACAGGUGAGGAAAGUAGCUAGUGCUUUCGGGGUGUUGACAUGCUAGGCCGGAAAUGUGCGUGUCAGAGAUCGUACUUGCAUGUAUAAUCCCAAACUUUUUUCAUGGCAUCCCAUGACCCCAUAGAGAAUGCAUGCAUAAUGCUUUCCAUGUGGGGCAAAAAUUUGAAUGUUUUUAUGGUUUAGUGGGGGGGGGGUGGUUAGGGUUAUCAGGGUUUAGGUUUUAAGGGUUUUAGGGUUAACGGAACUAUGUUUGUCUUACGGUGGACUUAGCACACACACCGGACAUUGAUGGAGCGUUGGUCUACAAUGGAUUCCCUCUGGUAGCAUCGAUCCGAUCCGUUGAAUGGCUCGGCCGACAAACUUCGUGCCACAUAGAGCAUGCAUCCAUCCACUGGACCGGAUCGAUGUUUGGUUGGUUUCAUACAUGUGAGGAACCCAGCUAGUGCUUUCGGGGUGUUGACAUGCUAGGCCGGAAAUGUGCGUGUUAGAGAUCGUACUUGUGUGUAUAAUCCCCAAAAAUCUUUCAUGGCAUCCCAUGACCACAUAGAGAAUGCAUGCAUAAUGGUUUCCAUGUGGGGCAAAAAUUUGAAUGUUUUUACGGUUUAGUGNNNNNNNNNNNNNNNNNNNNNNNNNNNNNNNNNNNNNNNNNNNNNNNNNNNNNNNNNNNNNNNNNNNNNNNNNNNNNNNNNNNNNNNNNNNNNNNNNNNNNNNNNNNNNNNNNNNNNNNNNNNNNNNNNNNNNNNNNNNNNNNNNNGGUUUUAGGGUUGACGGAGCACACACAUCGGACAUUGAUGGAGCGUUGGUCUACAAUGGAGUCCCUCCUGUAGCAUCGAUCUGGUCCGUCGACUGGCUCGGCCGACAUACUUUGUGCCACAUAGAGCAUGCAUGCAUCCACUGAACCGGAUCAAUGUUGGGUUGGUUUACAUGUACAUGUACAGGGACCCGAAAUGCGCGUGUUAGAGAUCGUACUUGCGUGUACAUGUACCAUCCUUCCAUCCACUGGCUGGGCCGACAACCUUCGUGCCACAUUGUUCACAUUGUCCAAUUAACACUUUGUAUAGAUUUUUUUCAUAAAAAAUGAACGAAAUAAUGCAACUAAUCUGAACGUAACGUUUGGCAUGUAUCAAACCAAGUUGCCACUAUUCCUCAAAAAAAGAACCCAGUUAGCCACUAAUUGCGCCAAACAUAUCUCGUAAUUACGAACGAAAAUGGGUUGACAAUUAUAUCUGGAAAUUCUUGGACUGAAUUUAUUGCUCUUCGUUUUUUAGAGAACAAUAAGUUAGAAUGGUGGGCGGCGGGUUGGCAUGGGCACGACCAUGGCUCGGGCUUGUGUCAUAUGUGGUUCGACCCGCGGUCAGUGCACAUGUUUUCGAAGCCCCGAAAAGAUCGUGCUCGUUAAAAAAAAAACUUGCAUCGACGCGCAUUACUUCAAAAUAACUAAUUAACCCUACAAUCACGGAUAUAGACCUUCCCAUUCUACCGCAUAUCUACCCUAUCCUAACCACCCCCAUCUACCUUGUUUCUCCUCACAUAGCCAUCGCCGGGAUCGCGCCAUCACUUCUCAAGCGACCACGCCGACGCCGGAUUACAAAAGGUCUCUUCCACGGCUUCUCUCAUCUUCGAUUGCAGUGAUGAUUAUUUUUUCCAUUGAUUCGACCAACAAGUAAUUUCCGAAGAGAUUAGAAAAUCCAGCUUUUACUAUGGUUGAGUAGUUCUGUUGUGAUUCGAGUACAGGAUGUCAUGCAAGAGCUUUUUGAUUGAUAGUUUGUACUAGUUGAUCGUGUGAACUUAUUAUGAAUAUUUUUUCACAGUCGUAUUGUUUCGAAUUAGUUGGAUGAGGGUGUGGAUACAGUUUUCAUACUAUGGGUAUAUGUGUUGCUGUAGGGACCAUGGUCUCAGAGGCGCAUAACAACCGUGCGGAGUACGACAAGUCUUUGCAUGAAGCGCGUCGGGAGAUCGACUUGAAGGUGCAAAAGGAUCGCGCUGAGGUAGAUAAGAAACAGAAAAAAGAACGUUCAUACGUGGACAGGAUGAUAAAGGAGGAGCGUGAGGAGUUUUCCCUUAAGAUGGCGAAGAUGCGUCUUGAGAUUGAAGAAAAGUAUAAGAGGGACUGUGAGCACAUGGAAAAAAAGUUUGUCUUAGGCUACAAGGAAAUGCAUCAAAUGUUGCAGAAGGACCGGAAGCUUGUGGACAGUAUUAUACAGACAGAGCGAGUCAGGAUGGAUGCCUAUGUGUUGCAGGCAUGUGCGGAUAUGGACAGUAAGCUGCUACAGGAGCGGUCGGACAUGGAUUAUAAGGCCAUGCUGGAGAAGGUCCGCUUGGAAGGACAUAUGUUAGAAGACCGUGCGAUCUCACGGCCACCCCGACAACAUGUCUUCAAUUAUUCUCCCCCUGUCAGUAUCUCGCACCGAUUCUAUAUAUUAAGGACCUACGUAUUCUAUGAUAUAAACAUCUUCAAUUUGUGGCAACCUUAUGUCGGCGAUUGUAUGUAGGCUAAGCAUCAUGACACGACACAGUCGCCAUUCACUCGACACAUUGCGAUAGAGUCACCCGUUCAAUGCCACAUCAGUCCACCCCAACAACAUAUCGUCAAUUCUCCCCUUGUAAGUACCCCGCAACAAUGCAUACCCAAUAUAUGGUAUGACCUUUCAAAACUUGUGUGUAAACCCACUAUCGACGUUUCAUACGCAGGAUAAGAAACCUGUGAUGGCAGAGUCCCCAGUCACACCACAUGAAGGAUACAUUCCACAUAAUAAGGUGAGAAGGUUUGAGAUGGCACAACCCCCAGUCACUCCACAUGAAGGAUACAUUCCACAAAAGCAGGUAACAACGCCGCAAUGUUGCUAUGCACAUAAAAAAUUAUGUUUGCCCCUUUACUCAUUGAAUGUAUUAACUCCGAUGUGAGAUACUAGGUGCUGGUCAUGGAAUUUUUUGUUAGUAGGGAUCAUGAGAUGUCACAUGUCCCGAGAGCAUACUUUGAUGAACACCCGGCAGAAGUCAGAAUUUUUGAACCCGCCAAAGUUACCUACGAUCUCAUUAUGAGUGAAAUGAGAGAUACUUUUGGUUGCAAACUGGGAGCAGAACUGUACUACUUCUUACCCGGGUCUGCGUGGAAGCUGCCAGAAGGAAUGUUCUUGAUUGCAGGACCAGAUGAUGUACAAAAAAUGCUUUCUGAUCUGAAUGGCAGCAAGACAUGUCACCUGUACAUUGUGUACAAUAGAACUACGGGUUGUUUUCCCGAGGAUGACGUUGAUUCCGAGGUUCAAAUUUUACAUGUUACAUGCAUCUAGUUUAUGGCUACGUCUUUUUUGAGUUCUUCCUAAUACAAUUCCUAUGGUUUUCUACAGGAAGUGAGAAUCCAAGAAAUGGAGUGUCUUGCUAGAGAGUUGGCAGAGAAAGACCAAGAACAACUUAAGUUGUAUGGUUACAUUGAUGUUAAAGAGAAAAAGAUUGAAGCACGUGGGUCGUCGCCAAGCCCGACGCAAUCUCCAACGACGCAACGCAAGAGGUCACUGGAUUUUGGUAGUGCAGAAGACAAUAUGGAGUAGGCUCAAUUGUUUUUCAACCAGUUAAAGCUUCAAACCAGGAUUAUUUAGUUGCAAACAAACAUUUUGUUUUCUGUUUCACACUAUGUUCGCAAUUAUGGUACAAUUUAUUCAUGAGACAUUUCGUUGAACAACAAUGCAUGUGUUUUAUGAUCAAUCAUACAGUUGUUUCUGAGUUGUUUUUGAGAUGGCAUUGUGUCUAAAGAAGUUUCCAUCUAUAAAACUUGCCACGCAGUCGCAUCGGAAUCGCGUAUCACGCGAGAGGCGUGCGUCGCACGGGAGAGCGUCGCACGCGAGCUUGUUUUCGGGUAGAAAUCAUAACAUAUUUCGGAUAGAUAAAGUUCACGUCCUCCACCCGCGCAUGCAAACCCACGUCGCCGCCAUUCCCAUGCACGCAUGCCUCAGGCGCAGACAACGAGACGGCCCAUCCGAAUUAGGCCCAUCCGAAGUAGGACAUUAGAACCCUCCCCCCACUCCACCUAUUCCCCUCGCACUGUGGCCUCCCUCCCUCCAUCGCCAGAUCCCCCACUCGUCCCCCUCUGUCCGCCGCCCCUGCAUGCCGUCAGCGACUUCACCUCCGCCGCCCCCGCACCCCCCGAACGAGAUCGGCCAGAUCCAUCUCCUCAACCAUCGCAGGACAACGCAGGUACCCCAGUUUCUGUUGACGUCUCAAUGGUAUCCAUGCUGAUAAUGCUAGGUAGAUCGACUGAGUGUAGCAAUUUUGUGCCACCAUCUGAAACUUGUGAUGCUUCCUACUGUACAAUAUAGGACUUUUCAAAGUUCUGUUAUGAUGGCACUUUUUGACACAUACAGUAGAGCUGCGUUUUUAGUUGUUAUACUUUCAGUUACCAUCACUGCUUGGGAAAGGACGAAUUGGAUGCAUUCAGGUCUGCAGUUGAUAGUGUAUCAUCAUAAUAUAGGUGCUGUGUUGUGUGAUUCUUCAUGCUGAGAACUUCAGCUUUUUCAGUUAUAGUGAAAGGCUUCUGUAUAAAAAAAACUACUAAAUGAUCACAAAAACUUCUAGACAACAUUUUGUAUGAUCUGACCAAAACUUGAACUAAAUGAUCACCAAAAGUUGAAGGAUUUUGCAUCACAUCACAACCAUAAGUCUUCUGCACCAGCAUCAUAACAAUCACAUAACUACAUAACAAAAGCAAACUUGUUCAUCAUUACAAAAGAAAACUUGUUCAACAUAAGAAAAGCUAACUUGUUCAGCAUUACAAAAGCAAACUUGUUCAACAUAACAAAAGCUAACUUGUUCAGCAUUACAAACGCAAACUUGUUCAACCACAUAACUGCAAACUGAGACACAUAAUACCACAAACAACUCAAUAUCCCAGUAGUAGGGGUCAUCCCAAUGAUCCUCCACCUCUUGCCAGUACUCCAAACCUUCUUUGACGAUAUCGAUUUUCUUCCAUGCCUCGUAGGUGACGUACGCAUCUUUCGCUGCGUACUCGAUGAGGUUGUUUGGCAGUGGGCUGUCCCCCCAUAGUUUGUGGUCCAAUUCCUUGUUGAUCUUCUUCUUCAUUUCCUUGUACGAUGGGUGGAUGAGGCUGGCUGCAAACUCAGCCAAAGCCUGCCACUUCUUUCCAUUCCUUGGAACUCUCCAUUUGCGCUGCAUGUCGACGUACUUGUCGGGGUUGAUCUCCAAACCAGACAAUUUCAGCUUCUCCUUGUCACCUCCAAUGGAGAAGCCAACAAAGGUGUAGAGCUUCUUCUCCUGCAGGAGUGGGCGGAGUUCCUUAGGCCUGCAUCAAAUUAAUCUGGUGCAUCAAAUUCAUCCACUUCAAAAACUUCAGAAACUACUAAUUAGACAUAAAAUUCAGAACUAGUAUUGCAUCUACUCCAGAACUUCAGAACUAGUAUUGCAUCUACUUCAGAACUUCAGAACUAUUGCAUCUACUUGAGAAACUUCUGAAACUUCAGAACUAUUGCAUCUACUUGAGAAACUUCAGAAACUACUAAUUAGACAGAAACUUCAGAACUUCAGAACUAGUAUUGCAUCUACUUCAGAACUUCAGAACUAUUGCAUCUACUUCAGAAACUACAGAAACUACUAAUUAGACAGAAAGUUCAGAACUUCAGAACUAGUAUUGCAUCUACUUCAGAACUACAGAACUAUUGCGUCUACUUCAGAAACUUCAGAAAUUACUAAUUAGACAGAAACGUCAGAACUUCAGAAACUUCAGAACUGGAUGUUUUUACCAUUUGGUUGCCGCGGUGAUGUGGUAUACCAGGACGAGAUCCUCCACGCAUAACUGUAGAACUGCAGCCUUUUGCGGAGGUUCAUCUUCCCUCGUAUACUCGACAUCAACGCCGAUCGACUGAGGAAACAUGCCGCCGAGCCUCCUCCUGAUCUCGCGGAUCCUCUUGUCGGCUUCGUAUGGAUUGCUGGUGCAUACGACAUCCAGCUUCUCCUUCAGGUGGAUAUCAACCAUGAGCUUCACGGUGUAGUCCUGCUUCUGCCCAGGGAUCGGAACGUCGUCGUCGACCACCAGCGGCUCCUUGCCAGACGCCUCACCUUGGUGAUGCUUGCCAGAUGGAGGGGAGUUGCUCCACGAUGCCUCCGCCAUUCUCUUGGCAGACGGAGGGGAGUUGCUCCACGAUUCCUCCGCCAUUGCCCUCCUGGCCAGCGAUGGUGGAGGCAGAGGGGAGUUGCUUGAUGGUGGAGGCAGAGGGAGGAAGAUGGAGCGGCAAUGGAAUAAGGAGGGAGGCAGAGGGAGGCAGAUUGAGCGGCAAUGGAAUAGGAGGGGAGUUCCCUGCGUCGUGGGGAGUUGCCAGUGGAGGGGAGUCGUGGGGAGUUGCCAGUGGAAGGGAGGCGUGGGGAGUUGCCUCGAAAACUCAAACGUCCUGCCCUUUGGCCCUCGAAAAAUCUGGAGGGGAGACGUGGGCUCUUUGGUUUGUCCCGUUUCUGAAACAAAAAAAAAAUAACAGCCAUAUUUUGCUCUCACUGCAACCAUAUUAAGAGAUGAAAAAUGGCACCAAAAAGUCACUGCAGCCAUCCUCAAUGGCACGAAAACAGCACCAAAACAACAUCAGCCAAAACAACAAAAAAUGCAUCCAUUGAUCGUUCUUUAUUUCUUCUAACAUUCCGUGUUCUGUGCAGUGAGAUAGACACAACACUACAAAUGCAGGCUGACAACGCCCGCGAUUUCAUGACCAUCAGGACAGACGGCGGCUUCAUCCACGCUCCGGUCCCAUGAGUCGAGUCGAAAGUAGUGAUGCUAUGUGUAGUUCUGAAACAUUGAUUGGCUCAUGUUGUAAUUAAACUUUAAUGAAUUGUAUGUCUCUUUGGUUUGGACAGUCGUUAAACUUAGAUGUACUCGAUGCUAUUUAUUACUAGGACCAUGAAUUGUGCUAUUAAUGUCUUGCUUUUCUCUUCCGAUCCUUUUGUUGCAUACUUAUUUAUUGCUUAUGUAUUGUCUGUUGUUUGGCUUGUGCAUAGAGAUGCCGUCGUAUGUCGUGUACAAGGUAAGGUUCCCGGAGUCUACGAUGACUGGGAGGAGUGUCGGAGACAGGUUCACCGUUUCAGCGGUAACAGUUACAAAGGGUACACCACUAGGGUGGAGGCGGAAUCUAGAUAUGCCCGCUAUCUAGCGGGAGAGAGGAGGGAGCGUUGGAGGAAACGGAUGAAGACCAAUUUCAUCGCGAUGAUGCUCAUCGUGAUGACCGCAACUCUCUUCUAUGUGAUGGUAGUUUAGAUGAUCGAUAUCGACUUGUAAUGUGAAGACAAACUCGCUACUCGCGGUCUCGAGACUUGUAAUGUUCUAUCUUUGUUCGGUCUUGUGAAUUCAGAGACUAAUAUGAUGAAUUGUAUUCGGAGAGCUAUCUUCUAUUGUAUUGGAUGAAUGUGCUGUUGCUGUGUGGUGUUGUCUAUAUUCUCUCCAAUAAUAUAUUUUGUAACCUGUGAAAAUAUCAGAAAUGUGCAUUUUUUCGACCACCUCCAAAUCACCUCAGUUUUGGAACACAUGAUCUCUUCCACAAACAAAACUAGGUUUCCAAGUUUUUGUAUUUUUUUAAAUUUUUUUGAAUUUAUAAUGCCCUCUAGACUGACUGCUGAAAACAUCGGUCUAUGCCUCAAGGGGGCAUUGUAAAAUAUUUUUUUUAAAAUUUUCUUGCAUACACAUGUUUUGCACAUGUGGGUCACCAUGUACAAGAAAAUUUGGGUGAUUUGGAGGUGGUGGAAAAAUUCACAUUUUUUCAAAAACUGACUUAAGUUAAGACCAAAUGGUCCCUCCGGGAAUGCGGGCAUUUUUUCGACCACCUCCAAAUCACCUCAGUUUUGGCACACAUGAUCUCUUCCACAAACAAAACUAGGUUUCCAAGUUUUUGUAUUUUUUUAAUUUUUUUUGAAUUUAUAAUGCCCUCUAGACUGACUCCUGAAAACAUCGGUCUAUGCCUCAAGGGGGCAUUGUAAAAUAAAUUUUUUCAAAAUUUUCUUGCAUACACAUGUUUUGCACAUGUGGGUCACCAUGUAUAAGAAAUUUUGGGUGAUUUGGAGGUGGUGGAAAAAUUCAUGCAAGACUCGGGGACCUGCAUGCAAGACUCGGGGACCUGCAUGCAAGAGUCGGGGACCUGCAUGUGAAUAGUGAUUCAUCAAGGCCAUGACAGCUAUUGGCACAGCGGCUGCCGCCCGAUUUGUAUGCAGCGAAGAUGAACGUGCAUGGAGGUUUUUCAAAGAUUUCCAAGCACACCCCAGUGGGCCCCGCUUAUUUAAAAAAGACGUCAGUCAUUAUUGCUCUGUAAAUGAAGAAUAUGCAUGAUGAUUAUGAAUACGCAUGACAACCAUAGUAAGGGUGAAGAAUCAUAGUGCCCAAUUUGUCGAAAUACAUCAUCAUUCUUAAAGUUGGACAUCAAAUGAUACACACAGAAAAUGGAAACGAAAGAUGUCGAACUAAUAUAGUAACAUGCCAGUACAACUGCACUUCACUAAAUUACUGUCACGAUGAAAUAGAAUGUAAAGACCACGUCACACAAACAUGAAUGACACACGACUUUCUCUGGCUCAUCGUCGGUUCAUGCUGUAUGUAGAUAUCACAGUUCAGCCUCGAUAUCCUACACAGAAGAAUAGAAUAAAUCACAUGGACAUCAAUUAUGAGUAAAACACAUGCAAAAAAAAUAUGAAAAUAUUUUGUACCUCUAGCAAUUUAGCGCAUUUACGUCGAUUGUGACCUGGUUUCUUGCAAUAGCCACAGAUAUUCUGUGAUGUUGACUUCUUUGUCUUUGCCUGCAGCCUUUUCUUCGGUGCACCUCGUCCUGGCACAUGCACGGGAUCCAGAACCUUAUCAACUUUCUGUGAGUGUGGCAUCAACGGGCCAAACCUAAUGCUGUUAUGCUGAGCAUUAGUUGACUCCUUGCUGUCAGCUUGUUCAAAACUUGAUUGCUUGCCAUGAUGUUGUGCUUGCAAAAGCAUCUUUAGACGGUGAUAGUCCUCAUCAGAGUGGCAUGCCUGGAAACUUGCGGCGUGACUACAAUUCCGCAACUCGCGGUACCUCUGCAGGCUUAGCGAAUAGUCAUACAUCUGGUUUUUUCUGGUAGGUGCGUAUGCACAUUUUGCAUUCAUAGUCCACCUAGUGGGAACGCAACAACCGGGCAGAAUUGUUUGUUUUAAAAUCCCCAAUAUGUAAAAAAAUGUGGGAACAUGGUGUGCCUGCGCAUUCCAGCUUAUGGCAAGAACAACUCACCCUGUGCAAAAGACCUCCUUGCUCUUCAAUGCGCACUCCAAACUUUUUAUCCAUUCUUUCCUGCUUGGACACAACAUAAGUGGAAUCUUCUGAUCCAUCUAGUAUCUCUCUAAUCUGACAUUUGCUGACAGAAUCUAUGCUCCAUAAGACCAUCUUAAAGACACUAGGUGUGAAAACUGUUGCGGCGUGUUUCUCAAGCGGCGAAGCAUUUUCCUCUGUAAAUGGAACGGACUGCAAGGCUUCAACGUCAUGGAGAGCUUCGUUAAUCCGUCGCGACGCAAGGCAACGCUCAUAGUGCUCUAGCCUUUCAAACAACGACAUCUUACCCUCAAGAUGCGUAUGUAGCACAGAGUUCAAGCUCUCACUCCUCUGAUUACUGCUCAAUCCUAGGAAACAACGCCCCUCAAGAUAUGGAGCACACCACAACUUUCUCAUCUGAUACAUCUGAUGCAGCCAAGACUCCUCACUGGUUACUUUAUUCCGUUGUAAGAAUUGUAUUCAUUUUAUCUCAUGCUCUUCAAUGGAAGAAGUAUCAUAAAUGAAAGAUCUGAAUUCCUCCUUUACGUCGUCAUCAUGCAGAUGGCGUACAAUGUUCUGCUGAAUGUGCCAUAUACAUAGUCUAUGGUUUGAGUCUGGCCAGACCACCCUUAUUGCUCUCUGCAUUGCAAGGUCCCCAUCUGUGAUCACAGAUAUCGGAUGCUUCUGUGCCAUGCAAUCAGAAAAGGUCCGCAACAUCCACUCGUAUGCCUGGCUUGUUUCAUGAGAAAUUAAUUAUACCACAGCCAAAUAUAACAGUGCUGCGGUGGUGAUUCAACCCGACAAAAGGCACGAAUGGCAGAUUGUAUUUUUUGGUUCUGUAUGUGCUAUCGAAAACAAUGACGUCUCCGAAAGCCUCGUAGUCAAGUCGCGAUUGACUGUCAGCCCAGAACAGUCCCUUCAGAUGGCCAUGCUCGUCUACCAAGUACUUGAAGAAAAAAAUCCACAUCUCGCUCUCGCCUCGCCAUCAUAUGCAUGAUCACCGUUUUAGCAUCACCGGCACUGAUUGUCUCUUGCUUAUUAGCAUGGCAGAAAUUAUAAACGUCCCUCUUUAUGCAUCCAACCUUAUCAAAUCCACCGUAUUGGAAGCACAAAAUAUCCAUAAUACGGUAUUUGUGGAUCCCACAUUUUCCAUGUCCGCAAUGUCCGCUUUCUGCUCAUCGCUAAUUCGUCUGUGCAAACGCAACAGACAAGAAAGAUCCCAUGGGGCUAGAGGAUGGUUGUGCUCAUCGAUGAAAUCCUUGACAAACCACCGACCGGUUUCCUCUUGUCUCGUAAUGACCAAUUUAGCAUUACAUCCAACACGAGUUAAACUUUGUGGCCUCCUUUUUCUAUCUUCCAUCUUUCUUUUCAUGUGCUUAUCUUCGCGAAACCCUUGACGACUACACACAAUUUUCCUUAAAAUUAUGUAUUUGUUGGAUCCAUCCCACUCAACGUAGCUUUUCCUCACACUAAAACCUUUUUCAAGAGCAUAUUUGUUGUAGAAUUCAUAGCCUUCAGCCUCACUAUCAAACAUCUUGCUGACAACAUUUACAUACUCGAACAUACUCUCAUCACUUGCAUACGCCAUGUCUUCCUGCAUAUGACAUGUGAGGGAAACCAAUCAUCAACAUCUUUCUGUUUAUCAAUGUUGCAGGUGUAAAAUAGCUCAUAGGCAAAGACAAGUGCAUGGAAAAGACUUUGCUGGUUUGACAUGUGAGGGAAACCAAUCAUCAACGUCCAACAAGUACUAUCCUAGCAUGGAUGAUGACUCUAAUAAACUGGAUUCAUACCUGGUACGCGCGAAGAGAUGGGAUCGCCCGCCGCCGUCGCCGCCUAUUCCGUCGGCACAGAUCCGGCCUUCUUCUUCUUCGGUGACAGCGUGGGGGGCUGGGGUUGGUUGGGUGGAGGACGAGGACGAUGAAUUUAUUCCUCUCACCAGGCAGGUCGAGGACGGAGAAGGUCAGGAGCGGCGACGAAUAGAUCGGAGGAGGUUUCUGAUCUGGAUCGAGUAUACAUGGAUCUGGUCUUCGGGUGAUCGGUUCAAGAAAAGAUUUUUGUCCCUGGACCAUUAUGCCCUUAUCGCUUAAAUUUAAUCAAGUUUAAUUCCCUGCAAGAUCGGUUUUCUAAUAAUAAUCAGACGUCACCAGACAUGUAAGUACUGCUAAGUACUCCGAGUACUAACCUAAUCACCGUAAAACUGCUCCCAAAUAGGAUGACCGCUUUAGAGAAAGCAAUAAGGGAAUUCAUGGACAAUCAAACUGAGAAUGUAAUUGUAUUUGUACCGAUGAUGGGAACGAGUUCACAGAUUCUCUGACUUAGCCGAGACUAUGGCAGAGGGAUGUCAAAUUCAUAUAACUGUUCAUGCACCAUCCGACGGCAGCAAGCAAAGCCCAUGGACACACAGCAUUAUCGACCUAGAAGGGUGAUGCUGCCCAGUCCAACGCAUAGGCGAAGCAGGAAAAACGGUGCGAGGCAGCCGAAGUAUGAAUGAAGGAACCGAUCACCAAGCUGCCGAAGGAUGAGCUGCUCUGCUCUUGUGAGAGAUGUUAAAUUUUGUAGUGUUCAUUUUACCAUUCUGUAAUGUGCACUUAUGUUGCUGCUCAAUUCAGUUCCCUUCUCCCACUUGCAUUUCACAGUCAUGUCCAGUUCAGUGAGCAAAGUCUCUAAAAUUCAGCUCAUUCAAUUAUAGCAUUCAUUCACAACAACCACACUGAGAGAUCUCAACCCCUUCUGCCACUGAGUGAUCUCAACCCCUUUUGCCAUACUCAAUUCUGUUAUCAAUUUUACAACAUCAAGUGAUAUGCUCACAAAUUGACAAUGUCAAUGACCUGCUCUUAAUUUACAACAUCAUUGAUAUGCUAAAAAAUGAUAAUGUCAAUGAUCUGCUCUCAAAGUACUUCCUCUGUCCCAUAAUAUAAGAGCGUUUUUGACACUGUCUGAAACUCUCUUGUUGUUUUGUGUAAAUCAGUUUACAAUCUGAAACUCAACUGAUGUUUGCUUGUAAAUCAGUUAAUAAUGUGCUCUCAAUUUCCAGGCUAGCUUCGCCGGCGCCUGCUCGACGGAGUGGUGCAUCGAUGGCAGCCACGGCCGUCCUCCUCUUGCGAUGGUGCGGGGUCAGCGAUAUGGUGCUUGCUUAGUGCCUCCAGCAACAGCGGCGCGACCUCGCGGCGUGAUACAACCAUGACUUGUAGCCAAGGCAGCGGCAGUCGUCCUCCCAGGGCGAUCGCGAGCAAUGGCGACGGUGAGCGAUGGGUUGUUUAUGGGCUGCACAGCAUUGUUGUUAUUCUUAUUUGUUUUCACCUUGCUGCUGUCGAAUGACGCAUGUGAUUUGGAUUAGACGUCCGUCUAGCGUAAAAAUAAUACUCGAUGCUAUACAGCCCAGGUCGGGAAUCUCGAAGUGAGUUCACGAUGGAGAUAGCGAGAGUAUCUGAGCUCGUGCUCAGAACAUCACUUUCCUUAGGAAAGGGGGAACCAGGAUCGAUUCCUGGUCUCAAAGGUGACAGCGGGUGCUGCUACCAGUCCGAUCAAGUUCCGUUCGUGAUAAGUUGUAGGUGCGCGUCGUACUUGAGCCGAUUCAAGCCGGUUUUCUUUGAGUUUUUUUCCUUCUUCAUUUUUUUCAUUCUUUUUUGCACUCGUUUCUUCAUUUUUUUUCAUUUUUUUCUUUUGUUUAUUUUCUUUGUUCUUUUGGUUAUUAUUGUGCAUUUUUUGUAUACGUCAACAAUAUUUUUUUAAUACACGUCUAACAUUUUUCAAAUACAAAUCAACAAUUUUUGCAAUACAUGGCCUACAUUUUUGUAUACACAUUUUUUAAAUGCUUGAUUAUCAUUUUUCAAAUACAAUAUUAACAAUUUUAAUACAUGGUUAACAUUUUUUUAUCAUUUUUACAAAAAAAUAUAUUAAAUGCUUGAUUAACAUUUUCUUAAUAGAUGGUCAACCUUUUUUUCAUACACAUUUAACAUUUUUUCCAAACGCUUGAUUAACUUUUUCAGACCCUUGUUCGACAUUUCUUUCAAAUGCUGGAUUACAUUUCUAUAUACUUAAUCAAAUAUUUCUAUCAUUUUUAAUACAUGGUCAACAUUAUUAACAUACACAUUUAACAAUUUCCCAAUUCUUGAUUAAUAUUUUUUAAAUACUCGUUUAACAUUUCCCAAUUUUAGCUAGUUAUGGUGCAAACUAAGUGUUGUGCCUCGUCUUAAUCUAUCUAUAUAUCCUAUCUUCUAUUCGGCGACGUGGUUGCGCCCGUGGCGGAUGUGGUCGCCGCCAUGACUUGGUCGAUCUCCCUCUUCUGUAUUCGAGAAAAAAAGAUCUCCGUCUUCUCUUUAGAUGAGAUGGGGAGGAGAUGGUGAGAGAUGAGGUCAACGGCAUUGGGGAGAGGAUAAGGGUAGACGCCAGUGGUGAGGCGGCGUGAGGAAGACGAGGUGGUUGGCGGCUAGGACGCAUGAGGGGAGGGGAAGGGUGGGGAGUGGUGCGUGGAGGGAAGUGGGUGUGCGGCGUGCCCAAUUCACGAGAGAGGAGAGAGGUCGGCAAGGGAGCGACCCAUGGGAGUUUUUUUUCUUCUGAGUGAGCCUAGUUGGGCUAUCUGCUGCGUCCAAGGCCCAAUGCACCACAUGUCUUCAAAUUGGCCACCAGUAGCAGCCCUUAGAACAGACAUGGCCAUUUUGCAAAUUUAAAGACAUAAGUUUUUUGCACGCAUGAAAAACAUAACACGUAUCUUUUCACACAUAAUGAACUAUAGGUACUACCCAAAAAAACAUAAUGAACUAUAGGUUGUCACAAGAACUCAUGCCAUCCCACAACCUCCCUCUGACCCUGCCAACAUUGUUGCAACUGCACUCGCAAGUGUUAUCGUAGAUGAUCAUUUGCAUGAUUUCCCGUAAAACAAAAUAAGAUCUACAAACGAAUAGAAGCUACACAUACCUUGGCAUGCACACACAUUGCAAGCCAUACUAAGCAGAUAAGUGUUAAAAACUUGUACUCCCUCAUCUCAGUUUACAAGUCUUCCACGUGUAUCUAGGUCGUCAAUUUAAUUAUAUAAAAUAAAUUGUUUGACAUAAAUUAUAUCAUUAGAAAAUAGAAAUAUAUAUUUUGUAAUGUAUGCCUCUUAUUAAGUUGGUCAAAUUAACAAUCUAGGUACACAUGCAAGACUUUUAAACUAAGAUGGAGGGAGUACAACAUAUACAACACUUACGACAAGUAAAAGCAAUUUGAUGAGUCAUGGUCUAUCAAAGCAAGCUACAUUACUAAUCUAAUCUAUGUUAACAUGUCACACAUGAUUACAAUCUUUUUUGUGUGCAAGUCAAGCCUAUCUAGUCUACAUGUAACAACUUGUAGAACAUUACAAAAUUGAUGUUUGCUAAUAACUUUUAGAACACUACAACACUUGACAUGUAAAAAGAGUUUGAUGAGUCAUGACCUACUAAAGCAAGUUACAUUACUAGUCUCAUCUAUCUUAACAGGUCACACAAGAUUAAAAACUAAGUUCUGUGCAAGCAAUGCUUAUCUAUUUUACACAUAACAACUUGCAUAACAUUACAAACUUAGUUUUAGAAAAUUAGGCAACCUAGAUUAGUGUUUAGUUGUAAAGUGAAUAAGAUGAGUCAUGUGUGUUAUCACACCUUUUUAUGGUGGAAUGAUAGUGCCACCAAACACAACAUACCAAAAUAUGAUUUUGGGAAGCAUCCAAGCACUUUCCAGACAAGCAAAUGCCAAUUGUGAAAGAGAUAAUGCCAUGGCAGCUAUAAAUAGGCCUGUUGCAUGAUGAUCAUCCUUCCUCAUUCAUCAUUCUCAUAAGUAGAGUGCAUCAUUCAAGCCAAGCAAGCACUGGUCAAUACAAAUCCAUCAUGAAGACAUUUCUCAUCAUUUCCCUCCUUGCUAUCGUGGCGACCACCGCCACAACUGCAGUUAGAGUUCCAGUGCCACAAUUGCAGCCGCAAAAUCCAUCUCUGCAACAACCACAAGAGCAAGUUCCAUUGGUGCAACAACAACAAUUUCCAGGGCAGCAACAAACAUUUCCACCACAACAACCAUAUCCGCAGCCGCAACCAUUUCCAGGACAACAACCAUAUCCGCAGCCGCAACUAUUUCCACAGCCGCAACCUUUUCCGCCACAACUUCCAUAUCCGCAGCCGCAACCAUUUCCCCCACAACAACCAUAUCCACAACCGCAAACACAUCAUCUGCAACCACAACAACCAAUUUCGCAGCAACAAGUACAACAACAACAACAACAACAACAACAACAACAACAACAACAACAACAACAACAACAACAACAACAACAACUACUACUACAACAACAAAUCCUUCAACAAAUUCUGCAACAACAACAACUGAUUCCAUGCAGGGAUGUCAUCGUCUUGCAACAACACAACAUAGCGCAUGAAAGCUCACAAGUAUUGCAGCAAAGUAGUUACCAAGUGUUGCAACAAUUAUGUUGUCAGCAGCUGCGGCUGAUCCCCGAGCAGUCGCGGUGCCAAGCCAUCCACAAUGUCGUUCAUGCUAUUAUUCUACAUCAACAACAACAACAACAACAACAACAACAACAACAAGGACAACAUCAACCGUCGAGCCAGGUCUCCUACCAGCAGCCUCAGCAACAAUAUCCAUCAGGCCAGGGCUCCUUCCAGCCAUCUCAGCAAAAUCCACAGGCCCAGGGCUUUGUCCAACCUCAACAUCUGCCCCAACUCGAGGAAAUAAGUAACCUAGCGCUGCAGACGCUACCAGCAAUGUGCAAUGUCUACAUCCCUCCAUAUUGCUCGACCACCAUUGCGCCAUUUGGCAUCUUCGGUACUAACUGAGAAGAGAAGAACUCUAGUACUAGAUAUAUGAAACACCGUGUUCUUAGUCCAUGGUUUGGUCGUUGUACCGUUGAAAAUAUAAGGUGACAUGCACUAUCAUGUAAGAACCCGAACUAUACUAGUUCAAACAUGGGAAUAAAAGACAAACACAUGUCUUGUCUGCAUAUGAUUGUUUAUUUGAGUUCCAUUCCUAUGCCCAUUCACAAGUUCACCCGUAAUUAUAUAUAUUACACAUUAAGUAGAUAUUUAUGUUGCAUUAAUAUGAAGAUAACAAAAUGAGUCUGAAACUUGAAUUAAAUUGAAGUAUUUUCUUGGACUUUCAAAUUGUGUAUUAUUAAAGUAGUAAGGAUUAUCCACAUCCUUGGCUUGCCCUUCAUCAAUUAUUCCCAGAGAAGCUUUCAGUUCAUAAAUCAAUUACAUUGAUUUUUGUGAAUGGUACAUCUCCUCAUCACGAGUAUCAUUACGGCUACUCCAAAUCGCUCACAUAACCGAAGCAUUAAUAGCGCCCUUCUUGCAUCCGGAAAUAUGGAUCGAAGAUAUCACUUGACCAUGUUUCCAGGUGCAACCUUGGGAUUUUUAUGUCAAAAUAUUCUCAAGCAAAAUCCAAGAAUAAACUUGCAUGCUCACGUGUGAUGAGGGCAGAUGAAGUAACAUUUCCUCCCCAUGGCCACACAUAGGGCACACACAUAACCCCAUCACAUGCCUUUUUAGUUAUGCAUAUGAAAGGUAGGAUGUUUUUAAUUACUCUCUACCAAAAUACUCUUAACUUGGCUUGUACCCUAAUAUUUCGUUGCCUUUUCAAUUGUUCUUCCCCAUUAGACAAAGUAGACAGUCCAUCUACCACACCGUACCUUGUGUCCAUCAUUGCUCUGUACAACAAUUGAACAGAACAAAUGUCAUUUCUUUACGAUACCCACGACCAAAUGUCCUUUGCUGGAUUGUUUGGUCGUGGCAUAUUAAGGAUGGCCACCUCAUCUCAUGGGGUAAACACCUAAUGAAUGAAAGGAUUGUUCUAGUCGCCCGUGUUUUUCAUCGAUAAGAUCAUCUACAAGUUGGACCGAAGUUUCUCACAUGCAUCAUAGUGGUUUCAUUAGCGGCGUGCCCUGCACCCAUUUAUCACGUCGUAUCUCUGUAGUAUGUGCAUUCCCAAUUUGUCACAGCAUACCCUCCUUCAAACCUUCUUUCCCUUUCAGAUUAGCACGCCAAGUUAGCUAUGCACUAUGCGGGAACCAGCAUUUGAAAAAAAAGAAUCUCAUUUCAUGGUAUCUUCCAUGAAGGACCCUCGUACAUUAGCUAUCUAGGUAGAAAUAGCCAUGUAUGUUUGGCAAACUUUGCAUAAGUGAAUAGAUCAAGGUCGUGGAACCCCAAGCCUCCAAUUACACACGGCCUCUCUACCAAUAAGAUCUCCAAAGACAUCAAGGAUACAGACAGCCAAAAAAGAAAAUAAAAAGAAAAAAAAUAAAAAAUACCCUGCCAUGGUGAUCAAUCACAAGCAUCAGCAGCACUCUAACCACCACCAAAGACAAUGCCCAGAUUACAAAAAAAAAUUAUCCAAAAACAAUGCCCCCAAGAAGGAAACAAUACACAAGCGUUGUCGUUGCCCGAUCGAAGAUCGUGGGUUUUCACCCUGGAAAAUUUUUGAGUUCACCCAAAAACAAUGCCUUCAACAAGGCCAUUGCCAAGUACAACAAAUAUGGUCGAGACCUUGGGUUUUCACCCUAGGAAUUGAGACUCGAUGCUCGAGGAGUACCAGCAAAAAUGCAGUCCACUAGUGUUGCCGCCCCCACUUGGCAAGGCCACUGUUGCAAGUCACCAAACACCUGGCAUAUAGUUGUCAUCGCAUCCAAUACACCCUUCGGCCGAAGCUUCAAGACCUUGAUCCGUCUCCAGCGUAUCUAUAAUUUUUGAUUGUUCCAUGCUAUUAUAUUAUCUGUUUUGGAUGUUUUAUAUGAUUAUUAUGGUAUUUUAUAUGAUUUUUGGGACUAACCUAUUAAACUAGAGCCCAGUGUCAGUUCCUGUUUUUUCCUUGUUUUAGAGUUUCGUAGAAAAGGAGUACCAAACGGAGUCCAAACGGAAUUAAACUUUUGCGAUGAUUUUUCUUAGACCAGAAGACAUCUAGAGGACUUGGAGUGCAUGUUAGGAAAGCCACGAGGCUGCCACAACGACAGAGGUGCGCCCCCACCCUUGUGGGCCCCUCGUGACUCUACCGACAUAUUUCUUCCGCCUAUAUAUUCUCAAAUAUUCCAAAACAUACUAGGAGAGCCACAAAAACACUUUUCCACCGCCGCAACCUUCUGUACCCGUGAGAUCCAAUGUAGGGGCCUUUCCCGGCAUCCUGUCGGCGGGGGAUUCGAUCACUUAGGGCUUCUACAUCAACACCAUUGCCUCUCCGAUGAAGCGUGAGUAGUUUACCACAGACCUAUGGGUCCAUAGCUAGUAUCUAGAUGGCUUCUUCUCUCUCUUUGAUUCUCAAUACCAUGUUCUCCUCGAUGUUCUUGGAGAUCUAUUCGAUGUAAUACUCUUUUUGCGGUGUGUUUGCCAAGAUCCAAUGAAUUGUGGAUUUAUGAUCAGGUUAUCUAUGAGUAUUAUUUGAAUCUCCUAUGAAUUCUUAUAUGCAUGAUUUGAUAUCUUUGCAAGUCUCUUCGAACUAUCGAUUUGGUUUGGCCAACUAGAUUGGUUUUUCUUGCAAUGGGAGAAGUGCUUAACUUUGGGUUCAAUCUUGCGGUGCUCGAUCCCAGUGACAGAAGGGGAUGAUACGUCCCCAACGUAUCUAUAAUUUUUGAUUGUUCCAUGCUAUUAUAUUAUCAACCUUGGAUGUUUUAUAUGCAUUUAUAUGCUAUUUUAUAUGAUUUUUGGGACUAACCUAUUAACCCAGAGCCCAGUGCUAGUGCCAGUUUCUGUUUUUUCCUUGUUUUAGGGUUUCGAAGAAAAGGAAUAUCAAAUGGAGUCCAAACGGAAUGAAACCUUCAGAAAAUUUAUUUUUGGAAAGAAAGUAAUACGGGAGACUUGGAGUGCACGUCCGGGGAUCAACGAGGAAGCCACGAGGCAGGGGGCGCGCCCACCCCUCUUGGGCGCGCCCUCCACCCUCGUGGGCCCCUCGUGGCUCCCCAAAUGUAUUUCUUCCGCCUAUAUAUAUCCAUAUACCCCAAAACGACCGGGGAGCACAAUAGAUCGGGAGUUUCUCCGCCAGAAGCCUCCGUAGCCACCGAAAGCUAAUCUAGACCCGUUCCGGCACCCUGCCGGAGGGGGAAUCCCUCUCCGGUGGCCAUCUUCAUCAUCCCGGUGCUCUCGAUGACGAGGAGGGAGUAGUUCUCCCUCGGGGCUAAGGGUAUGUACCAGUAGCUAUGUGUUUGAUCUCUCUCUCUCUCUCUCUCUCUCUCUCUCGUGUUCUUGAGGUGAUACGAUCUUGAUGUAUCGCGAGCUUUGCUAUUAGAGUUGGAUCUUAUGUUGCUUCUCCCCCUCUACUCUCUUGUAAUGGAUUGAGUUUCCCCUUCGAAGUUAUCUUAUCGGAUUGAGUCUUUAAAAAUUUGAGAACACUUGAUGUAUGUCUUGCCGCGUGUAUCUGUGGUGACAAUGGGAUAUCACGUGAUUCACUUGAUGUAUGUUUUCGUGAUCAACUUGCGGGUUCCGCCCAUGAACCUAUGCAUAGGGGUUGGCACACGUUUUCGUCGUGAUUCUUUGGUAGAAACUUUGGUGCACUCUUUGAGGUUCUAUGUGUUGGUUGAAUAGAUGAACUUGAGAUUGUGUGAUCCAUAUCAUAUAAUCAUACCCACGGAUACUUCAGGUGACAAUGGAGUAUCUAGGUGACAUUAGGGUUUUGGUUGAUUUGUGUCUUAAGGUGUUAUUCUAGUACGAACUCUAGGGCUGUUUGUGACACUUAUAGGAAUAGCCCAACGGAUUGAUUGGAAAGAAUAACUUUGAGGUGGUUUCGUACCCUACCAUAAUCUCUUCGUUCGUUCUCUGCUAUUAGUGACUUUGGAGUGACUCUUUGUUGCAUGUUGAGGGAUAAUUAUGUGAUCCAAAUAUGUUAUUAUUGUCGAGAGAACUUGCACUAGUGAAAGUAUGAACCCUAGGCCUUGUUUCGACGCAUUGCAAUACCGUUUACGCUCACUUUUAUCAUUAGUUACCUUGCUGUUUUUAUAUUUUCAAAUUACAAAAACCUUUAUCUACCAUCCAUAUACCACUUGUAUCACCAUCUCUUCACCUAUACAAUUUACCAUUGUAUUGGGUGUGUUGGGGACACAAGAGACUCUUUGUUAUUUGGUUGCAGGGUUGCUUGAGAGAGACCAUCUUCAUCCUACGCCUCCUACGGAUUGAUAAACCUUAGGUCAUCCACUUGAGGGAAAUUUGCUACUGUCCUACAAACCUCUGUACUUGGAGGCCCAACAACGUCUACAAGAAGAAGGUUGUGUAGUAGACAUCAAGCUCUUUUCUGGCGCAGUUGCCGGGAAGGUGAGUGCUUGAAGUUAUAUCUUUAGAUCUUGCAAUCGAAUCUUUUUGUUUCUUGUUUUAGCACUAGUUUAGUUUAUAAAAGAAAACUACAAAAAAACGGAAUUGAGUUUACCUCACACGCUUCAUCUUUUUAAUAUCUUUCGUGAGUAUGAUGGAAAGAAAAAUUGUGCCAAAGUGUUAGAAGAAGAAUGCAUUAAACUGUUUGGCAUUAAAUAUUUGAAUGAUGAGCAUUAUUGCAAUGUUGUUAGUAUGAAUUCCUUGAAUAUCCAUAGUACUAAUGAUGAUUGCACUAGUUAUGAUGAAAAUGUCUCAUGUAAACAUGUCAAUUUUUGUGGAGUGCAUUGGGUUUGCAAGUACACACCAAUUAGGGAAGAUAGAUUUUGCAAGAGGCAUAAGUACUUAGAAACUAAAUUGUUGCAAGAAAGGCUAGAUGAAUGUGCUGAAAAUUUAAAUUUUCUUGGCCAUACUUGUGAGCUUUGCAAUGAACAUGGUUAUUUAACCAUCCGAUGCAAAUUGUUUCAUGAUCUAAUCGUUUCCAAAAAUUGUGAUGACUUGAUUUCCCUUGCACAUCAUAAUGAACUUAGUUUGCUUAUGGGUUAUGAGGAAAUGAAAUGUAUAACUAACUAUCUUCCAGUAUUUUCCCAUGAUAAACUUCUUGGAUUUGACCUAGAGGAAAUUUAUAUGUAUUGUGCGGUGAAUUGCAUUGAAAACCCCUAUAUUGUCAAUUACAUAAAGAAAAGAAAACAAAUAGAGGAUGAACAGAAUACUAAUGAAAGGGAAGAGACCUCCCAAUAUCCUCCUAUUAUUUCUUAUGAUGAACCAGGUAACGAGGAGGAGCCUCCUAUUCAACCAAUCUCAUUAAUAAGGAGCUCCAAAAAGAGGAUUGAACCCACACACGAUGUAGUGAAGAAGAAGAAAAGAAAGAGGAAGAGAGGUAAAAAGAUAUCUCUCCCAAAUAAUGCUGCUCCUAUUACUAUUGUGCCUCAUGAAAAUAUAAUUGUGGAAAAUAAUGAUACUUCUUAUGAUCUUGAAAAUCCUUUUGUCACUUGCUUGGAAGAAUAUGAUAAUUGCUAUACUAUUGGUGCUAUCCAUACUAUUAAUGAUGAGAGUGAUUAUGCUUAUGAUAUGAAAAGGCCCAAGCUUUGGGAUGCUAUGUUUGAUGAAGAUGAUGUUUUUGAGAAUAUAUUUGCUACAAUUAAUGUUUGUCCCAAGCUUGGGGAUGCUAUGUUUAAUCAAGAUGAUAUUUUUAGUCUCCCAAGUUUUGAUAUGCAAAUUUAUAAUGAUGAUAGCAUGCCUCCUACUUAUGAUGAUUAUUGUGAUGAUACUUAUGCUAUAAAAAGUAAUGAUUAUAUUUAUAAAACUUGUCAUGAUUAUGGUUACCCCUUUUCUGAACAUUACUCUUUUAAUGUGGAAACAAUUUAUAGUAUUCGAGUUUCUUAUGAUACUCCCACUAUUCCGAAUGAGAAGAAUUUUGCUUGUGUAGAGAGUAAUAAAAUUUCUAUGCUUGUAGAUCAUGAAAAGAAUGCUUUAGGUGCUGGUUAUAUUUUUGAAUUCAUUCAUGAUGCUACUGAAAAUUAUUAUGAGGGAGGAACAUAUGCUUGUAGGAAUUGCAAUAAUAUCAAGUUUCCUCUCUAUGUGCUUAAAGUUUUGAAGUUAUGCUUGUUUUGCCCUCCUAUGCUAGUUGAUUAUUGUUCCCAUAAGUUGUUUGCUCACAAAAUUCCUACACAUAGGAAGUGGGUUAGACUUACAUGUUCUAGUCAUAUGCUUCAUGAUGCUCUCUUUAUGUUUCAAUUCUUAUCUUUUAUGUGAGCAUCAUUGAAAUCGUCAUGCCUAGCUAGGGGCGUUAAACGAUAGCGCUUGUUGAGAGGAAACCCAACUUUAUUUUUGUUCCUUGAUUUUUGCUCCUGUCUAGCAAUAAAUAAUUUAUCUAGCAUCUGUUAUGAUUGAGUUUUUAUGUUAGAACCGUUGGGAAGACUUGGGGAAAGUCUUGGCGAUCAUGCUGUAAAAAAACAGAAACUUUAGCGCUCACGAGAAUUGCUGACAUUUUUUAUUGGAGAGUGCUAUUUGGUUAAUUAUUUUUGCAGAUGAUUAAUAGAUAAAUUCCUCACGUCCAGCAAUUUAUUUUAGAAUUUUUGAGGCUCCAGAAGUUUGCGUUAGUUACAGAUUACUACAGACUGUUCUGUUUUUGACAGAUUCUGUUUUUCGUGUGUUGUUUGCUUAUUUUGAUGAAUCUAUGGCUAGUAAAAUAGUUUAUAAACCAUAGAGAAGUUUUAAUACAGUAGGUUUAACACCAAUAUAAAUAAAUAAUGAGUUCAUUACAGUACCUUUAAGUGGUGUUUUAUUUUCUUUCGCUAACGGAGCUCACGAGUUUUCCAUUUUAAGUUUUGUGUUGUGAAGUUUUCAAGUUUUGGGUAAAGAUUUGAUGGAUUAUGGAAUAAGGAGUGGCAAGAGAAUAAGCUUGGGGAUGCCGAAGGCACCCCAAGGUAAUAUUCAAGGACAACCAAAAGCCUAAGCUUGGGGAUGCCCCGGAAGGCAUCCCCUCUUUCGUCUUCGUUCAUCGGUAACUUUACUUGGAGCUAUAUUUUUAUUCACCACAUGUUACGUGUUUUGCUUGGAGCGUCAUUUUAUUUCAUUUUUUUGCUUGCUGUUUGAAUAAAGUAUCAAGAUAUGAAAUUAUUAAGUGGGAGAGUCUUCACAUAGUUGCAUAAGUAUUCGACUACUCAUUGAUCUUCACUUACAUCUUUCAGAGUAGUUUGUCAUUUUCUCUAGUGCUUCACUUAUAUCUUUUGAGAGCACGGUGGUGGUUUUAUUUUGUAGAAAUAGAUGAACUCUCGUGCUUCACUAAUAUUAUUUUGAGAGUCCUCAGAACAGCAUGGUAAUUUGCUUUGGUUAUGAAUUUAGUCCUAAUAAGAUGGGCAUCCAAGAGGGAUAUAAUAAAAACUUUCAUAUAAGUGCAUUGAAUACUAAGAGAAGUUUGAUACUUGAUGAUUGUUUUGAGAUAUGGAGAUAGUGAUAUUAAAGUUGUGCUAUUUGACACUACUAGGAAAAGGCCUACUAAUGGCGCACCAGUUUUGCCUACUAAUGGCGCAUCACUGGUGCGCCAUUACUAGCACGCCAUUAGUAAUUUUUAGUAAUGGCGCACCACUGGUGCGCCAUUAGUAUCGGCCACGGUGCGCCAUUCGUAUAGGCCACUGGUGCGCCAUUAGUAUAGGCCACGGUGCGCCAUUAGUAUUUUUGGAUUUUGAAGGCGGGAAAAUAGUAGUGGCGCACCGUCUAACCCCCACCGUGCGCCAUUACUAUUUUUGAAUUUUGAAUUUGGAUCUGGAUCGUGAUUUUUUUGCCCAUUUUUUGCUCGUUUUUUUGCUCGUUUUUUGGCACAAUAUUAUUUCAAAUUUUGUUCUUGUUUUUGGAUCUUGUACGUUCUUUUGCCGUGUUCUUUUGCCGGAGAGGAGUUCGCCGGAGAGGAGGAGGAGGAGGUCACCGGAGAGGCGCUCGCCUACAUCGCCGGAGAGGAGGAGGAGGUCGCCGGAGAGGAGUUCACCGAAGCAUCGGAGAGGAGGAAGGAGAAACCAUGAGGGAAUGGGAGGAGAGGAGGGAGGAGAAACCAUGAGGGGAGGGGAGGAGAGGAGGGAGNNNNNNNNNNNNNNNNNNNNNNNNNNNNNNNNNNNNNNNNNNNNNNNNNNNNNNNNNNNNNNNNNNNNNNNNNNNNNNNNNNNNNNNNNNNNNNNNNNNNNNNNNNNNNNNNNNNNNNNNNNNNNNNNNNNNNNNNNNNNNNNNNNNNNNNNNNNNNNNNNNNNNNNNNNNNNNNNNNNNNNNNNNNNNNNNNNNNNNNNNNNNNNNNNNNNNNNNNNNNNNNNNNNNNNNNNNNNNNNNNNNNNNNNNNNNNNNNNNNNNNNNNGGAGAGGAGAAGGAGGUCGCCGGAGAGGAGGAGAUGGAGUGGAGGAGAGGAGGAGAUGGAGUGGAGGAGAGGAGAGGAGGAGAUGGAAUGGAGGAGAGGUGGAGUGGAGGAGGUGCGCCCAGCCAUGUAUACGACAUAGUAAUGGCGCACCGUGGGCAGGUGCGCCAUUACUAACUUUUUUUAUUUUUUGAUUUAUUUUGAAUUUUGAAGGCGGGAAGAUACUAAUGGCGCACCGUGGGCAGGUGCGCCAUUAGUAACUUUUUUUUUAUUUUUGACUAAUUUUGAAUUUUGAAGGCGGGAAGAUACUAAUGGCGCACCGUGGGCAGGUGCGCCAUUAGUAACUUUUUUUGACUAAUUUUGAAUUUUGAAGGUGGGAAGAUACUAAUGGCGCACCACGGGGUGGUGCGCCAUUAGUAACUUUUUUUUAUUUUGUUGACUUAUUUUGAAUUUUGAAGGCGGGAAGAUACUAAUGGCGCACCAUGGGCAGGUGCGCCAUUAGUAAGUUUGAAUUAUUUUUAAUUUUUUUGCCUCUCCAGAUCUUAAAAGCCCCAUAUAUUUUUUUCUGUUAGGUUUUUGAGGAUUUUAAAAAUGUUUAACGGAUUCCCCGGUUAAAUUUGGAUGUAACUUUUCGAGUAGAUGAUUUUUCAUAUAAAAAACUUUUUCAUCCGAGUUAGUAUGCAAAAGUUAUGCCCAUUUUUACAAAUUNNNNNNNNNNNNNNNNNNNNNNNNNNNNNNNNNNNNNNNNNNNNNNNNNNNNNNNNNNNNNNNNNNNNNNNNNNNNNNNNNNNNNNNNNNNNNNNNNNNNNNNNNNNNNNNNNNNNNNNNNNNNNNNNNNNNNNNNNNNNNNNNNNNNNNNNNNNNNNNNNNNNNNNNNNNNNNNNNNNNNNNNNNNNNNNNNNNNNNNNNNNNNNNNNNNNNNNNNNNNNNNNNNNNNNNNNNNNNNNNNNNNNNNNNNNNNNNNNNNNNNNNNNNNNNNNNNNNNNNNNNNNNNNNNNNNNNNNNNNNNNNNNNNNNNNNNNNNNNNNNNNNNNNNNNNNNNNNNNNNNNNNNNNNNNNNNNNNNNNNNNNNNNNNNNNNNNNNNNNNNNNNNNNNNNNNNNNNNNNNNNNNNNNNNNNNNNNNNNNNNNNNNNNNNNNNNNNNNNNNNNNNNNNNNNNNNNNNNNNNNNNNNNNNNNNNNNNNNNNNNNNNNNNNNNNNNNNNNNNNNNNNNNNNNNNNNNNNNNNNNNNNNNNNNNNNNNNNNNNNNNNNNNNNNNNNNNNNNNNNNNNNNNNNNNNNNNNNNNNNNNNNNNNNNNNNNNNNNNNNNNNNNNNNNNNNNNNNNNNNNNNNNNNNNNNNNNNNNNNNNNNNNNNNNNNNNNNNNNNNNNNNNNNNNNNNNNNNAAUUUUUUUACUAAUGGCGCACCGUGGAUGUGGUGCGCCAUUACUAGUUCAACUAGUAAUGGCGCACCACCCCCACGGUGCGCCAUUAGUAGUUUUGAAAAAAAUUAAAUUUUUUUACCAAUGGCGCACCGUGGAUGUGGUGCGCCAUUAGUAUUUGGACACUAAUGGCGUACCAACACAUGGUGCGCCAUUAGUAUAUAGUAAUGGCGCACCACAUGUCUGGUGCGCCAUUAGUGUCAAUUCCAUCUAUAGCCCUUUUCCUAGUAGUGUGAGUAGUUGUGAAUUUGAGAAAUACUUGUGUUGAAGUUUGCAAGUCCCGUAGCAUGCACGUAUGGUAAACGUUAUGUAACAAAUUUGAAACAUGAGGUGUUCUUUGAUUGUCCUCCUUAUGAAUGGCGGUCGGGGACGAGCGAUGGUCUUUUCCUACCAAUCUAUCCCCCUAGGAGCAUGCGUGUAGUGCUUGGUUUUUGAUGACUUGUAGAUUUUUGCAAUAAGUAUAUGAGUUCUUUAUGACUAAUAUUGAGUCCAUGGAUUAUAUGCAUUCUCACCCUUCCAUCAUUGCUAGCCUCUUCGGUACCGUGCAUUGCCCUUUCUCACAUUGAGAGUUGGUGCAAACUUCGCUGGUGCAUCCAAACCCCGUGAUAUGAUACACUCUUUCACACAUAAACCUCCUUAUAUCUUCCUCAAAACAGCCACCAUACCUACCUAUUAUGGCAUUUCCGUAGCCAUUCUGAGAUAUAUUGCCAUGCAACUUUCCACCAUUCUGUUUGUCAUGACACAUUCAUCAUUGUCAUAUUGCUUAGCAUGAUCAUGUAGUUGACAUAGUAUUUGUGGCAAAGCCACCGUUCAUAAUUAUUUCAUACAUGUCACUCUUGGUUCAUUGCAUAUCCCGGUACACCGCCGGAGGCAUUCAUAUAGAGUCAUAUCUUGUUCUAGUAUCGAGUUGUAAAUAAAUAGAAGUGUGAUGAUCAUCAUUAAUAGAGCAUUGUCCCAAAAAAAGGAAGAGAACGACCAAAUAAAAAAGGGAAGCCCCCCACCCAAAAAAGAAAAGAAAGGCCAGAUAAAAAAUAAAAAAAAUAAAAAAAAUAAAAGGGACAAUGCUACUAUCCUUUUUCCACACUUGUGCUUCAAAGUAGCACCAUGAUCUUUAUGAUAGAGAGUCUCUUGUUUUGUCACUUUCAUAUACUAGUGGGAAUUUUUUAUUAUAGAACUUGGCUUGUAUAUUCCAACAAUGGGCCUCCUCAAGUGCCCUAGGUCUUUGUGAGCAAGCAAGUUGGAUGCACACCCACUUAGUUUCUUUUGUUGAGCUUUCAUACAUUUAUGGCUCUAGUGCAUCCGUUGCAUGGCAAUCCCUAAUCCUUGCAUUGACAUCAAUUGAUGGGCAUCUCCCUAGCCCAUUGAUUAGCCGCGUCGAUGUGAGACUUUCGCCUUUUGGUCUUCUCCACAUAACCCCCUCAUUAUAUUCUAUUCCACCCAUAGUGCUAUAUCCAUGGCUCACGCUCAUGUAUUGCGUGAAAGUUGAAAAAAGUUUGAGAUUACUAAAGUAUGAAACAAUUACUUGGCUUGUCAUCGGGGUUGUGCACAAUGAGAGCAUUCUUGUGUGACGAAAAUGGAGCAUGGCCAAACUAUAUGAUUUUGUAGGGAUGAACUUUCUUUGGCCAUGUUAUUUUGAGAAGACAUGAUUGCUUAGUUAGUAUACUUGAAGUAUUAUUAUUUUUAUGUCACUAUUAAACUUUUGUCUUGAAUCUUAUGGAUCUGAAUAUUCUUGCCACAAUAAAGAGAACUACAUGGAUAAAUAUGUUAGGUGGCAUUCUACAUCAAAAAUUCUGUUUUUAUCUUUUAGCUACUCCAGGACGAGCAGGAAUUAAGCUUGGGGAUGCUGAUACGCCUCCAACGUAUCUAUAAUUUUUAUUGUUCCAUGCUAUUAUAUUAUCAACCUUGGAUGUUUUAUAUGCAUCUUUAUGCUAUUUUAUAUCAUUUUUGGGACUAACCUAUUAACCUAGAGCCCAGUGCCAGUUUCUGUUUUUUCCUUGUUCUAGGGUUUCGAAGAAAAGGAAUAUCAAAUGGAGUCCAAACGGAAUGAAACCUUCGGAAAAGUUGUUUUUGGAAAGAAAGCAAUACAGGAGACUUGGAGUGCACGUCAGCGGAUCAACGAGGAAGCCACGAGGCAGGGGGCGCGCCCACCCCCUGGGCGCGCCCUCCACCCUCGUAGGCCCCUCGUGGCUCCCCUAAUGUAUUUCUUCCGCCUGUAUGUACCAAUAUACCCUAAAACGAUCGGGGAGCACAAUAGAUUGGGAGUUCCGCCGCCAGAAGCCUCUGUAGCCACUAAAAGUGAAUCUAGACCCGUUCCGGCACCCUGCCGGAGGGUGAAUCCCUCUCCGGUGGCCAUCUUCAUCAUCCCGGUGCUCUCCAUGACGAGGAGGGAGUAGUUCUCCCUUGGGGCUGAGGGUAUGUACCAGUAGCUAUGUGUUUAAUCUCUCUCUCUCUCUCUCUCGUGUUCUUGAGGUGAUACGAUCUUGAUGUAUCGCGAGCUUUGCUAUUAUAGUUGUAUCUUAUGUUUCUUCUCCUCCUCUACUCUCUUGUAAUGGAUUGAGUUUCCCCUUCGAAGUUAUCUUAUCGGAUUGAGUCUUUAAAGAUUUGAGAACACUUGAUGUAUGUCUUGCCGCGUGUAUCUGUGGUGACAAUGGGAUAUCACGUGAUUCACUUGAUGUAUGUUUUCGUGAUCAACUUGCGGGUUCCGCCCAUGAACCUAUGCAUAGGGGUUGGCACACGUUUUCGUCGUGAUUCUUUGGUAGAAACUUUGGUGCACUCUUUGAGGUUCUAUGUGUUGGUUGAAUAGAUGAACUUGAGAUUGUGUGAUGCAUAUCGUAUAAUCAUACCCACAGAUACUUGAGGUGACAAUGGUUUGCUCACAAAAUCCCUAUGCAUAGGAAGUGGGUUAGACUUAAAUGUUCUAGUCAUAUGCUUCAUGAUGCUCUCUUUAUGUUUCAGUUCUUAUCUUUUAUGUGAGCAUCAUUGAAAUCAUCAUGCCUAGCUAGGGGCGUUAAACGAUAGCGCUUGUUGGGAGGAAACCCAACUUUAUUCUUGUUCCUUGCUUUUUGCUCCUGUUUAGCAAUAAAUAACUUAUCUAGCCUCUGUUAUGAUUGAGUUUUUAUGUUUUAAUUAGUGUUUGUGCCAAGUAGAACCGUUGGGAAGACUUGGGGAAAGUCUUUGCGAUCAUACUGUAAAAAACAGAAACUUCAGCGCUCACGAGAAUUGAUGGGCAUCUCCUUAACCCAUUGAUUAGCCGCGUCGAUGUGAGACUUUCUCCUUUUUGUCUUCUCCACAUAACCCCCUCAUUAUAUUCUAUUCCACCCAUAGUGCUAUAUCCAUGGCUCACGCUCAUGUAUUGCGUGAAAGUUGAAAAAAGUUUGAGAUUACUAAAGUAUGAAACAAUUGUUUGGCUUGUCAUCGGGGUUGUGCAUGAUGAGAGCAUUCUUGUGUGACGAAAAUGGAGCAUGACCAAACUAUAUGAUUUUGUAGGGAUGAACUUUCUUUGGCCAUGUUAUUUUGAGAAGACAUGAUUGCUUAGUUAGUAUGCUUGAAGUAUUAUUAUUUUUAUGUCAAUAUUAAACUUUUUUCUUGAAUCUUAUGUAUUUGAAUAUUCUUGCCGGAAUAAAGAGAACUACAUGGAUAAAUAUGUUAGGUAGCAUUCCACAUCAAAAAUUCGGUUUCAUUAGCGGCGUGCCCUGCACCCAUUUAUCACGUCGUAUCUCUGUAGUAUGCGCAUUCCCAAUUUGUCACGGCAUACCCUCCUUCAAACCUUCUUGCCCUUUCAGAUUAGCACGCCAAGCUAGCUAUGCACUAUGCGGGAACCUGCAUUUGAAAAAAAAGAAUCUCAUUUCAUGGUAUCUUCCAUGAAGGACCCUCGUACAUGAGCUAUCUAGAUAGAAAUAGCCAUGUAUGUUUAGCAAACUUUGCAUAAGUGAAUAGAUCAAGGUCGUGGAACCCCAAGCCUCCAAUUACACACGGCCUCUCUACCAAUAAGAUCUCCAAAGACAUCAAGGAUACAGACAGCCAAAAAAGAAAAUAAAAAGGAAAAAAAUAAAAAAUACCCCACCAUGGUGAUCAAUCACAAGCAUCAGCAGCACUCUAACCACCACCUAAGACAACGCCCAGAUUACAAAAAAAAUUCUCCAAAAGCAAUGCCCCCAAGAAGGAAACAAUACACAAGCGUUGUCGUUGCCCGAUCGAAGAUCGUGGGUUUUCACACUGGAAAAUUUUUGAGUUCACCCAAAAACAAUGCCUUCAACAAGGCCAUUGCCAAGUACAACAAAUAUGGCUGAGACCUUGGGUUUUCACCCUAGGAAUUGAGAGUCGAUGCUCGAGGAGUACCACCAAAAAUGCAGUCCACUAGUGUUGCCGCCCCCACUUGGCGAGGCCGCUGUUGCAAGUCACCAAACACCUGGCAUAUAGUUGUCAUCGCAUCCAAUACACCCUUCGGCCGAAGCUUCAAGACCUUGAUCCGUCUCCAACGUAUCUAUAAUUUUUGAUUGUUCCAUGCUAUUAUAUUAUCUGUUUUGGAUGUUUUAUAUGAGUAGGGCGUUUUGGUGCCCAGGCUCAUCUGCACCCGGUUAGAAAAAAUUCAUAAAAAAUUUAAACAAAUUCAAAAAAUUCCAAAUAAAAUUUGUAUGGUAGACAAUUUGAUGCGUGAGGCCCGCCUCAAAUUUCAAGUCAUUUGGAUAUAUGAGAAGCUCUCAGCAAAAAAGACAAAUCGGACUAAAACAGUACAUGAACAGUAAACAUUUUUACAGACCCUCAAUUUGUCUUUUUUGCUGAGAGCUGCUCAUAUGUUCAAAUGACUUGAAAUUUGGAGCGUGCCUCACGCAUCAAAAUUUCUAUCACACAAAUUUUAUUUGGAAUUUUUCGAAUUUUUCUAGUAUUUGUUUUGAUUUUUUUCGUCGGCACAGGUGCAGAUGAGCUCAGGUGCAGAAAUGGAUUUUCGGUUUUAUUUGCACUAUUAUGCUAUUUUAUAUGAUUUUUGCGACUAACCUAUUAAACUAGAGCCCAGUGCCAGUUCCUGUUUUUUCCUUGUUUUAGAGUUUCACAGAAAAGGAAUACCAAACGGAGUCCAAACGGAAUGAAACUUUUGCGAUGAUGUUUCUUAGACCAGAAGACAUCUAGAGGACUUGGAGUGCACGUUAGGAAAGCCAUGAGGUGGCCACAAUGACGGAGGGCACGCCCCCACCCUUGUGGGCUCCUCGUGACUCUACCGACCUAUUUCGUCCGCAUAUAUAUUCUCAAAUAUUCCAAAACCUACUAGGAGAGCCACAAAAAAACUUUUCCACCGUCGCAACCUUCUGUACCCAUGAGUUCCCAUCUAGGGGCCUUUUCCGGCAUCCCGUCGGAGGGGGAUUCGAUCACGGAGGGCUUCUACAUCAACACCAUUGCCUCUCCGAUGAAGCGUGAGUAGUUUACCACAGACCUAUGAGUCCAUAGCUAGUAUCUAAACGGCUUCUUCUCUCUCUUUGAUUCUCAAUACCAUGUUCUCUUCGAUGUUCUUGGAGAUCUAUUCGUUGUAAUACUCUUUUUGCGGUGUGUUUGCCGAGAUCCGGUGAAUUGUGGAUAUAUGAUCAGGUUAUCUAUGAAUAUUAUUUGAAUCUCCUAUGAAUUCUUAUAUGCAUGAUUUGAUAUAUUUGCAAGUCUCUUCGAACUAUCGAUUUGGUUUGGCCAACUAGAUUGGUUUUUCUUGCAAUGGGAGAAGUGCUUAACUUUGGGUUCAAUCUUGCGGUGCUCGAUCCCAGUGACAGAAGGGGAUGAUACGUCUCCAACGUAUCUAUAAUUUUUGAUUGUUCCAUGCUAUUAUAUUAUCAACCUUGGAUGUUUUAUAUGCAUUUAUAUGCUAUUUUAUAUGAUUUUUGGGACUAACCUAUUAACCUAGAGCCCAGUGCCAGUGCCAGUUUCUGUUUUUUCCUUGUUUUAGGGUUUCAAAGAAAAGGAAUAUCAAACAGAGUCCAAACGGAAUGAAACCUUCGGAAAAGUUAUUUUUGGAAAGAAAGCAAUACGAGAGACUUGGAGUGCACGUCAGGGGAUCAACGAGGAAGCCACGAGGCAGGGGCACGCCCUCCACCCUCGUGGCUCCCCUAAUGUAUUUCUUCCGCCUAUAUAUAUCCAUAUACCCUAAAAUGAUCGGGGAGCACAAUAGAUCGGGAGUUCCGCCACCAGAAGCCUCCGUAGCCACCGAAAGCCAAUCUAGACCCGUUCCGGCACCCUGCCGGAGGAGGAAUCCCUCUUCGGUGUCCAUCUUCAUCAUCCCGGUGCUCUCCAUGACGAGGAGGGAGUAGUUCUCCCUCAGGGCUGAGGGUAUGUACCAGUAGCUAUGUGUUUGAUCUCUCUCUCUCUCUCUCUCUCUCUCUCUCGUGUUCUUGAGGUGAUACGAUCUUGAUGUAUCGCGAGCUUUGCUAUUAGAGUUGGAUCUUAUGUUUCUUCUCCCCCUCUACUCUCUUGUAAUGGAUUGAGUUUCCCCUUCGAAGUUAUCUUAUCGGAUUGAGUCUUUAAAGAUUUGAGAACACAUGAUGUAUGUCUUGCCGUGCGUAUCUGUGGUGACAAUGGGAUAUCACGUGAUUCAUUUGAUGUAUGUUUUGGUGAUCAAGUUGCGGGUUCCACCCAUGAACCUAUGCAUAGGGGUUGGCACACAUUUUCGUCAUGAUUCUCCGGCAGAAACUUUGGGGCACUCUUUGAGGUUCUAUGUGUUGGUUGAAUAGAUGAAUCUGAGAUUGUGUGAUGCAUAUCGGAUAAUCAUACCCACGGAUACUUGAGGUGACAAUGGAGUAUCUAGGUGACAUUAGGGUUUUGGUUGAUUUGUGUCUUAAGGUGUUAUUCUAGUACGAACUCUAGGGCUGUUUGUGACACUUAUAGGAAUAGCCCAAUGGAUUGAUUGGAAAGAAUAACUUGGAGGUGGUUUCGUACCCUACCAUAAUCUCUUCGUUCGUUCUCCGCUAUUAGUGACUUUGGAGUGAUUCUUUGUUGCAUGUUGAGGGAUAGUUAUGUGAUCCAAUUAUGUUAUUAUUGUUGAGAGAACUUGCACUAGUGAAAGUAUGAACCCUAGGUCUUGUUUCAACGCAUUGCAAUACCGUUUACGCUCACUUUUAUCAUUAGUUACCUUGCUGUUUUUAUAUUUUCAGAUUACAAAAACCUUUAUCUACCAUCCAUAUACCACUUGUAUCACCAUCUCUUCGCCGAACUAGUGCACCGAUACAAUUUACCAUUGUAUUGGGUGUGUUGGGGACACAAGAGACUCUUUGUUAUUUGGUUGCAGGGUUGGUUGAGAGAGACCAUCUUCAUCCUACGCCUCCUACAGAUUGAUAAACCUUGGGUCAUCCACUUGAGGAAAAUUUGCUACUGUCCUACAAACCUUUGCACUUGGAGGCCCAACAACGUCUACAAGAAGAAGGUUGUGUAGUAGACAUCAGGGGAACCGACACAUAUUGUAGUGUUUCCAUCGAGGAUAACAAGAUGGGGUUUUCGUCAUAUUGCUUGAGUUUAUCCCGCUACAUCAAGUCAUCUUACUUAAUGCGUUAUCCUGUUCUUAUGAACUUAGUACUCUAGGUGCAGGCAGGAGUCAGUGGACGUGUGGAGUAAUAGUAGUAGAUGCAAGCAGGAGUCCGUCUACUUGAUACAAACAUGAUGCUUAUGUUCAUGAUCAUUGCCUUAGAUAUCGUCAUAAGUUUGCACUUUUCUAUCAAUUGCUCAGCAGUAAUUUGUUCACCCACCGUAAGAUUUUCUAUCUUGAGAGAAGCCUCUAGUGAAACCUAUGGCCCCGGGGUCUACUUUCCAUCAUAUAAGUUUCUGAUCUACAAUUGUGUUGGUUGAAUAGAUGAAUCUGAGAUUGUGUGAUGCAUAUCGUAUAAUCAUACCCACGGAUACUUGAGGUGACAAUGGAGUACCUAGGUGACAUUAGUGUUUUGGUUGAUUUGUGUCUUAAGGUGUUAUUCUAGUACGAACUCUAGGGCUGUUUGUGACACUUAUAGGAAUAGCCCAACGGAUUGAUUGGAAAGAAUAACUUUGAGGUGGUUUCGUACCCUACCAUAAUCUCUUCGUUCGUUCUCCGCUAUUAAUGACUUUGGAGUGACUCUUUGUUGCAUGUUGAGGGAUAGUUAUGUGAUCCAAUUAUGUUAUUAUUGUUGAGAGAACUUGCACUAGUGAAAGUAUGAACCCUAGGCCUUGUUUCAACGCAUUACAAUACCGUUUACGCUCAGUUUUAUCAUUAGUUACCUUGCUGUUUUUAUAUUUUCAGAUUACAAAAACCUUUAUCUACCAUCCAUAUACCACUUGUAUCACCAUCUCUUCGCUGAACUAGUGCACCUAUACAAUUUACCAUUGUAUUGGGUGUGUUGGGGACACAAGAGACUCUUUGUUAUUUGGUUGCAGGGUUGCUUGAGAGAGACCAUCUUCAUCCUACACCUCCUACGGAUUGAUAAACCUUAGGUCAUCCACUUGAGGGAAAUUUGCUACUGUCCUACAAACCUCUGCACUUGGAGGCCCAACAACGUCUACAAGAAGAAGGUUGUGUAGUAGACAUCAGGGGAACCGACACAUAUUGUAUUGUUUCCAUCGAGGAUAACAAGAUGGGGUUUUCGUCAUAUUGCUUGAGUUUACCCCGCUACAUCAAGUCAUCUUACUUAAUGCGUUAUCCUGUUCUUAUGAACUUAAUACUCUAGAUGUAGGCAGGAGUCGGUGGACGUGUGGAGUAAUAGUAGUAGAUGCAAGCAGGAGUCAGUCUAGUUGAUACAAACGUGAUGCUUAUGUUCAUGAUCAUUGCCUUAGAUAUCGUCAUAACUUUGCGCUUUUAUAUCAAUUGCUCAACAGUAAUUUGUACACCCACUGUAAGAUUUUCUAUCUUGAGAGAAGCCUCUAGUGAAACUAUGGCCCCGGGGUCUACUUUCCAUCAUAUAAGUUUCCGAUCUACAAUUUUAGUUUCCUAUCACUUCCUUUGCAAUCUUUUACUUUCCAUUCCAUAAACCAAAAAUACCAAAAAUAUUACUUUACCGAUUAUCCAUCUCUAUCAGAUCUCACCUUGCAAAUAACCAUGAAGGAUUGACAACCCCUUUGUCGCAUUAGGUGUAAGUUGCUAUUUGUUUGAGCAUGUAUUCAGUGACUUGUGCAUUGUCUCCUACUGGAUUGAUACCUUGGUUCUCAAAACUGAGGGAAAUACUUACUCUACUUUGCUGCAUCACCCUUUCCACUUCAAGGGAAAAACCAACGCAAGCUCAAGAGGAAGUAGGAAGAAUUUCUGGCACCGUUGCCGGGGACAUCUACGCCAAGUCAAGACAUACCAAGUACCCAUCAUAAACUCUCAUCUCUUGCAUUAUAUUAUUUGCCAUUCGCCUCUCGUUUUCCUCUCCCCCACUUCUAAAAUGAUUUGCCUUUUCUUCGCCCUCUUCCAUUCAUCUUCUUCGCUUGCUUUUUGUGUGCUCAUGUGUUGGAUUGCUUGCUUUGUCACGAUGUCUCAAGAGAAUACCAAAUUGUGUGACUUUUCCAAUACCAACAACAAUGAUUUUAUUAGUACCCCGAUUGCUCCCGCUACUAAUGCGGAAUCUUGUGAAAUUAAUGCUGCUUUGCUGAGUCUUGUUAUGAAAGAUCAAUUUUCCGGCCUUCCCAAUGAAGAUGCCGCAUCCCAUCUAAACAAUUUCGUUGAUUUGUGUGAUAUGAAAAAGAAAAAAGAUAUGGAUAAUGAUAUUGUUAAAUUGAAGCUAUUUCCGUUGUCACUUCGAGAUCGUGCUAAAACUAGGUUUUCAUCUUUGCCUAAAAAUAGCGAGUGUCAUUUUUUAAUGCGAGUGAUUAGUUUUUAAAGAAUGAUUGGCAUUCUUUCUUAAUUGCUCAUCUACUAAUCGUUUGGCGUGUUUUCUUAUCUUGUCAAAAUCAUAUCCCCUGGCUGUAAAUAUCAAAGAAUAAUUUCAUUUGUUGGGCUUGGACUGUACUGUCCGAGAGUCAGAGUAUAAAUACCAUACGAUUUCAAGAGCAAUAGCAACGGGGCAACCAUUAGUCCAUACUCUACACCAUAUGGCUAGAAAUUUUAUAUUAUAUAUAACAAAGUUGUGACAAAUUGGAAAUGGAAAGCAAUAAAAUGAAUAUGUUGCUAUAGGUUAUUAUUAUUACACAUGCACGUGUACCUUGAUCCUUGCUUGGACAUAGGGUCCGAGGAAGUUACAUUGCUUUGACUACUGAUAUUGUUUGUGUUAAAGUGUGCCACAAUGGCAUAAAUAUUGUCGUUGCAUAAUGGGAAACCACGUCAUAUUUAUCGAUGAUAUGUGGAAAUAGGGAUAAGCUACUUUAUGAAGAUAUAUAAGGAUGUAUGGGUUACGUUGGUGGAAAAUGUUGUUAUGAACACAAAUGCAGUUGCAUUUAUCAUGCAUUCGCGGUGAAGUGCGCUAUUGUGGCAUAUAUCUUCCUUUUUGCCACAGAAGCAUGGUAGAAUUAUAAAGAGAGUAUGUUUCUAUAGACAUUUCAAAAAAGAGAUUUGUGUAUACUCUCAUUAUACUGUAAUCACCAUAGAUUAUUCAGAUUAGAAGUUGUUGUCUCUACCACAUAUUUAGAUUUUCUAUACAUACUAAUAUCUAUAUCGCAUAGAAAAUCAUGUAUUUAUAUGAGAUCUUUGUGGUGCAUGAUAAAGCAAGAUUCCUUUUGUUAUUGCAGCAAUUUAUAAGUAUUUAAAUAUAUACUAAUAGCUAGUUUCUUCUGUGUUAUAAGGACAAAAUAAGACAUGCAUAGACAUGCAAAUACGUAUUAGAAAUCUGCUACUCCAAAUGUAUCAUGUUAAUCCAUGUAAGCCACGAAUCGCGUGCAUAUCAGGCAAAGCAGUUUUUUUUGUAAAAACAAUACAUAAUACUAAUCGAUGGUAUAGACGAUUCAAUACAUAUGCAUCAAGACACCGCUACCUUGCACAUAGUGAUAUAGGAUGGAAUUGAAUCUGAUCCGCUCCUUUCCAACUUAAUCGAGUAAUGUGUACUUCUCAUAAAUAGGCAUGUAUAUAGUAAUUGUUCUUUUGACCAAACGCUUGGUAUAUUAAUGAUCACAUUAUACAUUUAUGUAACAUUUCUUACUUGCGAAAUCUUUUACAAAUUGGAAUAUGGGAAUUUUAUUAAUACCUAGAAGAAAUACUACUAUUUAGAACAUAUAAUAACUGGUACUAUACUUUUUCUUAAUAUUGGUACUAUACUUAAUUGGACCAAAAGUUGCACAUAUUUUUGAUUAGUUCAUUUUUUUCUACAGAUUUAUCGGCGCCAUUAUUUCUCUAUGGUUGACAUGUAUAUGAACUACUGUCUGUAUAUAUUGAUCUGCAUUUAGACAAAUAUCAGGGACAAACACACAUACUGUUUAGCAUGUGUAGUUGUAAAGGUAGAAUACUGAUUUGUAGUAUUAAGAAAAUAUAUUUAUAAGAUCUUACUACAAUGUAUAUGGAUUGAGAAUCAGAGAAAUAACCAAGUGUUGUGCAAGGAUCAUUCUGACUAUCCAGUGGCAGAAUAAAAAUAGGAUGCUAAGCGCGGGGAGAAUACUUAUGUCCUAUAAACCUGCAAAUAAGAAGCAUGCAUUCACCAUAUAUUAGAAUUCCAAAUUUUAUAGUUCCUUUGCAUGUUGGAAAUAAGCUUUGCCCCUUGUGAUAUGGAUUAUCACGUAGAAUGGAAAGAGGAGAAAAAAAUUAUGGCUUAGCAGAAUCAAUGAGGAAAAGCACUACAUGUGAAGUAUCAAAACGUUGUGAUAGCACGAACCCCACCAGAUUUGAACUCGUGCUCUUAGUAUGACAUGAAAAGAGGGGCUACUCUCCAAUCGAAGUGAAAAUAGUAGAACUUUGAACUUAUAUAUAUAUACGCUUAAAAAUUCUAAAAGCAAAUGGUCAAAAACUCAGAAUAGCUUGAGCGGGCACUACUUGCUAACUCAAGCACAUGGCAACACAGUAUUAAGUCAAGAUUUUGCAACCGAGAGGGAAAGUCAAAUAAAUAAAUAAAUAAAUAAGGAUUCUCAUCAAACCUGUGAAUCCAAGCUAGUAUCUAACUAUUGUAUUGCUCAUAGUUUUGCAUACACCAUGGAACGUACGAUACAUAGCAUGUUGAAAAAUUAUAACCAAUUAAAUAGAAGAUAAAGGCAUAGUGCUAGGAGAUCAUCUCUCAGAGCAAUCAUCGCUGACAUAAACCUUCGGUUAAAUCACAUGUCUAAUUAGAACCUAGAGGUCUUUUACUUUUCCUUUAUAUGGAACCUUUAUUUUGACCUUUGGGGACUAUAGCCGCCUCAAAUAUGCAACUUUUUUUCGAAAUUUUAGUAUAGUGUAGUUGGAGCUUUUCCUGGUGUUCCAUAAAAAUAGCAAAGGGCAUAUUUCCUUUAGCCUACUUAUAUAUAAAAAAACGGCGUUCCUUAAUUAUUAUUCAAACUGAAAACACAUGCUAUCUUUAAAAGCAAAGAUGUACCUUAUGUGAGAAUCAUGCAUGUGUUAUUUCUAAUUAGUUAGGCAAUAAAAUAAUAGCAUCGUAUCAUUAGAUAAAUUAUUUUUCAACUGAAUCAGACAUGUGGGGUUUGACAAAAUUGAAAGUAUAUGCGAAGAUGUUAAGGAGAAAAUGUCAAUAUAAAAAAACUGUUUCUAUAGGCAGAUGUGAAUUACGUACAAAAAUAGGUCUGUUCGCUUUACAAAAGUUCUGGUGAAACCAAACUCCUGAGUUACUACAUGUAGAGCUCAAAAAUACCAGAUAUAGAGUAUAAAAUGAGAAUGGAAUACUAAGUGCAUCUUACAGAAAUUAUAAGAUCUUUUUAAUAGCUUCCUCAAUAUUACAUAGCAUACACAACAAUGAGGCAUCAAAUGAAUCAGUAUUCUAAAUAUGUAAAGAAGAAUAAGAAACACAAAGUAGCUGCUGCUCGAGCAACUACUACAUGCAAAUACAAUGCUUGAGAAUUUUCAAGCGUUCUGUUCGCUUUUUACCCUGAUUCAGCAUGGAUUAAAAAACCACAGUACUUAAUUCCGUGUAUCCUAAAUUCAAGCGUCAUGUUCGACGAAUUUCACCAUAGAUUUACAUGCCUGUGGACUUGUAGAACCAACAGCGCACUCUACAACAUCCGACAGAUAAAUCGAUCUGCUUUCCGUUCGCUGUAGGUUGUUCAUUGGGAAGCAGCACGAUCCACUUUAGACCACCAUCAGUAGACCUGAUCCUACGCUGCAUCGCAUUGUUAUAUUGCAGUCAGCUCGGAACUUAUGUCAAGGAGAAUAGUUAGACGAUGGAUUUGAUAUUUGGCCUUUUUGAGAUCUGAAACGUGUGUGUACUUCGUAGCUGUCAGCAGGUGGAAGGCCGUCCUGACAAAGAGGCAUAUUGCAUCCUAAAUUCAAGCACCAUGUUCGAAAAAAAAUCAGUAUGGGUUUACUUGCCUGUGGACUUGUAGAACCAACAUCAAACCCGACAAAAUCGGACAGAUAAAUCGAUCUGCUUUCCGUUCGUAGUAGGUUCUCCAAUGGGCAGCAGCACGAUCCACUUUAGACCACCUGAUCCUACGCUGCAUCUUGCAGUCAGCUCCGAACUUAACCCAGAAGAAUAGUUAGACGAUGGAUUUGAUAGUUGGCCUUUUUUUAGAUCAGAAUUGUAGGUGCAGGGUGGCUCGGCGAUCCUGACAAAGAUGAGAUUGAUCGGGGUCGCUAAUAAUCCCUUGUAGCACCUGCCGGGAUCCUUUGUGGUUCGCCGAGUGCACUUGAUGGCGAUGGGAUCAAGGGAAGAGAAGAAUUGAAGGAGGUGGGGUCGAGGGACAUGUUUUUCCUAUUUUAGGGGGAGAUAUCUUUCCUUUCUGUUUUUGCGUGAUUGUUUUCGUUUUUCAAUCGGCCGAAGAUUUUAUUGACAGAUCUAUUUUCUUUUUCUUUUCAUCACGGGAUUUUACAUGAAAGGAGGCUAUCUUUUUUUAGCAUGGAAGGAAGAUAUCUUUUUUAAAGGAACCGAUGGAUGCUUUGUUUGUUUGUUAAGCCAAUCUUGACGGUGUCGCGUUCCUUUAUUUUUUACGGGGCCAUAUAUGCUACCAUUGAUUGCAAUUAGUUUUUUUCUCUUGGAGAUGGAUUAUUUGUUUGUUGAACGUGUCUGCCUUAAUUAUGGAUGGACCAUCUGUGUAACGCAUGUUUACUUUUUAUCUUGGACGUUAAUUCUAUAAUCUAUCGGUGUAAUUAAUUUUGAUGAUGUGGAUUAAUGAGAAGGCCUUAAAAGGUGCCUCCAAUUAGUAAAUAUAUAAGAUAUAAGAUAUUGAUUCAUGGAAUAAGUUUAAGGAUGAAUUUAUUUCCAAGUAUUUUCCUCCCGCUAAGAUCAUCUCUCUUAGGAACGACAUUAUGAAUUUUAACCAACUUGAUCAUGAACAUGUUGCACAAUCUCCGUAGAGGAUGAAAUUGAUGAUAUGAAAUUGCCCUACACAUGGUUUGAAUAUGUGGAUGAUUAUACAAUUUUUUAUGCCGGAUUGAAUUUUGCUUCUAGAAAUCUUUUAGAUUCGGCCGUGGGAGGUACUUUUAUGGAAAUUACUUUAGGAGAAGCUACUAAACUCCUAGAUAAUAUUACGGUUAAUUAUUCUCAAUGGUAUACUGAAAGAUCUUCCACUAGUAAAAAAGUGCAUGCGAUUGAUGAGUUUAAUGUUUUGAGUGGAAAGAUGGAUGACCUUAUGAAAUUAUAUGCUAGCAAGAGUGCUUCUGUUGAUCCUAAUGAUAUGCCUUUGUCUACUUUGAUUGAGAAUAAUAAUGAAUCUAUGUAUGUGAAUUUUGUUGGUAGGAACAAUUUUGGUAAUAACGCUUAUGGAGGUAAUUUUAAUCCUAGACUGCUUCCUAAUAAUUCCCCUAAUAAUUAUGGCAAUUCCUACAACAAUUCUUCACUGGUAGAAAAAGGGCCUGUAGUCCCGGUUCGUAAGGGCCUUUAGUCCCGGUUCCUGAACCGGGACUAAAGUGUCGGUACUAAUACCUCCCACCUUUAGUCCCGGUUCAAUCCAGAACCGGGACUAAAGCCCAUCCACGUGGGCAGUGUGCAGAGCCCAGUCAGGAGACCCUUUGGUCCCGGUUGGUGGCACCAACCGGGACCAAUAGGCAUCCACGCGUCAGCAUUUCUGUGNNNNNNNNNNNNNNNNNNNNNNNNNNNNNNNNNNNNNNNNNNNNNNNNNNNNNNNNNNNNNNNNNNNNNNNNNNNNNNNNNNNNNNNNNNNNNNNNNNNNNNNNNNNNNNNNNNNNNNNNNNNNNNNNNNNNNNNNNNNNNNNNNNNNNNNNNCCGGUUCAAUCCAGAACCGGGACUAAAGCCCAUCCACGUGGGCAGUGCGCAGAGCCCAGUCAGGAGACCCUUUGGUCCCGGUUGGUGGCACCAACCGGGACCAAUAGGCAUCCACGCGUCAGCAUUUCUGUGGCUAGGGUUUUUAUUUUUAUUUUUUGAAAGGGGGGGGGGGUUGGGGGUUUUGGGGGGUUAAUUUAGGUGUUUCAUAUAUUGUGUUAGCUAGCUAUAAUUAAUAUAGAGAAGUGUCCUCUCUUAUGUCCGUGCUUGGUCGACGCUACGUACUAUACAUACGUAUAGAGAGGACUAGACACGCUGGCUAGCUAGUAAAGCAAACGAAGGAAACAGAAGAUCGUCAUGAACAUAUAUGCAUACAGAGAGAAGUGAUAUCGACCACCUCUCCUUCUCCGAGAGAUUGGUCGAACAACAAGUUCUCGUAUAUCUAUCUGACAGUACCGGCUACAUAUAUACAGUAAUUAUCUCUUACAAAUAUAAUCAUACGGACUCAGGUUUAACAUAGAAUUCUCCGUCUUCAGGGAUCACGUGGUCAAAAAAGAAUGCCGCCAAUUCCUCUUGAAUUGCUCGCAUGCGAGCUGGUGCUAGGAGUUCAUCCCGCUUCCGAAACAUCUAAUUUGAAGAAGGGGGUCAAUACAUAUAUAUAUAUAUAUGAAUGAAUGAAACUCAACACAAAUGAUGGUAAUAAAAUAAAAUUGUGAAUAUUGUUAUUUACGUACUUCAUAUUGUUCGUUAGAGUACCCGCCCCGCUCACACGUCGUGUGACGGAUGGACUCGCAGAUGUAGUAUCCACAGAAAUCAUUCCCUUGUUCCUGCCACAACCACUUUACAAGAAAUAGAGGUCAAUCAAACUGAUAAGCAAGAAUGCUAAAUGGUAUUGAUGAAACUAGCGCUUGAAUCACUAGGAGAUGCGCGGAACAUGCUACUAUAGUACUUACUUUCGGGUGUCUAAAUUCUAGCUCCUUCGGCAGUCCCGGAACUUUUUUGGUGAAUUUUCUCCAAACCAUGCCGGACAAAGAAAACAAUUACUUGAUAUCAGGAAAUGAACAAAGUUGCUGAUAUGGUGGAUAAUGAUCGAUUUAACUUACUUCUUGAGGAUUUCAGUCAUGUCUGCAUAGUCCUGCGGAUCUUUUCGUUUUGAGUCUAAGAAGGUUACUAGUCCCUGCUCAAGCUUAAUCUCUAGGAGAAUAUAGUGGAAACUGCACACGCAUGCAUAACUUAUGAAUUACAUUACUAUAACCUUGAGUAAUAUAUAAGGGAAACCGAAUACGCACAAGACAGUAGCACUCACUUGAAGUUGUAAGGAAAGAGUAUUAUAUCUUUGUUUUGAUUUAUUACGAACGAUUGUAGAAAGUUGGCCUCGGUAGCUGUGACAUGAAGUUUAACCUGAAUUGCAUCUAUGAGAUAUGUGUUAAUGAACCCAAUAUCACCGACUUGUCUUUUCUUCAAUUCGACGAUCUUCAAUCUGCAUAAUAUAGUGAGGAUGAUUAUAAAUACAUGCAAUGAAAGAGCUAAGCUAUAUAGAGAAACUUAAUGACAGAAGUAGUACUACUUACAGACAGUAGCAGGCGACCGUUGUUUUAUCGAGGGCCAAUUGAUUGAAAAACUGAUAGAACUCCUCAAAUGGAACAGGCAACAGAUCAAUUCCAACGAGGUCAUGCUCCUUUUUAACUCUCACAUACAAAGUACUCCUCCCCCAGAGUCUCUGCAGAUUUUCAAGUACCAAUCAUGCAAUCUUCGCAUCAUCGUUGAUAGAGAUCUUUCAUCUUUGACGAGAGGCUUCCCGUACUCGUAUCUUUGCAUCUGCAUGUCCAUGGGUUCAUAAUGUACUUCGUCGGGUAGGUAAUCUGCAAGAUUAUUAUAACCGGGCACCAUCCUCGGAUCAUUAGCGACUUUGUGGCUAGGCACCUUGAGCGAGGGGCAUGAUUGCUUCGCUUGUUUGCCGAGCUGGGCAAUUUGUUUCCCAGCUCGUCGUUUUUUCAGCCUUUCAUCACUGACAGUAGUUCCCGACCGCUCCGCUUCGGCAAAUUCCUUUCCAAUAAUGCGGUCAUAGUUUCCUUUCGGCGGAUCAGACUUUGGUGGUUUUGUCAGGGCAGCCAGAGUGCGCUUCACUUUCACCCCAUCUACCUUCUCCUCUGGAGGUGGAUGUUUCUUUGCUUUCACCCCUUCAAAGAAUUUCCUCACUUCUUCUCACGCGAUCUCGGCGUUCUCCUCCUGGGUCCUCUCGUAUGGUAACUUCUCUGGAGUCUUCAGAGAAGGACCGAAUCUGUAUGUCCUCCCGCCUCUGGUUGUACUGCUAGACGCCGACCGAGCAAACGAAGCGGUUGUCUUCUUUACUUGCUUAAGAGGCGGAGGAGAAGGACUACGACCCGCCGGAGCAGCUGGAGCGGCGGCAGGUCUCUUCUGCCCUUGCUGACGAGGCGGAGAAGGAGGAGGUUGGCUGCUCGGGCGCGUCGGCGCAGGCGGAGACGGAGGCGGAGUGCCGCCACGCGCCGGAGAAGGAGCCGGCCGAGGGCCCUGAUCCUCACUCGCCGGAGGAGGAGGUGGUGGAGGAGGCGGAGUGCCCUGACUCGCCGGAGGAGGAGGAGGAGGCGGAGGCGUCCAGUUCGGAAGGUUGAUGAGGUCCUUCCGCCAUAGGCAUGGAGUCUUCAGAGCAGACCCCAGCCGAGUCUCCCCUUCACCGGUAGGGUGGUCAAGCUGGAGGUCCUCAAAUCCCUCCGUUAUCUCAUCCACCAUCACCCUAGCAUAUCCUUCUGGAAUCGGCAUGCAGUGAAAAGUUGCGCCGGGUUCAGUAGGAUAAACAGAGCCAACAGCCGCCUUGACCUUCAAAUUCAUCCAUUGCGUCAUAAGGUGGCAAUUUUGAGACUCCGUUAUAGCAUCCACAGGAUAGCUGGCAGGAGCCGUCAAGGCAUGCUGCAGCUGAAGCUGCUCGGUGGAAGCCACGCUGCUUCUGCGCUGAGAUGGCGGGGUAGCUUCGGGGGAGGCUUCGGCAGUACGUUUGUUGCGAUUUGCUUCUCGUUCCUCUAUCGCUUGUACCCUUGCGUGCAGCGCCUGCAGUUCGGUCUGCUGCACUUUUUUCCUCCUCUCAUGGGAUUUGUAACCGCCUGCGUCCGGAAACCCAACCUUCCACGGAACGGAGCCUGGCGUGCCUCGUGUCCGUCCAGGGUGCUCAGGAUUCCCGAGGGCCAUUGUGAGCUCGUUGUGCUCUCUGUCUGGAAAGAACGUCCCUUCCUGCGCUGCGUCGAUAUAGUGCUUAAGCUUACUGACUGGUAUGUCCAUUUGUUCGUUCGUCCAAAUGCAGUUCCCUAUUUCAGGGUCCAAGGUUCCGCCACCCCCGAAGAACCAAGUCCGGCAACGGUCUGGCCAGUUAUUUGUCUCUGGUCCGAUCCCUUUAUGAACCAGAUCAUUCUCAACCAUGGACCACUUAGGCCGGGCUACGAGGUAGCCACCUGACCCCGUGCGAUGGUGAAGCUUCUUCUUCGCGGCAUUCUGCUUGUUUGUCGCCGACAUCUUCUUACUCUUUUCCGAUGUCUUGUAGGCCACAAAUGCGGGCCAGUGAUCUCUGAUCUUCUCAUAUCUUCCCUUGAAUUCUGGUGUCUCUUUUUUAUCGACAAACCUAUUCAGCUCUUUCUUCCACCUCCUGAAUAGAUCUGCCAUCCUCUUCAGAGAAAAAGACUUGAUUAAUUUCUCUUUAAUUGGGUUCUCUGGAUUAUCCUCUGGCGGUAGGGUGAAAUUUGACUUCAGCUCAGUCCAAAGAUCAUUUUUCUGCAUAUCAUUGACAUAAGACACCUCAGGGUCUUCUGUAGCCGGCUUAAACCAUUGCUGGAUGCUUAUCGGGAUCUUGUCCCUAACCAGAACCCCGCACUGAGCAACAAAUGCCCUCUUUGUCCGGAGGGGUUCAAUAGGUUGGCCGUCGGGCGCGAUUGCUGUGAUCUCAAGCUUUUCAUCCGAGCUCAACUUUUUCUUCGGGCCUCGUCUCUUUACCGAAGUUGUGCUCGAUCCGGAGGGCUAGAAAAAAGAACAAAGACUUAAUUAAUAUGUGUACAUACCAAAACAAUGAAUGCAUCAAUCAGCUAGUCAGCAUAGGCUUAACUAAUAUAUAUACCUGGCCGGACUCGGUUCGGUCACCGGAGCCGUCAUCACGGUCUCCUUCUUGCACCGGCAUUGGGUCACCGGCGCCGUCCUCAUGUUCUUCUUCUUGCACCGGCAUUAGGUCACCGUAGCCAGCUUGUUCACCCUCUCCUUCCGGACCAUCGAUGAUAUCGUUGAGAUAGUACGAGACGGCAUCACUUCCUUGUGCGAUUAUCUCCCUCAACAACGCUUCUUUUGUUGCUUCGUCUAGGGCGGUGUCCAUAGUUUCUACAAAUAUUUACAACAUGGCAAUUAUUAUUCAAACAUGACAGAUGGAUAUAUUAGUGCCAAACGUAGAACUACCUACCUAAUCAUAGUAAGCUAUCGGGAGGGGGUAUAUAUCGACAACGACGACACUACAUCUAUAUAUGUCCCUCGAUGACCCUCGUUCCUGAUAAAAAAAGAGGAAGAAGAAGAAAAAAAAGAGGAGAAGAAAGAAUAGAGGAGAAGAACUCCUCUAUUCUUUCUUCUCCUCUUUUUUCUUCUUCUUCCUCUUCUUUUUUUAUCCUCUUCUUCCUCUCAUGUUCGAGAGGAUCGCCUUGGGGUCGGGAGGUUGCCUAGUGUCAAAGGAUUCAACAAAACCAUGUCUUCAUCAUUAGGCGAAAGUAACAUGUGCAUGAUGGUAGGAAGCUCUUCAAAGUUGUUCUGGAACGGAGUCCCAGAUAGGAUAAUUCGCUUUUUGGUACAAAGUUCAGCAAGAGCCUUCCGAAUAUCGCUAUUUGGAAGGCCUUUGCUGAAUUCGUACCAAAAGGCGGAUUAUUCUAUCCGGGACUCCAUUCCAGAACAACUUUGCAGAACUUCAUACCAACAUGCCCUGGUUACUUCCGGCUAAUGAUGAAGGCAUGGAUUUCUUCAAUACUUUGACACUAGGAAACCUCUCUCGACCCCUCGGCGAUUCUUGACCCCUCGAACCCUCAACGACCCUGAAACCCUCGACGCUUGACCCCUUAACGACCCUCGACCCUCUACCCUAGUUCCCGACCCUCGACCAAUAGAGGAGAAGAAGAAAGGAAUAGCUAGAGGAGAAGAUCGAAGAAAAAAAAGAAGAAACAAAAGAGGAGAAGAAGAAAGGAAUAGUGGAGAAGAAGAGAAAAUAGAAUAUAUAUUCUAUUUUCUCUUCUUCUCCACUAUUCCUUUCUUCUUCUCCUCUUCUUUUUCUUCUGUUUUCUUCUUCUUAUUUAUUUCUCCUCUUCUUUUCGGUAGAGGAAACCCUAAAUAGCUAGCAAGUAUCGUGGGUGUGAGAUACAUGUGGCCUUCGGUGUCGGACACUACAUCCACGUCCCACAAGUGACGUGGGCGUCGAAACCCGCGCCACUUGUGGGAUGUGGAUGUAGUGUCCGACACCGACGGUACAUGUAUCUCACACCGACGAUACUUUCUAUUUAGGGUUUCUCCUCUACCACUCGGCGGCCCUCUCGACGACCCUCGUUCCCGAUAAUAUAAAGAGGAAGAAGAAGAAGAAAAAAGAAGAGAAGAAAGAAUAGAGGAGACGAACCCUCGAACCCUCGAACCCUAGACGACCCUCUUCUUCCUCUCAUGUUCGAGAGGAUCGCCGAGGGGUCGGGAGGUUGCCUAGUGUCAAAGGAAACCCUAAAUAGCUAGCAAGUGUCAUGGGUGUGAGAUACAUGUGGCCUUCGGUGUCGGACACUACAUCCACGUCCCACAAGUGACGUGGGCGUCGAAGCCCGCGCCACUUGUGGGAUGUGGAUGUAAUGUCCGACACCGACGGUACAUGUAUCUCACACCGACGAUACUUUCUAUUUAGGGUUUCUCCUCUACCACUCGGCGGCCCUCUCGACGACCCUCGUUCCCGAUAAAAUAAAGAGGAAGAAGAAGAAGAAAAAAGAAGAGAAGAAAGAAUAGAGGAGAAGUCUCCUCUAUUCUUUCCUCGCCUCUCUCAUGAAUGUCCGGCGUUCUCGACCCCCCCCCCUCCCCACGUGUCGAAGAAAAAAAAGAAGAAAAAAAAGAGGAGAAGAAGAAAGGAAUAGAGGAGAAAAGAGAAAAAUAGAAUAUUCNNNNNNNNNNNNNNNNNNNNNNNNNNNNNNNNNNNNNNNNNNNNNNNNNNNNNNNNNNNNNNNNNNNNNNNNNNNNNNNNNNNNNNNNNNNNNNNNNNNNNNNNNNNNNNNNNNNNNNNNNNNNNNNNNNNNNNNNNNNNNNNNNNNNNNNNNNNNNNNNNNNNNNNNNNNNNNNNNNNNNNNNNNNNNNNNNNNNNNNNNNNNNNNNNNNNNNNNNNNNNNNNNNNNNNNNNNNNNNNNNNNNNNNNNNNNNNNNNNNNNNNNNNNNNNNNNNNNNNNNNNNNNNNNNNNNNNNNNNNNNNNNNNNNNNNNNNNNNNNNNNNNNNNNNNNNNNNNNNNNNNNNNNNNNNNNNNNNNNNNNNNNNNNNNNNNNNNNNNNNNNNNNNNNNNNNNNNNNNNNNNNNNNNNNNNNNNNNNNNNNNNNNNNNNNNNNNNNNNNNNNNNNNNNNNNNNNNNNNNNNNNNNNNNNNNNNNNNNNNNNNNNNNNNNNNNNNNNNNNNNNNNNNNNNNNNNNNNNNNNNNNNNNNNNNNNNNNNNNNNNNNNNNNNNNNNNNNNNNNNNNNNNNNNNNNNNNNNNNNNNNNNNNNNNNNNNNNNNNNNNNNNNNNNNNNNNNNNNNNNNNNNNNNNNNNNNNNNNNNNNNNNNNNNNNNNNNNNNNNNNNNNNNNNNNNNNNNNNNNNNNNNNNNNNNNNNNNNNGGGACUAAAGGGGGGCAAUGGUCACGGUUGGUGCCACGAACCGUGACCAAUGCCACCUUUAGUCCCGGUUGGUGCCACCAACCGGGACCAAUGCCCUUGUGCGCCCCGCGCCCAGAAGUUUAGUCCCACAUCGCUAGCUGAAGGGCGCCGAUACUGGUUUAUAAGCGCUGCUCUGCCUCCCCUUUCGAGCUCCUCUCAAAUGCAGGCUUUCGGGCCUAAACUGCUACUGCCUGUGGGCCUAUUGGGCCUCUGCGGGCCUGAAUCCUGGCCCAUGUAGGGUUUCUAGUCGUAUUCAGGCCGUGGAGGCCCAGUAGGAGGCAUUUUUUUUGGUUUUUUCUUUUUUGUUUCUAUAUUUUUUUGGUUUUUUAUUUUUUUUAUUUCUACUUACAACUAAAUACUUACAGUUUUUUAGUGAUUUCUUUUUGCUUUUAGGUCACAAAAAUUAUAAACUUUCUAUUAGUGCCAUUAGUUUUAAAUUUUAAAUAGUUUAAAUUUGAAUUUUUAAAAAUUUGUGUGAAUCACUAGUUUAUGAAUAACUUUACUAUAAAGUUAGAAUUUGUUUUCUAUUUAUUUUUUAUUUCUACUUACAACUAAAUACUUACAGUUUUUUAGUGAUUUGUUUUUGCUUUUAGGUCACAAAAAUUAUAAACUUUCUGUUAGUGCCUUUAGUUUUAAAUUUUAAAUAGUUUAAAUUUGAAUUUUUAAAAAUUUGUGUGAAUCACUAGUUUAUGAAUUUUUUUCUUCUUUGCUAUUUAUUUUUGAUUUAUACUUACAAUUAAAUACUUAUAGUUUGCUUUUAGGUCACACAAAUUAUAUUCUUUUUGCUAUUGAAGAAUAUUAUAGUUUUAUUUUAGUUGAUCAUAACAUAAUAUUUUAAUUGAUUGUUUUUAUUUUCAUAAAAGUUUUGUAGUUCAUUCUGUUUGCUAUUAAUUCAUUCUUUGAGCUAAAUGACUCUGAAAUUGGAAAGCAUUUCAAAAUGAACUCUGAAAAGGUUGAAAGUUGGCAUGGUAUCAUCAUUUCACCCACAUAGCAUGUUCCAAAAAGUAGAGAGGGUUACGACAAAAACUUGAUGCACUUCGUGUACAAAAUGGACAAUCACUUUCGAAGUAUCAAAGUUUCAAACCAUAAGACAUGAAAGCAUUUCGAAUGAACUCUGAAAAAGUUGAAAGUUGGGAUGCAUGGUAUCAUAAUUUCACCCACAUAGCAUUUUCUUAUUGCGGGAGAAAGUCUUCACUUUUUCUUCGCUUGUGUCAUUUGCUUAUUGCGCCGUAACCAUGGAUAAUCUUCAUUGUUUUUAAGGAUGCUUGGGUCAGCCUUGACAUUGAAGGGAGGAAUUUCAUGAAACUUUUCAUAAUCUUCAGACAUGUCUGUCUUGCCGUCCACUCCCAGGAUGUCCCUUUUUCCUGAAAGAACUAUGUGGCGCUUUGGCUCAUCGUAUGAUGUAUUCGCUUCCUUAUCUUUUCUUUUUCUCGGUUUAGUAGACAUGUCCUUCACAUAGAUAACCUGUGCCACAUCAUUGGCUAGGACGAACGGUUCGUCAGUGUACCCAAGAUUUUUCAGAUCCACUGUUGUCAUUCCGUACUGUGGGUCUACUUGUACCCCACCGCCAAACAGAAUGACCCAUUUGCACUUAAACAAAGGGACCUUAAAAUCAGGUCCGUAGUCAAGUUCCCAUAUGUCCACUAUGUAACCAUAAUAUGUGUCCUUUCCUCUCUCGGUUGCUGCAUCAAAGCGGACACCGCUGUUUUGGUUGGUGCUCUUUUGAUCUUGGGCGAUCGUGUAAAAUGUAUUCCCAUUUAUCUCGUAUCCUUUGUAAGUCAAUACAGUCAAAGAUGGUCCCCUGGACAACAAGUACAACUCAUCACAAACAGUGUUGUCACCUCUGAGACGUGUUUCCAACCAACUCCUGAAAGUCCUGAUGUGUUCACAUGUAAUCCAGUCGUCGCAUUGCUCCGGGUGUUUGGAGCGCAGACUGUUCUUGUGUUCAUCGACAUACGGGGUCCCCAAGGUAGAGUUCUGUAGAACUGUGUAGUGUGCUUGAGACCAAGAAUAUCCGUCCCUGCAUAUUAUUGAGUCUCUUCCAAGAGUGCCUUUUCCAGUCAGUCUCCCCUCAUACCGCGAUUUAGGGAGACCUAUCUUGUUAAGGCCAGGAAUGAAGUCAACACAAAACCCGAUAACAUCCUCUGUUUGAUGGCCCAUGGAGAUGCUUCCUUCUGGCCUAGCGCGGUUACGGACAUAUUUCUUUAGGACUCCCAUGAACCUCUCAAAGGGGAACAUAUUGUGUAGAAAUACGGGCCCCAGGAUGACAAUCUCGUCGACUAGAUGAACUAGGACGUGCGUCAUGAUAUUGAAGAAGGAUUGUGGGAACACCAGCUCGAAACUGACAAGACAUUGCGCCACAUCACUCCUUAGCCUUGGUACCAUUUCUGGAUCGAUCACCUUCUAAGAGAUUGCAUUGAGGAAUGCACAUAGCUUCACAAUGGCUAAUCGGACGUUUUCCGGUAAAAGCCCCCUCAAUGCAACCAGAAGCAGUUGCGUCAUAAUCACGUGGCAGUCAUGAGACUUUAGGUUCUGAAACUUUUUCUCUGGCAUAUUUAUUAUUCCCUUUAUAUUCGAUGAGAAGCCAGUCAUGACCUUCAUACUAAGCAGGCAUUCAAAGAAGAUUUCUUUCUCUUCUUUCGUAAGAGUGUAGCUGGCAGGACCUUUAUACUGCUUCGGAGGCAUGUCAUCUUUUUUGUGCAAACGUUGCAGGUCCUCCCAUGCCUCCGGCGUAUCUUUUGUCUUCCCAUACACGCCCAAGAAGCCUAGCAGGUUCACGCAAAGGUUCUUCGUCACGUGCAUCACGUUGAUUGAGGAGCGGACCUCUAGGUCUUUCCAGUAGGGUAGGUCCCAAAAUAUAGAUUUCUUCUUCCACAUGGGUGUGUGUCCCUCAGCGUCAUUCGGAACAGCUAGUCCACCGGGACCCUUUCCAAAGAUGACGUAGGGUAAAUCAUUGACCAUAGCAAGCACGUGAUCACCGGUGCGCAUGGCGGGCUUCUUUCGGUGAUCUGCCUCGCCUUUGAAAUGCUUGCCUUUCUUUCGACAUUGAUGGUUGGUCGGAAGAAAUCGACGAUGGCCCAGGUGCACAUUCUUCCUGCAUUUGUCCAGGUAUAUACUUUCAGUGUCAUCUAAACAGUGCGUGCAUGCGUGGUAUCCUUUGUUUGUCUGUCCUGAAAGGUUACUGAGAGCGGGCCAAUCGUUGAUGGUCACGAACAGCAACGCCUUAAGGUUAAAUUCCUCCUGUCUGUGCUCAUCCCACGUACGUACACCAUUUUCAUUCCACAGCUGUAAAAGUUCUUCAACUAAUGGACUUAGGUACACAUCAAUUUCGUUGCCGGGUUGCUUAGGGCCUUGGAUGAGAACUGGCAUCAUAAUGAACUUCCGCUUCAUGCACAUCCAAGGAGGAAGGUUAUACAUACAUAGAGUCGCGGGCCAGGUGCUGUGAUUACUGCUCUGCUCCCCGAAAGGAUUAAUGCCAUCCGCGCUUAAAGCAAACCAUACAUUCCUAGGGUCCUUUGCAAACUCAUCCCAGUACUUUCUCUCGAUUUUUCUCCACUGCGACCCGUCAGCGGGUGCUCUCAACUUCCCAUCUUUCUUUCGUUUCUCACUGUGCCAUCGCAUCAACUUGGCAUGCUCUUCGUUUCUGAACAGACGUUUCAACCGUGGUAUUAUAGGAGCAUACCACAUCACCUUUGCAGGGACCCUCUUCCUGAGGGGCUCGCCGUCAACAUCACCGGGGUCAUCUCGUCUGAUCUUAUACCGCAACGCACCGCAUACCGGGCAUGCGUUCAGAUCCUUGUAUGCACCGCGGUAGAGGAUGCAGUCAUUAGGGCAUGCAUGUAUCUUCUCCACCUCCAAUCCUAGAGGGCAUACGACCUUCUUUGCUGCGUAUGUACUGUCGGGCAAUUCGUUAUCCUUUGGAAGCUUCUUCUUCAAUAUUUUCAGUAGCUUCUCAAAUCCUUUGUCAGCCACAGCAUUCUCUGCCUUCCACUGCAGCAAUUCUAGUACGGUACUGAGCUUUGUGUUGCCAUCUUCGCAAUUGGGGUAUAACCCUUUUUUGUGAUCCUCUAACAUGCGAUCGAACUUCAGCUUCUCCUUUUGACUAAUGCAUUGCGUCCUUGCAUCGACAAUGACCCGGCGGAGAUCAUCAUCAUCGGGCACAUCGUCUGGUUCCUCUUGAUCUUCAGCAGCUUCACCUGUGGCAGCAUCAUUGGGCACAUCAUCAUCUGGUUCCUCUUGAUCUUCACCAGCUCCCCCCGUUGCAGCAUCACCGUAUUCAGGGGGCACAUAGUUGUCAUCGUACUCUUCUUCUUCGCCGUCUUCCAUCAUAACCCCUAUUUCUCCGUGCCUCGUCCAAACAUUAUAGUGUGGCAUGAAACCCUUGUAAAGCAGGUGGGAGUGAAGGAUUUUCCGGUUAGAGUAAGACCUCGUAUUCCCACAUUCAGUGCAUGGACAACACAUAAAACCAUUCUGCUUGUUUUCCUCAGCCGCAUCGAGAAACUCAUGCACACCCUUAAUGUACUCGCGGGUGUGUCUGUCACCGUACAUCCAUUGCCGGUUCAUCUGCGUGCAUUAUAUAUAAUUAAGUGUCCAAAUUAAUAGAAGUUCAUCAUCACAUUAAAACCAAAGUGCAUACAUAGUUCUCAUCUAACAACAUAUAGCUCUCCAGAGCAUCUAAUUAAUUAAACCAUACAUUGAAACUAUGUAAAACAUUUCAAUGCGAAAACAAAUGCGAUCAUAAUCGCAACCAAGGUAACAAUUGAUCCAACGGCAUAAUGAUACCAAGCCUCGGUAUGAAUGGCAUAUUUUCUAAUCUUUCUAAUCUUCAAGCGCAUUGCAUCCAUCUUGAUCUUGUGAUCAUCGACGACAUCCGCAACAUGCAACUCCAAUAUCAUCUUCUCCUCCUCAAUUUUUUUUAUUUUUUCCUUCAACAAAUUGUUUUCUUCUUCAACUAAAUUUAACCUCUCGACAAUAGGGUCGGUUGGCAUUUCCGAUUCACAUACAUCCUAGAUAAAUAAAAUCUAUGUCACGUUGGUCAGCAUAAUUUUCAUAAACAAUAAAUGAACCAAUAGUUAUAAAGAUAAUAUACAUACCACAUCCGAAUCAUAGACAGGACGAGGGCCGACGGGGGCGGAUACCAAAACCAUCGCACUAUAUAAGAUGCAAUAAUAAAUGUAAGAAAAUGAUACAAGUAUCUAUCUAAACAUACAAGUAAGAAUAUUUUUCCUUUCAGAAAGAAGAUAAGAACAAGAGGCUCACCACGGUGGUGUCGGUGAUGAGAUCGGCGCGGGUGAUCGACGGCAGUGAAGACGGGGACGGGGCGUGACGGACCGCUAAAUCUAGACAAAUCUCGAGGAAAAUGGAGCUUGGAGGUCGAGCUUCGAGAGGAGAAAGCUUAAGUAGUGUGGCUCGGGCAUUCCAUCGAACACCUCAUGUGCAUAGGAGGUGAGCUAGAGCACCACAAAGCCCUCUCCCCCUCGGCCAGAGAAAACAGAGCACUGGGGUGCUCUGCUCACGAGCGAGGGGUAUAUAUAGGCACCUCAUUGGUCCCGGUUGGUGGCAUGAGCCGGGACUAAAGGGAAGCCUUUGGUCCCGGUUCGGGCCACCAACCGGGACCAAUGAUGGUGGGCCAGGAGGGAGGCCCAUUGGUCCCGGUUCGUCCCACCAACCGGGACCAAAAGGUCCAUACGAACCAGGACCAAUGGCCCACGUGGCCCGGCCGGCCCCCUGGGCUCACGAACCGGGACCAAUUCCCACAUUGGUCCCGGUUCAAGACUGAACCGGGACUAAUGGGCUGAGGCGGCCUGGACCAUAGCCCCUUUUUCUACUAGUGCUUAUGGAAAUUAUAAUAAGAUGCCCUCUAAUUUUGAGAAUAGUGUUAAAUAAUUUAUGAGUUCGCAAAAGAAUUUCAAUGCUUUGAUUGAAGAAAAAUUGCUUAAGAUUGGUGAUUUGGCUAGGAACGUGGAUAGAACUACCCUUGAUGUCGAUUCUUUGAAACUUAGAUCUAUUUCACAUAAGCAUGAUAUCAAUGAGUCUCUCAAGGCUAUGAGAAUUCCCAUUGAUGAGUGCAAGGAAAGAACCGCUAAGAUGCGUGCUAAAAAAGAUUGGUUUAUAAAAGCGUGUUCUUCUAGCUAGUUUCCGUGAAAAUAAUGAUGAAGAUCUUAAAGUGAUUGAUGUGACUCCUAUUGAAUUUUUGUUUUCCAAUAUAAAUCUUGAGAAAGAUGGGACUGGAUAUGAGUCAACUUUAGUUAGAAGGCGUCCCAAUGAUUCGGAGUUUUUAGAUAUUAAUGCAAAAAUUGAUAAAAGUGGGAUUGGAGAGGUUAAAACUUUAGGUAGUAAUGAACCCACUCUUUUGGAUUUCAAGGAAUUUAAUUAUAAUAAUUUCUCUUUAAUAGAUUGUAUUUCCUUGUUGCAAUCCAUGUUGAAUUUUCCUCAUGCUUAUAAUCAAAACAAAGCUUUUACUAAACAUAUCAUUGAUGCUAUGAUGCAAUCCUUUGAAGAAAAGCUUGAAUUGGAAGUUUCUAUUCCUACACUAGUAGACAAAGGGUCAAACAUGAAGCACAUUAGUGCCGGUUUGAAUUUGAGCCGGCACUAAUGUGUGCAUUAGUGCCGGUUCCAACGGCUAGCCGGCCGCUCUCAUUAGUACCGGUUCAUGGCGAACCUUUAGCACCGGUUCGUGCCACGAACCGGUACUAAAGUGAGUGGUGGCAGGAUGUUGUCACUCCGGGGCCCCUCCAGCACCUUUAGUACCGGGUCGUAUCACGAACCGGUCCUAAAGGCCGUCCUACAUAGACCCUUCGUCCACCCGAGCUCGCUCUGUUCUUCCCCUUUCCCCUCUCCUCUUUGUACUUUUCCCUCUUCCUCUCAAUCUCAUCACACAUUUUGCCCAAAAUUUGUCAAGAUUUGAAGGCCCCCAUCCAUUCAAAUGAUCACAAAGGUUAGCAACUUUUUCCUUUCAUCUCUCAUUGCUAGAUUAGCUCGUGCAAUGCUUUAUAUAGUGAUUGAUUUUUGAGUUUAGUAAUUUGGGAGGAAUUAUAUAUAUGUGCUAGUAUUUGAUUUAUAUGCAAUUUUAGGUCAAAAAUAACACUUAGUUUGCAUAUGUAGGUGUGGUUUACGUAGUACCUUCUAAAUCUCCGUCGUAACCACCGUCGAUCGCUCGCAACGUCCCGUCACCAGCACCACCUUUUGGUGAGCCUCUUGUUCAUGAAGUUUUAUAUAAAAAAUUGAUGUUUGUGUGAUUUGGAUAUAUAGUUACUCGUAUAAUUAUCUUACCCAUACGUUGUUUGUUAUACAUAGUGCCAUGGUUUUGAUAUCCGUCCCCGUUGGCCCUCGUCCGGGUUAUGAUUCGGAUGUGGUAUAUUCUAUUUUAAAACUAUUCAUUGCAUUUCGUGUUUAUGACAAAUUAUGCCCAUCAAGUUGACAUAGAUAUUUGUAUGUAGGAGGUAGUUGAAACGGAAAUUCCAACCGACCCUAUUGUCGAGAGGUUAAAUUUAGUUGAAAGAGAAAACGAGGAUUUGAAGGAAAAAUUGAAAAGAAUUGAGGGGGAGAAGAUGGAAUUGGAGUUGCAUGUUGCCGAUGUCGUCGAUGAUCACAAGAUUAAGAUGGAGAAAAUGCGCUUGAAGAUUAGAAAGAUUAGAAAAUAUGCCAUUCAUAGUGAGGCUUGGUAGCAUUAUGCUGUUGGAUCAAUUGUUACCUUAGUUGCGAUCUUGAUCGCAUUUGUUGUUGCAUUUAAAUUCUUUAGCUAGGGACUUAUUUGUUUGUUGCAUUUAAGUGUUGUAUGAUCUUUAUGUAUGAACCUUAUGUAUUGUAUUAAUUUGAUGUUUUCGGUGUUGUGUAUUGAAGAUGAGCCGGCAAUGGAUGUACGAUGACUGAUGCUCUCCCAAGUUCAUUAAUGGCGUGCGUACUUUUCUGCUUGCGGCUGAGGCAAACAAGCGAGCGGAUGGUUGUAUGCCUUGUCCAUGUGCUGGCUGUAAGAAUGGUCACAGUUACUCUACGUCAAGAACCAUUCACGUCCACCUGUUUGAGUCUGGUUUCAUGCCCCACUAUAAUGUUUGGACCAAGCAUGGAGAAAGAGGGGUUAUGAUGGAAGACAAUGAAGAAGAAGAGGACGACGAAAGCUAUCCUGGCCAUGGGUUCCCUGAAUACGGUGAUACAACAAUGAGGGAAGAAGCUGAGCCGGUAAUGCGGGAAGAAGCUGAGCCGGCAAUGCGGGAAGAAGCUGAACAAGAGGCACGGAUGAGCCCGUUGAUGAUCUAGGUCGGGCCAUUGCCGAUGCAAAGAGAAACCGCGCUAGUGAUUUGGAGAAGAAGAAGUUGCAGCGCAUGUUAGAGGAUCACAAAAAUUGUUGUACCCGAAUUGCGUAGGUGACAAGAAAAAGCUAGGCACCACACUGGAAUUGCUGCAAUGGAAGGCAAAGAAUGGUGUAUCUGACAUGGGAUUUGGAAAGUUGCUGGUAAUGAUAAAGGAUAUGCUUCCAAAGGACAACAAAUUGCUCGAGAGUACGUACGAAGCAAAGAAGAUUGUCUGCCCUCUAGGGUUAGAGGUGCAGAUGAUACAUGCAUGCCCUAAUGAUUGCAUCCCCUACCACGGUGAGUAUGAGGAUUUGAAAGCUUGCCCGGUAUGAGGUGCAUUGCGCUAUAAGAUCAGCCACGAUGACCAUGGUGAUGUCGAGGGCGAGCGCCCCAGGAAGAAGAUACCUGCCAAGGUGAUGUGGUAUGCUCCUAUAAUACCAUGGCUGAAACGUUUGUUCCAAAACAAUGAGCAUGCCAAGGCGAUGUGAUGGCACAGAGAAGACCGUAAGAAAGACGGAAAGUUGAGAGUACCCGCUGACGGGUCGCAGUGGAGAAAAAUCGAAAGAAAGUACGGGAAGGAGUUUGCAGAUGACGCAAGGAACGUAUGGUUUGGUCUAAGCGCAGAUGGCAUUAAUCCUUUUGGGGAGCAGAGCAGCAACCAUAGCACCUGGCCUGUGACUCUAUGUUUGUAUAACCUUCCUCCUUGGUUGUGCAUGAAGCGGAAGUUCAUUAUGAUGCCAGUGCUCAUCCAAGGCCCUAAGUGUCAGGACCCCGAUUCCAAGUCACAUCGUUCUAGCCGGUAACACCUCAUAUCACUUUGCGGCCUCAUGCACGGUAUCCCACAGGUGUCGCCUUACCAUGGCCCGGGACCGUUUGCGCCUUUUGGCUCACGUAUAUGAUAGUGUCGCUAGCAUCCAUAUGACAGAGAACCCGGGCCGACAUGGCUAGUCGUGAACCCAAAGCGGCACAGACCUAUGGAGACAGGCAUACAUGAAUCACAUCAAGCAUGUCAGUCAUCAGUGAGUGAAUCCGGGCUGUAGCACUGGGCUAACAGGACUCCGGGGAACCCGGGCUGUAGCAGGCUAGGCAGGACUCCGGAUGUCACCGCGUGACAUUUCCCCGAAGGGACAGACAUAGGAACGACGUGAAACACAUGCCGGCCAGUCAAGUGUCCUGAGCAGUAGUGCUGGGCUAGCAGGACUCCGGUGAACCGGGCUGUAGCGGACUACUAUGGCUCGAGGAACACUAGACUACGUUUCCCCAUAAGAAAGGCUGCCAAGGAUAAACAACUAGAUUGUCGGAUCCCACUCAUACCAAGCAUUUCAAUCAUACACACAAUAUGCCCGAUAUGAGUACAUACAACAUGGCAUCACAAGAAAACUCUACAACUCAAAUACUUUAUUUAAAGGCUCCAGAGAGCCAUACAUAACAUGUUCAUACAGAUAGGGGUCACAUGACCCGACACUCAAGUCAUACAAUCAUACAAGCACAAGCGGAAGCAACUAGUCUGAGUACAGACACUAGAAAGAAAGAAGGCUUCUCGAAGCCUGUCUAUCUACAUAGGUCUCUCCAUGGCCAGGAUCACCACCUGGGUGGCUAGUCACUCGUCGACGUCAAGGUCUACGUAGAACCCAUCGGAGGGGCGGUGUUGUCAUCUGAAAACCGUAAUUAAGCAAACAUGAGUACAAAGGUACUCAGCAAGUCUUACAACAUAACCUACUAUAAAUGCUCAUUCUCAAGAAGGUGGUGGGGUUAUUGCAGCAAGCCAGCUUUGACUCUUGGCUAAGCUAUCCUACGGAACUCCACUAGUAAAAUAGUUUUCGCACACGAGUCCACUACUCACCAACAUAAUACUCCACCGGGGAUCCUCUCUCGUCAUCCUACGAGAGGGCCAUCCUCGGUACUCACACUUAUCUUGAGUCUUUUAGUAAUAACCAUUAACUUGUCUAUGAACUGUAUAGGCAACCAGGUAGUCCUUUACCGCGGACGCGGCUAUUCGAAUAGUUUUAUACCCUGCAGGGGUGUACUUCCUCAUACACGCUUUCACCACUUACCGCCGUUUACACGACAUGUACUCGGCAACCUUCAAGCCUUGGCCCAACGAGGGUGUCGGCCACGGCCUACCUAAACACUCAAAUCUCUAGUCCAGGUGCAUCGCCUAUCCAAGUUCCAUCCGCAGGGAGUCCGGCCGAGGUUUCCACAUACGGCCCCGAACGAUGUGAACAGGGUUCCCGAGACACCAAACAGGUGACUCGGUACACCGUGCCACGGUGUAUCUACCGCAACAUAGCCCACCCCUAGGGUCAGUGCUACGCACGGCCGCCAACACAUAACCUACAAACACCAGAAACUAUUUGCAACUCCUGGACAGAGUACUAGGGUAUUUAAGAAGCCGAGAGGGUCAAUUAAGGAUCCCAAUGCAUGGUAGUAGCUGAAUCUUAAAAUCACACAUACAGAUCUCAGUUCUUAGGGACGGCCUCAAUAAAACAACCCACCAUGUACUCCUACAUGGCCUCUCAUCGAUACCUUUACCAAAUCAUGUUCAUCACAUCCCUCACAUUACCGAUAUAACCAUUUCACUCUAGCCCAUCACCCAGAUGGACCAGACCUGACACAACUCUAAGCAUAGCAGGCAUAGCAAGGUAGGAAACACAUACCUGGCUCAAUCAACUCCUACACAUGCUAGUGGGUUUCAUCUAGUUACUGUGGCAAUGACAGGUCAUGCAGAGGAAAAGGGUUCAACUACCGUAGCACACAACAAUUUGAAUCGCGUUGUCUUAAUGCAGUAAACAAGAGCAGAAGCGAGAACAUGGGUUUGUAUCAGAAUGAUCAAUGGUUGUUUGCCUGUUGUAGUGGUAGUAGGGUACUGCCCUUCAGACGGAUACUCGGGGUUAUCCUCGGAGGCAGAACCUACCACGAAAGAUACACCGAACAUAAUCAACACAUGACAAUAUGCAACGGUAUGAUGCAUGCUAUGACAUGGCAAAAUGAAUGUGUCUUGGCCUAAUGCAAGCUGAAACAGGAUGGAAUGAACUCAUUUGAAUCAAAGAUUCAAAUGUUAGCUCAUUUAACAUGGCCUUAUUAGUGCAUUAUCUUAUUCUGCUUAAAUAGCAAGGUUAACUUGUUUUGUCAUGCAUGAAACCAUUACAGAUGGACAGAUUGAAUUUUUUUGAUCAUUUUUCAUAUAUAAAUCUUUGCAUUUGGAGCUAUGGUUGAUUUUCUAAGAUUUUUAGAAGUUUUGGCUAUUUACUGGAAUUUCCUAUUAAAGAAUAAAUCCAGUAAUUGAAUUAAUGCGUCAGCAUGACAUAGGUGUGAUGUCAGCGGGUCAACUGGGUUGGCCAGGUCAAACCUGACUGGCGGGCCCUGUCUGUCAGUGACUCAGCUAAUUAACAGAGUUAAAUUAACUCUAAUUAACUAAAAGUGGGGCCUGGGCCCACAUGUCAGUGACUGAACUAAUUAAAUUUAGUUAAAACAAAUCCUAAACUAAUCAGCAGGCCGGCCCCACCUGUCAUAGACUAACCUGGGCCCACACGGGGGUCAAACAGGGUAAACUCGCCGGCGUCUAGCCGCCGGCGAGGCCAGACGCGGCGGAGCAGUGCGGGAUUUGCACUCUGGCGACCAAAUGGGCGGCGGAGACUAUCUACGUGAUGCGGGGAGGAAGCCGCCUUUGGAAAUAUGCCCUAGAGGCAAUAAUAAAUUGAUUAUUACUAUAUUUCCUUGUUCAUGAUAAUCGUUUAUUAUCCAUGCUAGAAUUGUAUUGAUAGGAAACUCAGAUACAUGUGUGGAUACAUAGACAACACCAUGUCCCUAGUAAGCCUCUAGUUGACUAGCUCGUUGAUCAAUAGAUGGUUACAGUUUCCUGACCAUGGACAUUGGAUGUCAUUGAUAACGGGAUCACAUCAUUAGGAGAAUGAUGUGAUGGACAAGAACCAAUCCUAAGCCUAGCACAAGAUCAUGUAGUUCGUAUGCUAAAGCUUUUCUAAUGUCAAGUAUCAUUUCCUUAGACCAUGAGAUUGUGCAACUCCCGGAUACCGUGGGAGUGCUUUGAGUGUGCGAAACGUCACAACGUAACUGGGUGGCUAUAAAGGUACACUACAGGUAUCUCCAAAAGUGUCUAUUGGGUUGGCACGAAUCGAGACUGGGAUUUGUCACUCCGUGUAAACGGAGAGGUAUCUCUGGGCCCACUCGGUAGGACAUCAUCAUAAUGUGCACAAUGUGACCAAGGAGUUGAUCACGGGAUGAUGUGUUACGGAACGAGUAAAGAGACUUGCCGGUAACAAGAUUGAACAAGGUAUCGGCAUACCGACGAUCGAAUCUCGGGCAAGUAUCGUACCGAUGGACAAAGGGAAUUGCAUACGGGGUUGAUUAAGUCCUUGACAUCGUGGUUCAUCCGAUGAGAUCAUCGUGGAACAUGUGGGAGCCAACAUGGGUAUCCAGAUCCCGCUGUUGGUUAUUGAUCGGAGAGUCAUCUCGGUCAUGUCUGCAUGUCUCCUGAACCCGUAGGGUCUACACACUUAAGGUUCGAUGACGCUAGGGUUAUAAAGGAAGUUUGUAUGUGGUUACCGAAUGUUGUUCGGAGUCCCGGAUGAGAUCCCGAACGUCAUGAAGAGUUCCGGAAUGGUCCGGAGGUAAAGAUUUAUAUAUGGGAAGUCCUGUUUUGGUCACCGGAAAAGUUUCGGGUUUUAUCGGUAACGUACCGGGACCACCGGGAGGGUCCCGGGGGUCCACCAAGUGGGGCCACAAGCCCCGGAGGGCUGCAUGGGCCAAGUGUGGGAGGGGACCAGCCCCAGGUGGGCUGGUGCGGCCCCCCACCAAGGCCCAAGGCGCAAGGAAGAGGGGAAGGGGGCAAACCCUAGGGCAGAUGGGCCCUAAGGCCCACCCUGGUGCGCCUCCCCCUCUCCCCUCCCCUUGGCCGCCCCUAGAUGGGAUCUAGGGGGCUGCCGCCACCCCUAGGGAGGGAACCCUAGGUGGGGGCGCAACCCAUCCCCUCCCCCUAUAUAUAGUUGAGGUUUGGGCUGCCCAAUACACAUGAGUUCCUCUCUUUCUUGGCACAGCCCUAUCCCUCUCUUUCUCCUCAUAUCUCGCAGUGCUUGGUGAAGCCCUGCUGGAUCACCAUGCUCCGCCAUCACUACCACGCCGUUGUGCUGCUGUUGGAUGGAGUCUUCCUCAACCUCUCCCUCUCUCCUUGCUGGAUCAAGGCAUGGGAGACAUCGUCGGGCUGUACGUGUGUUGAACGCGGAGGUGCCGUCCGUUCGGCACUAGGAUCUCCGGUGAUUUGGAUCACAACGAGUACGACUCCUUCAACCCCGUUCUCUUGAACGCUUCCACUUAGCGAUCUACAAGGGUAUGUAGAUGCACUCUCCUUCCCCUCGUUGCUGGUUUCUCCAUAGAUAGAUCUUGGUGACACGUAGGAAACUUUUGAAUUUCUGCUACGUUCCCCAAUAGUGGCAUCAUGAGCUAGGUCUAUUGCGUAGAUUCUAUGCACGAGUAGAACACAAAGUAGUUGUGGGCGUUGAUUUUGUUCAAUAUGCUUACCGUUACUAGUCCAAUCUUGUUUCGACGGUAUUGUGGGAUGAAGCGGCCCGGACCGACCUUACACGUACUCUUACGUGAGACAGGUUCCACCGACUGACAUGCACUAGUUGCAUAAGGUGACUAGCGGGUGCCAGUCUCUCCCACUUUAGUCAGAACGGAUUCGAUGAAAAGGGUCGUUAUGAAGGGUAAAUAGCAAUUGGCAUAUCACGUUGUAUUUUUGCGUAGGUAAGAAACGUUCUUGCUAGAAACCCAUAGCAGCCACGUAAAACAUGCAAACAACAAUUAGAGGACGUCUAACUUGUUUUUGCAGGGUAUGCUAUGUGAUGUGAUAUGGCCAAGAAGAAUGUGAUGAAUGAUAUGUGAUGUAUGAGAUUGACCAUGUUCUUGUAAUAGGAAUCAUGACUUGCAUGUCGAUGAGUAUGACAACCGGCAGGAGCCAUAGGAGUUGUCUUUAUUUAUUGUAUGACCUACGUGUCAUUGAACAACGCCAUGUAAUUACUUUACUUUAUUGCUAACUGGUAGCCAUAGUGGUAGAAGUAAUAAGUUGGCGAGACAACUUCAUGGAGACACAAUGAUGGAGAUCAUGGUGUCAUGCCGGUGACGAUGAUGAUCAUGGAGCCCCGAAGAUGGAGAUCAAAAGGAGCAAUAUGAUAUUGGCCAUAUCAUGUCACUAUUUGAUUGCAUGUGAUGUUUAUAAUGUUUAUACAUCUUAUUUGCUUAGAAUGACGGUAGUAAAUAAGAUGAUCCCUCAUUAAAAUUUCAAGAAAGUGUUCCCCCUAACUGUGCACCGUUGCGAAAGUUCGUCCUUUUGAAGCACCACGUGAUGAUCGGGUGUGAUAGAUUCUUACGUUCGAAUACAACGGGUGUUGACGAGCCUAGCAUGUACAGACAUGGCCUCGGAACACAUGCAAAACACUUAGGUUGACUUGACGAGCCUAGCAUGUACAGACAUGGCCUCGGAACACAAGAGACCGAAAGGUCGAGCAUGAGUCGUAUGGUAGAUACGAUCAACAUGAAGAUGUUCACCGAUGUUGACUAGUCCGUCUCACGUGAUGAUCGGACACGGCCUAGUUGACUCGGAUCAUGUAAUCACUUAGAUGACUAGAGGGAUGUCUAUCUGAGUGGGAGUUCAUAAGAUGAACUUAAUUAUCCUGAACAUAGUCAAAAGGACUUUGCAAAUUAUGUCGUAGCUCACGCUAUAGUUCUACUGUUUAGAUAUGUUCCUAGAGAAAAUUUAGUUGAAAGUUGAUAGUAGCAAUUAUGCGGACUAGGUCCGUAAACUGAGGAUUGUCCUCAUUGCUUCAUAGAAGGUUUAUGUCCUUAAUGCACCGCUCAGUGUGCUGAACCUCGAACGUCGUCUGUGGAUGUUGCGAACAUCUGACAUACACAUUUUGAUAACUACGUGAUAGUUCAGUUAAACGGUUUAGAGUUGAGGCACCGAAGACGUUUUGAAACGUCACGAAACAUAUGAGAUGUUUCGAGGGCUGAAAUUGGGAUUUCAGGAUCGUGCCCACAUCAAGAGGUAUAAGACCUCCGACGAUUUUUCUUAGCCUGCAAACUAAGGGAGAAAAGCUCAACUGUUGAGCUUGUGCUCAGAUUGUCUGAGUACAACAAUCAUUUGAAUCGAGUGGGAGUUGAUCUUCCAGAUGAGAUAGUGAUGUUUCUCCGAAGUCAUUACCACCAAGCUGCUAGAGCUUCGUGAUGAACUAUAAUAUAUCAGGGACAUAUAUGAUGAUCCUUGAGAUAUUCGCGAUGUUUGACACCACAAAAGUAGAAAUCAAGAAGGAGCAUCAAUUGUUGAUGGUUGGUGAAACCACUAGUUUCAAGAAGGGCAAGGGCAAGAAGGGAUACUUCAUGAAAUGGCAAUUCAGCUGCUGCUCUAGUGAAGAAACCCAAGGUUGAACCCAAACCCGAGACUAAGUGCUUCUGUAAUAAGGGAAACAACCACUGGAGCAGAAUUACCCUAGAUACUUGGUAGAUGAGAAGGCUGGCAAAGUCGAUAGAAGUAUAUUGGAUAUACAUUGUGUUAAUGUGUACUUUACUAGUACUCCUAGUAGCACCAUGGUAUUAGAUACCGGUUCGGAUGCUAAAUGUUAGUAAACUCGAAAUAAAAGGCUGCAGAGUAAACGGAGACUAGCCAAAGGUGAGCUGGCAAAAUGUGUUGGAAGUUUUUCCAAGCUUGAUGUCAUCAAGCAUCGCACGCUCCCUCUACCAUCGAGAUCGGUGUUUGCGUUGAGCAUAGACAUGAUUGGAUUAUGUCUAUCGCAAUACGGUUAUUCAUUUAAGGAGAAUAAUGGUUACUCUGUUUAUUUGAAUAAUACCUUCAAUGGUCUUGCACCUAAAAUGAAUGGUUUAUUGAAUCUCGAUCGUAGUGAUACACAUGUUCAUGCCAGAAGAUAUAAGAUAGUAAUGAUAGUACCACCUACUUGUGGCACUGCCAUGUAAGUCAUAUCGGUAUAAAACGCAUGAAGAAGCUCCAUGUUGAUGGAUCUUUGGGCUCACUCGUUUUUGAAAAGUUUGAGACAUGCGAACCAUGUCUAUUGGUGUAUAUGCAUGAAGAAACUCCAUGCAAAUGGACCGUUUGGACUCACUCGAUUUUGAAUCACUUGAGACAUGCAAAUCAUACCACAUGGGCAAGAUGACUGAAAGCCUCGUUUUCAGUAAAAUGGAACUAGAAAGAAACUUGUUGGAAGUAAUACAUUUUGAUGUGUGCAGUCCAAUGAGUGCUGAGGCAUGUAGUGGAUUUCAUUAUGUUCUUACUUCACAGAUGAUUUGAGUAGAUACUGAGUAUAUUUACUUGAUGAAACAUAAGUCUGAAUUAUUGAAAGGUUCAAGUAAUUUCAGAGUGAAGUUGAACAUCGUCGUGACAAGAGGAUAAAAUGUCUAUGAUAUGAUCGUAGAGAUGAAUAUCUGAAUUACGAGUUUGGCACAAAAUUAAGACAUUAUGGAAAUUGUUUCACAACUAAUACAGUCUGGAACACCACAGUGUGAUGGUGUGUCCGAAUAUCAUAACUGCACCCUAUUGGAUAUGAUGCAUACCAUGAUGUCUCUUAUCAAAUUACCACGAUAGUUUAUGGGUUAGGCAUUAGAGACAACCACAUUCACUUUAAAUAGGGCACCACGUAAUUCCGAUGAGAUGACACCGUAUGAACUAUGGUUUAGAGAAACCUAAGCUGUCAUUUCUUAAAAGUUUGGGGCUGCGACGCUUAUGUGAAAAAGUUUUAGGCUGAUAAGCUCGAACCCAAAGCGGAUAAAUGCAUCUUCAUAGGACACCCAAAAUAGUUGGGUAUACCUCCUGUCUCAGAUCCGAAAGCAAUAAGGGAUUGUUUCUAGAAUCGAGUCCUUUCUCGAGGAAAGGUUUCUCUCGAAAGAAUUGAGUGUGAUGAUGGUGGAGAUUUGAUGAGGUUAUUGAACUGUCUCUUCAACUAGUGUGUGGCAGGGCACAGGGAGUUGUUCCUGUGGCACCUACACCAAUUGAAGUGGAAGCUUAUGAUAGUGAUCAUGAAACUUCAGAUCAAGUCACUACCAAACCUCGUGGGAUGACAAGGAUGCGUACUACUUCAGAGUGGUACGUAAUCCUAUCUUGGAAGUCAUGUUGCUAGACAACAAUGAACCUACAAGCUAUGGAGAAGCAAUGGUGGGCCUGGAUUCCAAAAUGGCUCGAAGCCAUAUAAUCCGAGAGAGGAUCCAUCUAUGAAAACAAAGUGUAGACUUUGGAAGAACUACUUGAUGGUCGUAAGGCUGUUAGGUACAUAGGGAUUUUAAAAGGAAGACGGACAAUGAUAGUAAGUAUCACCAUUAAGAAAGCUUGACUUGUCGUUAAGAUGUUUUCCGACAAGUUCAAGGAGUUGACUACGAUGAGACUUUCUCACUCGUAGCGAUGCUAAGAGUCUGUUGGAAUUAUAUUAGCGAUUACUGCAUUAUUUAUGAAAUCUUGCAGAUAGGAUAUCAAAACAUUGUUUCCUCGAUGUUUUUUUGAGGAAAGGUUGUAUGUGAUACAACCAGAAGGUUUUGUCAAUCCUGAAAGAUGCUAACAAGUAUGCAAAGCUCCAGCAAUCCUUCUAAGGACUGGAGUAAGCAUCUCGGAGUUGGAAUGUAUGCUUUGAUGAGAUGAUCAAAGUUUUGGGUGUAUACAAAGUUUAUGAGAAACUUGUAUUUCCAAAGAAGUGAGUGGGAGCACUAUAGAAUUUCUGAUGAGUAUAUGUUGUUAACAUAUUGUUGAUCGGAAAUGAUGUAGAAUUUCUGGAAAGCAUGCAGAGUUAUUUGAAAAGUGUUUUUCAAUGGAAAGCCUGGAUUAAGCUACUUGAACAUUGAGCAUGAAGAUCUAUAAGGAUAGAUCAAAACGCUUAAUGGUAAUUUCAAAUGAGCACAUACCUUGACAUGAUCUUGAAGGUGUUCAAGAUGGAUCAGUCAAAGAAGGAGUUCUUGCCUGAGUUGUAAGGUAUGAAGUUAAGACUUAAAGCUCGACCACGGAAGAAGAAAGAGGAAGGACGAAGGUCGUCCCCUAUGCUUUUGUCAUAGGCUCUCUACAGUAUGCUAUGUUGUGUGCCGCACUUGAAGUGUGCCUUGCCAUGAGUCAGUCAAGGGGUACAAGAGUGAUCCAAGAAUGGAUCACAAGACAACGGUCAAAGUUAUCCUUAGUAACUAGUGGACUAAGGAAUUUUCUCGAUUAUGGAGGUGGUAAAAGAGUUCGUCGUAAAGGGUUACGCCGAUGCAAACUUUGACACUAAUCUAGAUUAUUCUGAGUAGUAGACUGGAUUCGUAUAGUAGAACAGUUAUUUGGAAUAGCUCCAAAUAGAACGUGGUAGCUGCAUCUAGGAGAUGACAUAGAGAUUUGUAAAGCACACACGGAUCUGAAAGAUUCAGACCCGUUGACUAUAACAUCUCUCACAAGCAUAACAUGAUCAAACCCAGAACUCAUCGAGUGUUAAUCACAUGGUAAUGUGAACUAGAUUAUUGACUCUAGUAAACUCUUUGGGUGUUAGUCACAUGGGGAUGUGACCUUGAGUGUUUAUCACAUAUCGAUGUGAACUGGAUUAUUGACUCUAGUGCAAGUGGGAGACUGUUGGAAAUAUGCCCUAGAGGAAAUAAUAAAUUUAUUAUUAUUAUAUUUCCUUGUUCAUGAUAAUCGUUUAUUAUCCAUGCUAGAAUUGUAUUGAUAGGAAACUCAGAUACAUGUGUGGAUACAUAGACAACACCAUGUCCCUAGUAAGCCUCUAGUUGACUAGCUCGUUGAUCAAUAGAUGGUUACAGUUUCCUAACCAUGGACAUUGGAUGUCAUUGAUAACGGGAUCACAUCAUUAGGAGAAUGAUGUGAUGGACAAGACCCAAUCCUAAGCCUAGCACAAGAUCAUGUAGUUCGUAUGCUAAAGCUUUUCUAAUGUCAAGUAUCAUUUCCUUAGACCAUGAGAUUGUGCAACUCUCGGAUACCGUAGGAGUGCUUUGGGUGUGCCAAAUGUCACAACGUAACUGGGUGGCUAUGAAGGUACACUACAAGUAUCUCCAAAAGUGUCUGUUGGGUUGGCACGAAUCGAGACUGGGAUUUGUCACUCCGUGUAAACGGAGAGGUAUCUCUGGGCCCACUCGAUAGGACAUCAUCAUAAUGUGCACAAUGUGACCAAGGAGUUGAUCACGGGAUGAUGUGUUACGGAACGAGUAAAGAGACUUGCCGGUAACGAGAUUGAACAAGGUAUCGGCAUACCGACGAUCGAAUCUCGGGCAAGUAUCGUACCGAUGGACAAAGGGAAUUGCAUACGGGAUUAAUUAAGUCCUUGACAUCGUGGUUCAUCCGAUGAGAUCAUCGUGGAACAUGUGGGAGCCAACAUGGGUAUCCAGAUCCCGCUGUUGGUUAUUGACCGGAGAGUCAUCUCGGUCAUGUUUGCAUGUCUCCCGAACCCGUAGGGUCUACACACUUAAGGUUCGAUGACGCUAGGGUUAUAAAGGAAGUUUGUAUGUGGUUACCGAAUGUUGUUCGGAGUCCCGGAUGAGAUCCCGGACGUCAUGAGGAGUUCCGGAAUGGUCCGGAGGUAAAGAUUUAUAUAUAGGAAGUCCUGUUUUGGUCACCGGAAAAGUUUCGGGUUUUAUUGGUAACGUACCGGGACCACCGACAGGGUCCCGGGGGUCCACCAAGUGGGGCCACAAGCCCCGGAGGGCUGCAUGGGCCAAGUGUGGGAGGGGACCAGCCCCAGGUGGGCUGGUGCGCCCCCCCACCAAGGCCCAAGGCGCAAGGAAGAGGGGAAGGGGGCAAACCCUAGGGCAGAUGGGCCCUAAGGCCCACCCUAGUGCGCCUCCCCCUCUCCCCUCCCCUUGGCCGCCCCUAGAUGGGAUCUAGGGGGCUGCCGCCACCCCUAGGGAGGGAACCCUAGGUGGGGGCGCAGCCCCUCCCCUCCCCCUAUAUAUAGUUGAGGUUUGGGCUGCCCAAUACACAUGAGUUCCUCUCUUUCUUGGCGCAGCCCUAUCCCUCUCUUUCUCCUCAUAUCUCGUAGUGCUUGGCGAAGCCCUGCUGGAUCACCAUGCUCCUCCAUCACCACCACGCCAUUGUGCUACUGCUGGAUGGAGUCUUCCUCAACCUCUCCCUCUCUCCUUGCUGGAUCAAGGCAUGGGAGACGUCAUCGGGCUGUACGUGUGUUGAACGCGGAGGUGCCGUCCGUUCGGCACUAGGAUCUCCGGUGAUUUGGAUCACGAUGAGUACGACUCCUUCAACCCCGCACUACUAGGAAAAGGCCUACUAAUGGCGCACCAGUUUUGCCUACUAAUGGCGCAUCACUGGUGCGCCAUUACUAGCACGCCAUUAGUAAUUUUUACUAAUGGCGCACCACUGGUGCGCCAUUAGUAUCUGGUAUACUAAUGGCGCACCACUGGUGCGCCAUUAGUAUAGGCCACAGGUGCACCAUUAGUAUACCAGAUACUAAUGGCGCACCGCGUGGUGCGCCAUUAGUAUACCAUUCGGUGCUCCACUGGUAUUCCCUCCAGGUGCGCCACUAAUAACCUUAUAGGUGCGCCACUAGUAAUAAAGGAAGGUGCGCCACUAAUAAGGGCUUAAAUGCGCCACUACUAAUGUAUUUGGAAAACAAAAAAAAAUCUAAAUUUACAGAAAAAAACCUAUAAGGAAAAAUAAUUUAAAAACAAAAAAUGAAAUAGAAUCAUAAUUUUUAUUAUAGUAAGAAUAUUACAAUGUCUUUACAAGUUUCCAAUAAAAGGGAAAUUGCAAGGAAAUAAAAAAAAUCCUAAAGCUAAUCUUCUAGUAAUCUUCUCUUCUUUUUCUUCACUUUAUCCCUGCAAAAUGUAACAAAAUAAACACAAACACAAACAAACUAUUUAUAACAUGUCAAUACUGUCAUUUUUUCAGACCAAGUAACUAACAACUUCAGUGAGACAGGCACAGUGCAGUGUGAAUUUCAAUUGGCUAAAUCAUAUAUAGAAAUCAGUAUCUUCUCUAUGAACCUGAAACUGAGAUGACUGGACUAAUUUUGCACAUUUGAUUUAUGAAUUUAUUCUUCUUCGACAACCAACUAAACUUCGGAUCACCUACUAAGCAUCUGUACAUACUACAUAGGCUGAUUAAUCCAACAGCCACAAUGCAAAUAUUGACUAUUUCCAUUCAACUUCUUCACUUACUCAUUAUUAUCUAAUGAAACCAUUCGUAACUAAUGAAGCAGAUUGGCUAAAGUUAUUAUCAAGUCCUAAGUCCUAAUUGAAGCAGAUCUGCUAGGGUUCUUCUCGCUAGCCCCUCAUGGCCAACCGUUUCGGAACAGGCAGGCAGAGCUGCUUGGCCGGUGGCUAGGGAGUCGCUGGUGAUGUUGGGCAUCUCACACGAGCACCUGGCUAUUUGAGGAAACCGAAAUAGUAGCAUAAACAAGAUUGAUUCCGAGGAAAUGAUAGAACCUAUUCUAUCAAAGUGCUACUCCCCCCGUUCCAUAAUUCCAGUCGUGGUUUUUUAACUAAAACCAUGAAGAGAACUAUGGAAUGGAGGGAGUAGAAAACAAUAGCAUGCUUAAAAUUCUACCAUACACAGCAGCAACAGACAUUACACAAGCAUUUAUUUAUUUAUUGCAUUUGGCACAAGUUAAAAAUUCUCACAAGCAGAGGCGGUCCUAUCAGACAAAAAGAACAUGGACCGCUCAUUACAAAGCACUUCUACUGCAGUAUCAUGGAGUAGGAAAAGGGGCUUAAGCAGCAAAGAAGUAUAAUAAGAGAAAAAAACACUAUGGCGGCUGGAACUAGAAGAGCACCAUCACAGGUUCGAAACAUCACCAUGGAGUCGAUGGCCGGCAUAGCCCAUGGCAGGGCUGGAUGGGCAGCAUAAUAACACAAUAAAAGUUUGAUGUAUACUUAUUCGUUUGAAAAGAUGCAAGCUUAUUUACACCCUAGGACUGUUGAUUAGGGUCUGGAUGGUAUUUUUGUUCCUUGCGUAAGUAAGAGAAGGACUAGCAUCCAUAGUAGAAAGAAGGGUAAACAUACAUAAAGGAAAGUUUUUAUAGCGUCACGACCGAAAGAGGCUACGUGCGGCUGGGUGAAAUGGACAAGGUUUCAUGUAUGCAAUAUAUUAUAGAAAAAUAAGUGUUGACAGAAAAUGAAAGAUUUCCUGUCAAACAAACAGAGCUUCAUUUUGUAACAUUUCUGACCCACAUGAUAAUUGUACAACAUAGUAGAGGAGACCACUGUACAUACAUGUGUUGAAUGAAGCAGACUAAGAAAUAUUGGGUGGGUAUAAAGAAUACAAUAGUACGGUAGCUGAUGUAAACAAGUGCAGAGUUGCAUCCACAGAAUAGGUAACAAAUUAAAUAGCCCUGGUGCCAACAGUAGAGUUCGUGUAUCCAAUCCAUCCUUUGUUUAACACAGCAGCUCCAACUCUUGUGUAACAAAUUAAGUUUGGCAUGGGCACACAUAAAGCACUGACAUUUUCAUGGCUCGAUGGCCGUGGGCUAAGGGAGCAGAGGAGGAGGUGCGGCUCACCUCACAUGGCGGCGGAACCGAGGGAUGAAGGUGCGGCGCACCGGAGCAGGCAGAGGUGCCUUGUGUUGGCCAAACACGUGGCCAGCAGCAGAGAAGCGCUUCUCUUGCUCGACGGAUGUUGGGUGUGUGUGAGGCGUGCUCCUGCCUGCCUGCCUGCGUGAGGAACGGGAGGACCAUUAGAGAAGAGAAGGGAAGGGAAGAAGAGCAGGUAGAGGAUGGCAAGGGGAGAGGAGGGAAUCAAAAUCAAAGAUGAGAAGAUGACCUUGAGGAGGAGCAGGGGAAGAGCGGAGCAGCAGAAACAGAGGCCUUCCUCUCCCGGUGGUGAGGACCGAGGCGACCUCCGUCACGGCCUAGCCAGGUCGACGACUCUGGCGACCGUGGCUGCCAGAUCCGGUGUCACCAUGGCCGGCCUCCUCCUGUGGUGCCUGCUAGGUCGCCAUGGCCGCGGGCUCCUUGUCCGUGGCGGCUGGAUCUGGGGCCUUGGGGUGGCGGGGAGCUCCUCCUCCUGCAGCUCGGCGGCCUCCACACCCCGGAGCAACGCCGUCGCCGGAGGACGUGGUCACCUGCUCUCCUCUGGAUCCGGUGAGGAGGGUUGGGGAAGGAGCUCACCACGGCUCCAUGCCCUGGAUCUGGUGUGAGGGAGGGGGAAGGGAGCUCGCCGUGGUCAGGAGGGAGAGGAAGAGGCGGGCGGCCGGGGCUUCCCGAUCUAAAUCAAAGUCGAGGGAGGUGGGUGGGUGUGUCAGGAGGAAGGUGAGGGGGAGAGAACGUGACAAGAUGGAGGGGAUAAGGGGUGAUAGCAAUGGCGCACUGGUAGGGGUGCGCCAUACGUAUAGAUAGCAAUGGCGCAUCUCUUACUGGUGCGCCAUUACUAGUUUAAACUAGUAAUGGUGCACGGUGGAACAGUGCGCUAUUAGUAGUUUUGCAAAAAAAAGUAAUAAAAAUAUAAUAAAAAAACAACAUUAGUGGCGCACUUUUCGACAGGUGCGCCAUUACUAGUUACAACUAGUAAUGGCGCACUGUGUCUGGAUGCGCCAUUAGUAUGUUUGGACAGGCGCACUAGUUCAAAAAAAAUUGAUACUAAUGGCGCACCCUGGGCCAGGUGCGCCAUUAGUAGUUUCAACUCUAAUGGCGUAUCAGAAGGUGGUGCGCCAUUAGUAUAUACCCUUGUAGAGGACUUAGGACUUGAUAAUAACUUUAGCCAAUCUGCUUCAUUAGUUACGAAUGGUUUCAUUAGAUAAUAAUGAGUAAGUGAAGAAGUUGAAUGGAAAUAGUCAAUAUUUGCAUUGUGGCUGUUGGAUUAAUCAGCCUAUGUAGUAUGUACAGAUGCUUAGAAGGUGAUCCGAAGUUGGAGAGGUCGGGGAUGAGCUGAUGCGGCGGGGGUGGUGAAGGGGAUCUCUGGUGGCCGGAGUUGAGGACGAGCUCGGUGCAGCGUCUCCGAGGCGAGCAAGCGCUCGGGCGCGGCCUACUCGAUGUAGUCGAUGGCGGCGGAGCUCGUGGACACGAUGGCGCGGCGCGAGGACGACGGAAGGCACGGCUACGACGACGGUGCGGCGACAGAAGUGUCGGCCAUGGUGGGGAACGGCGAAGGGAUAGAGACAGGGGGGAAAUGGCGUGUCCAGGGGCUUCGGGGUGCGACGUGGAGGCGUCCAGGCGUCUAGGGGCGCGGGCGGCAAGCAGGUGACGCCGUGGUGAGCUCGGGCACGCCGGAGUCACCUCCCUGCCUGCGUGGCGGGGAAGAAGCAGCUGGCUGGCGCGAGCCAGCACAGUGCUGGGCCGCCUGGUGGGCCGGCGGGUGAGAUAGCUGGGCCGCGCCAGGUAAGCUUCUCUCUCUCUCUCUCUUUCUUAUUUGUUUUCUUUUUCUAUUUUUCUGCAACUGUUGGGCUUUAUUAAAAAUACCUAGACAUCUUUAAAAAUCCUGAAAAUAAUCAGGGGCUCUGUUUAGAUUAUUCCCAACAGCCCACACUUAUUUCUAGAAUUAUUUGAGCAUUUAAAUUAUUUUAUAGCAUUUAAAUGCCCAAAUUCAAAUACUUAUGAUUUAAUUCAAGAAAAUCCAGAAUGUCCUAGAAAAGAGUGCACCAUUUUUGCCAGGGGUUUUAGCCCAAUCCAGAAAUGAUGAACAUUUUGUGAAAGGCAUUUUGGGUUCAUUGAAAAUAAUUUUAGUAAACCCUAGUUGUUUCCAGGGGGUGCUGGGGGUUCUGUCAUCCCCAUUUCAAAUUUAAAAGGAAUUUAAACAUGAUGCACACUCUAAUGCUUGAACUAGCUAGGGUGUGACACUAAGCAACCCGGCAACGACAUAGAUGUGUACCUAAGGCCAUUAGUUGAAGAACUCUUACAACUGUGGAAUGGAACAGGUGUACGUGCGUGGGAUGAGCACAUGGGGAAAGAAUUUGACCUAAAGGCGUUGUUGUUCGUGACCAUCAAUGAUUGGCCUGCUCUCACUAACCUUUUAGGACAGACAAACAAGGGAUACCGCGCAUGCACGCACUGUUUGGACGAUGCCGACAGUAUAUAUUUGGCUAAAUGUAAGAAGAAUGUGUACCUGGGACAUCAUCGAUUUCUUCCGAGCAGGCAUCCCGUAAGAAAGAAAGGCAAGCAUUUCAAAGGUGAGGCGGAUCACCGGACGAAGCCUCGCCACCGUACUGGUGCUGAUGUACAUGAUAUGGUCAACGAUUUGAAGGUGGUCUUUGGAAAGGGUCCUGGUGGACAACCUAUUCCGAAUGACGCUGACGGACGCGCACCCAUGUGGAAGAAGAAAUCUAUAUUUUGGGACCUGCCCUAUUGGAAAGACCUAGAGGUCCGCUCCGCAAUCGACGUGAUGCACGUGACGAAAAUCUUUGUGUGACCCUGCUUGGCUUCUUGGGCGUGUAUGGGAAGACAAAAGAUACACCUGAGGCACGGGAGGACCAACAAUGUAUGCACGGAAAAGAUGGCAUACAUCAGGGUCAUGCAAGCUACGCUCUUACCAAAGAAGAGAAGGAAAUCUUCUUUGAAUGCCUGCUCAGUAUUAAGGUACCGUCUGGCUUCUCGUCUAAUAUAAAGGGAAUAAUAAACAUGGCAGACAAAAGUUCCAGAACCUAAAGUCUCAUGACUGCCACGUGAUUAUGGCGCAACUGCUUCCGGUUGCAUUGAGGGGGCUUCUACCAGAAAACGUUCGAUUAGCCAUUGUGAAGCUAUGUGCAUUUCUCAAUGCAAUCUCUCAGAAGGUAAUCGAUCCAGAAAUAAUACCAAGGUUAGAGAAUUAUUUGGUGCAAUGUCUUGUCAGUUUCGAGUUGGUGUUCCCACCAUCCUUCUUCAACAUCAUGACGCACGUCCUAGUUCACCUAUGCGAAGAGAUUAACGUUUUGGGUCAUGUAUUUCUACACAAUAUGUUCCCCUUUGAGAGGUUCAUGGGAGUCUUAAAGAAAUAUGUUCAUAACCGUGCUAGGCCAGAAGGAAGCAUCUCCAAGGCCAUGAAAAUGAGGAGGUCAUUGAGUUUUGUAUUGACUUUAUUCCUGACCUUAAGCCGAUUGGUGUUCCUGAAUCGCGGCAUAAGGGCAGACUGGAUGGAAAAGGCACGCUAGGAGGGGAACAAAUAAUAUGUAUGUACGGACAUUCUCUCACUGAAGCACACUACACAGUUCUACAGAAUUCCGCCUUGGUGGCUCCAUAUAUGGAUGAACACAAGAAUUUGCUACGCUCCAAACACCCGGAGCGGUCUGAUGACUGGAUUACACGUGAACAAACCAGAAGUUUCGCCAGCUGGUUGCAGACACGUACCAUGCAUGACACCUCUAUUGAAGAUGACCUGUACUUGCUGUCCCAGUUACCAUCUUCGAAUAUAAUGACUUUCAAAGGGUACCAGAUAAAUGGUAAUACAUUUUACACGAUCGCCCAAGAUAAGAAGAGCACCAACCAAAACAGUGGUGUCUACUUUGAUGCAGAAACCAAGACGGGAAAGGAAACAUAUUAUGGUUAUAUACCGGACAUAUGGGAACUUGACUAUCGACGUGGUUUAAAGGUCCCUUUGUUUCGGUGCAAAUGGGUCAAUAUGACACGAGGCGGGGUAACGGAAGACCCGCAGUACGGAAUGACAACAGUGGAUCUCAACAAUCUUGCGUAUGCAGACGAACCAUUCGUCCUAGCCAAUGAUGUGGCACAGGUUUUCUAUGUGAAGGACAUGUCUACCAAGCCAAGAAAAAGAAAAGAUAAGGAAGCGAAUGCAUCGUACGAUGAGCCAAAGCGGCACAUAGUUCUUUCUAGGAAGAGAAACAUCGUGGGAGUGGAUGACAAGACAGACAUGUCAGAAGAUUAUGAAAAGUUUGAUGAAAUUGCUCCAUUCACAGUGAAUAUUGACCCGAGCAUCCCGUUAAAUGAUGAAGAUUUUCCAUGGUUACGGCGCAAAGGGACGCACGCGAAGAAAAAGUUUCACACCCAAAGAUCUGGGAUGUGAUCGGCUUCACUAUCAUCACUUUCUUCUGUGUUUCACACCCAGGAGGGAAUCUCUGUAAUAGUUAGGGUAGUUAUGUGUUUUGGCAUUUGAAACGCGAAGAAAUUUUAUGUGCAAACAAAUUCUUUCAUGCCUUUACUGAUUUUUAAAGUUAAGUUAUUCACAAACUAGUGAUUCACACUAAUUUCAAAUAAUUCAAAAUUUAAACUAUUCAAAUUUGAAAACUACAGGCACUAACAGAAAGUUUGUAAUUUUUUGUACCUAAAGCAAAAAUUGAAGGAAAUAUGCCCUAGAGGCAAUAAUAAAGUUAUUAUUUAUUUCCUUAUAUCAUGAUAAAUGUUUAUUAUUCAUGCUAGAAUUGUAUUAACCGGAAACAUAAUACAUGUGUGAAUACAUAGACAAACAGAGUGUCACUAGUAUGCCUCUACUUGACUAGCUCGUUAAUCAAAGAUGGUUAUGUUUCCUAACCAUGGACAAAGAGUUGUUAUUUGAUUAACGGGAUCACAUCAUUAGGUGAAUGAUCUGAUUGACAUGACCCAUUCCAUUAGCUUAGCACCCGAUCGUUUAGUAUGUUGCUAUUGCUUUCUUCAUGACUUAUACAUGUUCCUAUGACUAUGAGAUUAUGCAACUCCCGUUUGCCGGAGGAACACUUUGUGUGCUACCAAACGUCACAACAUAACUGGGUGAUUAUAAAGGUGCUCUACAGGUGUCUCCAAAGGUACAUGUUGGGUUGGCGUAUUUCGAGAUUAGGAUUUGUCACUCCGAUCGUCGGAGAGGUAUCUCUGGGCCCUCUAAUGCACAUCACUUAAGCCUUGCAAGCAUUGCAGCUAAUGAGUUAGUUGCGGGAUGAUGUAUUACGGAACGAGUAAAGAGACUUGCCGGUAAUGAGAUUGAACUAGGUAUUGGAUACCGACGAUCGAAUCUCGGGCAAGUAACAUACCGAUGACAAAGGGAACAACGUAUGUUGUUAUGCGGUCUGACCGAUAAAAGAUCUUCGUAGAAUAUGUAGGAACCAAUAUGGGCAUCAAGGUCCCGCUAUUGGUUAUUGACCGGAGACGUGUCUCGGUCAUGUCUACAUUGUUCUCGAACCCGUAGGGUCCGCACGCUUAAGGUUUCGAUGACAGUUAUAUUAUGAGUUUAUGAGUUUUGAUGUACCAAAGGAGUUCGGAGUCCCGGCUGAGAUUGGGGACAUGACGAGGAGUCUCGAAAUGGUCGAGACGUAAAAAUCGAUAUAUUGGACGACUAUAUUCGGACAUCGGAAAGGUUCCGAGUGAUUCGAGUAUUUUUCGGAGUACCGGAGAGUUACGGGAAUUCGCCGGGAGAAGUAUUGGGCCUUAUUGGGCCAUACGGGAAAGAGAGAGGGGCUGCCUAGGGUAGGCCGCGCGCCCCCCAAGGCCUAGUCCGAAUUGGACUAGGGGGAGGGGCUGCGCCCCUUCCUUGUUUCCUACUCCUACUACAUGGAAGGACUCCUACUUGGACUAGGAAAGGGGGAAUCCUACUCCCGGUGAGAGUAGGACUUCUCUAGGCGCGCCAUAGAGAGGGCCGGCCCUCCCCUCCUGCACUCCUUGAUAUACGGGGGCAGGGGGCACCCCAUAGACACACAAGUUGAUCCACGUGAUCAUAUUCUUAGCCGUGUGCGGUGCCCCCUUCCACUAUAGUCCUCGAUAAUAUUGUAGCAGUGCUUAGGCGAAGCCCUGCGACAGUAGUACAUCAAGAUCGUCACCACGCCGUCGUGCUGACGGAACUCUUGCCCGACACUUUGCUGGAUCGGAGUCCGGGGAUCGUCAUCGAGCUGAACGUGUGCUAGAACUCGGAGGUGCCGUAGUUUCAGUGCUUGAUCGUCGGGCCGUGAAGACGUACGACUACAUCAACCGCGUUGUCAUAACGCUUUUGCUAUCGGUCUACAAGGGUACGUAGAUCACACUCUCCCCUCUCGUUGCUAUGCAUCACCAUGAUCUUGCGUGUGCGUAGGAAAUUUUUUGAAAUUACUACGUUCCCCAACAGUGGCAUCCGAGCCUAGGUUUUAUGCGUUGAUGUAAUAUGCACGAGUAGAACACAAGUGAGUUGUGGGCGAUAUAAGUCAUACUGCUUACCAGCAUGUCACAGUUUGGUUCGGCGGUAUUGUUGGAUGAAGCGGCCCGGACCGACAUUACGCGUACGCUUAUGCGAGACUGGUUCUACCGACGUGCUUUGCACACAGGUGGCUGGCGGGUGUCAGUUUCUCCAACUUUAGUUGAACCGAGUGUGGCUACGCCCGGUCCUUGCGAAGGUUAAAACAACACCAACUUGACAAACUAUCGUUGUGGUUUUUGAUGCGUAGGUAAGAACGGUUCUUGCUAAGCCCGUAGCAGCCACGUAAAACUUGCAACAACAAAGUAGAGGAUGUCUAACUUGUUUUUGCAGGGCAUGUUGUGAUGUGAUCUGGUCAAGACAUGAUGCUAAAUUUUAUUGUAUGAGAUGAUCAUCUUUUGUAACCGAGUUAUCGGCAACUGGCAGGAGCCAUAUAGUUAUCGCUUUAUUGUAUGCAAUGCAAUCGCACUGUAAUGCUUUACUUUAUCACUAAGAGGUAGCGAUAGUCGUGGAAGCAUAAAAGUGGCGAGACGACAACGAUGCUGCGAUGGAGAUCAAGGUGUCACGCCGGUGACGAUGGUGAUCAUGACGGUGCUUCGGAGAUGGAGAUCACAGGCACAAGAUGAUGAUGGCCAUAUCAUAUCACUUAUAUUGAUUGCAUGUGAUGUUUAUCUUCUAUGCAUCUUAUCUUGCUUUGAUUGACGGUAGCAUUAUAAGAUGAUCUCUCACUGAAUUAUCCAGAAGUGUUCUCCCUGAGUAUGCACCGUUGCGAAAGUUCUUCGUGCCGAGACACCACAUGAUGAUCGGGUGUGAUAGGCUCUACGUUCAAAUACAACAGGUGCAAAACAGUUGCACACGCGGAAUACUCAGGUUAUACUUGACGAGCCAAGCAUAUGCAGAUAUGGCCUCGGAACACGGAGACCGAAAGGUCGAGCGUGAAUCAUAUAGUAGAUAUGAUCAACAUAGUGAUGUUCACCAAUGAAACUACAUCUCACGUGAUGAUCGGACAUGGUUUAGUUGAUUGGGAUCAUGUGAUCGCUUAGAGGAUUAGAGGGAUGUCUAUCUAAGUGGGAGUUCUUAAGUAAUAUGAUUAAUUGAACUUAAAUUUAUCAUGAACUUAGUCCUUAUAGUAUUUUGCAAAUUAUGUUGUAGAUUAAUAGCUCGUGUUGUUGCUUCCUUGUGUUUUUUAUAUGUUCCUAGAGAAAAUUGUGUUGAAAGAUGUUAGUAGCAAUGAUGCGGAUUGGAUCCGUCAUCUGAGGUUUAUCCUCAUUGCUGCACAGAGGAAUUAUGUCCUUGAUGCACCGCUAGGUGACAGACCUAUUGCAGGAUCAGAUACUAACGUUAUGAACGUUUGGCUAGCUAAAUAUGAUGACUACUUGAUAGUUUAGUGCACCAUGCUUAACGGCUUAGAAUCGGGACUUCAAAGACGUUUUGAACGUCAUGGACCAUAUGAGAUGUUCCAGGAGUUGAAGUUAAUAUUUCAAGCAAAUACCCGAGUUGAGAGAUAUGAAGUCUCCAACAAGUUCUAUAGCUAAAAGAUGGAGGAGAAUCGCUCAACUAGUGAGCAUGUGCCCAAAUUGUCUGAGUACUACAAUCACUUGAAUCAAGUGGGAGUUAAUCUUCUAGAUAAGAUAGUGAUUGACAGAAUUCUCUAGUCACCAUCACCAAGUUAGUAGAACUUCGUGAUGAACUAUGAUAUGCAAGGGAUAACGGAAACGAUUCCCAUGCUCUUCGUAAUGCGGAAAUUGAUGAAGGUAGAAAUCGAGAAAAACAUCAAGUGUUGAUGGUAGACAAGACCACUACUUUCAAGAAAAAGGAAGAGGGAAGAAGGGGAACUUCAAGAAAAACAGCAAGCAAGUUGCUGCUCAUGUGAAGAAGCCCAAGUCUGGUCCUAAGCCUAUGACUAAGUGCUUCUACUGCAAAGGGACUAGUCACUGGAAGCGGAACUACCCCAAGUGAUUGGCGGAUAAGAAGGAUGGCAAAGUGAACAUAAGUAUAUUUGAUAUACAUGUUAUUGAUGUGUACUUUACUAGUGUUUAUAGCAACCCCUCAGUAUUUGAUGCUAGUUCAGUUGCUAAGAGUAGUAACUCGAAACGGGAGUUGCAGAAUGAACAGAGACUAGUUAAGGGUGAAGUGACGAUGUGUUUUGGAAGUGGUUCCAAGAUUGAUAUGAUCAUCAUCGCACACUCCCUAUACUUUCGGGAUUAGUGUUGAACCUAAAUAAGUGUUAUUUGGUGUUUGCGUUGAGCAUGAAUAUGAUUUGAUCAUGUUUAUUGUAAUACGGUUAUUCAUUUAAGUAAAAGAAUAAAUUGUUGUUCUGUUUACAUGAAUAAAACCUUAUUUGGUUACACACCCAAUGAAAAUAGUUCAUUGGAUGUCGAUCGUAGUGAUACACAUAUUCAUAAUAUUGAAACCAAAAGAUGCGAAGUUAAUAAUGAUAGUGCAACUUAUUUGUGGCACUGCCAUUUAGGUCAUAUUGGUGUAAAGCUCAUGAAGAAACUCCAUGCUGAUGGGAUUUUGGAAUCACUUGGUGCUUGCGAACCAUGCCUUAUGGAUAAAAUGACUAAAGACUCCGUUCUCCGGAACAAUGGAGCGAGCAACUGACUUAUUGGAAAUAAUACAUACUGAUGUAUGCGAUCUGAUGAGUGUUGAAGCUCGCGGCGGGUAUCGUUAUUUUCUGACCUUCACAUAUGAUUUGAGCAGAUAUGGUAUAUCUGCUUGAUGAAACAUAAGUCUGAAACAUUUGAAAAGUUCAAAGAAUUUCAGAGUGAAAUGGAAAAUCAUCGUAACAAGAAAAAUAAGGUUUCUACGAUCUGAUCGCGGAGACAAAUAUUUGAGUUACGAGUUUGGUCUUCAAUUAAAACUAUGUGGAAUAGUUUCACAAAUUCAUGCCACCUGGAACACCACAGCAUAAUAGUGUGUUCGAACAUCAUAACCGUACUUUAUUGGAUAUAGUGCAAUCUAUGAUGUUUCUUACCGAUUUACCACUAUAGUUUUGGGGUUAUGCAUUAGAGACAGCUGCAUUCACGUUAAAAGGGCACCAUCUAAAUCUGUUGAGACGACACCGUAUGAACUGUGGUUUGGCAAGAAACCAAAGUUGUCGUUUCUCAAAGUUUGGGGUUGCAAUGCUUAUGUGAAAAAGUUUCAUCCUGAUAAGCUCAAACCCAAAUCGGAAAAGUGUGUCUUCAUAGGAUACCCAAAAAGUUACUGUUGGGUACACCUUCUAUCACAGAUCCGAAGGCAAGACUUUUGUUGCUAAAUUCAGAAACUUUCUGGAGAAGGAGUUUCUCUCGAAAGAAGUGAGUGGGAGGAAAGUAGAACUUGAUGAGGUAACUGUACCUACUCCCUUAUUGGAAAGUAGUACAUCACAGAAAACUGUUUCUGCGACACCUACCCCAAUUAGUGAGGAAGCUAAUGAUACUGAUCAUGAAACUUCAGGACAAGAUACUAUUGAACCUCAUAGAUCAACCAGAGUGAGAUCCGCGCCAUAGUGGUACGGUAAUCCUAUUCUGGAAAUCAUGCUGCUAGAUCAUGAUGAACCUACGAACUAUGAGGAAGCGAUGAUGAGCCCAGAUUCCGAUAAAUGGCUUGAGGCCAUGAAAUCUGAGAUAGGAUCCAUGUAUGAGAACAAAGUGUGGACUUUGGUGGACUUGCCCGAGGAUCGGCAAGCCAUUGAUAAUAAAUGGAUCUUCAAGAGGAAGACGGACACGGAUAGUAGUGUUACUAUCUACAAAGCUAGAAUUUUCGCAAAAGGUUUUCGACAAGUUCAAGGUGUUGACUACGAUGAGAUUUUCUCACUCGUAUCUAUGCUUAAGUCUGUCCGAAUCAUGUUAGCAAUUGCCGCAUUUUAUGAAAUCUGGCAAAUGGAUAAACAAAACUGCAUUCCUUAAUGGAUUUAUUAAAGAAGAGUUGUAUAUGAUGCAACCAGAAGGUUUUGUCAAUCCUAAAGGUACUAACAAAAUAUGCAAGCUCCAACGAUCCAUCUAUGGACUGGUGCAAACAUCUCGGAGUUGGAAUACACGCUUUGAUAAGUUGAUCAAAGCAUAUAGUUUUAUACAGACUUGUGGUGAAGCCUGUAUUUACAAGAAAGUGAGUGGGAGCACUACAACAUUUCUGAUAAGUAUAUGUGAAAGACAUAUUAUUGAUCGGAGAUAAUGUAGUAUUAUUCUGCAAAUCAUAAAGGAAUAUUUGAAAGGAGUUUUUCAAAGAAAGACCUCGGUGAAGCUGCUUACAUAUUGAGCAUCAAUAUCUAUAGAGAUAGAUCAAGACGCUUGAUAAGUUUUUCAAUGAGGAUAUACCUUGACAAGAUUUUGAAGUAGUUCAAAAUGGAAUAGUCAAAGAAGGAGUCCUUGCCUGUGUUACAUAGGUGUGAAGUUGAGUAAGACUCAAAACCCGACCACGGCAGAAGAUAGAGAGAGAAUGAAAGUCAUUCCCUAUGCCUCAGCCAUAGGUUCUAUAAAGUAUGCCAUGCUGUGUACCAGACCUAUUGUAUACCCUGCCCUGAGUUUGGCAAGGGAGUACAAUAGUGAUCUAGGAGUAGAUCACUGGACAUUGUUCAAAAUUAUCCUUAGUGGAAUAAGGAUAUGUUUCUCGAUUAUGGAGGUGACAAAAGGUUCGUCGUAAAGGGUUACGUCGAUGCAAGUUUUGACACUGAUCCAGAUGACUCUAAGUCUCAAUCUGGAUACAUAUUGAAAGUGUGAGCAAUUAGCUAGAGUAGCUCCAUGCAGAGCAUUGUUGACAUAGAAAUUUGCAAAAUACUUACAGAUCUGAAUGUGGCAGACCCGUUGACUAAACUUCUCUCACAAGAAAAACAUGAUCACACCUCAGUACUCUUUGGGUGUUAAUCACAUAGCGAUGUGAACUAGAUUAUUGACUCUAGUAAACCCUUUGGGUGUUGGUCACAAGUUGAUGUGAACUAUGGGUGUUAAUCACAUGGUGAUGUGAACUAUUGAUGUUAAAUCACAUGGCGAUGUGAACUAGAUUAUUGACUCUAGUGCAAGUGGGAAACUAAAGGAAAUAUGCCCUAGAGGCAAUAAUAAAGUUAUUAUUUAUUUCCUUAUACCAUGAUAAAUGUUUAUUAUUCAUGCUAGAAUUGUAUUAACCGGAAACAUUAUACCUGUGUGAAUACAUAGACAAACAGAGUGUCACUAGUAUGCCUCUACUUGACUAGCUCGUUAAUCAAAGAUGGUUAUGUUUCCUAACCAUGGACAAAGAGUUGUUAUUUGAUUAACGGGAUCACAUCAUUAGGUGAAUGAUCUGAUUGACAUGACCCAUUCCAUUAGCUUAGCACCAGAUCGUUUAGUAUGUUGCUAUUGCUUUCUUCAUGACUUAUACAUGUUCCUAUGACUAUGAGAUUAUGCAACUCCCGUUUGCCGGAGGAACACUUUGUGUGCUACCAAACGUCACAACGUAACUGGGUGAUUAUAAAGGAGCUCUACAGGUGUCUCCAAAGGUACAUGUUGGGUUGGCGUAUUUCGAGAUUAGGAUUUGUCACUUCGAUCAUCGGAGAGGUAUCUCUGGGCCCUCUCGGUAAUGCACAUCACUUAAGCCUUGCAAGCAUUGCAGCUAAUGAGUUAGUUGCGGGAUGAUGUAUUACGGAACGAGUAAAGAGACUUGCCGGUAACGAGAUUGAACUAGGUAUUGGAUACCGACGAUCGAAUCUCGGGCAAGUAACAUACCGAUGACAAAGGGAACAACGUAUGUUGUUAUGCGGUCUGACCGAUAAAAGAUCUUUGUAGAAUAUGUAGGAACCAAUAUGGGCAUCCAGGUCCCGCUAUUGGUUAUUGACCGGAGACGUGUCUCGGUCAUGUCUACAUUGUUCUCGAACCCGUAGGGUCUGCACGCUUAAGGUUUCGAUGACAGUUAUAUUAUGAGUUUAUGAGUUUUAAUGUACCGAAGGAGUUCAGAGUCCCGGAUGAGAUCGGGGACAUGACGAGGAGUCUCAAAAUGGCCGAGACAUAAAAAUCGAUAUAUUGGACGACUAUAUUCGGACAUCGGAAAGGUUCCGAGUGAUUCGAGUAUUUUUCGGAGUACCGGAGAGUUACGGGAAUUCGCCGAGAGAAGUAUUGGGCCUUAUUGGGCCAUACGGGAAAGAGAGAGGGGCUGCCUAGGGCAGGCCGCGCGCCCCCAAGGCUUAGUCCGAAUUGGACUAGGGGGAGGGGCUGCGCCCCUUCCUUGUUUCCUACUCCUACUACAUGGAAGGACUCCUACUUGGACUAGGAAAGGGGGAAUCCUACUCCCGGUGAGAGUAGGACUUCUCUAGGCGCGCCAUAGAGAGGGCCGGCCCUCCCCUCCUGCACUCCUUGAUAUACGGGGGCAGGGGGCACCCCAUAGACACACAAGUUGAUCCACGUGAUUAUAUUCUUAGCCGUGUGCGGUGCCCCCUUCCACCAUAGUCCUCGAUAAUAUUGUAGUAGUGCUUAGGCGAAGCCCUGCGACAGUAGUACAUCAAGAUCGUCACCACGCCGUCGUGCUGACGGAACUCUUCCCCGACACUUUGCUGGAUCGGAGUCCGGGGAUCGUCAUCGAGCUGAACGUGUGCUAGAACUCGGAGGUGCCGUAGUUUCGGUACUUGAUCGAUCGGGCCGUGAAGACGUACGACUACAUCAACCGCGUUGUCAUAACGCUUCCGCUAUCAGUCUACAAGGAUACGUACAUCACACUCUCCUCUCUCGUUGCUAUGCAUCAUCAUGAUCUUGCGUGUGCGUAGGAAAUUUUUUGAAAUUACUAUGUUCCCCAACAAAAAUAUUCACAAAGAAACUCUAAAUACACAAAAAAAACAACUCAAAAAUAAAUAAAGCAAAAAAAAUAAAAAAAGCCCGCCUACUGGGCCAGAGCGGCCUGCAUACGACUAGAAACUCAACCUGUUGUUGGGCCAGGAUGCAGGCCCGCAAAGGUCGAGUAGGCCCACAGGGCAGCACAGAACAUGUAGGCCCAGUAGGCCUGCUUUGGAGAGGAGCUCGAGACAGCUACCGCACGGGGGGUUAUAAACCAGUGCAGACGCCCUUCGGCUAGCGAGGUGGGACUAAACUUGCUGCACCGCACCUGCGCCAAUGCACCCCCUUUAGUACCGGGUGGUGGCACCAACCGGUACUAAAGGCGGGGGUGCCUUUAGUACCGGUUGGAGCCACCACCCGGUACUAAAGGGGGUGCGCUUCCCGCCGCUUGGACUGGCCAAAACAGGCCUUUAGUACCGGUUGGUGGCUCCAACCGGUACUAAAGGUCCAUCCUAUAUAUCCAAACACUUCAAAAAUUUCAGUUUUUCAUCUGCUUCUUCUCCUCUGCCCCGUCGCCCGCCGCCCCCGUCUCCAUAUCCCUCGUCGCCGCCCCCGUCGCCGCCCCGUCCCCGUCGUCGNNNNNNNNNNNNNNNNNNNNNNNNNNNNNNNNNNNNNNNNNNNNNNNNNNNNNNNNNNNNNNNNNNNNNNNNNNNNNNNNNNNNNNNNNNNNNNNNNNNNNNNNNNNNNNNNNNNNNNNNNNNNNNNNNNNNNNNNNNNNNNNNNNNNNNNNNNNNNNNNNNNNNNNNNNNNNNNNNNNNNNNNNNNNNNNNNNNNNNNNNNNNNNNNNNNNNNNNNNNNNNNNNNNNNNNNNNNNNNNNNNNNNNNNNNNNNNNNNNNNNNNNNNNNNNNNNNNNNNNNNNNNNNNNNNNNNNNNNNNNNNNNNNNNNNNNNNNNNNNNNNNNNNNNNNNNNNNNNNNNNNNNNNNNNNNNNNNNNNNNNNNNNNNNNNCUCGCCGAUGAGCACACACGCACAUACAUUUUUUUAGUUUUUUAGUUAUAGAAAUAGUUAUAAAAAUGUUAGAAAAUUUUCUUUUCUUAGUUAUAGAAAUAGUUACUUAUAUAUCAUUAUUAGAAAUGUUAGAAUUGUUAGAAAUUUUUUCUGUUUUUUAGUUAUAGAAAUAGUUAUAAAAAAGUUAGAAUUGUUAGAAAUUUUUCUGUUUUUUAGUUAUAGAAAUAGUUAUAAAAAAGUUAGAAAUUUUUCUUUUUUUAGUUAUAGAAAUAUUAGAAAUGUUAUACAAAUGUUAGUUAUACAGAUAGAAAUGUUAUAAUUUUUUUUGUUUUUUAGUUAUAGAAAUAUUAGAAAUGUUAUAGAAAUGUUAGUUAUAUAGCAUUGUUAGAAAUGUUAUAGGAAUGUUAGUUAUAUAGAAAUGUUAGAACUUUGAGUUAUCAAAAUCCAAUUAUUAAAAAAAUGUUACUUUUUGCGGGCAUAUAGCUAGUACUUGUUCUCGACGAUGCCCGGCCCGCAUCCUCGCCGUCGACCCGUCCGCGACGACGUCCGGCUGACCCAUGUCCGAGACUGGGCUCCGCCGGGCUGGCACUGGGGGGGCGCGCCGCUUGAUGAGGAACAUGGCCCCGGGUCCCGUCGUCGACCCUGAUCUAGUUUGGAGGCGUUCGCGUCGGCCAGUUUCGGUGCGGAGGGAGCCGGCCCCGCCGGAGGUGGUACGUCGCCGUGUUAGGGAGGAGGACGAGCACGUCCAUCGCUACAUGGUUGCGUUAGAGGGCGGCAGGUUCUCCAAUACCUGGCAGUUUCUUCAGGGAUCUCACUUCAGCUAUGAUCCUGUGAGGGUUCCUUCUCUUUGGGUGUCCACCGCCCGCGCCGCAGGAACUGCGAGUGUCCUAGAUUCUUCUGUAGUCAGUGAUGUAUUCGAUAUAUAAUAUUCGAGACGAUGUAUUCGAGAUUAUAUAUUAUUCGAGACGAUGUAUUCGAGAUUAUAUCUAUUAUUCGAGACGAUGUAUUCGAGAUUAUAUCUAUUAUUCAAGACGAUGUAUUCGAGAUUAUAUCUAUUAUUUGAGACGAUGUAUUCGAGAUUAUAUCUAUUAUUCGAGACGACGUAUUCGAGAUUAUAUUUGAUGAUGCUUAUAUGUACUAUGAUUGAUUCAGUUUUUCCUUAUUAAUUGAUUGCAUCCAUGCAUUGUAAUUUGAAUAUAUUUCUUUUGGAUUAGUUAAACAAAACCUAUGGCGGACAAUACCGGUAGAGAGGGAGAAGAGGCCCUGUUCAAUAUCAUAUGCAAUCCUCGCGGGCCAGAUGAUGAUCAGAAUGAAGAAGAUUAUGACGGCUCCGAAUAUGUAAACAACACCGGGGAGGGUGAUAUGAUAUUCGAUCGCGACGACUGAAUUGAUGAAGUCAUGAACUAUGAACAUGACAAAGAAAAUGUUGAUCUUGAAACAACAAAGACCGGCGAGGUAUAUAUAUUUAUAUAAGCAGGCAUCUGGUGAUCAUCACAUGUUUUAAAUGACUCGAAGAUAUAUUAACGAAUCGAUCUUUCUUCUUUCAGCUAUCUGGAUCGAGCAAAUCUUCAGGCAACAGGAUGAAAUGAGGCCCAAACAAAAAGUUGAAGGAGGGCGUAAAGUACAAUAUCGAGGCAAUCAGACCUAAUGGCGAACCAUUAGCGCCUAAGAAGAUUGCGGACAAGUUCGUUCGUCAGUGCGGAGUUCUUGUGAAGGACCUACUCCCGAUCUCCCUUCAAGAAUGGAGAGAGCCAGCAAACCAACGUCCAGAUCUUACUUUUGUCGAUGACAGACAAAAAGGUCUGCUUUGGGAUACUCUCAUGGAACAUUUCACCCUACCAGAUCAUUUCACAGAAGCAGAUGUGCAGAAAGUAAAGGACGCUGCUCUUAGGAAGAUGGCGGUUGCAUUCAAGAACCAUAAGAAUCAUGAAUGGGACAAGUACAUCAAGGGAGGAAGGAAGACUCCAGUAUUCGAGGGAACACUAGAGAAGCAAAGUGCUCAUUGGGACGAUUGCGUGAAAUUCAAGGAUUCGGAAUUAGCUAAGGAGCGGUCGAGAAUAAACAAGAAGAAUGUCGAAAAAAGGAUAAGUUCCAUAAGCUGGGGCCAGGUGGCUACGCGAUGGCAAUGCCUAAGUGGGAUAAGUUUGAGAAAGAGAUGGAGGAUGCAAGUGUCACUCCGGUUACUAGGAGCUGGCCCCCCAGGUGCAGGACUUGGUUCUAUGCGCAUGGGGGGAGUUGGACCCGAAGACAGGCAAAGUUUCGACGAAGGCAUGUCUGAACGGAGCCAACGAUGCGCUAAUUGUUGCAAUAGAAGAGGCUCGAACGGGGGUAUUCCAGCCCAACAGAGAGAACGACGAGCUUACGCGUGCCCUGGGAAAUCCUGAACACCCGGGAAUAACACGAGGCAAGGGCGCUAUUCCGUGGUAUGAGUGGUUUUCGGACUGGAACCGACUACAGAAACCGUGUGAGAAGGAAGAUUGCGGAGGAGAAGAAGAGGAAGAUGGAGGAGGAGCAGAGGAAGUUGGACUAUGAACGCCUUCAAGGCCUAGAAUCAAAGCACGCAGACUUGGCAGUCAAAUUCCAGCGGCAGCAGGAGCAGAUCGACUCACUUAGCCAGCAAAGGGGGUCUCAGCAGCUGCAGCGGCAAGCGGAUGAUCCAGCAUUGGAUAGCACCGCCCUAUCCAUGCCGAGAAGCAGCGUGGGUUCCGCCCCGGGCGACGCAAUGCUGGAUAGAUACCCCGUGGAUGACGUCACGGAGAACACUAACUGCGAGCUACACUUCAAAAUGAAGAACAUAUCCAUGAAGGUGGCGGAUGCCGUUGCUUUUACAAAUCCCCCCGAGGCAACCUUCCAUUGCAACCCGAUUCCAGCAGGCUAUGCUCGUGUCUUGGUUGAUGAGGUGGUGGACCCAUAUUCGGGGCUACAUCUUGACAUUCCUGGAGGUGAUGACGAGCACACAUUGGGAGAGGCCAUACAUCGUGUCAUCCUAUGGAGAAAGGAUUGCAUCGUCUUUCGAAGGCCACCGGCACCGCGUCACCCGACUCCUCGUCGAAGUCCGCCACCGAGUCAGCAAACUCCUGCUCCUCCAAGUCCACCAAUGUGUGAGGCCAUUACUCCUCCUCCAAGUCUGGCAAAGUGUCAGGCCACUCCUCCUCCAAGUCCGACACAGCGUCAGACGUCCACUCCUCCUCCAUGUCCGGCACAACUUCAGGCCACUCCUCCUCCAAGUCCGGCACAGCUUCAGGCCACUCCUCCUCAUCCAACUCAGCCCCGUCAGCCUUCUCCGCCGCCUCAGCAAUCGCAGAAGAGACACCCCGCAGCUAUGGUGCAUAGCGGUACGAGUCGAGGUAGUACAGGAAGUACAGGCGGAGGCAAGCUAUAUAAAUAUGGUCCAAGCCUCACUACUCCUCUUCCUCAGAGGGCUUAUGACAUGACCGAGGAGCAAACCAAUGCCAUAGAGCAGGCAGAAGUGGACGCCCAUUUUGGACCGAAACCGCCACCGCCGCCAAGGGAGAAACUGCCUGUGGAAAAGAUUGACCACUUCAUUCGUAUGGCCCAACCACCAGCUCCCAAGCCCGAUGACACAGACUAUGAGCGCCACAUCAGGAAGUUAAAUCGAGCACGUCUACAGAAGGAGGCGAGCUCGAGCUCGAGCAAACAACAAGCAGCUGUCAAAAAAUGCAGGAAAACCGUUCCCCAGCAGGGAGAACAGGCGACGCAAUCGAUCCCCUCGCUUGUUGUGCCAACAACACGUGAUAGUACGCGCGCCCAAUAUUAUUGUGGCCAAACAGUUUAUGUUCCCGAGGUGGGCAAUGUGGUAAUAACCGAGGAGCAUAUAAUGCAGGCUAAAAUUCUCAACAUCACUGUUGGACAACUCCUCAAGAUCGAGCCCAUGCCUGUGCUUACAGAGGAGGAAAUAAAAUGGAAAUAUGUCCGGGGCGAACCUUUGGUCAAGCCAGACGAGGUCAAGAAGCUCCUAACGCGAAUGUAUGAAUUGCAUCAAUGGUACAUGGACAUUACCAAGAGUUCCAAUCGAGAGUCCCUCAUGGUGGAAGUCAAGAAGGAUCAUUACUACCAUCAGAAAGCUGUGGCCGUUGAGUAUAAUGAACUGUUUGAGUUAUACAAUCAAGAUGCACUCGACAAAUCUAUCGUCAGUUGCUAUUGUCUGUAAGUGAUUUCUUUCUGUAAUUUAAGUCUCAAGCUAGCUGUAGUGAUCCUUUUGAUCAAUCAUUACCUGUAAUUAUCCUCACUAUAUUCUUUUCUGUGGUAUUAUGCAUGAUGAAGAUGUAUGUAAUGAAAAAAAGUGGACGCUACGGCAUUGGGUUCAUUGACCCAAACACCGUUAAUGAAUACACAUGGAAAAUAGAUCCAUAUCAUGAAAAGCAUGUAGAGGACAGCAUGCUAGAGUUCUUGAAGCGCCUCAAAUACAAUGAAGAUAUACUACUUCCUUACAACUUCCAGUGAGUCACACUGUCUUGUACUAUACAAAUUCUCUGUUUUUGCCUACUAGCUAGCUACAUGUUUUUGCUUAUGUAUGCCCGCUUAAUUAAGACAUGCAAACGUGUGUGCAUGCAGAUUUCACUGGAUCUUGUGUAUCAUUAAAGUUGACGCUGGAACAAUUGAAAUACUGGACUCACUACUCAAAGCAAAUAGUGACUAUAACAUCUUGUUUGGGAUAGUCAACAGGUAAUUUCAAUCAUUAUUAACUAUAUAUCUCGACCUAUUUAGUUCGUCAUUUCAUGAUAUGAACUAUUUAAUAACCCAUUUAUUCAUUUUCUUUGUCAGCGGGCAGGGCUUGGGCAAGGUUCAUCAGCGUCACUCCAGGCGAAUGGAAACAAAAGCUGAAAUGGUUUCGACCCAAGGUAAGUAAUUAAGUAGUACUAGCUAGCUAGCUAGCUGCCAUCUCUUUAAUUAUCAUGCUUGCUUAAUUAUUAUCUGAUCAACUUCCAUUCUCGUAAAGGCCCUGAAGGAGGCGCAGGGGACUGAUCUGUGUGCAUACUGCGUUUGCGAGAACAUUCACAUGAUGGCAUCCGAAAGGAGCAGAUCUCAAAGACAGGAAUGGCACUAGUAGAAAAAGGGUCCAAUCGUGAAGCACAUUAGUGCCGGUUUGAAUUUGAGCUGGCACUAAUGUGUGCAUUAGUGCCGGUUCCAACGGCUAGCCGGCCGCUCUCAUUAGUACCGGUCCGUGGUGAACCUUUAGCACCGGUUCGUGCCAUGAACCGGUACUAAAGUGAGUGGUGGCAGGAUGUUGUCAGUCCGGGGCCCCUCCAGCACCUUUAGUACCGGGUCGUUUCAUGAACCGGUACUAAAGGUCGUCCUACAUAGACCCUUCGUCCACCCGAGCUCGCUUUGUUCUUCCCCUUUCCCCUCUCCUCUCUGUUCUUUUCCCUCUUCCUCUCAAGCUCAUCACACAUUUUGCCCAAAAUUUGUCAAGAUUUGAAGGCCCCCAUCCAUUCAAAUGAUCACAAAGGUUAACAACUUUUUCCUUUCAUCUCUCAUUGCUAGAUUAGCUUGUGCAAUGCUUUAUAUAGUGAUUGAUUUUUGAGUUUAGUAAUUUGGGAGGAAUUAUAUAGAUGUGCUAGUAUUUGAUUUAUAUGCAAUUUGAGGUCAAAAAUAACACUUAGUUUGCAUAUGUAGGUGUGGUUUACGUAGUACCUUCUAAAUCUCCGUCGUAACCACCGUCGAUCGCUCGCAACGUCCCGUCGCCAGCACCACCUUGUGGUGAGCCUCUUGUUCUUGAACUUUUAUAUAAAAAAUUGAUGUUUGUGUGAUUUGGAUAUAUAGUUACUCGUAUAAUUAUCUUACCCAUACGUUGUUUGUUAUACAUAGUGCCAUGGUUUUGAUAUCCGUCCCCGUUGGCCCUCGUCCGGGUUAUGAUUCGGAUGUGGUAUAUUCUCUUUUAAAACUAUUCAUUGCAUUUCGUGUUUAUGACAAAUUAUGCCCAUCAAGUUGACAUAGAUAUUUGUAUGUAGGAGGUAGUUGAACCGGAAAUUCCAACCGACCCUAUUGUCGAGAGGUUAAAUUUAGUUGAAAGAGAAAACGAGGAUUUGAAGGAAAAAUUGAAAAGAAUUGAGGGGGAGAAGAUGGAAUUGGAGUUGCAUGUUGCCGAUGUCGUCGAUAAUCACAAGAUUAAGAUGGAGAAAAUGCGCUUGAAGAUUAGAAAGAUUAGAAAAUAUGCUAUUCAUAGUGAGGCUUGGUAUCAUUAUGCUGUUGGAUCAAUUGUUACCUUAGUUGCGAUCUUGAUCGCAUUUGUUGUUGCAUUUAAAUUCUUUAGCUAGAGAGUUAUUUGUUUGUUGCAUUUAAGUGUUGUAUGAUCUUUAUGUAUGAACUUUAUGUAUUGUAUUAAUUUGACGUUUUCGGUGCUGUCUAUUGAAGAUGAGCCGGCAAUGGAUGUACGAUGACCGAUGCUCUCCCGAAUUCAUUAAUGGUGUGCGUACUUUUCUGCUUGCGGCUGAGGCAAACAAGCGAGCGGAUGGUUUUAUGCCUUGUCCAUGUGCUGGCUGUAAGAAUGGUCACAAUUACUCUACGUCAAGAACCAUUCACGUCCACCUGUUUGAGUCCGGUUUCAUGCCCCACUAUAAUGUUUGGACCAAGCAUGGAGAAAGAGGGGUUAUGAUGGAAGACAAUGAAGAAGAAGAGGACGACGACAGCUAUCCUGGCCAUGGGUUCCCUGAAUACGAUGAUACAACAAUGAGGGAAGAAGCUGAGCCGGUAAUGCGGGAAGAAGCUAAAGAAGAGGCAUCGGAUGAGCCCGUUGAUGAUCUAGGUCAGGCCAUUGCCGAUGCAAAGAGAAACUGCGCAAGUGAUUUGGAGAAGAAGAAGUUGCAGCGCAUGUUAGAGGAUCACAAAAAAUUGUUGUACCCGAAUUGCGUAGGUGACAAGAAAAAGCUGGGCACCACACUGGAAUUGCUGCAAUGGAAGGCAGAGAAUGGUGUAUCUGACAAGGGAUUUGGAAAGUUGCUGGUAAUGAUAAAGGAUAUGCUUCCACAGGACAACGAAUUGCCCGAGAGUACGUACGAAGCAAAGAAGGUUGUCUGCCCUCUAGGGUUAGAGGUGCAGAAGAUACAUGCAUGCCCUAAUGGUUGCAUCCUCUACCGCGAUGAGUACGAGGAUUUGAACGCUUGCCUGGUAUGCGGUGCAUUGCGCUAUAAGAUCAGCCGCGAUGACCCUGGUGAUGUUGAGGGCGAGCGCCCCAGGAAGAAGAUUCCUGCCAAGGUGAUGUGGUAUGCUCCUAUAAUACCCCGGUUGAAACGUUUGUUCCAAAACAAAGAGCAUGCCAAUGCGAUGCGAUGGCACAGAGAAGACCGUAAGAAAGACGGAAAGUUGAGAGUACCCGCUGAUGGGUCGCAGUGGAGAAAAAUCGAAAGAAAGUACGGAAAGGAGUUUGUAGAUGACGCAAGGAACGUAUGGUUUGGUCUAAGCGCAGAUGGCAUUAAUCCUUUUGGGGAGCAGAGCAGCAACCAUAGAACCUGGCAUGUGACUCUAUGUUUGUAUAAUCUUCCUCAUUGGUUGUGCAUGAAGCGGAAGUUCAUUAUGAUGACAGUGCUCAUCCAAGGCCCUAAGCAACCCGGCAACGACAUUGAUGUGUACCUAAGGCCAUUAGUUGAAGAACUCUUACAACUGUGGAAUGGAACAGGUGUACGUGCGUGGGAUGAGCACAUGGGGAAGAAUUUGACCUAAAGGCGUUGCUGUUCGUGACCAUCAAUGAAUGGCUGUUCUCAGUAACCUUUCAGGACAGACAAACAAGGGAUACCGCGCAUGAACGCACUGUUUGGAUGAUACGGACAGUAUAUAUUUGGCUAAUUGUAAGAAGAAUGUGUACCUGGGACAUCGUCGAUUUCUUCCGAGCAGGCAUCCCGUAAGAAAGAAAGGCAAGCAUUUCAAAGGUGAGGCGGAUCACCGGACGAAGCCUCGCCACUGUACUGGUGUUGAUGUACAUGAUAUGGUCAAGGAUUUGAAGGUGGUCUUUGGAAAGGGUCCUGGUGGACAACCUGUUCCGAAUGACGCUGACGGACGCGCACCCAUGUGGAAGAAGAAAUCUAUAUUUUGGGACCUGCCCUAUUGGAAAGACCUAGAGGUCUGCUCCGCAAUCGACGUGAUGCAUGUGACGAAGAAUCUUUGUGUGACCCUGCUUGGCUUCUUGGGCGUGUAUGGGAAGACAAAAGAUACACCUGAGGCACGGGAGGACCAGCAAUGUAUGCACGGAAAAGACGGCAUACAUUAGGGUCAUGCAAGCUAUGCUCUUACAAAAGAAGAGAAGGAAAUCUUCUUUGAAUGCAUGCUCAGUAUUAAGGUACCGUCUGGCUUCUCGACGAAUAUAAAGGGAAUAAUAAACAUGGCAGAGAAAAAGUUCCAGAACCUAAAGUCUCAUGACUGCCACAUGAUUAUGACGCAACUUCUUCCGGUUGCAUUGAGGGUGCUUCUACCAGAAAAUGUUCGAUUAGCCAUUGUGAAGCUAUGUGCAUUUCUCAAUGUAAUCCCUCAGAAGGUAAUCGAUCCAGAAAUCAUACCAAGGUUAGAGAAUGAUUUGGUGCAAUGGCUUGUCAGUUUCGAGUUGGUGUUCCCACCAUCCUUCUUCAACAUCAUGACGCACGUCCUAGUUCACUUAUGCGAAGAGAUUAACGUUUUUGGUCCUGUAUUUCUACACAAUAUGUUCCCCUUUGAGAGGUUCAUGGGAGUCUUAAAGAAAUAUGUUCAUAACCAUGCUAGGCCAGAAGGAAGCAUCUCCAAGGGCCAUGAAAAUGAGGAGGUCAUUGAGUUUUGUAUUGACUUUAUUCCUGACCUUAAGCCGAUUGGUGUUCCUAAAUCGCGGCAUAAGGGCAGACUGGAUGGAAAAGGCAUGCUAGGAGGGGAACAAAUAAUAUGUAUGGACGAACAUUCUCUCACUGAAGCACACUACACAGUUUUACAGAAUUCCGCCUUGGUGGCUCCGUAUAUGUAUGAACACAAGAAUUUGCUACGCUCCAAACACCCGAGCGGUCUGAUGACUGGAUUACACGUGAACUAACUAGGAGUUUCGCCAGCUGGUUGCAGACACGUACCAUGCAUGACACCUCUAUUGAAGAUGACAUGUACUUGCUGUCCCAGUUACCAUCUUCGAAUAUAAUGACUUUCAAAGGGGACGAGAUAAAUGGUAAUACAUUUUACACGAUCGCCCAAGAUAAGAAGAGCACCAACCAAAACAGUGGUGUCUGCUUUGAUGCAGAAACCAAGACGGGAAAGGAAACAUAUUAUGGUUAUAUACAGGACAUAUGGGAACUUGACUAUCGACGUGGUUUGAAGGUCCCUUUGUUUCGGUGCAAAUGGGUCAAUAUGACACGAGGCGGGGUAACGGAAGACCCGCAGUACGGAAUGACAACAGUGGAUCUCAACAAUCUUGCGUAUGCAGACGAACCAUUCGUCCUAGACAAUGAUGUGGCACAGGUUUUCUAUGUGAAAGACAUGUCUACCAAGCCAAGAAAAAGAAAAGAUAAGGAAGCGAAUGCAUUGUACGAUGAGCCAAAGCGGCACAUAGUUCUUUCUGGGAAGAGAAACAUCGUGGGAGUGGAUGACAAGACAGACAUGUCAGAAGAUUAUGAAAAGUUUGAUGAAAUUGCUCCAUUCACGGUGAAUAUUGACCCGAGCAUCCCGUUAAAUGAUGAAGAUUUUCCAUGGUUACGGCGCAAAGGGACACACGCGAAGAAAAAGUUUCACACCCAAAGAUCUGGGAUGUGAUCGGCUUCACUAUCAUCACUUUGUUCUGUGUUUCACACCCAGGAGGGAAUCUCUCUAAUAGUUAGGGUAGUUAUGUGUUUUGGCAUUUGAAAUGCGCAGAAAUUUUAUGUGCAAACAAAUUCUUUCAUGCCUUUACUGAUUUUUAAAGUUAAGUUAUUCACAAACUAGUGAUUCACACUAAUUUCAAAUAAUUCAAAAUUUAAACUAUUAAAAUUUGAAAACUACGGGCACUAAAGAAAGUUUGUAAUUUUUUGUACCUAAAGAAAAAUAUUCACAAAGAAACUCUAAAUACACAAAAAAACAACUCAAAAAUAAAUAAAGCAAAAAAAAUAAAAAUAAAGCCCGCCUACUGGUCCAGAGCGGCCUGCAUACGACUAGAAACCCAACAUGUUGUUGGGCCAGGAUGCAGGCCCGCAAAGGCACAGUAGGCCCACAGGGCAGCACAAAACAUGUAGGCCCAGUAGGCCUGCUUUGGAGAGGAGCUCGAGAGAGCUACCGCACGGGGGGAUAUAAACCAGUGCGGACGCCCCUCGGCUAGCGAGGUGGGACUAAACUUGCCACACCGCACAUGCGCCAGCGCACCCCCUUUAGUACCGGGUGGUGGCACCAACCGGUACUAAAGGGGGGCCUUUAGUACCGGUUGGAGCCACCACCCGGUACUAAAGGGGGUGCGCUUCCCGCCGCUUGGCCUGGCCAAAACAAGCCUUUAGUACCGGUUGGUGGCUCCAACCGGUACUAAAGGUCCAUCCUAUAUAACUAAACACUUCAAAAAUUUCAGUUUCUCAUCUGCUUCUUCUCCUCUGCCCCGUCGCCCGUCGCCCCCGUCUCCAUAUCCCUCGUCGANNNNNNNNNNNNNNNNNNNNNNNNNNNNNNNNNNNNNNNNNNNNNNNNNNNNNNNNNNNNNNNNNNNNNNNNNNNNNNNNNNNNNNNNNNUUUUUCUGUUUUUCAGAAAUAGUUAGAAAUGUUAGAAUUGUUAAAAUAGUUAGAAAUGUUAGAAUUGUUAGAAUUGUUAGAAAUGUUAGAAUUGUAAGAAAUUUUUCUGUUUUUUAGUUAUAGAAAUAGUUAUAAAAAAGUUAGAAUUGUUAGAAAUUUUUCUGUCUUUUAGUUAUAGAAAUAGUUAUAAAAAUGUUAGUUAUAUAUAUAGUAAUGUUAUAAUUUUUUCUGUUUUUUAUUUAUAGAAAUAUUAGAAAUGUUAUAGAAAUGUUAGUUAUAUAUAGCAUUGUUAGAAAUGUUAUAGAAAUGUUAGUUAUAUAGAAAUGUUAGAAAUUUUAGUUAUCAAAAUCCAAUCAUUAAAAAAAUGUUACUUUUUGCGGGCAUAUAGCUAGUAUUUGUUCUCGACGAUGCCCGACCCGCAUCCUCGNNNNNNNNNNNNNNNNNNNNNNNNNNNNNNNNNNNNNNNNNNNNNNNNNNNNNNNNNNNNNNNNNNNNNNNNNNNNNNNNNNNNNNNNNNNNNNNNNNNNNNNNNNNNNNNNNNNNNNNNNNNNNNNNNNNNNNNNNNNNNNNNNNNNNNNNNNNNNNNNNNNNNNNNNNNNNNNNNNNNNNNNNNNNNNNNNNNNNNNNNNNNNNNNNNNNNNNNNNNNNNNNNNNNNNNNNNNNNNNNNNNNNNNNNNNNNNNNNNNNNNNNNNNNNNNNNNNNNNNNNNNNNNNNNNNNNNNNNNNNNNNNNNNNNNNNNNNNNNNNNNNNNUAUAUUAGAAAUGUUAUAGAAAUGUUAGUUAUAUAGCAUUGUUAGAAAUGUUAUAGGAAUGUUAGUUAUAUAGAAAUGAUAGAAAUUUUAGUUAUCAAAAUCCAAUCAUUAAAAAAAUGUUACUUUUUGCGGGCAUAUAGCUAGUAUUUGUUCUCGACGAUGCCCGGCCCGCAUCCUCGCCGUCGACCCGUCCGCGACGACGUCCGACUGACCCAUGUCCGGGACUGGGCUCCACCGGGCUGGCACUGGGAGGUGCUGCCUAGAGGGACGCACCGCUUGAUGAGGAACCCGGCCCCGGGUCACGUCGUCGACCCUGAUCUCGUUUGGUGGCGUUCGCGUGGGCCAGUUUCGGUGUGGAGGGAGCCGGCCCCGCCGGAGGUGGUACGUCGCCGUGUCAGGGAGGAGGACGAGCACGUCCAUUGCUACAUGGUUGCGUUAGAGGGCGGCAGGUUCUCCAAUACCUGGCAGUUUCUUCAGGGAUCUCACUUCAGCUAUGAUCCUGUGAGGGUUCCUUCUCUUUGGGUGUCCACCGCCCGCGUCGCAGGAACUGCGAGUGUCCUAGAUUCUUCGGUAGUCAGUGAUGUAUUCGAUAUAUAAUAUUCGAGACGAUGUAUUCGGAUUAUAUAUUAUUCGAGAUGAUGUAUUCGAGAUUAUAUCUAUUAUUCGAGACAAUGUAUUCGAGAUUAUAUCUAUUAUUCAAGACGAUGUAUUCGAGAUUAUAUCUAUUAUUCGAGACGAUGUAUUCGAGAUUAUAUCUAUUAUUCAAGACGACGUAUUUGAGAUUAUAUUCGAUGAUGCUUAUUAUGUACUAUGAUUGAUUCAGUUUUUCCUUAUUAAUUGAUUGCAUCCAUGCAUUGUAAUUUGAAUAUAUUUCUUUUGGAUUAGUUAAACAAAACCUAUGGCGGACAAUACCGGCAGAGAGGGAGAAGAGGCCCUGUUCAAUAUCAUACGCAAUCCUCGCGGGCCAGAUGAUGAUCAGAAUGAAGAAGAUUAUGACGGCUCCGAAUAUGUAAACAACACCGGGGAGGGUGAUAUGAUAUUCGAUCGCGACGACCGAAUUGAUGAAGUCAUGAACUAUGAACAUGACGAAGAAAAUGUUGAUCUUGAAACAACAAAGACCGGUGAGGUAUAUAUAUUUAUAUAAGCAGGCAUCUGGUGAUCAUCACAUGUUUUAAAUGACUUGAAGAUAUAUUAACGAAACGAUCUUUCUUCUUUCAGCCAUCCAGAUCGAGCAAAUCUUCAGGCAACAGGAUGAAACGAGGCCCAAACAAAAAGUUGAAGGAGGGCAUAAAGUACAAUAUCGAGGCAAUCAGACCUAAUGGCGAACCAUUAGCGCCUAAGAAGAUUGCGGACAAGUUCGUUCGUCAGUGCGGAGUUCUUGUGAAGGACCUACUCCCGAUCUCCCUUCAAGAAUGGAGAGAGCCAGCAAAGCCACGUCCAGGUCUUACUUUUGCCGACGACAGACAAAAAGGUCUGCUUUGGGAUACUCUCAUGGAACAUUUCACCCUACCAGAUCAUUUCACAGAAGCAGAUGUGCAGAAAGUCAAGGACGCUGCUCUUAGGAAGAUGGCGGUUGCAUUCAAGAACCACAAGAAUCAUGAAUGGGACAAGUACGUCAAGGAAGGAAGGAAGACUCCUGUAUUCGAGGGAACACUAGAGAAGCGAAUUGCUCAUUGGGACGAUUUCGUGAAAUUCAAGGAUUCGGAAUUAGCUAAGGAACGGUCGAGAAUAAACAAGAAGAAUGUCGAAAAAAGGAUAAGUUCCAUAAGCUGGGGCCAGGUGGCUAAGCGGUGGCAAUGCCUAAGUGGGAUAAGUUUGAGAAAGAGAUGGAUGAUGCAGGUAUCAUUCCGGUUACUAGGAGCUGGCCCACCAGGUGCAGGACUUGGUUCUAUGCGCAUGGGGGGAGUUGGACCCGAAGACAGGCAAAGUUUUGACGAAGGCAUGUCUGAACGGAGCCGACGAUGCGCUAAUUGUUGCAAUAGAAGAGGCUCGAAUGGGGGUAUUCUAGCCCAACAGAGAGAACGACAAGCUUACGUGUGCCCUAGGAAAUCCUGAACACCUGGGAAGAACACGAGGCAAGGGCGCUAUUCCGUGGUAUGAGGGGUUUUCGGACUGGAACGCCGACUACAGAACCCGUGCGAGAAGGAAGCUUGCGGAGGAGAAGAAGAGGAAGAUGGAGGGGGAGCAGAGGAAGCUGGACUAUGAACGCCUUCAAGGCCUAGAAUCAAAGCACGCGGACUUGGCAGUCAAAUUCUAGCGGCAGCAGGAGCAGAUCGACUCACUUAGCCAGCAAAGGGGGUCUCAGCAGCUGCAGCGGCAAGCGGAUGAUCCCGCAUUGGAUAGCACCACCCCAUCCAUGCCGAGAAGCAGCGUGGGUUCCGCCCCGGGCGACGCAAUGCUGGAUAGAUACCCCAUGGAUGACGUCACGGAGAACACUAACUGUGAGCUACACUUCAAAAUGAAGAACAUAUCCAUGAAGGUGGCGGACGCCGUUGCUUUUACAAAUCCCCCCGAGGCAACCUUCCAUUGCAACCCGAUUCCAGCAGGCUAUGCUCGUGUCUUGGUUGAUGAGGUGGUGGACCCAUAUUCGGGGCUACAUCUUGACAUUCCUGGAGGUGACGACGAGCACACAUUGGGAGAGGCCAUACAUCGUGUCAUCCUAUAGAGAAAGGAUUGCAUCGUCUUUCGAAGGCCACCGGCACCGCGUCACCCGACUCCUCGUCGAAGUCCGCCACCGAGUCAGCAGACUCCCGCUCCUCCAAGUCCACCAAUGCGUGAGGCCACUCCUCCUCCUCCAAGUCCGGCAAAGUGUCAGGCCACUCCUCCUCCAAGUCCGACACAGCGUCAGACGUCCACUCCUCCUCCAAGUCCGGCACAAGUUCAGGCCACUCCUCCUCCAAGUCCGGCACAGCUUCAGGCCACUCCUCCUCGUCCAACUCAGCCCCGUCAGUCGUCUCCGCCGCCUCAGCAAUCGCAGAAGAGACACCCCGCAGCUAUGGUGCGUAGCGGUACGAGUCGAGGUAGUACAGGAAGUACAGGCGGAGGCAAGCGAUAUAAAUAUGGUCCAAGCCUCACUACUCCUCUUCCUCAGAGGGCUUACGAUAGGACCGAGGAGCAAACCAAUGACAUAGUGCGGGCAGAAGUGGACGCCCAUUUUGGACCGAAACCGCCACCGCCGCCAAGGGAGAAAGUGCCUGCGGAAAAGAUUGACCACUUCAUUCGUAUGGCUCAACCACCAGCUCCCAAGCCUGUUGACACAGACUAUGAGCGCCACAUCAGGAAGUUAAAUCGAGCACGUCUACAGAAGGAGGCGAGCUCGAGCAAACAAUAAGCAGCUGCCAAAAAUGCAGGAAAACCGUUCCCCAGCUGGGAGAACAGGCGGCGCAAUCGAUCCCCUCGCUUGUUGUGCCAACAACACGUGACAAUACGCGCGCCCAAUAUUAUUGUGGGCAAACUGUUUACGUUCCCGAGGUGGGCAAUGUGGUAAUAACCGAGGAGCAUAUAAUGCAGGCUGAAAUUCUCAACAUCACUGUUGGACAACUCCUCAAGAUCGAGCCCAUGCCUGUGCUUACAGAGGAGGAAAUAAAACGGAAAUAUGUCCGGGGCGAACCUUUGGUCAAGCCAGACGAGGUCAAGAAGCUCCCAACGAGAAUGUAUGAAUUGCAUCAAUGGUACAUGGACAUUACCAAGAGUUCCAAUCUAGAGUCCCUCAUGGUGGAAGUCAAGAAGUAUCAUUACUACCAUCAGAAAGCUGUGGCCGUUGAGUAUAAUGAACUGUUUCAGUUAUACAAUCAAGACGCACUCGACAAAUCUAUCGUUAGUUGCUAUUGUUUGUAAGUGAUUUCUUUCUGUAAUUUGAGUCUCAAGCUAGCUGUAGUGAUCCUUUUGAUCAAUCAUUACCUGUAAUUAUCCUCACUAUAUUCUUUUCUGUGGUAUUAUGCGGGAUGAAGAUGUAUGAAAUGAAAAAAGGUGGACGCUAUGGCAUUGGGUUCAUUGACCCAAACACCGUUAAUGAAUGCACAUGGAAAAUAGAUCCAUAUCAUGAAAAUCAUGUAGAGGACAGCAUGCUAGAGUUCUUGAAGCGCCUCAAAUACAAUGAAGAUAUACUACUUCCUUACAACUUCCAGUGAGUCACACUGUCUUGUACUAUACAAAUUCUCUAUUUUUGCCUACUAGCUAGCUACAUGUUUUUGCUUACGUAUGCCCAUUUAAUUAAGACAUGCAAAUGUGUGUGCAUGUAGAUUUCACUAGAUCUUGUGUAUCAUUAAAGUUGACGCCGGAACAGUUGAAAUACUGGACUCACUACUCAAAGCAAAUAAUGACUAUAACAUCUUGUUUGGGAUAGUCAACAGGUAAUUUCAAUCAUUAUUAACUAUAUAUCUCGGCCUAUUUAGUUCGUCAUUUCAUGAUAUGAACUAUUUAAUAACCCCUUUAUUCAUUUUCUUUGUUGGCGGGUAGGGCUUGGGCAAGGUUCAUCAGCGUCUCUCCAGGCGAAUGGAAACAAAAGCUGAAAUGGUUUCGACCCAAGGUAAGUAAUUAAGUAGUACUAGCUAGCUAGCUAGCUGCCAUCUCUUUAAUUAUCAUGCUUGAUUAAUUAUUAUCUGACCAAAUUCCAUUCUCGUAAAGGCCCUGAAGCAGGCGUAGGGGACUGAUAUGUGUGCAUACUGCGUUUGCGAGAACAUUUGCAUGAUGGCGUCCGAAAGGAGCAGAUCUCAAAGACAGGAAUGGCACUAGUAGAAAAAGGGUCAAACGUGAAGCACAUUAGUGCCGGUUUGAAUUUGAGCCGGCACUAAUGUGUGCAUUAGUGCCGGUUCCAACGGCUAGCCGGCCGCUCUCAUUAGUACCGGUUCGUGGAGAACCUUUAGCACCGGUUCGUGCCACGAACCGGUACUAAAGUGAGUGGUGGCAGGAUGUUGUCAGUCCGGGGCCCCUCCAGCACCUUUAGUACCGGGUCGUAUCACGAACCGGUCCUAAAGGUCGUCCUACAUAGACCCUUCGUCCACCCGAGCUCGCUCUGUUCUUCCCCUUUCCCCUCUCCUCUUUGUACUUUUCCCUCUUCCUCUCAAUCUCAUCACACAUUUUGCCCAAAAUUUGUUAAGAUUUGAAGGCCCCCAUCCAUUCAAAUGAUCACAAAGGUUAGCAACUUUUUCCUUUCAUCUCUCAUUGCUAGAUUAGCUCGUGCAAUGCUUUAUAUAGUGAUUGAUUUUUGAGUUUAGUAAUUUGGGAGGAAUUAUAUAUAUGUGCUACUAUUUGAUUUAUAUGCAAUUUGAGGUCAAAAAUAACACUUAGAACCAUUCACGUCCACCUGUUUGAGUCCGGUUUCAUGCCCCACUAUAAUGUUUGGACCAAGCAUGGAGAAAGAGGGGUUAUUGUGGAAGACAAUGAAGAAGAAGAGGACGACGACAGCUAUCCUGGCCAGGGGUUCCCUGAAUACGAUGAUACAACAAUGAGGGAAGAAGCUGAGCCGGUAAUGCGGAAAGAAGCUGAGCCGGCAAUGCAGGAAGAAGCUGAAGAAGAGGCAUCGGAUGAGCCGUUGAUGAUCUAGGUCGGGCCAUUGCCGAUGCAAAGAGAAACUGCGCUAGUGAUUUGGAGAAGAAGAAGUUGCAGCGCAUGUUAGAGGAUCACAAAAAAAUGUUGUACCCGAAUUGCGUAGGUGACAAGAAAAAGCUGGGCACCACACUGGAAUUGCUGCAAUGGAAGGCAGAGAAUGGUGUAUCUGACAAGGGAUUUGGAAAGUUGCUGGUAAUGAUAAAGGAUAUGCUUCCAAAGGACAACGAAUUGCCCGAGAGUACGUACGAAGCAAAGAAGGCUGUCUGCCCUCUAGGGUUAGAGGUGCAGAAGAUACAUGCAUGCCCUAAUGAUUGCAUCCUCUACCGCGGUGAGUACGAGGAUUUGAACGCUUGCCCGGUAUGCGGUGCAUUGCGCUAUAAGAUCAGCCGCGAUGACCCUGGUGAUGUCGAGGGCGAGCGCCCCAGGAAAAAGAUUCCUGCCAAGGUGAUGUGGUAUGCUCCUAUAAUACCACGGUUGAAACGUUUGUUCCAAAACAAAGAGCAUGCCAAGGCGAUGCGAUGGCACAGAGAAGACCGUAAGAAAGACGGAAAGUUGAGAGUACCCGCUGACGGGUCGUAGUGGAGAAAAAUCGAAAGAAAGUACGGGAAGGAGUUUGCAGAUGACGCAAGGAACGUAUGGUUUGGUCUAAGCGCAGAUGGCAUUAAUCCUUUUGGGGAGCACAGCAGCAACCAUAGCACCUGUCCUAUGACUCUAUGUUUGUAUAACCUUCCUCUUUGGUUGUGCAUGAAGCAGAAGUUCAUUAUGAUGCCAGUGCUCAUCCAAGGCGCUAUGAAAAAAAUUCUUAUUUUUAACAGAAGCGCGAUAAAAUACUGAUUAUUUUUGCAGAAGAUUAAUAAAUAAAUUGUUUAGGUCGUCCUAAAUAUUCAGAAUUUUUGAAGUUAAAGAAGUAUUCAUAAUAUCCAGAUUGCUACAGACUGUUCUGUUUUUGACAAAUUCUGUUUUCUAUGUGUUGUUUGCUUAUUUUGAUGAAUCUAUGGCUCGUAUCGGGGCGGGGGGUAUGAACCAUGGAAGAGUUAAAAUACAGUAGAUAUUACACCAAUAUAAAUAAAAAAUGAGUUCACAACAGUAUCAAAAGUGGUGAUUUAUUUUCUUAUAACGGGGCUUAUGAUAUUUUCUGUCGAGUUUUGUGUUGUGAAGUUUUCAAGUUUUGGGUAAGGAAUUGAUGGACUAUGGAAUAAAGAGUGGCAAGAGCCUAAGCUUGGGGAUGCCCAAGGCACCCCAAGGUAAUAUUCAGGGAUAACCAAGAGCCUAAGCUUCCGGGGCAUCCCCUCUUUCGUCUUCAUUUAUCGGUAACUUUACUUGAGGCUAUAUUUUUAUUCACCACAUGAUAUGUGUUUUGCUUGGAGCAUCGUGUAUGAUUUGAGUCUUUGCUUUUCAGUUUGCCACAAUCAUCCUUGUUGUACACACCUUUUGAGAGAGACACACAUGAAUCAUGAUUUAUUAGAAUACUCUAUAUGCUUCACUUAUAUCUUUUGAGGUAGGCAAUUUUGCUCUAGUGCUUCACUUAUAUCUUUUUAGAGCACAGCGGUGGUUUUAUUUUAUAUAAAUUGAUGAACUCUCAUACUUCACUUAUAUUAUUUUGAGUGUCUCUAAACAGCAUGGUAAUUAGCUUUGGUUAUAAAUUUAGUUCUAAUAUGAUAGGCAUCCAAGAGAGAUAUAAUAAAAACUUUCAUAUAAAGUGCAUUGAAUACUAUGAGAAGUUUGAUUCCUUAUGAUUGUUUUGAGAUAUGAAGAUGGCGAUAUUAGAGUCAUGCUAGUGAAGUAGUUGUGAAUUUGAGAAAUACUUGUGUUAAGGUUUGAGAGUCCCGUAGCAUGCACGUAUGGUGAAUCGUUAUGUAACGAAGUUGGAGCAUGAGAUAUUUUUGAUUGUCUUCCUUAUGAGUGGCAUCUGGGGACGAGCGAUGGUUUUUUCCUACCAAUCUACCCCCUAAGAGCAUGCGCGUAGUACUUUUGAUGACUAGUAGGUUUUUGCAAUAAGUAUGUGAGUUCUUUAUGACUAAUGUUGAGUCCAUGGAUUAUAUGCAGUCUCACCCUUCCGCCAUUGCUAGCCUCUCUUGUACAGCACAACUUUCACCGCUAUCAUAAACCCACCAUAUACCUUCCUCAAAACAGCCACCAUACCUACCUAUUAUGGCAUUUCCAUAGCCAUUCCGAGAUAUAUUGCCAUGCAACUUUCCACCGUUCUGCUUAUUAUGAAAUGCAUCAUCAUUGUCAUAUUGCUUUGCAUGAUCAUGUAGUUGACAUUGUAUUUGUCGCAAAGCCACCGUUCAUUAGUUUUUUAUACAUGUCGCUCUUAAUUCAUUGCACAUCCCGGUACACCGUCGGGGGCAUUCAUAUAGAGUCAUAUCUUGUUCUAGUAUCGAAUUGUAAUUUUUGAGUUGUAAGUAAAUAGAAGUAUGAUGAUCUUCCUUUUUAGAACAUUGUCCCAUGUGAGGAAAUAAAAUAAAAAAGAGGAAAAGAAAAAAAGAGCAAAAAAAGAAAAAAAGAGAAGAAGAAAAAAAAAGGAGGGAAAGAAAGAAAAAACGAGAGAAAAAGAGAGAAGGGGCAAUGUUAUUGUCCUUUUCCAUACUUGUGCUUCAAAGUAGGACCUUGAUCUUCAUGAUAGAGAGUCUCCUAUGUUCUUACUUUCAUAUACUAGUGGGAAUUUUUCAUUAUAGAACUUGGCUUGUAUAUUCCAACGAUGGGAUUCCUCAAAAUGCCCUAGGUCUUCAUGAGCAAGCAAGUUGGAUGCACACUCACUUAGUUUUCUUUUCGAACUUUCAUAAACUUAUAGCUCUAGUGCAUCUGUUGCAUGGCAAUUCCUACUCACUCACAUUGAUAUCUAUUAAUGGGCCUCUCCAUAGCCCGUUAAUACCCCUAGUUGAUGUGAGACUAUCUCCCUCUUUUUGUCUUCUCCACAACCACCGUCUAUUCCACCUAUAGUGCUAUGUCCAUGGCUCAUGCUCAUGUAUUGCGUGAAAGUUGAAAAGGUUUGAGAACAUCAAAAGUAUGAAACAAUUGCUUGGCUUGUCAUCUGGGUUGUGCAUGAUUUGAAUAUUUGUGUGAUAAAGAUGGAGCAUAGCCAGACUAUAUGAUUUUGUUAGGAUGAGAUUUCUUUGGCCAUGUUAUUUUGAGAAGACAUAAUUAUCUUGUUAGUAUGCUUGAAGUAUUAUUGGUUUAUGUCAAUAUUAAACUUUUGUUUUGAAUCAUACGGAUCUGAACAUUCAUGCCACAAUAGAGAAAAUUACAUGGAUAAAUAUGUUAGGUAGCAUUCCACAUCAAAAAUUAUGUUUCUAUCAUUUACCUACUCGAGGACGAGCAGGAAUUUUCCGGAGUACCGGGGGCUACCGGAACCCCCCGGGAGUUAAUGAGCCUUCAUGGGCCCUAGUGGAGAGAGGAGGCGGCAGCCAGGUGGUGGCGCACGCCCCCCCAAGCCUGAACCGAAUUGGACUAGGGUUGGGGGGCCGGCCCCCCUUUCCUUCUCUCCUUCUCCUCCUUCCCUCCUUCUCCUAGUGGGAAUAGGAAGGGGGGCGAAUCCUACUUGGACUGGGAGUCCAAGUAGGACUCCUCCCAUGGCGCAUCCCCCCUUGGGCCGGCCACCUCUCCCUUCCCCUUUGUAUACGUGGGAGGGGGGCACCCCAAAGGCACACCAAGCCUUCUCUUAGCCGUGUGCGGUGCCCCCCUCCACAGUUUCACACCUCGGUCAUAUCGUCGUAGUGCUUAGGCGAAGCUCUGGGCCGGUAGCUUCAUCAUCACCGUCGACACGCCGUCGUGCUGACGAAACUCUCCCUCAUCCUCAAUUGGAUAAAGAGAUCGAGGGACGUCAUCGAGCUGAACCGCUAGGGGUACGAAGGAGGAGGAGACCGGAUGCGUUAAGCUAGUUGGUAAGAGUUCUUGUCAUUAUUGAUAGUGGCCCUAGAGAAAGAGAUUACGCUGAUUGUUCUAACUUCAUUCAUAUUUGAUUCCGCAACUGAGACCUUUUCCCACAUCUGUGCCAGGAGGGCAAGUGGUCAAAGCAGAAAGGGUUCUCGCUUCUCCUUCUGGAAGGGUGUGCUGAACACGGAGGUCCCGUAUGUUCGGUGCUUGGAUCGGUUGGAUCGCGAAAACGUUCGACUACAUCAACCACGUUACUAAACGCUUCCGCUUUCGGUCUACGAGGGUACGUAGACAAACUCUCCGCUCUCGUUGCUAUGCAUCUCCUAGAUAGAUCUUGCGUGAUCAUAGGUAAAAAUUUUGAAAUACUGCGUUCCCCAACAUGCUUGCGUUUAUUUCACUACAUCAUGUCAUCUUACUUAAUGCGUUACUCUGUUCUUAUGAACUUAAUACUCUAGAUGCAGGCAAGAGUCGGUCGAUGUGUGGAGUAAUAGUAGUAGAUGCAGGCAGGAGUCGGUCUACUUGAUACGGACGUGAUGCCUAUGUUCAUGAUCAGUGCCUUAGAUAUCGUCAUAACUUUGCGCUUUUCUAUCAAUUGUUAGGCAGUAAUUUGUUCACCCACCGUAAUAUUUUCUAUCUUGAGAGAAGCCUCUAGUGAAACCUAUGACCUCUAGGUCUACUUUCCAUCAUAUAAGUUUCCAAUCUACAAUUUUAGUUUCCUAUUUACUUCCUUUGCAACCUUUUACUUUCCGUUUCAUAAACCAAAAAUAUCAAAAAUAUUACUUUACCGAUUAUCCAUCUCUAUCAUAUCUCACUUUGCAAAUAAUCCCAAAGGGAUUGACAACCCGUUUAGCGCCUUGGGUGCAAGUAGGUGUUUGUUUGUGCAGGUACUCAAUGACUUGUGUGUCGUCUCCUACUGAAUUGAUACCUUAGUUCUCAAAACUGAGGGAAAUACUUACUCUACUUUGCUUCAUCACCAUUUCCUCUUCAAGGGAAAAACCAACGCAAGCUCAAAAGGUAGCAGACCUCCAGUCGUAGCCGCCAUGAUUUUCUUCACGUCUAUCAAUGCCUUGAGAAUUUUGACUUGGACAUGUCCUAUGGCAUGAAUAAGAAAUCGAAGCUUCGCGCCGCGUCCUCUUGAGGCCGUGUUGGCUGAUAAUAUUAGUGCGCAUGACCAGAGCCUUUCUGAUCAAGAUAUCCAAGGACGACAUACACCAAUUCAUAUAGAUCUCCGCUCGGAAAGACCGAAACUCAUCAACGGCCAGAUCCAAGUUGUCGACAUCUGACAGAAAGACGACUUGGCGGAAGAAAAGCAUCAGGGCCAAACCACCAUUAUUAGUCCAAAGCUAAUAGCCUCCACGCCGCCCUCCUCUCGAUCCAGACAGGAAGAAAAAGAUCAACGACGUCGCAUCAUGCCACUCGCAUUCGUGGAGGCUUGAACAUGGCAAGACGCCAACCAUGGCUAGAGACGGGGACCAGCCACUCUGGCCAGAUCCGGCGACUCCUAGUCCCACCGCUCCCGCUACGGCGGCACCGCAUGUAGCCUACAAGCCCAUCCACGAUGAUGUCUGAUUAGAAGGAUAUAUGGAUAUACAGAUGAAAAGGCCCUUGUUAUCCCUCCAACAAUAUAUAUAAAGCUUAUUGGGACAUGAGAAAGCUUGCACAAGGCUAUGGAAAUGUAUUGCCAGACAGAGAUAUACGAUUUUCGUUCGGCAUCCAAACCGCUUGUGUCACGCUUAAUCGAUGGUCACUCUAAUUUUUCCGGCGGGCCUUCCCUGUGGUACUGCAGCCUUACAUGUGUAUUAGUGGUUAGGGCGUCAUCCGUGGCGCCGCUUAAGAGGAAGUUGUUUGCACGCUUUUAUUUUUUUUAAAUCAUGUACUCCUCAUCUCUAUCUAAAAAAAUAUUUAUAGAAAAUCCUCAUCUCCAUCUAGAAAAAGAAGUAAAAAAGAAAAAAAAAAUCACCAACGCAACCUUACAGCGAGCGCCACUUAGCGUAGUCCUCCAUUUAAAAAAAUAUGAAGUCAUCACCUUCAUAUAAAAAGAAAAAAACAUUUUAAAAACGUUUUCAUCUCCAUCUAAAAAUAAUAUCCCAAAAGCUUUUUCACUACGGCCAACCAGCUUGUACCAUGUGCCAUAACUGAUUGGCCGCUCUUCAUGCAUAGCUUAAUGGGUUUAAUGAGUUUCAUAUAGCUAUUCAUUAAGAAGAAAACCAAAAUUACUUGGAGUUAAUAACUAAUACGUUUCCUUUAACUAACACGUGCACGGCGAGGAUUUACGUGCAUGAUGUUUUUUCCUCUCCCCACGUCGUAUUGGGCCGGCCCAUUCGUGCACAUCUCUAUUUCUAAUGCAGCAGUUGGUAGUCUCAUUUUCAGGGUUUUUUUGUCCCACCUUUCAUGGUUUUUUUAUACCUCCUUCCACCUUCGCUGGUUUUUUUCAUAAAUUUUUUGUCCCCUCCCCCUAUUUCAUCGGUUUAUUUUCGCGUCACCCUCUCACACAAUGAAAGAAAUCUGAACAGAUUAGAACUUUCCAUGCUGGCGCAAGUUAUUUAGUAAUGUAGAAUCAAUCACGAACAAUCGCUAAAGAUCAAAUCCAAGUUAAUUAACCUUACCUUAAAUCACUCAAUCACAUUAAUUAGAAAACAAAUAAUUGAUUUUCAGAAAAAUUGCUCAAUCACAUUAACCUUACCUUAACUCACGGAUGGUAAUCAAUCUUCAAACAAAGGAAACAAUACAUCAAGGGAGCAGUAAAUAAACUCCCUUUCUUAUGACAUGUAUAUGAUCUUUCCUUCCCUCUCCGUUGUCGAGCGUUCUUGAUUCUCAAGGCCGAUUCUUGGGCUGCGUCACUGGGUCGCGACGGUGCCGAAGGACGAGGAUGGCGAGGCCGGGUGUCGCGGCACCGCGUUGGCCGUGGCUGAUGAAGGGGGUGAAGAAGGGCGGCUUCCCUGGCCGUGGCCCUGGGAGUUGGUGCGGUGGAAACGUCACUUGAAGGACCCGACGUGGGUGGCCGACGCGCAGACGCACUUGGAAGCGGGCCCAUGGCCCGCGCCGGACGGCGCCGACGCCGACCUGGACCACCUCCUCCGUGUAUCCUUGGAGCUAUGGCUGGCCAAUUUAUAUGAAAUUAAUUCCCUCAGUUGUGGUGGCAAAUAUAAUACACAUAAUCCAUAUUGUUAUGCACUAGUGUGUGUGUGUGUGAAAUAGAUGGAUUAUGGUCCCGUACCAAUAAGAUGGAUAUAUGUGUGUGUUAGAGAGAGAGAGAGAGAGAGAGACAGAGAGGGAGAGGGGGAGAGAGAGUGAGGAAAAGGGAGGGAGAGUGUGUGUAUGAGGAUUUGAUGGUAAAAAAAGUCGCCAAUGUCAUUUGAUAUGUAUGAAAAUAUUAAUAUUAAACUUUUAAAGUUAAUGUGGCCCCGUUAAAAUACACAAGCGUUCUUAUAGUAUAGUUAGAGAAAGACAUGAGGAAAAGGAAGAACCGGGAUCGAUUCCUAGUCUUCUCAAGGUGGCCGCGUGGGUUUGUCUCAAAAAAAAAAGGUGACAGCGUGGGUGCUACUACCGGUCCGCCCAAGUCCGGUUCGUGAUAAGUUGUAGGUGCGCGUCGUACUUGAGGCGAUUGAGGCCUGUUUUAUUUGAGUUUUUCCUCUCUUUUUUCUUCUUCAUUUUUUUCAUUCUUUUUUGCACUCCGUUUCUUUGUUUUGUCAUUCUUUUUUUCUUUUGUUUAUUUUCUUUUUUUCCGGUUUUCUUUGUUCUAUUGGUUAUUAUUGUACAUUUUUUGUAUACGUCUACAACAUUUUUUUCUAAUACACAUCUAACAUUUUUCAAAUACAAACCAACCAUUUUUGUAAUACAUUGUCAAGAUUUUUUUGUACACAUUUUUAAAUGCUUGUUUGUCAUUUUUCAAAUACAAGAUUAACAUUUUUUCAAUACAUGGUCAACAAUUGUUUUUGCCAUUUUUACAAAAAAAUUAAAUGCUUGAUUAACAUUUUCUUAAUGCAUGGUCAUUUAUUUUUCUAUACACAUUUAACAUUGUCCAAAUGCUUAAUUAACAUUUUCAAACCCUUGUUCAACAUCUCUUUUAAAAUGCUUGAUUCACAUUUCUGUAUACAUGAUCAAACAUUUUUAUCAUUUUUAAUACAUGGUCGACGGUAUUACCCAUACACAUUUAACAAUUUCCCAAUUCUUGAUUAACAUUGUUUAAGUACUCGUUCAACAUUUUCUCAAAUGCAUAACGUUGACAUUGUUGAAAAGUGGCAUCACAAGUUCCAGGGAGUAGAAAAGAGAUUAAUCAACGAAACCGCGCGAACUUUGUGGUGCUAUUGUGUUAUAUCAACUACUCCUUUCGUUCCGAAUUACUUGUCACAAGUAUGUAUGUAUAUCUAGAUAUAUUUUAAUUUUAGAUACAUCCAUUUAUGCGACGAGUAAUUUGGAACGGAGGGAGUAUGUGUCUGUUAUGUCACCAAAUUCAGUAUAUAUAGAACAUGGAAAUACAGUAAUAGUGAGCUCACUCGGUGGGAGCCCGUCACGGCCAUGGGAAUAGGAUCCUCCUCGUACUGCUCCUCUCCUGCCCUGCCCUGAGGAGCAGUAUCGUCCGUCGUCGCCGAGCGGCGCAGCAGCCGGUGGCCGAGGGGAGACCGAGAUUUAUUCUCCGGAGGCGCCGAAUCCGGCUCGUAAGUCGAAAUCCCUCUCUGUCCCGCCUCUCGGAUCCUCCCACCGAUCUCCUACUUCCCUGCCGCCAAUGCCCGCCUUUUCUUUGGACUCCGAGCGAGGAAUCGGAGGGAAAGCUGUGUACUUCCUGUGGCUUCAUACCCCGGUAAUGGCGGCCCUGCUUGCCGUUGCCGCUUGGUCCACUCUCUGCGUGCCCGUCUGCAAGGUGUUCGAUGGAUUGUGCGCAGGGUGUCGGCCCGGCUGGCCUCGUUUCACUUCUUCCAGGUUUCAGUCCGUUUACCGCCGGUUGCUGAAAAUGUGCACGAGAAGCAUAAGAAUGCUGGGAUAUGCGCUCUUUGUUUACCGUUUACUGUCAUUUGUUUGGUUGCAGGAAGCACCCGGCCUUAAGCAUAGUACUACAUAUAAAGUUGUAUGUUCUGUUCCGUUUGUUUGUUUGCUGUCUGAUGAUUGAGACAAGUGCAUAAUCUAAAGUUUGGCACCUGCACUUGCACCUGCUCCUGCACAUUUAUGUGUUGGAAACUGGAAUCUGUUCAGUGUAGUAUGGCCAUGCCACAUGUUUUGGCUUUAGCCUAAGGACCAAUUGCUUCUUGACUUUCUUGGAUGCUUGCUGGCCCAACCUUGGAUCUGUAUCUUUCUAAUAGUCUUCUAAAUCAGAAACAUAACGAUUUUUUGUGCUGCUUACUAGAUUCGGUGUGUUUACUUAGCGUGUUUAGUCGAAUCAUCUGUCAUUGUUCUCUCAAGUUACUUUUCCUUGCGAUAUUCAACCCAGCGGUUUAAAAUUCCUGCAAUUGCUUCAUUCAGAUUGAUUUUUCGCUUCUUUGUUGCUGAUUUCCUUUCAACGUUUGGGCUGAGGCUCCAAAUGUUGGUACUCUUUUAACCGGAGUAUGUUACUUUGGAGAAUAGAAGAAUUAUGCAUUGGUAUCAUGAUAACAUAUGCCUAAUGGUUUUUCUUACAGGAGGGCGUUUCCAACACAUAAAUAGUUUGCUAGCAUGCAGACAGUGUCCAGUAGCCUUUGCGCCAUUUGAGGCAUAAUGGACAUAGCUUUUAUCAUGUUGUUGGUUCUUUCUCUGCUCCUGUUCCCUAAUGGCAUCUGCAAGAGUUUAGCUACAGGACCUCCUGUUGUGAAUAUUGGGUCUAUUCUUCAGUUUGACUCCACCACCGGGGGUGUUGCGGCAGUUGCCAUCCAUACAGCCGUGGAAGAUAUCAACUCUGAUCCAACAGUUCUAAAUGGAACUACACUAAAGGUUCAAAUCAAGGAUACAAAUUGCUUUGAUGGUUUCCUUGGCAUGGUUCAAGGUAGGCUAGCUUUAAUGCCACUCAUUCAUUUCACAACCUUCAAAUAGUUAUUACUUCUGUUGUGGAGUUGUGGCAAUGAUGCCGUGUUCCUUGUAUCAGCUUUGCAGUUCAUGGAGACUGAUGUUAUUGCACUCAUUGGCCCUCAGUGCUCCACAAUUUCUCAUAUCAUUUCAUAUGUAGCAAAUGAGCUUCGAGUCCCUUUGAUGUCCUUUGCUUCUGAUGCAACUCUUUCAUCAAUACAGUUCCCGUUCUUUGUCAGGACGGGUCCCAGUGAUCUCUAUCAAAUGGCGGCUGUGGCAGAAGUUGUUGACUACAACCACUGGAAGAUAGUGACUGCCAUAUACAUUGAUAAUGUUUAUGGUAGAAAUGGCAUUGCUGCUUUGGAUGAUGCACUCACUUUAAAGCGCUGCAAAAUAUCCUACAAGGUUGGGUUUCCUUCCAACGCUAAAAGGAGUGACCUCAUAAAUUUGUUGGUUAGUGUCAGUUCUAUGGAGUCUCGUGUUAUCAUUCUCCAUACUGGAACUGAACCUGGACUCAAGCUUUUCUCUAUGGCACACCAACUGAACAUGAUGGGCAACGGCUAUGUGUGGAUUGCAACUGACUGGCUGUCUGCAUAUCUUGAUGCUAAUUCAUCAGUUCCUGUUGAGACUAUAUCUGGCCUGCAAGGUGUUCUUACUUUACGGCCACAUAUUCCCAACUCAAAGAUGAAGAGUAAUUUGGUCUCCAAAUGGAGCACGCAAAGUAAAAAGUACAACUACAGUGAUGUUUGUAUAAAUACUUAUGGUUUUUAUGUUUAUGAUAGUGUCUGGGCAGUAGCUCAUGCUCUGGAUGCCUUCUUUGAUGAUGGUGGUAGGAUUUCCUUUUCAAAUGACUUGCAUGAUGGAACUGGAGGAACUCUUCACCUUGAAGCAAUGAGCAUUUUUGACAUGGGAAAUAAAUUACUGGAGAAGAUUAGAAAGGUAAACUUCAGUGGGUUAUCUGGGCAAGUGCAAUUCGAUGCUGUAGGCAACCUCCUUCACCCUGCGUAUGACAUCAUAAAUGUCAUCGGAAAUGGCAUGCGGACCAUUGGUUUUUGGUCAAACUAUUCUGGCUUGUUGUCGACUGUCUCUCCAGAGGCUCUAGAUUCAAAGCCUCCUAAUACUUCUCUAGCCAAUCAGCAUCUCUAUGAUGUUAUUUGGCCUGGGGAGACUGCACAGAGGCCUCGAGGAUGGGUUUUUCCUUCUAAUGCCAAGCAGUUGAAAAUUGGUGUUCCCAACAGAUUUAGCUUCAAAGAGAUCGUCACGGUAGACAAUGCUACUGGGUCAAUGAAGGGUUAUUGCAUCGAUGUCUUUACUCAGGCAUUGGCUUUGCUUCCUUAUCCUGUUAGUUACAAGUUUGUACCUUUUGGGAAUGGUACUGAAAAUCCUAAUUAUGACAAACUCGUACAGAUGAUUGAAUCAAAUGUAAGUACGGAAUGCCUCUUUUUUCUUCCUCGAACCAUUUCAUCAUAUACCAUGCUGACCAGGGGCAUCUUAUCCUGCAGGAGUUUGAUGCAGCUAUAGGGGAUAUUGCAAUUACAAUGAGGCGGACAGUAACUUUUGAUUUCACCCAGCCAUUCAUUGAAACAGGCUUGGUUAUCUUGGCUCCGGUUAAAGAGCAUAUAACAUCGUCCUGGGCAUUCUUGCAGCCAUUUAGUUUGGAGAUGUGGUGUGUUACAGGGCUAUUCUUUCUUAUUGUGGGUGUGGUUAUUUGGAUUCUUGAACAUCGGAUCAAUGACGAUUUCCGUGGUUCAGUAUGUCAACAAAUAAUAACUAUUUUCUGGUAAGGAGCUGACCUGCACCUUUUGUACCGUCUUCUUGUAUAUCAUUCCUGUUUUCGAAGUGUUGAUGUUUUAACAAGUCUUGUGCAAUAUGUUGCAUACAGCGAGUACCUUAGAGCAGUGGCCAGUUAACAUACCUAAAUGAAGCAUCUAGUGAUUACCAAUGAACUACUCCCUCCGCCCCAUAAUAUAAGGGCGUUUUUGACACUACACUAGUGUCAAAACGCUCUUAUAUUAUGGGACGGAGGGAGUAUUAUCUUAAUAAUCUUGUGAGACAUAUAUACAUGCACAGCAUAUAUAUUCGCUUAAUGAUAUUUAUGAUGCAUUGCUCUAUUUUUCCUGUUUUCACAUACUUCUCUUCUCCACAUGUAUUUGCCAAAUGCUCUUAUAAUGGCGUGAUUCCUUGCUGUGAUUAUAAUUUCAAUUUUUAUUGCCUGCAGGUUCAGCUUUUCGACUUUGUUCUUCGCACACAGUAAGUAAACCAACCUUCUCUCUUAUGUGUUUUUUUUUUUGGCUAUAACAUUUUGUUCUGAGGCAUGAGGCAUGACUCGUGAUUUCAUAUGUAUCUGCGCGCAGGAGAAAAUACUAUGAGCACCUUAGGGCGUGGUGUCCUGAUCAUAUGGCUGUUUGUUGUUUUGAUAAUUGUAUCCAGCUAUACCGCGAGUCUUACUUCCAUCCUGACCGUGCAACAACUCGAUACUUCUAUAAAAGGAAUCGAGGACCUGAAAAAUAGCAAUGAUCCUAUUGGUUUCCAAGUUGGUUCUUUUGCACAAGACUACAUGGUCAAGGAGCUCAACAUCUCACGGUCAAGGCUAAGAGCUCUUGGUUCACCACAAGAAUACGCUGAAGCCCUCAAGAUAGGCCCUAAGGAAGGAGGUGUUAUGGCCAUUGUCGACGAGCGCCCCUAUGUUGAACUGUUUUUGUCAUCCUACUGCAAGAUUGCGGUAGCUGGCACAGAUUUCACCAGCAGAGGAUGGGGCUUUGUAAGUACAGUUCAACCAUAUUCUUUUAUAUAAAUUAGAAUAUAAGAACAAAAAUUGCUGUUAAUGUCCUGGAAUAGAGGUUUUAACUUUGAAUAGUUGUGUCUAGUCUUUAGUUUAUGCAACUUUUAUUGCACUUACCUGCGGCUACUUUGUUUCACAAAUCGAAAUGUAGCACCUUACAAAUUCAUUCUGCCAGGCAUUUCCAAGGGACUCCCCUUUGCAAGUAGACCUCUCCACCGCAAUCCUGUCUCUGUCAGAGAAUGGGGAGCUGCAGCGGAUCCAUGCCAAAUGGCUCAAUACAGGGGAGUGCACAACUGACAACAGUGAGCUUGUCGACUCGAACCAGCUCCGCCUUGAGAGCUUCCUUGGUCUGUUCCUAAUCUGUGGUGUGGCAUGUGUUCUCGCGCUGCUACUCUACUUUGGUAUCAUGCUAUGCAAAUAUCUGAGGCAUGAACCGUGGAAGAGCCUCAGAAGAUUCAUCUCGUUCGUCCAUGGGAAGGAGCCGCCGAAGAACAAGGAGAGGCGGUCCAUGAGCCUGCCUGGAAGCUCAACGCCAACAACGCCGAUGAGCAGCCAUAGUUCCCUUGACAUGGAAAGGCCGGCCAGGCCAGUCAGAAACGGUAGCAUUAUUGACAUGGAAAGCUAAUUCAUGUGUAGAAAGCUAGUUAACAAUGCGGUCGACUAACCUAGGUUCUGGUAGUCGGACAGCAGGGCUGUAUAGGAGGAUUCGAAAUACUUCUUAAGUACUCCCUCCGAUUCAACUUAAUUAACUUUGACUUGGUACAACCUUAGUACAAAGUUGUACUAAGUCGGCGCAAUUAAUUUUGAUCUGAGGGAGUACUAAAGUUUAUGAAAUAACAGAAGGAAGGAUUAAUAAGAAAUAGAAAUAUUGAAAUGCUCCUCCUGUCCUACAUAUAUUGUUUUUACCUUUGCAUGUGUUUGAUAGGGCGUAGUAGUAGUGUGUGGGUACUUCAGUUAGAAGGUAUGCAGUGGACCAGUCUAUCGACCGUGUGGCAAUGCCUGUAGUUUGUAGCACUAAACUUUGAUGCCCAUUCAUAAACUAAUUUAGAUGGAGCCGCACAAAAAUUGUGUUUUUUUUUUUGCUCACACACUCUGUUUUGUCUCAGUUUUAGUCCAGCGCAACUUUGAAGCUUAUCCAGGGCAACUUUGAAGCUUAUCCAGGGCAACUUUAACUAUUUACAGGAGAAAUUGUUAAAGACCUUAUUAAGUGAAGAAGAAUAGACGUCUCCAGUUUUUGUUUCUCCAACUCUAUGCCUACACUGUAAAUUAUUUAUGAAUUAGCUCCAGUUGAUGCAACUGUACUCUUUCUGGUAGGUCUGAGAUGGACUGAGCAUCCUAAGCUAGCUACUUGUCUCCCUUAGGUUUUACAGCAAGACAAAUGCACUGGACUACAAAGAGGAAAAUUCUUGCAGGUUCGUAAUGAAUCUGUUUUGGUUCUGGCAUUCACACCAAUCAUAAAGCAGUGUUUGUUAGUAGCGGAGUGGUAGGCAGACGCAAAUCAAACCAUCAUUUUUCUUCUAAAUACACUUGUAAAAGCAUCGAUGCAUCUCCGUCGCUUAAUUUUAUUUGUCAUUCUGUUCAGUACCUGGUUUGGUUUAGGAAGAGCUCUUUUUCCUAUGCAAAAUGUAUAACGUGUAUGUUUCUAAUUCCGAUUGCAGGCAUAUUCAUCGCGCUUGUGUUUUGACGUGUUGCGGGCAACCAAGAGUCGUUCAACAGUGUGUUGCUGGGGUACGCCACCGGUCUGACAGUAAAAGGUAGCGCUGAUGAACUGGUUUCAAGCCGAGCUGAUCAGUUCUGCUGUUACUAAUAUAUCAUGGCAUCUUGCGGCUCUCGGUCGAUGUUCUGUCAUCUAUGAGGAGAGAGUUUCCAUUUAAUCUAGUUGCUAAUGCUUUGUAUACAAAAUUAUAGAUGCCUACACAAUACAAAAUCAAAAGUUAUUUUCUUAGUCAAACUGGAAAAUUCAUAGAUUUGCAGGAACAUCUGUACAUAAAGCCUUUUCCAUCAAAGUAUGUACAUACAUUGUCUAUUUUAACAUAAGAAUGUAGGACUCGUUCAAAACUAUUUGACUAUUCAUACAAAAAAAAUAGAAUUUCUUAAAAUAAGGGAGCACAUCUUCUCUGGUUUGAUCACUGAAGUCAUCAAUUGAGCAGUCCAGGUUCACCUAGUUAUCUAUUUCAAAACUUAGGGAGAACAAUUUGGGUGAUACUUUUUCAAAGUACAAGGCACAUAUUUAUAGUUCAUUGAAAUGCACCUAUAUUUUGACCUCAUUAAUAUCUCAUCCUUCAUAAUAAAGUAUGGCCAAACAAACAGAGAAACCGCUAGUUUCUUUCAUGUUCCCCAGACAAUAACACCAUAGCUAUUACUGUCAUUCCCCUUCUCUCUUAAUACCUUCCAUCCUUUCCAUUAUAAUUAAUGAAACUGAAACAUAUCAUUCUCUUGGUUGUAUUUUUUUCCUAAAAUGUUUAAGGUGUAUGUGUCAUUGAGUGAAUAUAUUAUGUUGCAAAGUUUCACGAAAUUUAGUAUGCAACCAGUAUGCAAGAGAAAUAAAGAUUAAAGUAAAUUUAGUUAUUUUUAUUAGCCAUUAUUGUUUUUAGAGAAAACAAUAGGCAAGUCACUUUUUCAUGAAAGCUGGAGACAAAUAGUGUAUUCUAACAUAAAAAUGGUCAAUUUUCCUCACACACACACACACACACAUACACAUAAACUUAGAAUUUUUGGAAAUAAUGGGAGCAAUGGCCAUGUGAAAAUAUGAGGUUUAUAUCUUGUGGAUUUCCUUUCAGUGUACAAGGCCUGCAUGUAGAAUGGAUAUUUUUUUUUCUAUAUUUGCUUCCCUAAUUUAAAUCUUAUCCUUCAUCAUCAAUUAUGACUAAACAUAAAUAGUAACUGCUAGUUUCUCUUAUGCUUAUGAGGAGAUAAGACCAUGGAUAUUUUAGUCAUUCCACUUUGCUAUUGAUUGUUUCUGUUCUUUUGCGCUAAAUAGUAGUCAAACAUGUUAUUCAUGUAUUUCGUAAGGAUAAGGUCAAGCCUCAUGAUAAGGAUAGGGUCGCGCUAUUCGUCACCCUGGGUGAGGCAUUGUUAUUUUUCACCCACUUCUAUUUUAUCAUCAAUGCACCGUAAAUUUACGUUUCAUAAGUUUUGUCUUAUUUCCGACGCAAAAAGGGACCGUAAGAAAAUAUAUAAUCGCCAUAAAAAAUAUUUUAUGUUAUAUAAAAUUACAAACAUAAAAACAUAGUCUAAAAUACACACAAACUGCAAAUUUUCUUGUCUUAUAACCUAUAUUUUUAUUUUUUUAUGUCAAAUUUUACGUAGUGAAUCAAUAGAAAUAUAACUAUUUGAAUUCGAAAUGUAAUUUAAUUAUGAAAUGAUCGUAAGAUUACCUCGGGUGAAGAAUAACUUAUUCUGCACCCUGAUUGAUGAAUAAUAAAUUUAAUUAUAUUAUAUACAUAUAGGAUAACACUAUUCUAAUCCUAGAAUUAGAAUAGCUAUUUGGAUCACAGCCAGCCCGACCACAUCUUAGUGAGAUCGCGCGAGCAAAAGAAAAAACCCAAAACGCCCCGCCCCGUUUAUCCCCUUGUCGCUCCACCACCACCCCCCGACCUCUGGCCGCCGCCCACCCUGCUCCGGCGCGCCUCCCACCCUCGCCUCCUUCCGAGCGCUCCGCCGGCCCCGCCUUCUUCCAGGCGCGCCGCCGGCCCCGCCUCCUCCUGGCGUGCUGCCACCCCCACCUCUUGCAGCGCGAGGUCGCCGCCACCGCCUACUUCCCGGCGUGCCGCCAGCCCCGCCCCCUUCGGCGCGAGGCCGCCGCCCCCACCUCCUCCUGGCGCGCCGUCGUCCCCUGUACCUGACGCGCCCCCCGGUGCCGCCGGCCCGCAACCCGCCGCCCAGCACCUUCCCGUCGCGCGCCUCCCAACACCGAGGCGCCGCCGCCCACAGGUUCUGUAGAUGCUGACCUGCCACUGCACCGCCGCUGCAACCUGCUGCUCACUCUUCCUCGCACAUGUGUCAGCAACACAAAAGUGGGUCGCUGCAGUCCACCUCCUGCUACAGCAGCAGGACGACUCCUUCAGGACGCAUCUCACACUCAUGGAGGCGGUGCUAUCUCUGGCGAGCUCCUCCAUCCCCGAGCGCGAUGCUUCCACUACUGCGUCCUCCUCACGUUCCCUUCCCCAUCCUUGUGUAUGCUUAUUUCGAUGUGGAAAACUCCAUCAACUAGUUCGCAUCACGUAUCAGGGCACGGCCAUAACAUGCUAGCAAUAUUAUGCUUUGGCUGCUAGUAAUGUGUUUGUGCUAAUGUCUAGUAGGAACUCUAGUUGUACUGAUAAAAGAGAACCAAACCAUCAUAUAAGGGAAAAGUCGCAUCUCUCUAUCUUUGAUCUCUCUAUGAUACAGAUAUGGACGUAUAUGGAAUUAGUAAAAUUCCUCUUUUAUAUUGCUUGUUCAUUAAUCAUUCAUGCAUCGUGUCCUAAAAGAAAUAUAGUGUGCUCUGUUUGAAAAAGCAUGUGGUCAGCACAUGUUUGUUAUUAUAUGGAUCUAAAGGUUUAACAAACAAACACAUUCAGAUUUCUCUUUAUUCGUAUAAAGGUUGGAGUGAGGUAGCGCUUAUUUCCUAUAUAGCUGCUCAUUUUGGAUGCAGUUUGAACAAUCAGGCUAGGGAGCGGUGAGCGUGGGUAGGCUGGCCAAACCUUCCCUCCACUGGGUCAACCGGCAGCGUCGCCCACCACCGUACUGUCCUACGGCAACGGCCCCAACCUGGGCAGGCGUGCUUUCUGCGACAUGCUCCUGCUCAUGGAUGUCUUGGUGAGGUAAAAACUUCUGUUAACUUAACUUAGCUACCUCAACUGAUUGAACUGCAGGGGUUGUGUGCAGUCUGAUGUGGUUCUAGUGUUUGAUUAAUGCAAUUUGGAAGAACUUGCGUCUCUAAAAUUCAAACUCUGCAUUUUGGUGUAUUUUUAUUUAGAAGUUCAGGUCAUCAUAAGUUGCUUCGGUUUAGCUAGUUACUGUUGUGAAAAAGUUCAGCUCGUCAUAUUUGAACAUCGGAAGAAGAGCUGCUAUAGUCUCCUGCUAUAUGCUUGUUAUAUUCCUAAAUAGUACAGGCUCAACCAAAGCAAGUAGUUAUAGUCUCCUGCUAUAUGCUUAAAUAGUACAUUUUUUCUGUAUUCUUGUUCGGAAGUUCAGGUCAUUCAAAGAGACCAAAUAGUACAGGCUCAACCAAAUAGUGAAAAGUCUACUAGAGUCGAAAAAAUAUAAUGAUACAAAAAUGCAACUCUGCACUUUCCUCAAAAUGGUCAUCAUAUUCUUAAGAAGAUUGGGAUUGCACUAUUUGUUUGAGCUAGUACUACCAGACUGAACAAAUUGCAGAGUUGGAUUUUAGAGCCUGGACAUUUUCAGACAUUUUCAAAAGUGGUCAAUUGAACCUGAACCAAAAAGAUUGACCUGAAAUUCGUUUGGGCUAGUUACUACCAGACUGAAAAAAUUGUAAUAGGUGGAUAAGUGGUAUUGUACUAUUUUCUAUUGUGUGGUAAUGCUCGUACCCCAUGGCCAUGGAAGGUUCAGAUGUUGUGCUCUUCUUUUCUAGCUGAUUCAUGUUCUAUUUGGUAGCUUUAAUGAUAUUCUAUACACUGAUGGCGAGAGUUCAACCAUGGCUAUACGCCAAGUUCUACUAUGGCUAUAUGUCGGCCAUCGUGAAGUCCUACUAUAGCUAUAUGCCAAGUUUAAUUAUGGCUGUAUGCUUGUGCUUCCAGGCUACUAUUGAACGUGUCUUGGCCUUCAUUUUUACGGGUUAUAGUCUCCUGCUAUAUGCUUGCUUUUGCUAUCAGCAUGUUCAUGCAAGUGCCUCUGAAUAAUCUGAAAUUUAAACUUGUACCUAAAACUGAACUUCUACCUCUUUGCUACAGGUGCGGUCGUCGGAGUCCUUUAAGUGCUUGCACUAGUGCUUCUAACUUGUCCAUGAAGGCACUGCAUGGUGUGCCACCUCCCGUCUGCCGCCGCAGCUGCCAUGUGUCCUUGCGACCUCUGCGGCCAGUCACCAACGCCCUAUGAGUGCGCCCUAAGUGUGGCAUGGGGAACAUGCUAAUGUGUGUGUUUCUGCACUGGUGUGUGCGUGCAUGCUCACGUUUAUGCGUGACUGAGUGUGCUGCUUGUGUGCUGUGAUGUAUGUUGUAUAGAUUUUUAUGAAGUUCAUGUUGUGAACCCAACUUAAUUAGAACACAAAAGUUUAGAUCGCAGCUGCUUUGAAUUAUGUAGUGUUUCUAAAUAGCUUCUUGUCUGAAGUUCAGUCGUACAUGUGGGUGCAAGAAAGUUAGUGUCGGAGCCAGAAAAACUGACUUUGAGCAACUGUUGGGUAUUUAUAUAAAAACAUUGUGUGUAGCAAUUCGUUGUGUUUAUUGAAAAAUGAAAAGACAGAAGUUCACCAUGCAAAACUUUCACAGUCCAAUUGGUAUUAAGAAGGCAGAAAUAUAAAACAACAGUGAAGUUCACUAAAAAUGCAACUUUUCACAUUGCGAAGAAACAAUAAUUAACUUCUCAGUGUACAAUUUAGUUUUUGUUUCUCUUUUCCAAAAAAUAAGAAUAGAAGUAAUAUGUGGAAGCUAUUUGUGUUUAUGUCUCAAAUUAGAAUAAUUAUAAGAAUUGCCUCUAUAUGUGCUAUGUGUUACACACCUUUCCGAAUCAAAAGAGAUUAGAUUCAUCCAUGAGUAAGGUAGGUACAAUUAUUUUUAAACAGUUCAAUUGCUCGAUAGAUGUAUGUCCAGAAAAAUAAAAGAUAGUUCAACACAAUAUAAACCCAUGAGAUUGCAAAAAAUCUUUGGAUUAAGUGGAUGAGAACCAAUAAGUUCAUAUAUGAAACCUUGGGGAGUUCAAAAAAAGUUAAAAAGGUUCGAUGUUUGUUGCGAAGCUAGGAUUUUCUUCAUUACUAAUGAAUAAAUCAAGAAGUUCAAAUUAAAAAAGGAUGAGCGGUUCGAUGUUUAUUACGAACCUAGAAUUUUUUCCGUUACUAAAAGAAAUAAUACCAACAAGUUCAAAUUAAAAAAAUCGAGUAGUUUGAUAUUUCUUUGAAAACUCAAAUUUUUCCGGUUAGUAAAUAAUAAAACCAAUAAGUUCAAUUCAAAAUAACGAAGAAGUUCAACUUUUAAAAGCAAAGCAAUUUGAUAUUCAUUUAAAAACUCAAUUUUUUCGGUUACUAAAGAAUAAGACCAACAAGUUCAAUUCAAAGUAACGAAGAAGUUCGAUGUUUCUAACAAAACUCCAAUUUUCACAUUUCUAAAAACUCCAAUUUUAGGUGAGCCCAAUUUUUGUGUGGAUGUGUUGUGCAUGUGCUUGUGCGUAGUACAUUUAAUAGAACAAAAACACUAUUAUGGGUGCCCUCUAAAUGUUUGUCCUAUUGCUUAUGAGAAUUGACCCGAAUUUUCCUAUUGUUUUUGCACAUGUUGGAUUCAAGGGAAAAUGUGUAUAAAACAGGUGUGAUUUCAGAAGUUCAGGUGUAACGAACAUCGAAGUCCAAACCAAAAGAAUGUAAACAAAAAAAUCAUGGAAUUCAAAAGAAUAAAUACUAUCGAGUUUCAUGAAAGAAAAUAGCAUGCGAAGUUCAUGUUUCAGAAAGUUUGAAGUUCACGUGUACCACAUACAGAAGAAAAAUGAUCAAAUGAAAAAAGGGACCGCCUAGGCCAUUUCACCGAAAAGCAAAAAAUGCAUAAAAUGUCACGACAAAAUUCUAUAAGAAGUUCCAAUUUAAAAGCCGAAGUAGGUCAACGUUAAAGAAAAUGAAGUUUUUAAUAUCUAAAAGAAAAUUUUGGAAGCUCAACAAAUUUGUGCAAGGAGUUAAAAAAAUUAGUUGAAAAAUAUUUAUAACGGAUUUUCCCCGUGUAUAAAAAAAUCAGAGAAGUUCAAAUUAAAAAGAGGAGCAUUUCAAAAGAUUGUAUAAAAACUGAUUUACUCAAAAUAGAUAAAGGUGAAGUUCAAAUUGAAAUAACGGAGAUGUUCGGAGUUUAUUAAAACCUAGAAUUUACCUGUUCGAAAAAUAAAAAACACAACACCAUUUUUUUGCACUUUUAGAGACAACUCAUAAACGAAAAAAUGGUUGCUGGAAGUUCAAGUGCUCGGUGAGGAAAAGUUCAAAAAAUUCUUGUAAGAGAGGUUCACCGUGUAUUUAGAUGUCCAAAAUACAUAAAAAAUAUGUUGUUUUUUGUGUUUUAAAAUAAUUCUCUCAAACCAGAGAGAAGUUCAAAGUGAUAAUAGCCGGAAGUUCACGUACUACAUGGUGUGUAUUUCAUAUAAGAAAAAUAGAAUAAAGUGAAACAGAGUAAAGUUCAAACGGACAUGCCCUAGAAGUUCAACUACUUCACGUAGUGCAAAAAAAUAUCACAUCAAAAAUAGAGUGAGGACAGACAUGCCUGAGAAGUUCAACUACUUCACACAGUGUGUUUCCAUUCGCAAUGAAGGCAGAAAUCAUGAUCUCGUCAUUUCUCUAAUUUACUUCAAAACGAUAGGAAUAUCAUUUGUGUAAGUUCAAGUCCUCGGUCGGAGAAAGUUAAAAAAAUAUUGUGAGAGAGGUUUGUACAAAAAGAAUAUCAUUUGUGUAACACUGACGAAAUGGAUGAGAAAAUUACAAACAAAAAACGUCACAGAAGUUCAACGUGAAAACAACAGGAAGUUCGACUACUAUAGUGAAUGAAUUUGAGAUGAAAAACUUUUAAAAUCAUCGCGAGUAUGAAAAAACGAUCAACACGGGAAAGUUAUGUGCUUACAGCAGCUUUCCACCGGUAUAUCACUUUCUCAAUUCCGGUGAGUGGAUGGAGAGUUACGAGCAGUGGAUGGAGACCUACGAGCAAAAAAAUCACGUGAAAAACAGAGUGAAGUUCAGGUACACGCGCCGAGAAGUUCAGGUUCUUCACGCGGUGCAUUUUCGAAGAAUCUGUUUGACGAUAAAGGCAGAACGCAUGAUCUCGCCAUUUUCGAAAUUACUUGAAAAUGGCUAGGAAUCAGAGAAAACCAUCAACAUGAAAAAGUUUUGCAAUUUCCGUAGCUUUUCAGCGGUAUAUUAUUUGCCCCAUUCCGAUAAAGUUUGUAGAAAUUACGGCGAAAAUACGUUUUUCGCCAUUUUCGAAACUGACUUAAAACUGUAAAGAAUUGGGAGAAACAAUACAUACCAAAAAGUUUCACAUUUGUUCAAGAUUUCCAAAGCCAUAACAUUUGCUGCAUUCGGACAGACGGUUAAAAAAUUAGAUCAAAAAUACGAACUCGGUAGGACUAGGACCAUUUUCUAAAUUACUCUUAAACCAUUCAAAAUUAGAAAAAAACUUUCAAGAUGAAAAAGUAGCGCAUUUUCAUAAGCUUUACAAUGCCGUAUCAUAUGCCUCUAUUGGAUUAGCCGUUUAGAAAUGACAUCGAAAAUACGAACUCAGCUGUUCGAUUUACGAAAUUUUACGUUUUUUCAAAUUACUCUUUAACUAUAGGGAAUUAAAGAAAACUUUCAACAUGUGGAAGGAGCGGUUUUGCAGCAGCUUUCCAACGCCAUAUUAUAUGCCUCAUUAAGAUAAACGGUUUAGAAAUGCGGUCGAAAAUACGAUUCACGUUUUUUGUGCGAAGAAAAAACGGUUUUCAAAACUGCUCUUAAACCGCUUAUAUUUUGCCAAAAAUUUAAGUUGGAUAAUGAUACUGAUGUUCAAAACUUUCCAACGGUAUAUAGCAAGCCUCAUUUGGGCAAUGUUGGCGGAAGUUCAACCUAGUUCAUAGGGAAGUUCAGCGUACUACUAGCGGGGCAGGUCAGGUUGUGAUCAGAAUAUUAUUCUGAUCCCGUGAUUAGAAUAGUGUUUAUAUAUAUAUAUAUAUAUAUAUAUAUAUAUAUAUAUUAUAUUUGCCACAUUAACUUUAAGAGUUCAAUAUUAAUAUUUUCAUACAUAUCAAGUGAUAUUGGCGACCUUUUUUACCAUCAAAUCCUCGCGCACACACGCUAGUGCAUAACAAUAUGAAUUAUAUGUAUUAUAUUUGCCACCACAGCUGUGGGUAUUAAUUUCAUGUAAAUCGGUCAAUCACAGCUCCCAGAAUAUGCGAAGGAGGUGGCCUGAAUCGGCGUCGACGCCGUCCAGUGCGGGCCACGGGCCCGCUUCACUAGUAGAAAAAGGGCCUAUUGUCCCGGUUCGUAAGGGCCUUUUGUCCCGGUUCCUGAACCGGGACUAAAGGAUCGGUACUAAUUCCCUGUCCCUUUAGUCCUAGUUCAAUCCAGAACCGGGACAAAUGGGCCUCCACGUGGCCUGUGCGCGGAGCCCAGGCAGGAGGGCCUUUGGUCCUGGUUGGUGGCACCAACCGGGACCAAUAGGCAUCCACGCAUCAGCAUUUCUGUGGCUGGGGUUUNNNNNNNNNNNNNNNNNNNNNNNNNNNNNNNNNNNNNNNNNNNNNNNNNNNNNNNNNNNNNNNNNNNNNNNNNNNNNNNNNNNNNNNNNNNNNNNNNNNNNNNNNNNNNNNNNNNNNNNNNNNNNNNNNNNNNNNNNNNNNNNNNNNNNNNNNNNNNNNNNNNNNNNNNNNNNNNNNNNNNNNNNNNNNNNNNNNNNNNNNNNNNNNNNNNNNNNNNNNNNNNNNNNNNNNNNNNNNNNNNNNNNNNNNNNNNNNNNNNNNNNNNNNNUAGGUGUUUCAUAUAUUGUGUUAGCUAGCUAUAAUUAAUAGAGAGAAGUGUCCUCUCUUAUGUCCAUGCUUGGUCGGCGCUACGUACUAUACAUACGUAUAGAGAGGACUAGACAGGCUAGCUAGCUAGUUAGAAAACGAAGGAAACAGAAGAUCGUCAUGAACAUAUAUGCAUAGAGAGAGAAGUGAUAUCGACCACCUCUCCUUCUCCGAGAGAUUGGUCGAACAACAAGUUCUCGUAUAUCUAUCCGACACUACCGGCUACAUAUAUACAAUAAUUAUCUCUUACAAAUAUAAUCUCCUAACAUACGGACUCAUGGUCCACAUAGUAUUCUCCGUCUUCAGCGAUCACGUGGUCAAGAAAGAAUGCCGACAAUUCCUUUUGAAUUGCUCGCAUGCGAGCUGGUGCUAGGAGUUCAUCUCGCUUCCGAAACAUCUAAUUUGAAGAAGGGGCCGGGGUCAAUACAUAUAUAUAUGAAUGAAUGAAACUAAACACAAAUGAUGGUAAUAAAAUAAAAUUGUGAAUGUUGUUAUUUGCGCACUUCAUAUUGUUCAUCAGAGUAGCCCCGCUCACAGGCCGUGUGGUAGAUGGACUCGCAAACGUAGUAUCCACAGAAAUCAUUCCCUUGUAACUGCCACAACCCCUUUACAAGAAAUAGAGGUCAAUCAAACUGAUAAGCAAGAAUGCCAAAUGGUAUUGAUGAAACUAGCGCUUGAAUCAAUAGGAGAUGCGCGGAACAUGCUACUAUAGUACUUACUUUGGGGUGUCUAAAUUGCAGCUUCUCCGGGAGUCCCGGAGCUUUUUUGGUGAAUUUUUUCCAAACCCUGCCAGACAAAGAAAACAGUUACUUGAUAUAUCAGGAAAUGAACAAAGUUGCUGAUAUGGUGGAUAAUGAUCGAUUUAACUUACUUCUCGAGCAUUUGAGUCAUGUCCGCAUAGUCCUGGGGAUCUUUUCGUCUUGAGUCUAAGACGGUUACUAGUCCCUGCUCAAGCUUAAUCUCUAGGAGAAUAUAGUGGAAACUGCACACGCAUGCAUAACUCAUCAAUUACAUUACUAUAACCUUGACUAAUAUAUAAGGGAAACCGAAUAUGCACAAGACAGUAACACUCACUUGAAGUUGUAAGGAAAAAGUAUUAUAUCUUUGUUUUCAUUUAUUACCAACGAUCGUAGCAAGUUGGCCUCGGUAUCCGCGACAUGAAAUUUAACCUCAGUUGCAUCUAUGAUAUUUGUGUUAAUGAACCCAAUAUCACCGAUUUGUCUUUUCUUCAAUUCGACGAUCUUCAAUCUGCAUAAUAUAGUGAGGAUAAUUAUAAAUACAUGCAAUGAAAGAGCUGAGCUAUAUAGAGAGACUUAAUGACAGAAGUAGUACUACUUACAGACAGUAGCAGGUGACCGUUGCUUUAUCGAGGGCCAAUUGAUUGAAAAACUGAAAGAACUCCUCAAAUGGAACAGGUAACAAACACUAGUAGAAAAAGGGUCAAACGUGAAGCACAUUAGUGCCGGUUUGUAAAAAGACCGGCACUAAUGUGAUCAAUAGUGCCGGUUCGAAUGGCUAUGCAUUAGUGCCGGUUCGUAAUGAACCUUUAGUACCGGUUCAUGCCACGAACCGGUACUAAAGGGGUGGUGGCAGGCUGGCGUCAGGCCAGGCCCCACGAGCCCCUUUAGUGACGGUUUGUGACACAAACCGGUACUAAAGGUCUAACCUAUAGUACCGGUUUGUGUCACCAACCGGCACUACAAAGUCUUAACCUAUAGUCCCGGUUGAAGACACAAACCGACACUAUAGGGCAAUUUUCAAACUCUACCCCCCCCCCCGUGUAUCGCCAUUUCAGUUUUGAAAAAAUCAAAAGAAAAUGAUAAAAACUUCAAAAAAUAAAAUCCUUCGAGAGGUAGUUAUAUUACUACAUCUACUAGUUAGGAAAAUUUGAAAACUUAAAUUUGGACAUGUUUUGCAAAAAGUGUAGGGAAAAUGUAAAACGGCUAUAACUUUUGCAUAUGAUGUCGGAAAAAACGUAUAAUAUAUCAAAAAAUUCAGCACGAAAAUCCUCAAAUUCCAAAAGGAAAAAAAGAUAUGGUCAAAUUUAAGUUUUUUUUAAAAAAAAUUGGUUAAAUCUGGUCAAACUACUUAUUCAAGAAGUGUUAAUGUUACUACAUAAUUAUUCAAGAAUAUUAGUGUUACUAAAUAAUUAUUUCAAUUUUUUGAAUUUUGGUCAAAUCUGGUCAAACUAUGGUCAAACUGUGGUCAAACUAUGGUCAAACUUAUUCAAGAAAUAUUAGCGUUACUAAAUAAUUACUGUUUUUUUAGAAUAAUAGUUUCAAACUCAAACGGUGAAAUGUGUGACUUCAUGCUCAAGCUAAACUCCUGAGGGUUAAUAGGAUUAACAUCUUACUAUCAUCACGAAAACAACAAGUGCAGACAUGGAAACGAAGGAGAAUAGAACCCGAAAGUUAAGCGUGCUCGGGCUGGAGUAGUGAGAGGGAUGGGUGACCGGUCGAGAAGUUAGAUGAUUUGGAAUGAGUGAUCCACACUUGAGCAGUUAAGAGAGGUGAUUAGAGACUAAAUCAUCAAAUAAUUUAGAAAAAUUAAAAAAAUCAAAUUAAUUUUCAAAAAAAAUAUUCAAAAAAAAAACCAUUAGUACCGGUUGGUAACACCAACCGGUACUAAAGGUCCCCCAUACCAGGGCGUGAACUCACGCCACGUGGUGGCACUUUAGCGCCGGUUCGUGCCGAACCGGUACUAAAGGGGGGGGGGGCUUUAGUGCCGGUUCCAUAACCGGCACUAAAGGCACUUACAAACCGGUUUUAAAGCUCCGUUUUCUACUAGUGAAAUCAAUUCCAACGAGGUCAUGCUCCUUUUUAACUCUCACAUACAAAGUACUCCUCCCCUAGACUCUCUGCAGAUUUUCAAGUACCAAUCAUGCAAUCUUUGCAUCAUCGUUGAUAGAGAUCUUUCAUCUUUGACGAGAGGCUUCCCGUACUCGUAUCUUUGUAUCUGCACCUCCAUGAAAUCAUAAUGUACAUCGUCGGGCAGGUAAUCUCCAAGAUUGCUAUAACCGGGCACCAUCCUCGGAUCAUUAGCGACGAUGUCGCUAGGUACCUUGAGCGGGGGGGGGGGGGCACGAUUGCUUCCCUUGUUCGCCAAGCUGGGAAAUUUGUUUCCCAACUCGUCGUUCUUUCAGCCUUUGAUCACUGACAGUACUUCCCGACCGCUCCGCUUCGGCAAAUUCCUUUCCAAUAAUGCGCUCAUAGUUUCCUUUCGGUGGAGACUUGGGUGGUUUUGUUAGGGCAGCCAGAGUGCGCUUCGCUUUCACCGGAUCUACCUUCUCCUCCAGAGGUGGAUGUUUCUUUGCUUUCACCCCUUCAAAGAAGUUCCUGACUUCUUCUCGCACGAUCUCGGCGUUCUCCUCCGGGGUCCUCUCGUAUGGUAACUUCUCUGGAGUCUUUAGAGAAGGACCGAAUCUGUAUGUCCUCCCGCCUCUGGCUGUACUGCUAGACGCCGGCAGAGCAGACGGAGCGGUUGUCUUCUUUACUUGCUUACGAGGCAGAGGAGAAGGACUACGACGCACCAGAGCAGCCGGAGCGGCCGCAGGUCUCUUCCGCCCUUGCUGACGAGGCGGAGAAGGAGGAGGCUGGCUGCUCGGGCGCGCCGGCGCAGGCGGAGAAGGAGGCGGAGUGCCGCCACGCGCCGGAGAAGGAGCCGGCCGAGUGCCCUGAUAGUCACUCGCCAGAGGAGGAGGCGGUGGAGGGGGCGGAGUGCCCUGACUCGCCGAAGGAGGAGGAGGAGGCGGAGGCAUCCAAUUCGGAAGGUUCAUGACCUCCUUCCGCCAUAGGCAUGGAGUCUUCAGAGCAGAACCCAGCCGAGUCUCCCCUUCACCGGUAGGGUGGUCAAGCUGGAGGUCCUCAAAUCCCUCCGUUAUUUCAUCCACCAUCACCCUAGCAUAUCAUUCUGUAAUCGGCCGGCAGUGAAAAGUUGCGCUGGGUUCAGUAGGAAAAACAGAGCCAAUAGCCGCCUUGACCUUCAUAUUAACCCAUUGCGUCAUAAGGUGGCAAUUAUGAGACUCCGUGAUAGCAUCCACGGGAUAGCUGGCAGGAGCCGUCAAGACAUGCUCCUGCUGAAGCAGCUCGGUGGAAGCCAUGCUGCUUCUCCGCUGAGAUGGCGGGGUAGCUUCGGCAGUUCGUUUUGUGCGAUUUGCUUCUCGUUCCUCUAUUGCUUGUACCCUAGCGUGCAGCGCCUGCAGUUGGGUCUGCUCCACUUUCUUCCUCCUCUCGUGGCAUUUGUAACCGCCUGCGUCCGGAAACCCAGCCUUACACGGAAUGGAGCCUGGCGUGCCUCAUGUCCGUCCAGGGUGUUCAGGAUUCCCGAGGGCCAUUGUGAGCUCGUCGUUCUCUCUGUCUGGAACAAACAUACCUUGCUGCGCUGCUUCGAUAUAGUGCUUAAGCCUCUUGACUGGUAUUUCCAUUUGCUCGUCCGUCCAAAUGCACUUUCCUGAUACAGGGUCCAAGGUUUCACCAGCCCCGAAGAACCAAGUCCGGUAACGGUCUGUCCAGUUAAUUGUCUCUGGUUCGAUCCCUUUAUCAACCAGAUCAUUCUCAAUCUUGGCCCACUUAGGCCGAGCUGCCAGGUAGCCACCUGACCCCGUGCGAUGGUGAUGCUUCUUCUUCACAGCAUUUUGCUUGUUUGUCGACGACAUCUUCUUACUCUUUUCCGAUGUCUUGUGGGCCACAAAUGCGGGUCAGUGAUCUCUGAUCUUCUCAUAUCUGCCCUUGAAUUCCGGUGUCUCUUUAUUUUCGACAAACUUAUUCAGCUCUUUCUUCCACCUCCUGAAUAGUUCUGCCAUCCUCUUAAGAGCAAAAGACUUGAUUAAUUGCUCUUUAACUGGCUUCUCCGGAUCAUCCUCUGGCUGUAGGGUGAAAUUUGACUUCAGCUCAGUCCAAAGAUCAUUUUUCUGCAUAUCAUUGACAUAAGACACCUCAGGGUCUUCUGUAGCCGGCUUUAACCAUUGCUGCAUGCUGAUCGGGAUCUUGUCCCUAACCAAAACCCCGCACUGAGCAACAAAUGCGCUCUUUGUCCGGAUAGGUUCAUUCGGUUGGCCCUCGGGCGCGAUUGCUAUGAUCUCAAACUUUUCAUCCGAGCUCAACUUUUUCUUCGGGCCUCGUCUCUUUACCGAAGUUGUGCUCGAUCCGGAGGGCUAGAAAAAAGAACAAAGACUUAAUUAAUAUGUGUACAUACCAAAACAAUGAAUGCAUCAAUUAGCUAGUCAGCAGAAGCUUAACUAAUACUAGAUCAUUGAUGGUGCGUGUUGUUGCGCCCAUCUAUUUUGGAUCUUGGUUGUUAAGGAUAUAACAUUGCUAGUAUACAUUUCUUGCAUUGUUUUAAAAUAUUAUGCUUUCUAUAGCAUGUACUUCUCUUUAUUUUCAAAAUAAUGGUAUGUAAAUCAUCUUCAUUGGGGCAACAUUACAACUUCCAUAUCAACAUAAGCUUAGAUAUAAAUAGGGCAGUGCCAUAAGCCAACCUAUCCAUAUCCACGUUAUAAUAAUGGAUGGCUAUGUACAUUUUUGUUCAAGCAUAGUACAAGCUUGUUGCAGUUGCAUAGGAACAUAGACUUAAACAUAAUAUAAACUUGAAAUGUAUAAUGAUGGAAGAAGGCGGCAUGACAGUAUAUUAUACUUGGAAAACAAAUUGUACGAUGGAGUAGAGCGAACUGGAGAAGAUGUAGACCUCAAAUAGGCACCAGAAACACUGCACCAAAAUUUCUAUGAUUAUGGAUACAUCCAACAUGGCGGACGGUCAGAGGGCAUGAGAAGUAUAAUCAUAUACUAUCUAAGAAAAUCAAGACUCUUGAUUAUUACAUCAAAAGCAAGGCACAGAACAAGCUUACAUAUCGUAUUGUUCGUGCUAACACAAAUAAUAAUAUCUUCUAACACACGAAUGUAAUUUGGCCAAAAGAUAAUUUCUUCAUACGAAUUCCAACGUCACUACAUUUUUUUUCAUUGGGGCUUAAAAAUUGUUUGACCGUUUUACAUGAGAUAGAAAGAACUGACUGAACCGAGCAACAAAAGGCAACAAAAACACAAAUCAGUUUCCUCUCAUUCUCUGCCUACAUCAUAUUUUUUUUCCUGUAAAUAUAUCUUGUGAUUCAUCAUUGUUUCAGACCGUAAGGGCCGGAAGCUCUACCUAAGGCGGCUGCCAUACAAGGAUACACACAGCUUCGCCUUAAACACCCUCCUUGUGGCGAUGCUUAGAAAGGGAAUAACCUCAUGUAUUACCUUGCUCGGAAUAGCCAUGUUUUCAAAUCCCAACUAAUCCACCUUAAUCCUAACAUCAAAUGAACACAACAUUAACUUGAGAUCAGACGCUAUGGAGUCAGAGUGAUUGCAUGACUCGAGGCACAAGGCAACAGGCUGGGGUGAAGGCGUGGCAGCUGCAUGCCACCACGAAACACCGGCGAGCAGAGAACCGGAAGAUACAUAAUCGUUUAUGUCUUAUGAGUUAAUUUCUCCACUCAUUGCACGCUACAAAACAUUAGCGAGUAUACAUAGGAUGUCCCUUUCUGAACAACUACAUAAUAUAUAAAUUCCAAUUGCAUUAGGGAUUUCAUCUAGAGUAUAUUCCCUGAAUUAUUUGAAAUGAAGUAAUGGUUUUUCUAAUCCUACUUUGACCUGGAGCAUCACUCUGAAACAUCAGGGAACACACACAUCUUCAGAAGUAGCAGCAGUAGCUAAUGUGAAAAGUUCACUGGAAUGCUAGGAUACUAAAAAAGCUAGUACAUCCCAAUAGCCAAAGAACAUAACAAAAUUUGGCAUCAUGUGUCAAGUAGCUCACAGUGGGCAUAAAUUUGUACAUUAUAUGUCCCUUUAUUAACUCACUUGUCUCUGAUUUUUAACUAUUAGGAAAUAAUAGUGGUCAUCAAAAUUAGAAUAUAUUGUAAUGCUCUAGAAUAGGAUCUAAUUGUUGGGAGUUGUUACCUGAGGGAAUCCUUGCGGGGAGCUGAGCAUAGGAACCAAUGCUGUUCCGCACUGUCCACGUGACUGACCACCGUGCUGCCUCCAUGAGCCGAUGUGGAACUUCUACCAACAAGUGAUUUGUACAUGACUGCUCAAGCAAACUAAACCACUAAAUCCAAAGGGGAUUCGUUCCAGAAAGGUGCAACACCUUGAGAAAUCUACGUGUAGAAUUGAAGAGGGGAGAGUAUCAGGAGGUAAACCUAGAGAACCUGCAUAGUUUGUGAGUACAAAGAACAGUAUGAGUAAAAUAAAUUUCAAAAAUUGGAUUAGAUGAAGAAUCAGGUGAAGAGGAGAUAAAGGAAAGAACCAUCACCCAUUGCUGCACGAGAGUGGUUUUCAGAAGUAAGGGGAGUAGGGAAGGAGCAACAGCACUUUGGAUCGUAUAUUCGUAUAUGCGCGCGAGUGAAUUGAAGUAAAAAGCAUGAAUCAUCAGACCUGCAAUAAUCUUCAGUUUAGCCGGUUCAUCAAUUGCCAUUAAUCGAUCCUGAUUAAAACCUCAACGAAUCGAUGGCUAGUGAAUUUCAAUCGACAGCGGCUGUUCGCGGCCCUGACCAUCUCCCUAUUGCGUCACCGACCAGGACGCCGUUCGGUCGCUCGGCGAGGAGCGCCGUGUCAGUCGGACCUGAAGCACAGUGGCCAUGAGACACCAUCGGUCGCGUCGAUCCGACCCCAACACGGCCGCCAUCACUACUGCCCAGAUUCUGCUGCCAGCCGACAGCAGCAACCGUGCGAAACUGCGAACCAAAGGAUCUGGCGACGACGCGCCUGAGAACUCUAGAUAUGGCUUGAAAACCAGAAAUAUGCUUCACGGAUGUAGAGCGUGUUUGGUUGAGUUCCAGGAGCAAAAUUGCCUGGCCUGAGACCUUCCUGGGUUGUGCCUGCUUGUUGUUUGGAUAGUAGCCUCAAAUCACAGGCAUGUUCCUGGCCUGGAGUUGACAUGCACCUGAUUAGCCUGGGUAGAUCACAGGCAGCUUGAUUAGCCUGGAUGAGGCCAACGGAACCAGACGCCUGGCCUCCAGGCAGAUGCGUUUUGCGUCAAUUAGCAAGUUGUAUACUGUACUUUUUGUCAACUCAGCCGUCCCAUCUAAUUAUUUAAUAUUUAAGUACGUGUCCCAGGCCAGGUUUGCAACCAAACAUCACAUGCACACAGCAGCCUGGCCAGGCAAAAAUCCUCCUUCUCCCAGGCUACUAUCAGGCAUCAACUUUUGCUAGGCAUCACACCCAGGACAUGAACCAAACAUGCCCGUAGUGCGUCACUGACCUGGGGAUGAGCUCGUCGCCGGCUCGAGAAAAAGUCGCUCCCUGCUGCGCUUUUGGGGAAGAUAGGAAAUGUAGAAGAAUGAGCCAAUCUAGUGAAUCCCGUGGAACUUAAUGGAACCUGCACUCAUUUGGGAGCACAAAGAACAACAUCAAUUGAAAAAAAUUCAUGCAGAAUUUGGGGGAGAGUAGAGGUACCAACGAGGGAACACUUGUAAAAGGCCAGUAGCGGAGACUAAUUAUCGUCCUGUCAACCAUGGCAGCCUGCAAGUAAAAGGAGGAGAAUGAGGAAGGAGAAGCUCCACGAUGGAGAUUAAAUGGACGCAAUUGAAUGGAUGUUGUAACUGAGCCCAGUUAUUGGCCACCGGUGAGUGCGCCUCAUCGAUUGCAAAUUUGCCAUUAUAAUGGUCCGCUGCAACUAUGAAUUGAGUCCCGAAUCGCGGGCAACUGGAGGCAACCGACAGGGGACGAUCCGUUGCCCCGGAUACCUCCUGCUGGCGUCGCCCAGCGAGGCAACCCGGCCGGUCGCGUAGGUCGAGGCACAUCCGGUCGGUCCAAUCGACCUCGCAUCGGCACUGUUUUUUUUUCUCGCAUCAGGACUGGAUGAACGCUCAUCGGUCGCUCGUGUGUAACCCUAGUCGAUGGAACCGCACAAGUGGACCUUCUUCAGCGAAGCCCGUGGGCUGGAAUGGGCUGGCCGACGGCCCAGUUAACCACAGGGCUACGUUUUGGCCUGCGGAGCAGAAGCCCCAGGACAGCCGGCCCAGUUUUUAUCAGAUGUGGGACAGAUUGCUUUAAACAGGAGAUCCGACGACCAAAAACGUCUAGAUCGUGCAAACGGAUGGUCAGAAACGCGAAGCGCUGAGAGAGCUCGCUUUAGGUGCAGUUGUAUUGUACUUAAUAUAUACCUGGCCGGACUCGGUUCGGUCACCAGAGACGUCAUCACGGUCUCCUUCUUGCACCGGCAUUGUGUCACCGGAGCCGUCCUCACGGUCUCCUUCUUGCACCGGCAUUAGGUCACCGGAGCCAUCAUAAUCAUAGCCAGCUGCUUCCAUACCAUCGGUGUCGUUGAGAAACAACGAGCAGACGGCAUCCCUUCCUCGUGCGAUUAUGUCCCCCAACAACUCUUCUUGUACUUCGUCUCGGGCGGUGUCCAUAGUUUCUACAAAUAUUUAUAACAUGGCAAUUAUUAUUCAAACAUGACAGAUGGAUAUAUUAGUGGCAAACGUAGAACUAAUAUUAAUUAGUGGCCUCGACGCUACUUCUCUAGGGUUUGGGGUGGCCUCGACGCUGCUUCUCCAGGGUUUGAAGUGGCCUCGACAACGCUUCAAGGAUAAAAAAAGAAGAGGAAGAAGAAAAAAAGGGGAGAAGAAAGAAUAGAUCCUCUUUUUUUUUCUUCUUCUUCCUCUUUUUUUUUAUCGGGAACGAGGGUCGUCGACGCCCACGUCACUUGUGGGACGUGGAUGUAGUGUCCGACACCGAUGGCCACAUGUAUCUCACACCCACGAUACUUACUAUUUAGGGUUUCCUCUACCGCUCGGCGACCCUGACCCUCGACGACCCUCGUUUCNNNNNNNNNNNNNNNNNNNNNNNNNNNNNNNNNNNNNNNNNNNNNNNNNNNNNNNNNNNNNNNNNNNNNNNNNNNNNNNNNNNNNNNNNNNNNNNNNNNNNNNNNNNNNNNNNNNNNNNNNNNNNNNNNNNNNNNNNNNNNNNNNNNNNNNNNNNNNNNNNNNNNNNNNNNNNNNNNNNNNNNNNNNNNNNNNNNNNNNNNNNNNNNNNNNNNNNNNNNNNNNNNNNNNNNNNNNNNNNNNNNNNNNNNNNNNNNNNNNNNNNNNNNNNNNNNNNNNNNNNNNNNNNNNNNNNNNNNNNNNNNNNNNNNNNNNNNNNNNNNNNNNNNNNNNNNNNNNNNNNNNNNNNNNNNNNNNNNNNNNNNNNNNNNNNNNNNNNNNNNNNNNNNNNNNNNNNNNNNNNNNNNNNNNNNNNNNNNNNNNNNNNNNNNNNNNNNNNNNNNNNNNNNNNNNNNNNNNNNNNNNNNNNNNNNNNNNNNNNNNNNNNNNNNNNNNNNNNNNNNNNNNNNNNNNNNNNNNNNNNNNNNNNNNNNNNNNNNNNNNNNNNNNNNNNNNNNNNNNNNNNNNNNNNNNNNNNNNNNNNNNNNNNNNNNNNNNNNNNNNNNNNNNNNNNNNNNNNNNNNNNNNNNNNNNNNNNNNNNNNNNNNNNNNNNNNNNNNNNNNNNNNNNNNNNNNNNNNNNNNNNNNNNNNNNNNNNNNNNNNNNNNNNNNNNNNNNNNNNNNNNNNNNNNNNNNNNNNNNNNNNNNNNNNNNNNNNNNNNNNNNNNNNNNNNNNNNNNNNNNNNNNNNNNNNNNNNNNNNNNNNNNNNNNNNNNNNNNNNNNNNNNNNNNNNNNNNNNNNNNNNNNNNNNNNNNNNNNNNNNNNNNNNNNNNNNNNNNNNNNNNNNNNNNNNNNNNNNNNNNNNNNNNNNNNNNNNNNNNNNNNNNNNNNNNNNNNNNNNNNNNNNNNNNNNNNNNNNNNNNNNNNNNNNNNNNNNNNNNNNNNNNNNNNNNNNNNNNNNNNNNNNNNNNNNNNNNNNNNNNNNNNNNNNNNNNNNNNNNNNNNNNNNNNNNNNNNNNNNNNNNNNNNNNNNNNNNNNNNNNNNNNNNNNNNNNNNNNNNNNNNNNNNNNNNNNNNNNNNNNNNNNNNNNNNNNNNNNNNNNNNNNNNNNNNNNNNNNNNNNNNNNNNNNNNNNNNNNNNNNNNNNNNNNNNNNNNNNNNNNNNNNNNNNNNNNNNNNNNNNNNNNNNNNNNNNNNNNNNNNNNNNNNNNNNNNNNNNNNNNNNNNNNNNNNCGGGACUAAAGGGGGGCAUUGGUCACGGUUUGUGCCACGAACCGUGACCAAUGCCCCCUUUAGUCCCGGUUGGUGCCAUCAACCGGGACCAAAGGCCUGCGCCUGCCAAAGCCGUGGUGCGGUAGGAUGUUUAGUCCCACCUCGCUAGCUGAGGAGCGGCCGCACCUGUUUAUAAGCGCUGCACCUGUUUGGGCCUAAUCUCACAACGCUAUGCCUGCUGGGCCUUCUGCGGGCCUGAAUCCUGGCCCAUGGAUGGGCUUCUAGUCGUAUUCAGGCCGUGGUGGCCCAGUAGGUGGCAUUUUUUAUUACUAUUUGAUUUUUCAUUUCUACUUAGAACUAAAUACUUGUAGUUUUUUAGUGAUUUUUUUCUUUUAGGUCACAAAAAUUAUAAACUUUCUAUUAUUGCCAUUAGUUUUAAAAUUUGAAUAGUUUAAUUUUGAAUUUUUUAAAAUUUGUGUGAAUCACUAGUUUAUGAAUAACUUUACCGUAAAAAUUGAUUUUUGAGUCAUUUUUUUCCUGCUAUUUAAUAUUACUGUGUUUUAUCAUUAUACUCAAUUUGGUAAUUUUAGUUAGUCAUAACAAAUAUUAUAGGCAUUUUUUUCUUUUUUGCUAUUUUUUUUCAUUUCUACUUAGAACAAAAUACUUAUAGUUCUUUAGUGAUUUCUUUUUUCUUUUAGGUCACAAAAAUUAUAAACUUUCUGGUAGUUCCAUUAGUUUUCANNNNNNNNNNNNNNNNNNNNNNNNNNNNNNNNNNNNNNNNNNNNNNNNNNNNNNNNNNNNNNNNNNNNNNNNNNNNNNNNNNNNNNNNNNNNNNNNNNNNNNNNNNNNNNNNNNNNNNNNNNNNNNNNNNNNNNNNNNNNNNNNNNNNNNNNNNNNNNNNNNNNNNNNNNNNNNNNNNNNNNNNNNNNNNNNNNNNNNNNNNNNNNNNNNNNNNNNNNNNNNNNNNNNNNNNNNNNNNNNNNNUUAAUUCUUUUUGCUUUUCGUUUUAGAAAAAUUAUAAACUUUCUGUUAGUGCCAUUAGUUUUCAAAUUUGAAAACACUUUUUUAGUUUUUUUGCUUUCUUUGUUGCUUUAUUUAUUUUAUUUUGUUUCUACUUACAAAAAAAUACUUAUUGUUGCUAUUUUUUUUCAGUUUUUGUUUUGUUUUCUUUAUUAUUUAUUUUCUUUUGUUUUUUGCUUUAAUUUUUAAUUCUUUUUGCUUUUAGGUCAGCAAAAUUAUAAACUUUCUGUUAGUGCCACUAGUUUUAGAAAAAUUAUAAACUUUCUGUUAGUGCCAUUAGUUUUCAAAUUUGAAUAGUUAAAAUUUGAAUUCUUUAAAAUUUGUAUGAACCACAAGUUUGUGAUUAACUUUACUAAAAAAAUGAACAUAGAUGCACCUAUAGAGAAAAUUCGACCUAAAUUCAUAGUUUUCAAAUGAACUCUCAAAAAGUUGGCAUAGCAUACUCGUGUGUUACAAAGUUGGCAUGGUAUCAUCAUAAUAGUUGCUUGAGAAAGUCUUCACUUUUUCUUCGCUUGUGUCAUUUGCUUAUUGCGCCGUAACCAUGGAUAAUCUUCAUCGUUUAUCAGGAUGCUUGGGUCAGCCUUGACAUUGAAGGGAGGAAUUUCAUGAAACUUUUCAUAAUCUUCAGACAUGUCUGUCUUGCCCUCCACUCCCAGGAUAUCCCUUUUUCCUGAAAGAACUAUAUGGCGCUUUGGCUCAUCGUAUGAUGUAUUCGCUUCCUUAUCUUUUCUUUUUCUCGGUUUGGUAGACAUGUCCUUCACAUAGAUAACCUGUGCCACAUCAUUGGCUAGGACGAACGGUUCGUCAGUAUACCCAAGAUUUUUCAGAUCCACUGUUGUCAUUCCGUACUGUGGGUCUACCUGUACCCCGCCGCCUGACAGAUUGACCCAUUUGCACUUAAACAAAGGGACCUUAAAAUCAUGUCCGUAGUCAAGUUCCCAUAUGUCCAUUAUGUAACCAUAAUAUGCAUCCUUUCCGCUCUCGGUUGCUGCAUCAAAGCGGACACCGCUGUUUUGGUUGGUGCUCUUUUGAUCUUGGGCGAUCAUGUAAAAUGUAUUCCCAUUUAUCUCGUAUCCUUUGUAAGUCAAUACAGUCAAAGAUGGUCCCCUGGACAACAAGUGCAACUCAUCACAAACAGUGUUGUCACCUCUGAGACGUGUUUCCAACCAACUGUUGAAAGUCCUGAUGUGUUCACAUGUAAUCUAGUCGUCGCACUGCUCCGGAUGUUUGGAGCGCAGACUGUUUUUGUGUUCAUCGAUAUACGGGGCCACCAUGGUAGAGUUCUGUAGAACUGUGUAGUGUGCUUGAGACCAAGAAUAUCCGUCCCUGCAUAUUAUUGAGUCACUUCCAAGAGUGCCUUUUCCAGUCAGUCUCCCCUCAUACCGCGAUUUAGGGAGACCUAUCUUCUUAAGGCCAGGAAUGAAGUCAACACAAAAUUCGAUAACAUCCUCUGUUUGAUGGCCCAUGGAGAUGCUUCCUUCUGACCUAGCGCGGUUACGGACAUAUUUCUUUAGGACUCCCAUGAACCUCUCAAAGGGGAACAUAUUGUGUAGAAAUACGGGCCCCAGGAUGACAAUCUCGUCGACUAGAUGAACUAGGACGUGCGUCAUGAUAUUGAAGAAGGAUGGUGGGAACACCAGCUCGAAACUGACAAGACAUUGCGCCACAUCACUCCUUAGCCUUGGUACAAUUUCUGGAUCGAUCACCUUCUGAGAGAUUGCAUUGAGGAAUGCACAUAGCUUCACAAUGGCUAAUCGGACGUUUUCUGGUAGAAGCCCCCUCAAUGCAGCCGGAAGCAGUUGCGUCAUAAUCACAUGGCAGUCAUGAGACUUUAGGUUCUGAAACUUUUUCUCUGGCAUAUUUAUUAUUCCCUUUAUAUUCGAUGAGAAGCCAGUCGUGACCUUCAUACUGAGCAGGCAUUCAAAGAAGAUUUCUUUCUCUUCUUUCGUAAGAGCAUAGCUGGCAGGACCUUUAUACUGCUUCGGAGGCAUGCCGUCUUUUUCAUGCAAAUGUUGCAGGUCCUCCCAUGCCUCGGAUGUAUCUUUUGUCUUCCCAUACAAGAAGCCUACCAGGUUCACACAAAGGUUCUUCAUCACGUGCAUCACGUCGAUUGAAGAGCAGACCUCUAGGUCUUUCCAGUAGGGUAGGUCCCAAAAUAUAGAUUUCUUCUUCCACAUGGGUGCGUGUCCCUCAGCGUCAUUCGGAACAGCUAGUCCGCCGGGACACUUUCCAAAGAUUACAUGUAAAUCAUUGACCAUAGCAAGUACGUGAUCACCGGUACGCAUGGCGGGCUUCUUCUGGUGAUCUGCCUCGCCUUUGAAAUGCUUGCCUUUCUUUCGACAUUGAUGGUUGGUCGGAAGAAAUCAACGAUGGCCCAGGUACACAUUUUUCCUGCAUUUGUCCAGGUAUAUACUUUCAGUGUCAUCUAAACAGUGCGUGCAUGCGUGGUAUCCUUUGUUUGUCUAUCCUGAAAGGUUACUGAGAGCGGGCCAAUCAUUGACGGUCACGAACAGCAAAGCCUUUAGGUUAAAUUCCUCCUGUCUAUGGUCAUCCCACGUACGUACACUGUUUCCAUUCCACAGCUGUAAAAGUUCUUCAACUAAUGGCCUUAGGUACACAUCAAUGUCCUUGCCGGGUUGCUUAGUGUAGGGGAACAUAGUAAUUUCAAAAUUUUCCUACGCACACGCAAGAUCAUGGUGAUGCAUAGCAACGAGAGGGGAGAGUGUUGUCUAUGUACCCUCGUAGACCGAAGCGGAAGCGCUGACACAACGUAGAGGAAGUAGUCGUACGUCUUCCCGAUCCUACCGAUCCAAGCACCGUUACUCCGGCACCUCCGAGUUCUUAGCACACGUACAGCUCGAUGACGCUCCCCAGGCUUCGAUCCAACAAAGCUUCGGGGAUGAGUUCCAUCAGCACAACGGCGUGGUGACGAUGAUGAUGUUCUACCGACGCAGGGCUUCGCCUAAGCACUACAAUGAUAUGACCGAGGUGGAAUAUGGUGGAAGGGGGCACCGCACACGGCUAAGGAACGAUCACGUUGAUCAAUUGUGUGUUCUAGGGUGUCCCCUUGCCUCCGUAUAUAAAGGAUCCAAGGGGGAGGGGUUCGGCCGGCCCUAUGGAGGCGCAGGAGGAGUCCUACUCCUACCGGGAGUAGGACUCCCCCCUUUCCUAGUCCAAGUAGGAUUGGUGGAGAAGAAAGGGAAAGAGGGGGGUGCAGCCCCUCCCUCCUUGUCCAAUUCGGACUAGGGGGAGAGGGGGCGCGCGGCCUGCCCUGGCAGCCCCUUCCUAUUCUCCACUUUAGGCCCAUGAGGCCCAUUAACACCCCGGGGGGUUCCGGUAACCCCCCGGUGCUCCGGUUUUAUCCGAAACUUCAUCGGAACCCUUCCGGUGUCUGAAUAUAGUCAUCCAAUAUAUCAAUCUUUAUGUCUCGACCAUUUCGAGACUCCUCGUCAUGCCCGUGAUCACAUCCGGGACACCGAACUAACUUCGGUACAUCAAAAUGUAUAAACUCAUAAUAACUAUCAUCGUAACGUUAAGCGUGCGGACCCUAUGGUUCGAGAACAAUGUAGACAUGACCGAGACACGUCUCCGGUCAAUAACCAAUAGCGGGACCUGGAUGCCCAUAUUGGCUCCUACAUAUUCUACGAAGAUCUUUAUCGGUCAGACCGCAUAACAACAUACGUUGUUCCCUUUGUCAUCGGUAUGUUACUUGCCCGAGAUUCGAUCGUCGGUAUCCAAUACCUAGUUCAAUCUCGUUACCGGCAAAUCUCUUUACUCGUUCCGUAAUACAUCAUCUCACAACUAACUCAUUAGUUGUAAUGCUUGCAAGGCUUAUGUGAUGUGCAUUACCGAGAGGGCCCAGAGAUACCUCUCCGACAAUCGGAGUGACAAAUCCUAAUCUCGAAAUACGCCAACCCAACAUCUACCUUUGGAGACACCUGUAGAGCACCUUUAUAAUCACCCAGUUACGUUGUGACGUUUGGUAGCACACAAAGUGUUCCUCCGGCAAACGGGAGUUGCAUAAUCUCAUAGUCAUAGGAACAUGUAUAAGUCAUGAAGAAAGCAAUAGCAACAUACUAAACGAUCGGGUGCUAAGCUAAUGGAAUGGGUCAUGUCAAUCAGAUCAUUCAACUAAUGAUGUGAUCUCGUUAAUCAAAUAACAACUCUUUGUUCAUGGUUAGGAAACAUAACCAUCUUUGAUUAACGAGCUAGUCAAGUAGAGGCAUACUAGUGACACUCUGUUUGUCUAUGUAUUCACACAUGUAUUAUGUUUCCGGUUAAUACAAUUCUAGCAUGAAUAAUAAACAUUUAUCAUGAUGUAAGGAAAUAAAUAAUAACUUUAUUAUUGCCUCUAGGGCAUAUUUCCUUCAGUCUCCCACUUGCACUAGAGUCAAUAAUCUAGAUUACACAGUAAUGAUUCUAACACCCAUGGAGCCUUGGUGCUGAUCAUGUUUUGCUCGUGGAAGAGGCUUAGUCAACGGGUCUGCAACAUUCAGAUCCGUAUGUAUCUUGCAAAUCUCUAUGUCUCCCACCUGGACUAGAUCCCGGAUGGAAUUGAAGCGUCUCUUGAUGUGCUUGGUUCUCUUGUGAAAUAUGGAUUCCUUUGCCAAGGCAAUUGCACCAGUAUUGUCACAAAAGAUUUUCAUUAGACCCGAUGCACUAGGUAUGACACCUAGAUCGGAUAUGAACUCCUUCAUCCAGACUCCUUCGUUUGCUACUUCCGAAGCAGCUAUGUACUCCGCUUCACAUGUAGAUCCCGCCACAAUGCUUUGUUCAGAACUGCACCAACUGACAGCUCAACCGUUUAAUGUAAACAUGUAUCCGGUUUGUGAUUUAGAAUCGUCCGGAUCAGUGUCAAAGCUUGCAUCAACGUAACCGUUUACGAUGAGCUCUUUGUCACCUCCAUAUACGAGAAACAUAUCCUUAGUCCUUUUCAGGUACUUCAGGAUGUUCUUGACCGUUGUCCAGUGAUCCACUCCUGGAUUACUUUGGUACCUCCCUGCUAAACUUAUAGCAGGGCACACAUCAGGUCUGGUACACAGCAUUGCAUACAUGAUAGAGCCUAUGGCUGAAGCAUAGGGAACAUCUUUCAUUUUCUCUCUAUCUUCUGAAGUGGUCGGGCAUUGAGUCUGACUCAACUUCACACCUUGUAACACAGGCAAGAACCCUUUCUUUGCUUGAUCCAUUUUGAACUUCUUCAAAAUCUUGUCAAGGUAUGUGCUUUGUGAAAGUCCAAUUAAGCGUCUUGAUCUAUCUCUAUAGAUCUUUAUGCCUAAUAUGUAAGCAGCUUCACCGAGGUCUUUCAUUGAAAAACUCUUAUUCAAGUAUCCCUUUAUGCUAUCCAGAAAUUCUAUAUCAUUUCCAAUCAGUAAUAUGUCAUCCACAUAUAAUAUCAGAAAUGCUAUAGAGCUCCCACUCACUUUCUUGUCAAUACAGGCUUCUCCAAAAGUCUGUACAAAACCAAAUGCUUUGAUCACACUAUCAAAGCGUUUAUUCCAACUCCGAGAGGCUUGCACCAGUCCAUAAAUGGAUCGCUGGAGCUUGCACACUUUGUUAGAUCCUUUCGGAUCGACAAAACCUUCCGGUUGCAUCAUAUACAACUCUUCUUCCAGAAAUCCAUUCAGGAAUGCAGUUUUGACAUCCAUCUGCCAAAUUUCGUAAUCAUAAAAUGCGGCAAUUGCUAACAUGAUUCGAACGGACUUAAGCAUCGCUACGGGUGAGAAGGUCUCAUCAUAGUCAACCCCUUGAACUUGUCCAAAACCUUUUGCGACAAGUCGAGCUUUGUAGACAGUAACAUUACCGUCAGCGUCAGUCUUUUUCUUGAAGAUCCAUUUAUUCUCAAUUGCUUGCCGACCAUCGGGCAAGUUAACCAAAGUCCAUACUUUGUUCUCAUACAUGGAUCCCAUUUCAGAUUUCAUGGCUUCAAGCCAUUUUGCGGAAUCUGGGCUCACCAUCGCUUCUUCAUAGUUAGUAGGUUCAUCAUGAUCUAGCAGCAUGAUUUCUAGAACAGGAUUACCGUACCACUCUGGCGCGGAUCUCACUCUGGUUGAUCUACGAGGUUCAGUAGUAUCUUGUCCUGAAGUUUCAUGAUCAUUAUCAUUAGCUUCCUCACUUAUGGGUGUAGGUGUCGCAGAAACAGUUUUCUGUGAUGUACUUCUUUCCAAUAAGGGGGCAGGUACAGUUACCUCGUCAAGUUCUACUUUCCUCCCACUCACUUCUUUCGAGAGAAACUCCUUCUCUAGAAAGGAUCCAUUCUUAGCAACGAAUGUCUUGCCUUCGGAUCUGUGAUAGAAGGUGUACCCAACAGUCUCCUUUGGGUAACCUAUGAAGACACAUUUCUCCGAUUUGGGUUCAAGCUUAUCAGGUUGAAGCUUUUUCACAUAAGCAUCGCAGCCCCAGACUUUAAGAAACGACAACUUUGGUUUCUUGCCAAACCAUAGUUCAUAAGGCGUCGUCUCAACGGAUUUUGAUGCUGCCCUAUUUAACGUGAAUGCGGCCGUCUCUAAAGCAUAACCCCAAAACGAUAGCGGUAAAUCAGUAAGAGACAUCAUAGAUCGCACCAUAUCUAGUAAAGUACGAUUACGACGUUCGGACACACCAUUACGCUGUGGUGUUCCGGGUGGCGUGAGUUGCGAAACUAUUCCGCAUUGUUUCAAAUGUACACCAAACUCGUAACUCAAAUAUUCUCCUCCAUGAUCAGAUCGUAGAAACUUUAUUUUCUCGUUACGAUGAUUUUCAACUUCACUCUGAAAUUCUUUGAACUUUUCAAAUGUUUCAGACUUGUGUUUCAUUAAGUAGAUAUACCCAUAUCUGCUUAAAUCAUUUGUGAAGUUGAGAAAAUAACGAUAUCCGCCACGAGCCUCAAUAUUCAUCGGACCACAUACAUCGGUAUGUAUGAUUUCCAACAAAUCUGUUGCUCUCUCCAUAGUACCGGAGAACGGUGUUUUAGUCAUCUUGCCCAUGAGGCACGGUUCGCAAGUACCAAGUGAUUCAUAAUCAAGUAGUUCCAAAAGUCCAUCAGUAUGGAGUUUCUUCAUGCGCUUUACACCGAUAUGACCUAAACGGCAGUGCCACAAAUAAGUUGCACUAUCAUUAUCAACUCUGCAUCUUUUGGUUUCAACAUUAUGAAUAUGUGUAUCACUACUAUCGAGAUUCAUCAGAAAUAGACCACUCUUCAAGGGUUCAUGACCAUAAAAGAUAUUACUCAUAUAAAUAGAACAACCAUUAUUCUCUGAUUUAAAUGAAUAACCGUCUCGCAUCAAACAAGAUCCAGAUAUAAUGUUCAUGCUUAACGCUGGCACCAAAUGACAAUUAUUUAGGUCUAAUACUAAUCCCGAAGGUAGAUGUAGAGGUAGCGUGCCGACCGCGAUCACAUCGACUUUGGAACCGUUUCCCACGCGCAUCGUCACCUCGUCCUUUGCCAGUGUUCGCCUAAUCCGUAGUCCCUGUUUCGAGUUGCAAAUAUUAGCAAUAUAACCAGUAUCAAAUACCCAGGUGCUACUGCGAGCUCUAGUAAGGUACACAUCAAUAACAUGUAUAUCACUUAUACCUUUAUUCACCUUGCCAUCCUUCUUAUCCGCCAAAUACUUGGGGCAGUUCCGCUUCCAGUGACCAGUCUGCUUGUAGUAGAAGCACUCAGUUUCAGGCUUAGGUCCAGACUUGGGUUUCUUCUCCUGAGCAGCAACUUGCUUGCCGUUCUUCUUGAAGUUCCCCUUCUUCUUCCCUUUGCCCCUUUUCUUGAAACUAGUGGUCUUGUUGACCAUCAACACUUCAUGCUCCUUCUUGAUUUCUACCUCCGCAGCUUUCAGCAUUGCGAAGAGCUCGAGAAUAGUCUUAUUCAUCCAUUGCAUAUUAUAGUUCAUCACAAAGCUCUUGUAGCUUGGUGGCAGUGAUUGGAGAAUUCUGUCAAUGACGCAAUCAUCUGGAAAAUUAACUCCCAUCUAAAUCAAGUGAUUAUUAUACCCAGACAUUUUGAGUAUAUGCUCACUGACAGAACUAUUCUCCUCCAUCUUGCAGCUAUAGAACUUAUUGGAGACUUCAUAUCUCUCAAUCCGGGCAUUUGCUUGAAAUAUUAGCUUCAACUCCUGGAACAUCUCAUAUGCUCCAUGACGUUCAAAACGUCGUUGAAGUCCCAAUUCUAAGCCGUAAAGCAUGGCACACUGAACUAUCGAGUGGUCAUCAGCUUUGCUCCGCCAGACGUUCAUAACAUCUGGUGUUGCUCCAGCAGCAGGCCUGGCACCCAGCGGUGCUUCCAGGACGUAAUUCUUCUGUGCAGCAAUGAGGAUAAUCCUCAAGUUACGGACCCAGUCCGUGUAAUUGCUACCAUCAUCUUUCAACUUUGCUUUUGUUGGGGAACGUAGUAAUUUCAAAAAUUUCCUACGCACACGCAAGAUCAUGGUGAUGCAUAGCAACGAGGGGGAGAGUCUGAUCUACGUACCCUUGUAGAUCGCAACGGAAGCGUUGACACAACGUAGAGGAAGUAGUCGUACGUCUUCUUCCCGAUCCGACCGAUCCAAGCACUGUUACUCCGGCACCUCCGAGUUCUUAGCACACGUUCAGCUCGAUGACGAUCCUCGGGCUCCGAUCCAGCAAAGCGUCGAGGAAGAGUUCCGUCAGCACGACGGCGUGGUGACGAUCUUGACGUACUACCGACGUAGGGCUUCGCCUAAGCACUACAACGGUAUGAUCGAGGUGGAAUUUGGUGGCAGGGGGCACCGCACACGGCUAAGGAACGAUUUCAAGGAUCAACUUGUGUGUCUAUGGGGAGCCCCCCGCCCCUGUAUAUAAAGGAUGGAGGAGGAGGAGGCCGGCCAAGGCAAAGGUGCGGCCAGGAUAGGGAGUCCUACUAGGACUCCAAGUCCUAGUAGGAGUCCACCAAAAGGGGAGGAAGGGAGAAGGAAUAGGAGGAGAAGGAGAGGUGGCCGGCCCCCUUUUCCCUAGUCCAAUUCGGACCAAAGGGGAGGGGGGGCGCAGCAGCCUUUUCCUCUUCCCACUAAAGCCCAUCAAGGCCCAUUACUUCUCCCGUAACUACCCGGUACUCCGAAAAAUACCCGAAUCACUCGGAACCUUUCCGAUGUCCGAAUAUAGUCGUCCAAUAUAUCGAUCUUUACGUCUCGACCAUUUCGAGACUCCUCGUCAUGUCCCCGAUUUCAUCCGGGACUCCGAACUCCUUCGGUACAUCAAUACUCAUAAACUCAUAAUAUAACUGUCAUCGAAACCUAAAGCGUGCGGACCCUAUGGUUCGAGAACAAUGUAGACAUGACCGAGACACGUCUUCGGUCAAUAACCAAUAGCGGGACCUGGAUGCCCAUAUUGGCUCCUACAUAUUCUACGAAGAUCUUUAUCGGUCAGACCGCAUAACAACAUACGUUGUUCCCUUUGUCAUCGGUAUGUUACUUGCCCGAGAUUCGAUCGUCGGUAUCCAAUACCUAGUUCAAUCUCGUUACCGGCAAGUCUCUUUACUCAUUCUAUAAUACAUCAUCCCACAACUAACUCAUUAGUUGCAAUGCUUGCAAGGCUUAAGUGAUGUGCAUUACCGAGAGGGCCCAGAGAUACCUCUCCGAUAAUCGGAGUGACAAAUCCUAAUCUCGAAAUACGCCAACCCAACAUCUUCCUUUGGAGACACCUGUAAUGCUCCUUUAUAAUCACCCAGUUACGUUGUGACGUUUUGUAGCACCCAAAGUGAUCCUCCGGCAAACGGGAGUUGCAUAAUCUCAUAGUCAUAGGAACAUGUAUAAGUCAUGAAGAAAGCAAUAGCAACAUACUAAACGAUCGGGUGCUAAGCUAAUGGAAUGGGUCAUGUCAAUCAGAUCAUUCAACUAAUGAUGUGACCUCGUUAAUCAAAUAACAACUCUUUUGUCCAUGGUUAGGAAACAUAACCAUCUUUGAUUAACGAGCUAGUCAAGUAGAGGCAUACUAGUGACACUCUGUUUGUCUAUGUAUUCACACAUGUAUUAUGUUUCCGGUUAAUACAAUUCUAGCAUGAAUAAUAAACAUUUAUCAUGAUAUAAGGAAAUAAAUAAUAACUUCAUUAUUGCCUCUAGGGCAUAUUUCCUUCAGUCUCCCACUUGCACUAGAGUCAAUAAUCUAGUUCACAUCGCCAUGUGAUUUAACAGCAAUAGUUCACAUCACCAUGUGAUUAACACCCAUAGUUCACAUCGUCAUGUGACCAACACUCAAAGGGUUUACUAGAGUCAGUAAUCUAGUUCACAUAUCUAUGUGAUUAACACCCAAAGAGUACUAAGGUGUGAUCAUGUUUUGCUUGUGAGAUAAUUUUAGUCAACGGGUCUGUCACAUUCAGAUCUGUAAGUAUUUUGCAAGUUCUAUGUCUACAAUGCUCUACACGGAGCUACUCUAGCUAAUUGCUCCCACUUUCAAUAUGUAUCCAGAUUGAGACUUUAGAUUCAUCUGGAUCAGUGUCAAAAACUUGCAUCGACGUAACCCUUUACGACGAACCUUUUUGUCACGUCCAUAAUCGAGAAACAUAUCCUUAUUUCACUAAGGAUAAUUCUGACCGCUGUCCAGUGAUCUACUCCUAGAUCACUAUUAUACUCCCUUGCCAAAUCAAUGCAGGGUAUACAAUAGAUCUGGUAUACAGCAUGACAUACUUUAUAGAACCUAUGGCCAAGGCAUAGGGAAUGACUUUCAUUCUCUUUCUAUCUUCUGCCGUGGUCGGGCUUUGAGUCUUACUCAACUUCACACCUUGUAAUACAGGCAAGAACUCUUUCUUUGACUGCUCCAUUUUGAGCUACUUCAAAAUCUUGUCAAGGUAUGUACUUAUUGAAAAAACUUAUCAAGCGUCUUGAUCUAUCUCUAUAGAUCUUGAAGCUCAAUAUGUAAGCAGCUUCACCGAAGUCUUUCUUUGAAAAACUCCUUUCAAACACUCCUUUAUGCUUUACAGAAUAAUUCUACAUUAUUUCCGAUCAACAAUAUGUCAAUCACAUAUACUUAUCAGAAAUGCUGUAGUGUCCCACUCACUUUCUUGUAAAUACAGGCUUCACCGCAAGUCUGUAUAAAACUAUAUGCUUUGAUCAACUCAUCAAAGCGUAUAUUCCAACUCCGAGAUGCUUGCACCAGUCCACAGAUGGAUCGCUGGAGCUUGCACAUUUUGUUAGCACCUUUCGGAUUGACAAAACCUUCUGUUGCAUCAUAUACAACUCUUCUUUAAUAAAUCCAUUAAGGAAUGCAGUUUUGUUUAUCCAUUUGCCAGAUUUCAUAAAAUGCGGCAAUUACUAACAUGAUUCGGACAGACUCAAGCAUAGAUACGAGUGAGAAGCUCUCAUCGUAGUCAACACCUUGAACUUGUCGAAAACCUUUUUGCGACAAUUCUAGCUUUGUAGAUAGUAACACUACUAUCAGCGUCCGUCUUCCUCUUGAAGAUCCAUUUAUUCUCAAUUGCUUGCCGAUCAUUGGGCAAGUCAACCAAAGUCCAAACUUUGUUCUCAUACAUGGAUCAUAUCUCAGAUUUCAUGGCCUCAAACCAUUUCGCGGAAUCUGGGCUCAUCAUUGCUUCCUCAUAGUUCGUAGGUUCAUCAUGAUCUAGUAGCAUGACUUCCAGGAUUGGAUUACCGUACCACACUGGUGCGGAUCUCACUCUGGUUGAUCUACGUGGUUCAGUAGUAUCUUGUCCUGAAGUUUCAUGAUCAUCAUCAUUAGCUUCCUCACUAAUUGGUAUAGGUGUCGCAGAAACAGUUUUCUGUGAUGUACUAUUUUCCAAUAAGGGAGCAGGUACAGUUACCUCGUCAAGUUCUACUUUCCUCCCACUCACUUCUUUUGAGAGAAACUCCUUCUCUAGAAAGGAUCCAUUAUAAGCAACGAAUGUCUUGCCUUAGGAUCUGUGAUAGAAGGUGUACCCAACAGUCUCCUUUGGGUAUCCUAUGAAGACAUAUUUCUCCGAUUUGGGUUUGAGCUUAUCAGGAUGAAACUUUUUCUCAUAAGCAUCGCAACCCCAAACUUCAAGAAACGACAACUUUGGUUUCUUGCCUAACCAUAGUUCAUACGGUGUCGUCUCAACGGAUUUAGAUGGUGCCCUAUUUAACGUGAAUGCAGCUUUCUCUAAUGCAUGAUCCCAAAACGAUAUUGGUAAAUCGGUAAGAAACAUCAUAGAUUGUACUAUAUCCAAUAAAGUACGGUUAUGACGUUCGGACACACCAUUAUGCUGUGGUGUUCCAGGUGGCGUGAGUAGUGAAACUAUUUCACAUUGUUUUAACUGAAGACCAAACUCGUAACUCAAAUACUCUUUUCCACGAUCAGAUCGUAGAAACUUUAUUUUCUUGUUACGAUGAUUUUCCACUUCACUCUGAAAUUAUAUGAACUUUUCAAAUGUAUCAGACUUCUAUUUCAUUAAGUAGAUAUACCCAUAUCUGCUCAAAUCAUCUGUGAAGGUUUAGAAAAUAAUGAUACCCGCUGCAAGCCUUAAAUAUUCAUCGGACCACAUACAUUUGUAUGUAUGAUUUCCAACAAAUCUGUUGCUUGCUCCAUUGUUCCGGAGAACGGCGUUUUAGUCAUCUUGCCCAAAAGGCAUGGUUCGCAAGCAUCAAGUGAUUCCGAAAGCCCAUCAGCAUGGAGUUUCUUCAUGUGCUUUAUACCAAUAUGACCUAAACGGCAGUGCCACAAAUAAGUUGCACUAUCAUUAUUAACUUUGCAUCUUUUGGUUUCAAUAUUAUGAAUAUGUGUAUCACUACGAUCGAGAUCCAACGAACUUGUUUCAUUGGGUGUAUGACCAUCGAAGGUUUUAUUCAUGUAAACAGAACAACAAUUAUUCUCUGACUUUAAUGAAUAACCGUAUUGCAAUAAACAUGAUCAAAUCAUAUUCAUGCUCAACCAAAUAACACUUAUUUAAGUUCAACACUAAUCCCGAAAGUAUAGGGGAGUGUGUGAUGAUGAUCAUAUCAAUCUUGGAACUACUUCCAACACACAUCGUCACUUCACCCUUAACUAGUCUUUGUUUAUUCUGCAACUCCUGUUUCGAGUUACUACUCUUAGCAACUGAACCAAUAUCAAAUACUGAGGGGUUGCUAUAAACACUAGUAAAGCACACAUCAAUAACAUGUAUAUCAAAUAUACUUUUGUUCACUUUGCCAUCCUUCUUAUCCGCCAAAUACUUGGGGCAGUUCCGCUUCCAGUGACCAGUCCCUUUGCAGUAGAAGCACUUAGUCUCAGGCUUAGGACCAAACUUCGGCUUCUUCACUUGAGCAGCAACUUGCUUGCCGUUCUUCUUGAAGUUCCCCUUCUUCCCUUUGCCCUUUUCUUGAAACUAGUGAUCCUGUCAACCAUCAACACUUGAUGUUUUUCUUGAUUUCGACCUUCGUUGAUUUCAGCAUCACGAAGAGCUUGGGAGUUGUUUCCGUUAUCCCUUGCAUAUUAUAGUUCAUCACGAAGUUCUACUAACUUGGUGAUGGUGACUAGAGAAUUUUGUCAAUCACUAUCUUAUCUGGAAGAUUAACUCCCACUUGAUUCAAGCGAUUGUAGUACUCAGAUAAUCUGGGCACAUGCUCACUAGUUGAGCGAUUCUCCCCCAUCUUUCAGCUAUAGAACUUGUUGGAGACUUCAUAUCUCUCAACUCGGGUAUUUACUUGAAAUAUUAACUUCAGCUUCUGGAACAUCUCAUAUGGUCCAUGACGCUCAGAACGUCUUUGAAGUCCCGAUUCUAAGCCAUUAAGCAUGGUGCACUAAACUAUCAAGUAGUCAUCAUAUUGGGCUAGCCAAACGUUCAUAACGUCGGCAUCUGCUCCUGCAAUAGGUCUGUCACCUAGCGGUGCAUCAAGGACAUAAUUCCUCUAUGCAGCAAUGAGGAUAAAACUCAGAUCACGGAUCCAAUCCGCAUCAUUGCUACUAACAUCUUUCAACACAAUUUUCUCUAGGGACAUGUCAAAAUAAACACAGGGAAGCAACAACGCGAGCUAUUGAUCUACAACAUAAUUUGCAAAAUACUACCAGGACUAAGUUCAUGAUAAAUUUAAGUUCAAUUAAUCAUAUUACUUAAGAACUCCCACUUAGAUAGAUAUCCCUCUAAUCCUCUAAGUGAUCACGUGAUCCAAAUCAACUAAACCAUAACCGAUCAUCACGUGAGAUGGAGUAGUUUUCAAUGGUGAACAUCGUCAUGUUGAUCAUAUCUACUAUAUGAUUCACGCUCGACCUUUCGGUCUCUGUGUUCCGAGGCCAUAUCUGCAUAUGCUAGGCUCGUCAAGUUUAACCUGAGUAUUCUGCGUGUGCAAAACUGGCUUGCACCCGUUGUAGAUGGACGUAGAGCUUAUCACACCCGAUCAUCACGUGGUGUCUGGGCACGACGAACUUUGGCAACGGUGCAUACUCAGGGAGAACACUUCUUGAUAAUUCAGUGAGAGAUCAUCUUAUAAUGCUACCGUCAAUCAAAGCAAGAUAAGAUGCAUAAAAAGAUAAACAUCAUAUGUAAUCAAAAUAUGUGACAUGAUAUGGCCAUCAUCAUCUUGCUUCUUUGAUCUCCAUCUCCAAAGUACUGUCAUGAUCUAUAUCGUCACCGGCAUGACACCAUGAUCUCCAUCAUCUUGAUCUAUAUCAAUGUGUCGUCGUGUGGUCGUCUCACCAACAAUUGCUCUUGCAACUAUUGCUAUCGCAUAGCGAUAAAGUAAAGCAAUUACUGGACGCUUGCAUCUCAUGAAAUAGAGAGACAACCAUAAGGAUUUUGUCAGUUGCUGAUAACUUCAACAAAACAUGAUCAUCUUAUACAACAACUUAUAACUCAUCACGUUUUGACCAUAUCACAUCACAACAUGCCCUGCAAAAACAAGUUAGACGUCCUCUACUUUGUUGUUGCAAAUUUUACGUGGCUGCUACGGGCUUAGCAAGAACCAAUCUUACCUACGCAUCAAAACCACAACGAUAGUUUGUCAAAUAGACUCCGUUUUAACCUUCGCAAGGACCGGGCGUAGCCACACUCGGUUCAACUAAAGUUGGAGAAACAGUCACCCGCAAGUCACCUAUGUGCAAAGCACGUCGGGGAAACCGGUCUCGCGUAAGCGUACGCGUAAUGUCGGUCCGGGCCGCUUCAUCCAACAAUACCGCGGAACCAAAGUAUGACAUGCUGGUAGGCAGUAUGACUUAUAUCGCCCACAACUCACUUGUGUUCUACUCGUGCAUAUAACAUCAAACCAUAAAACCUAGGCUCGGAUGCCACUGUUGGGGAACGUAGUAAUUUCAAAAAUUUCCUACGCACACGCAAGAUCAUGGUGAUGCAUAGCAACGAGGGGGAGAGUCUGAUCUACGUACCCUUGUAGAUCGCAACGGAAGCGUUGACACAACGUAGAGGAAGUAGUCGUACGUCUUCUUCCUGAUCCGACCGAUCCAAGCACCGUUACUCCGGCACCUCCGAGUUCUUAGCACACGUUCAGCUCGAUGACGAUCCUCGGGCUCCGAUCCAGCAAAGCGUCGAGGAAGAGUUCCGUCAGCAUGACGGCGUGGUGACGAUCUUGAUGUACUACCGAUGUAGGGCUUCGCCUAAGCACUACAACGGUAUGAUCGAGGUGGAAUUUGGUGGCAGGGGGCACCGCACACGGCUAAGGAACGAUCUCAAGGAUCAACUUGUGUGUCUAUGGGGUGCCCCCUGCCCCUGUAUAUAAAGGAUGGAGGAGGAGGAGGCCGGCCAAGGCAAAGGUGCGGCCAGGAUAGGGAGUCCUACUAGGACUCCAAGUCCUAGUAGGAGUCCACCAAAAGGGGAGGAAGGGAGAAGGAAUAGGAGGAGAAGGAGAGGUGGCCGGCCCCCUUUUCCCUAGUCCAAUUCGGACCAAAGGGGAGGGGGGCGCAGCAGCCUUUUCCUCUUCCCACUAAAGCCCAUCAAGGCCCAUUACUUCUCCCGUAACUACCCGGUACUCCGAAAAAUACCCGAAUCACUCCGAACCUUUCCGAUGUCCAAAUAUAGUCGUUCAAUAUAUCGAUCUUUACGUCUCGACCAUUUCAAGACUCCUCGUCAUGUCCCCGAUCUCAUCCGGGACUCCGAACUCCUUCGGUACAUCAAUACUCAUAAACUCAUAAUUUAACUGUCAUGGAAACCUUAAGCGUGCGGACCCUACGGUUCGAGAACAAUGUAGACAUGACCGAGACACGUCUCCGGUCAAUAACCAAUAGCGGGACCUGGAUGCCCAUAUUGGCUCCUACAUAUUCUACGAAGAUCUUUAUCGGUCAGACCGCAUAACAACAUACGUUGUUCCCUUUGUCAUCGGUAUGUUACUUGCCCGAGAUUCGAUCGUUGGUAUCCAAUACCUAGUUCAAUCUCGUUACCGGCAAGUCUCUUUACUCGUUCUAUAAUACAUCAUCCCACAACUAACUCAUUAGUUGCAAUGCUUGCAAGGCUUAAGUGAUGUGCAUUACCGAGAGGGCCCAGAGAUACCUCUCCGACAAUCGGAGUGACAAAUCCUAAUCUCGAAAUACGCCAACCCAACAUCUUCCUUUGGAGACACCUGUAAUGCUCCUUUAUAAUCACCCAGUUACGUUGUGACGUUUGGUAGCACCCAAAGUGUUCCUCCGGCAAACGGGAGUUGCAUAAUCUCAUAGUCAUAGGAACAUGUAUAAGUCAUGAAGAAAGCAAUAGCAACAUACUAAACGAUCGGGUGCUAAGCUAAUGGAAUGGGUCAUGUCAAUCAGAUCAUUCAACUAAUGAUGUGACCUCGUUAAUCAAAUAACAACUCUUUUGUCCAUGGUUAGGAAACAUAACCAUCUUUGAUUAAUGAGCUAGUCAAGUAGAGGCAUACUAGUGACACUUUGUUUGUCUAUGUAUUCACACAUGUAUUAUGUUUCCCGUUAAUACAAUUCUAGCAUGAAUAAUAAACAUUUAUCUUGUGCUUGUGAUCUCCAUCUCCGAAGCACCUUCAUGAUCACCAUCGUCACCGGCGCGACACCUUGAUCUCCAUCGUAGCAUCGUUGUCGUCUCGCCAAUCUUAUGCUUCCACGACUAUCGCUACCGCUUAGUGAUAAAGUAAAGCAUUACAACGCGAUUGCAUUGCAUACAAUAAAGCGACAACCAUAUGGCUCCUGCCAGUUGCCGAUAACUUGGUUACAAAACAUGAUCAUCUCAUACAAUAAAAUUUAGCAUCAUGUCUUGACCAUAUCACAUCACAACAUGCCCUGCAAAAACAAGUUAGACGUCCUCUACUUUGUUGUUGCAUGUUUUACGUGGCUGCUACAGGCUUAAGCAAGAACCAAUCUUACCUAUGCAUCAAAACCACAACGAUAGUUUGUCAAGUUGAUGCCGUUUUAACCUUCGCAAGGACCGGGCGUAGCCACACUCGGUUCAACUAAAGUUGGAGAAACAGUCACCCGCAAGCCACCUUUGUGCAAAGCACGUCGGGAGAACCGGUCUCGCGUAAGCGUACGCGUAAUGUCGGUCUGGGCCGCUUCAUCCAACAAUACCGCCGAACCAAAGUAUGACAUGCUGGUAGGCAGUAUGACUUAUAUCGCCCACAACUCACUUGUGUUCUACUCAUGCAUAUAACAUCAAACCAUAAAACCUAGGCUCUGAUACCACUGUUGGGGAACGUAGCAAUUUCAAAAAAUUUCUACGCACACGCAAGAUCAUGGUGAUGCAUAGCAACAAGAGGGGAGAGUGUUGUCUAGAAGCGUUGACACAACGUAGAGGAAGUAGUCGUACGUCUUCCCGAUCCGACCGAUCCAAGCACCGUUACUCCGGCACCUCCGAGUUCUUAGCACACGUACAACUCGAUGACGCUCCCCGGGCUCCGAUCUAGCAAAGCUUCGGGGAUGAGUUCCGUCAGCACAACGGCGUGGUGACGAUGAUGAUGUUCUACCGACGCAGGGCUUCGCCUAAGCACUACAACGAUAUGACCGAGGUGGAAUAUGGUGGAAGGGGGCACCGCACACGGCUAAGGAACGAUCACGUUGAUCAAUUGUGUGUUCUAGGGUGCCCCCUUGCCUCCGUAUAUAAAGGAUCCAAGGGAGAGGGGUUCGGCCGGCCCUAUGGAGGCGCAGGAGGAGUCCUACUCCUAUCGGGAGUAGGACUCCCCCCCUUUUCCUUGUCCAAGUAGGAUUGGUGGAGAAGAAUGGGAAAGAGGGGGGCGCCGCCCCUCCCUCCUUGUCCAAUUCGGACUAGGGGGAGAGGGGGCGUGCGGCCUGCCCUGGCAGCCCCUUCCUCUUCUCCACUUUAGGCCCAUGAGGCCCAUUAACCCCCCGGGGGGUUCCGGUAACCCCCCGGUGCUCCGAUUUUAUCCGAAACUUCAUCGGAACCCUUCCGGUGUCCGAAUAUAGUCAUCCAAUAUAUCAAUCUUUAUGUCUUGACAAUUUUGAGACUCCUCGUCAUGUCCGUGAUCACAUCCGGGACUCCGAACUAACUUCGGUACAUCAAAAUGUAUAAACUUAUAAUAACUGCCAUCGUAACGUUAAGCGUGCGGACCCUACGGUUCGAGAACAAUGUAGACAUGGCCGAGACACGUCUCCGGUCAAUAACCAAUAGCGGGACCUGGAUGCCCAUAUUGGCUCCUACAUAUUCUACGAAGAUCUUUAUCGGUCAGACCGCAUAACAACAUACGUUGUUCCCUUUGUCAUCGGUAUGUUACUUGCCCGAGAUUCGAUCGUCCGUAUCCAAUACCUAGUUCAAUCUCGUUACCAGCAAGUCUCUUUACUCGUUCCGUAAUACAUCAUCUCGCAACUAACUCAUUAGUUGUAAUGCUUGCAAGGCUUAUGUGAUGUGCAUUACCGAGAGGGCCCAGAGAUACCUCUCCGACAAUCGGAGUGACAAAUCCUAAUCUCGAAAUACGCCAACCCAACAUCUACCUUUGGAUACAUCUUUAGAGCACCUUUAUAAUCACCCAGUUAUGUUGUGACGUUUGGUAGCACACAAAGUGUUCCUCCGGCAAACGGGAGUUGCAUAAUCUCAUAGUCAUAGGAACAUGUAUAAGUCAUGAAGAAAGCAAUAGCAACAUACUAAACGAUCGGGUGCUAAGCUAAUGGAAUGGGUCAUGUCAAUCAGAUCAUUCAACUAAUGAUGUGAUCUCGUUAAUCAAAUAACAACUCUUUGUUCAUGGUUAGGAAACAUAACCAUCUUUGAUUAACGAGCUAGUCAAGUAGAGGCAUACUAGUGACACUUUGUUUGUCUAUGCAUUCACACAUGUAUUAUGUUUCCGGUUAAUACUAUUAUAGCAUGAAUAAUAAACAUUUAUCAUGACAUAAGGAAAUAAAUAAUAACUUUGUUAUUGCCUCUAGGGCAUAUUUCCUUCACUUAGGGCCUUGGAUGAGAACUGGCAUCAUAAUGAACUUCCGCUUCAUGCACAUCCAAGGAGGAAGGUUAUACAUACAUAGAGUCACGGGCCAGGUGCUGUGAUUGCUGCUCUGCUCCCCUAUAGGAUUAAUGCCAUCCAUGCUUAAAGCAAACCAUACAUUCCAUGGGUCGUUUGCAAACUCAUCCCAGUACUUUCUCUCGAUUUUUCUCCACUGCGACCCGUCAGCGGGUGCUCUCAAUUUUCCGUCUUUCUUCCGGUCCUCACUGUGCCAUCGCAUCAACUUGGCAUGCUCUUCGUUUUUGAAUAGACGUUUCAACCGUGGUAUUAUAGGAGCAUACCACAUCACCUUCGCAGGAACCCUCUUCUUGGGGGGCUCACCGUCAACGUCACCAGGGUCAUCUCGUCUGAUCUUAUACCGCAAUGCACCGCAUACCGGGCAUGCAUUCAGAUCCUUGUAUGCACCGCGGUAGAGGAUGCAGUCAUUAGGGCAUGCAUGUAUCUUCUCCACCUCCAAUCCUAGAGGGCAUACGACUUUCUUUGCUGCGUAUGUACUGUCGGGCAAUUCGUUAUCCUUUGGAAGAUUCUUCUUCAAUAUUUUCAGUAGCUUCUCAAAUCCUUUGUCAGCCACAGCAUUCUCUGCCUUCCACUGCAGCAAUUCCAGUACGGUACCGAGCUUUGUGUUGCCAUCUUCGCAAUUGGGCUACAACCCUUUUUUGUGAUCCUCUAACAUGCGAUCGAACUUCAGCUUCUCCUUUUGACUUUCGCAUUGCGUCCUUGCAUCGACAAUGACCCGGCGGAGAUCAUCAUCAUCGGGCAGAUCGUCUGGUUCCUCUUGAUCUUCAGCAGCUUCACCCGUUGCAGCAUCAUUGGGCACAUCGUCUGUUUCCUCUUGAUCUUCACCAGCUCCCUCCAUUGCAGCAUAACCGUAUUCAGGGGGCACAUAGUUGUCAUCGUACUCUUCUUCUUUGCCAUCUUCCAUCAUAACACCUAUUUCUCCGUGCCUCGUCCAAACAUUAUAGUGUGGCAUGAAACCCUUGUAAAGAAGGAGGGGGUGAAGGAUUUUCCGGUUAGAGUAAUACCUCGUAUUCCCACAUUCAGUGCAUGGACAACACAUAAAACCAUUCUGCUUCUUUGCCUCAGCCGCACCGAGAAACUCAUGCACGCCCUUAAUGUACCCGGAGGUGUGUCUGUCACCGUACAUCCAUUGCCAGUUCAUCUACGUGCAUUAUAUAUAAUUAAGUGUCCAAAUUAAUAGAAGUUCAUCAUCACAUUAAAACCAAAGUACAUACAUAGUUCUCAUCUAACAACAUAUAGCUCUCCAGAGCAUCUAAUUAAUUAAACCAUACAUUGAAACUAUGUAAAACAUUUCAAUGCGAAAACAAAUGCGAUCAUAAUUGCAACCAAGGUAACAAUUGAUCCAACGGCAUAAUGAUACCAAGCCUCGGUAUGAACGACAUAUUUUCUAAUCUUUCUAAUCUUCAAGCGCAUUGCAUCCAUCUUGAUCCUGUGAUCAUAGACGACAUCCGCAACAUGCAACUCCAAUAUCAUCUUCUCCUCCUCAAUUUUUUUAUUUUUUCCUCCAACAAAUAGUUUUCUUCUUCAACUAAAUUUAGCCUCUCGGCAAUAGGGUCGGUUGGCAUUUCCGAUUCACAUACAUCCUACAUAAAUAAAAUCUAUGUCACGUUGAUCGGCAUAAUUUUCAUAAACAAUAAAUGAACCAAUAGUUAUAAAGAUAAUAUAUAUACCACAUUCGAAUCAUAGACAGGACGAGGGCGACGGGGGCGGAUACCAAAACCAUCGCACUAUAUAAGAUGCAAUAAUAAAAGUAAGAAAAUAAUACAAGUAUCUAUGUAAACAUACAAGUAAGAAUAUUUUUCCUUUCAGAAAGAAGAUAAGAACAAGAGGCUCACCAUGGUGGUGCCGGCAAGGCCCACCUUGGUCCAUGCGGGGAUGCACAAAAUAAGCUAUGUGCGGCCCAUGCGGGGAAUUUUGGUUACGCAUGGCCCAUACAUAUGGUGAUCCAGCCGUACGUGACCAAAUAGGAUGGACGGACAAACGAAAACGGACAAAAAUUAGGGACCAACCAAUUAGUACCACCUCGCGUAUAUGUUUUAUAUUUAAACUGAAAGCGUAAAUUUUCAUGAAAAGAAAUGUACUGUGACGGUGAACCCGACAAAGUCAAUCCGUGCUUUAUUAUUAGGGAAAGAUAUACUAAUUGGAGGCACCUUUGGAGCGUCUACGUUAAUCCACGUCAUUAAGAUUAAUAUAGCCGUUUGAUAUUAAAUUUAAUGGUUAAGAUAUGCUAGAAGACUAUGCCUUAUUAUAGAAGAAAACAACAUGUACGUAGGGAUGAAAUCCACGCAUACAAAAAAAAACUCAUGUAAAGAAAAAUCAAUUCUCACCACAUAGAUGAAACUCAUUAAACUUGCACAUGCAAAAAAAGUCCUAAGCUCCCACGUCCAUGAAAGAUUAGACAUGCACAUAAAAAAAGAGUCCUAAAUGCCCACGCCCAGGUUCCAAGAAAAAGUACGUGCCUACUCCUUGCAAAAAGAGGACGCGUGGCAAAACUAAAAAAUAUGAAUAUAAUCAUCUCAAUCUCUUUCUAAUAAUAAAAUAUGAAUUGAUUUUGUCAGGUUCGUCGUCACAAUACACUUUUUCCUGUAAAUUUACGCUUUCACUUUGAAUUUAAAACAUAUAGGUGAGGUGGUACUAAAAAACUGUUCAUUGGUCGCGUACGUCAAUUAGUAUAAGUCGCUUUUUUUAGUCCCUCCGGCUCGCUAGACUGGGCCGUGUUGAUCAUUCCCGUGAUGACUGAACUGGGCCUGGUCAAAAAGAAAAAAAACGAUGCAAAAAAUAAUUCCCCAUGAGCUUCGAACCAAGACGAAGGCCCUCAGUCACAAAGGAGAACGCCAACUAGAUUGCUCUAUUUUGUUCUGCCAAAUUGUGUCCCUGUAGAUAUAAUAGUCCCACAUCGCUUCUUUGCACUGUAUCUUAUCGAUUUUUAUACAUCGGCGGACUUGUCCUAGCAGAAGUUAAUUGGAAGAGGAAGCAAGGAAUAAAGAACGAACGCAGGAGGAAUUUGGCCAGAAGAAACAAGGUCGGGGAGCGUGAGGUUUAUGGUGAAUAUUCAGAGAACGGCAGCUGCAUUGUUCGAAUUUAGUCUAUCUUUGGACAUGUCUUUUCCGGGGAUUCGACACCAUGUUUUGUGCGCGAAUGGUUUUAUUAGGGUUUUUGACUGUUCCAAGUUAGAAGAGGCCAGAGUUUUCUCUGGUUCUUCAGUGGCCUGAAGCAACCAUGCUUACGCUUUUUUUUUUCAACCAUUCAUUGCCCAUUUUCAUUAAUUUCUUAAAGAAAAUACAUCAACCGUCCUUGCAGAAAGAACGAGGCAGCUUCACAGCUGGAAAUCAAGAGUGCGGUGUCCAGUUUUACGGGGAAAAGAAUUCUAUGAGACCAGGUCUCACGCGAGACCCAUCCUAAUGAAUGCCACGUGCUAUCCAUCAGAACGGGUCUCACCUGCUAACCGUGAGACUUGGUCUCAUAUAUUUUUUUUCCGUUUUACGGGGAAGCAUCAUCAGAAAUCUAGCAAAUCAUUCGCAUUAUUCUCUCACAUACAGUACAGAUCCUUCGGAUCGCCACAUCACAGCUGGACUUCAUUGCUUUGGGUGUCUAAUUAAGGGCUUGUUCGGUUAAUCCUCUCGCGAAGAGGAUUGGAGGGGAUUGGCAAGGAUUGGUUCGUAUUUUGACUUCUAAGAGGUUUAAGUCCUCCUCAAACCCCUUCAAUCCAUUCGGAUUCACACGCAACCAAACAAGGCCUAAACGGGAUCCGCAUCUGAACUAUUAAGCAGCAAAUGAUAGUGUGCGUGAAACAGGUAGGCAAUGUCAAUGAGGACAAACUGUGAUGAUAUCGUUUGAAAACUCAGCUGUCGUCCGUAGUGUUUGGCAUGUGACAGAUAGAUCCUGUUGAUUGUCUAACGAAAGCCAACGGUGAUGUCAAACUAGACUAUUUUAACAUAGUCGGUAAGACAAAAAUGGGAAACAUAUGUAUAUAUGACUACCGAGAACACGACAUCCAUUGUAUCUCGAUUAAGCAUCUUCAAAUAUUAUUCCUGUCGUGAUAUUGACAACAUUAUUAGUUUGUACUUGAAUGAAUAGUCAAGGAACUUUUGAGUGUUCCAAGUUAAACAUCCAAAUUUGUGUCGCAUUUCAGUAUGGGAGGCGCGUAUGACUCUCAAGUUUUUCCGAAUUUGAGUAAUACGGGUCAACUAUUUGCAAAAAUAAAAUAAAAACAUGUUAUCUAGCAUAUGUUUUUACCGUGUUAACACAUUCACAAUUAUUCCAUUUUGAAAAAAGGUACCUAGGUGGUAAAUGAACUACAAACCUUGCUCGACAUAUAUCGAGAAAUAUGUAUUGACAUACACAACAGAGAAAAUAAAUCAAAAUACAUUGCGCAGAACAUUGACAAUAAAUUAGUUGGUGAAAUUAGACAAUUUAGUUGGUGAACUUAGAAAAUUGUUACAUAAGGCUCCAACUUAAUUUCUCAGCAGUUGGAUCAGUUUUUUUUUUUGAGGACCAUGGAAAUACUGAAACCAUGGUUGAUACAAACUCCCCUCUCACACCUAAACUUUGAGCUAGAUAUUUCCUUUUAGUGAGUUUAGCUACUAAUUUUAAAGGGGUUCGCUAAAUCUCAGUCAAUUGAGAUUUAAUGUAGUCUCAAUCACCUUUCCAAGCCGUUGAAUACAUGCACACUAAGAUUAUGUGCUAGGAAACUUUUCUUUGUUAUUGUGAGGUGGAACGGAAAGAGAUGUGUGUGUGCCUUUCUGGACUAUUCGAAGUGUGCGUGUUUUUCCGAGGAAAGAGCCUACAAUCUACACGAGAAGCUUGUGUUUGGGCCAAGUCCAAACAUAAUAUAAUUUGUCAAACCAAACAACCAACAUUUUCUAAAACCGAAAUCAACAUAGCAAAAACAUGUUUGCUUUCGAAUAUUAAUAAAUAACUGUAUAUAAAUAAUCCCACUUCAAUGCACCACUCCUCUCACACCCGGUGAUAGUGUGAUGUUCGUUGAGGCAACAUCGAAGGACAUGAAUGUAGUUUCAUUAAUCUUUUUCCGAAUUGUGUACACCAAAAAUUGUAUCAUCAUUAACGACGGUGGCAAAAAUGAAAAGUGGCAACAUGAACGAGUCACUGAAAACAUGCGAAGACUUUCUCCUUCCGGUGCAAUGCACGACACAUUAAAUGAUGCAUACAAAGGUUAAAGGGAACCUUCUUUUGAGAAACAAAGACAAACACAGACUCACAAACACGUACAUACAUGAACACCUAGAGAGACUGAGCUGACAAGUCUUGAGAUUGAUGAACACACCACAAGUGUCUCGCUUCGACGCGAACGUCACCAUGCACUGAAAAAAUAUUUCACCUUUGUGAAACAUGAAAUUAAGCGUCAAAGUUAGGUUUUAAUUCUUGCUCUAUUGGGUAUCACCGCCCUGCAAACCAUCCAAUCAGAGAUUGGUUCUCAGGGUUAAAGCGAAACUAACCAAUACAUUUAUUUGAUAUGAAAAAAUGAACCCUUCCAAACCAAGCAAACAACUAUCUCUAAGAAAUCCAACAUAGCAACAAUGCUUUGUAUUCAAAUGUUUUGGAAAUUCUAAAAAAAAACUUUUGGAUUAGUUUUUAAACUCUCGGUUAGUAUAGAACAUUCCAAUGUUUGUAUGUUGCACUAAAAAUAAAUGCACCACUCUUUCACCCGGUGGUAGUGCUAAGCUAAAGGAGUGCCAUCAAAGGACACCACUAUGACUAUCUUAACUCUACUCCAUGAUGCGGACACCAAUAAUCAUUUUUAUUUACCAACACGAAGGCGUUUUUUUAAGAUAGUGAGUGUUUCUAAAUGUUCUUGGUUUCAAAAAAUAUAUUCAUGUUUUAAAUAUGUUUAAACUUUUGAAGAAAUGCUGAAAAUUCCUAAAAAAUGGUUCCAAUUAAAAACCAGCUAUAAUUGUUCAAAAAAUCAUUAAAAAAAAUCAUGAAAUCGCUUGUUUAUAUAAUGUUCGACUUCAAAAAAUAUUCCAAUUCUAGUAAGAAAUUAAAAAAUAGUCGAUUUCUUAAAAAAUAAAGAAAUAUUUGUGUUGUCUUUCAAAAAGCAAAAUAUAUACCGAUUCACAUACUAUUCCAUGCACAACUAUUCUUCCAACAGAUGUGGGAAGUUAGGUUGGUUCUUCAUGUACACACUUCAAGCUCCGAACAAAAAUUAGAGUUUAACAUUAUUACUCUGGUUUAUCAGCCUUUGAUACAAGAAAUGGCACAUGAAGCGCACUUUUAUUUGCCCGUUGCAACGCACGGGCAUUUGUACUAGUAAAUAUCAAUUGAAGGAAUAUCAUUCUGCAAAGGCAGAUUCUUGAAUAGGAUUGUUUCACAACUGCAUCCAUCAAUUUUAAAGUUUACUAUCUAAUAUGAUGCUAGAUAGAUAAAGCCUCAAUUAAGUAUAACAUUGUGUUUGUUGGUUAAGUUAGGAGCACUUACUAAUGUACUAAAAGAGAAAUAUAUAUUAUAUAUGGUUUGAGUACCAUUGUAGUAGUGGUGCAUAUACAUACGCGCACCACCUACUAUAUAUCGAAAUAAUUCAUACUCGCUUUCUCCCUUAUAUAUAUAGUAGGUGGUGUCAAAUUCUUGCUAAUUUGACAUGAAGGCUUCAUUCAGACCAGUGAUGAUACUUUGCGCAACAUAAAUGGGAAAGUAGAGGCACUCUUCCAUAUAAUGAAGUUUAUAAUAUAUGUGUUUAUAUUGUACUAUAAUUGUUUGAAUAACUUACCAUAUGUUCAGAUGUAUGAUAUCUGUAAUUUAAGCGCUUGAAUUUUACAUAUAAAUAUAAUUUUAUUAAUAAAUAUGUACCCAUAUAAUAGCUAGGCCGUGUAGUUGCACGGGUAGAUGACUAGUGAUUACAAUCUUGUUUGUGAGCAAGUCAAGAUUAUCUAGUUUACACGUAACAACUUGUAGAACAUUACAAAAAUUAUGCUUGCUAAUAACUUCUAGAACACUACAACACUUGACAUGUAAAAGGAAUUUGAUGAGUCAUGGCCUACUAAAGCAAGUUACAUUACUACUCUUAUCUAUCUUAACAGACCACACAAGAUUACAAACUAAGUACCGUGACAGCCAUGCUUAUCUAAUUUAUGCGUAACAAUUUGCGGAAAAUUACAAAUUUAGUUUUAGAAAAAUAGGCAAUCUAGAUUAGUGUUUGAGCUGUAAUGUGAAUAAGAUGAGUCGUGCGUCUUGUCACACCUUUUUGGUGGUGGAAUGAUAGUGCAACAACAAGGAACUUUAAUGACCAGUCCAAGAAUACACUUGUAAGUAGUGCCACCAAACAGAACAUACCAAAUUAUGAUUUUGAGAAGAAUCCAAGCACUUUCCACACAAGCAAAUGCCAAUUGUGAAAGAGAUCAUUCCAUGGCAGCUAUAAAUAGCCCCAUAGCAUGACGCUCAUCCUUCCUCAUCCAUCAUUCUCAUAAGUAGAGUGCAUCAUUUAAGCCAAGCAAGCUGUGGUCAAUACAAAUCCACCAUGAAGACCUUUCUCAUCCUUUCCCUCCUUGCUAUCGUGGCAACCACCGCCACAACUGCAUUUAGAAUUCUAGUGCCACAAUUGCAGCCACAAAAUCCAUCUUAGCAACAACCACAAGAGCAAGUUCCAUUGGUACAACAACAGCAAUUUCUAGGGCAGCAACAACCAUUUCCACCACAACAACCAUAUCCACAGCCGCAACCAUUUCCAUCACAACAACCAUAUCUGCAGCUGCAACCAUUUCCGCAGCCGCAACCACCAUAUUCGCAGCCGCAACCAUUUCGACCACAAUAACCAUAUCUCCACAACCGCAACCACAGUAUUCGCAACCACAAUAACCAAUUUCGCAGCAGCAACAACAACAACAACAACAACAACAACAACAAAUCCUUCAACAAAUUUUGCAACAACAACUGAUUCCAUGCAUGGAUGUUGUAUUGCAGCAACACAACAUAGCGCAUGGAAGAUCACAAGUUUUGCAACAAAGUAGUUACCAGCUGUUGCAAGAAUUGUGUUUUCAGCACCUAUGACAGAUCCCUGAGCAGUCGCAGUGCCAAGCCAUCCACAAUGUUGUCCAUGCUAUUAUUCUGCAUCAACAACAAAAACAACAACAACAACAACAACAAAAACAACAACCAUCGAGCCAGGUCUCCUUCCAACAGCCCCAGCAACAAUAUCCAUCAGGCCAGGGCUCCUUCCGGCCAUCUCUGCAAAAUCCACAGGCCCAGGGCUCGGUCCAGCCUCAACAGCUGCCCAGUUCGAGGAAAUAAGGAACCUAGCGCUACAGACGCUACCUGCAAUGUGCAAUCUCUACAUCCCUCCAUAUUGCACCAUCGCGCCAUUUGGCAUCUUCGGUACUAACUGAGAAGAAAAUAACUCUAGUACUAGAUAUAUGAAACACCGUUUUCUUAGUCCAUGGUUUGGUCAUUGUAGCGGUGAAAAAAUAAAGUGACAUGCACUACCAUGUAAGAACUCGAACUAUACUAGUUCAAACUUGGGAAUAAAAGACAAACACAGGUCUUGUCUACAUAUUUAUGUUGCAUUUAUCUAAAGAUAACAAAAUGAGUCUAAAAUUUGAAUUAAAUUGAAGUAUUUUCUUGGACUUUCAAAUUGAGUAUUAUUAACGUAGUAAGGACUAUCCUCAUCCUUGGCCUGCCCCUAAUCAAUUAUUUCCAGAGAAGCAUUCAAUUCAUCAAUCAAUUACAUUGAUUUUUGUGGCUGGUACUUCUCCUCAACAUCAGUAUAUUCACCGUGGCUACUCCAAAUCGGCAAGAAUGAGGUACCGGUGCUCUGGAGCAGUGCCAACUAAUUGCUUCUCAUGUGAAGGGGUGCGGGCGCGGGAGAGGUAUUUCUGGUGGGCCAAGGGAGUAAGAAGCCACCGUGGGAGUGGUACAGACGCCCGUAAAGCCCCAUAGUUUCUUUUUGGUUUACAGGAAAAUGCACAUCCAUACCGGCCUGGGGAGUAUAGGACCGUAUUGGAUGGAAAACCAUGUCCGGAUGGUUGCGAGCGGUUUGAGGGUUAGCUUUUGUAACGCCCGGUUAGUUAUGCUAUAGCAAUUCCCUGCUAAUGAUGUCACGUCACCAAGAUUACUGUUGUUAUCCUCACAAUGAUUCAAUGCCAUUCUAAUUCAAAUUUAAAAUAAAGGCAAGCAUCAAAAGUUUUCAAACAUUAAAACUAAAAUCUUUGAGAGGUAACAAAUAAUGCAUAAGUAAUUAUGGUGGAGAAACCACACUUUAAUAAAAUGUUUAAAUACUCUAAAAUGAAAAAAACAGUGGCUUAAACUAUUAUUUAAAUGCUUUUAAAAUAGUAAAAAUGUUCUAACUAAAUUAAUUGGGUACCAACCUUUUGGUGGCAGUGGUAUAUUUAGUAGAACUAAUUUAGAUGCUAGUUAUAUGAUUUAGAAAAUUAGGGUCAAUUGAAAAAUAGGAUAAAACAGAGAAGGAAAGACAAAACAAAUAAAAGCAAAAGGGGGCAACCCCUCACUGGCCUUGGCCUAGCUGGCCACUGGGCUAGCUAGGUCGGCCCCGCCGCCUCCCUUAACCCCCUGUCGGUGUCGAAACCGGUGGAUGGUACCAUGAGUAGAUCUACCACGAGAUCGGAGAGGCUAAACCCUAGAGGCUAGCCUAUGAUAUGAUUGUAUGUGUCCUACGGACUAAAACCCUCCGGUUUAUAUAGACACCGGAGAGGGUUAGGGUUACACAAGGUCGGUUACAAAGGAGGAGAUAUCCAUAUCCGUAUUGCCUAGCUUGCCUGCCACGCCAAGUAGAGUCCCAUCCGGACACGGGACGAAGUCUUCAAUCUUGUAUCUUCAUAGUGCAACAGUCCGAAAAAGGAUAUAGUCCGGCUGUCCGGAGACCCCCUAAUCCAGGACUCCCUCAGUAGCCCCUGAACCAGGCUUCAAUGACGAUGAGUCUGGCGCGCAGUAUUGUCUUCGACAUUGCAAGGCGGGUUCCUCCUCCGAAUGCAUCACAGAAGAAUUUGAAUACGAGGAUAGUGUCCGACCCUGCAACAUAAGUUCCACAUAAUUCCAUACAGAGAAUAAUAUUUUCGCAAAUCUAAUUUGCUUACUUGUUUUGACAGUACGACAUUAUGUCAUGGCCCGGUGAUUAUUCGAACCGUUUCCUUUAACUAGCCCCGCACAUAACGCGAGGCAGUUUUUCGACAUGUCUUGUCAAAGCAGAGAUCGUGUCCCCUUAUUACUGGAUUCUCAUCAAUACGGGCGUGGGUAACCCAACCGCGCCAUCGAUUGCGGCACUUGGGGGAUGAGCUAUUUUUACCUGGCAAGUGGGGACGCUUAGUUUCGUCCGCCCAUAUAAAGGGAUAAGGAUUCACCUUUCUAUCCAUGCCUUCUUCCUCCUUUGCUCAUCCGUUUUUGCACACUCGAGCUCUAGCGCCCAAGUUCGCACUUCCCACCUCAACCUUCUCCAACCAUGUCCCGAGCGGGAGGCAGGUGGAUGGUAUCCUCCGUCACGGAUGGAGACAUCAAGAAGCUGAGGAGCGCCGGAUACCUGCCUGACGACAUCGCGCACCGGCUCCCAGAUGAGGGGCAGCUCACCCCCACCCCCAGGCCCCAUGAGAGGGUAGUGUUCCUCACCCAUUUCCUCCGCGGACUGGGAUUCCCUCUCCACCCAUUUGUCCCGGGGCUCAUGUUCUAUUACGACCUGGAUUUCCAUGAUCUGGCCCCGAACUUCAUCCUCAACAUCUCGGCGUUUAUCGUUGUGUGCGUGGCCUUCCUCCGCAUCAAGCCCCACUUCGGCUUAUGGUUGAAGACCUUUAAUGUCAAGCCGAAGGUUGUGGGCGACCGCCAGGCGGAGUGCGGAGGCGCCAUGGUGGGCAAGAUGCCCAACGUAACAUGGCUCGAGGGCUCUUUUGUGGAAACCAUAAAGGGGUGGCAAUCGGGUGGUUCUACAUCACCGAGCCGCGUGACCCUGCAUGGGCAGCGGCCCCCCGAGUUCUGAUCUGGCAUCCCCACGCGGCUCACCUCCUGGAAAGAGAAGGGCCUGUCCUGGGGUAGUUUGGAAGAGCUGACCAGACUCCAAACAUGUAUUCAAAACAUGGUGAACAAGAAGCUCAAACUCGUCAACGUGGUCCAGGUCAUGCUCCACCGCCGGAUCCUCCCGUGCCAAUAACGGGAGUUCAACUUGUGGGAGUACAACCCAGCGCAGCACCGAACUCUGAACAGGCUUUUCGACACAACUCACGAAGAUGCCUCGAGGGUGCUGUUCAAAAUCACCAAGGUCCCCCUCCCAUUACUGAGGAUCACGGAUUCAGCGUGAAGCGCCAAGCCAGUGCGGCAGGCUGCUUUACCUUUCACAGGCUACUUAUUUUUUAUAGAUUGACUCCAUGCGGGAUCUAAACUCCCGUACCUUUGACAGGACUGGCAGGAGAUGGCCGGACAGAUCGACUGUCCGGCUCCUAUGCCCGAAGGCCCAGCAGACGCUCUUCUAGCGAAGAUGCUGACUUCGGCUCCUUAUACGGUGCCGGAGAAGACCAAGAAGGACAAGGGAACCCGAAAGAGUUCCCGACGCCAGGCGUCGUCGGACUCACCGUCCGAUGACUCUGCGGCGCACUCCUCCCCCGAAGACGAGGAAGAGGAAGAAGACGCUCCCUCUCUGGCUGGGGGAGAUAAGAAAAGGAAGGCCGCCCCAACUGGGGGGGCGGAAGGGUCCAAGAAGGGAAGGAAUCUCCUUCCGGAUAGUUGCACCGCUGCCGACGAAGGCGAAGACGAGGGGUUGCCCAGGGCCAAGCCCCUGGGGAGAUCGUAAGUAUUCAGAUACCAGAGUAACUCAUAGCAUUCCUUUGUCGCACUGCUUUCCCUAACGUCAAACAUAAUUAUGCAGGUCGCCAUGAGCCAGUAUCGAUGUGUGACGCCCGGAUAAUCAUGCUACAGUAAUCCCACGCUAAUCAUGCCACGUCACCUCGGUUACUGUUGCUAAUCUAUCGUUAGGUCAAAGCUGGUCCAAAAUUCAAAUUCAAAGUUUGGUAAAUAAUAACAGUUUUCAAAAAUUAAAACAAAAAUGUUCGGUGAUUGCCGAAUAAUGCAUAGGUAAUUAUGGUGGAGAAACCACACUUUUAUAAAAUGUUUAAAUAAUCUAAAAUGAAUAAAACAGUAGAAAAACCAAAUCUAAAUGCUUUUAUAAAUAAAUAAAACACUAAACUAAAUUGUUUUGGGAUAAAGCCUUUUGUGGCAGUGGGUUUCGUGGUAUUACAAUUUUAGAGUUCAUUUUAAUACUAAGUAAGAAGUAUAAUUAAGAGAAACUAAAAUAAAGAACAGAAAAAAAAGAAUAAAUAAAAGGAAAAGAAAACACAAAACAGAAAAGAAAACUACCAAAAAAAUAUGGUAAAAGGAGACCCCCCCCACUGGACCCCUUGGCCCAACUGGGCCAUGGCCCAGCCGGCCACCCCCNNNNNNNNNNNNNNNNNNNNNNNNNNNNNNNNNNNNNNNNNNNNNNNNNNNNNNNNNNNNNNNNNNNNNNNNNNNNNNNNNNNNNNNNNNNNNNNNNNNNNNNNNNNNNNNNNNNNNNNNNNNNNNNNNNNNNNNNNNNNNNNNNNNNNNNNNNNNNNNNNNNNNNNNNNNNNNNNNNNNNNNNNNNNNNNNNNNNNNNNNNNNNNNNNNNNNNNNNNNNNNNNNNNNNNNNNNNNNNNNNNNNNNNNNNNNNNNNNNNNNNNNNNNNNNNNNNNNNNNNNNNNNNNNNNNNNNNNNNNNNNNNNNNNNNNNNNNNNNNNNNNNNNNNNNNNNNNNNNNNNNNNNNNNNNNNNNNNNNNNNNNNNNNNNNNNNNNNNNNNNNNNNNNNNNNNNNNNNNNNNNNNNNNNNNNNNNNNNNNNNNNNNNNNNNNNNNNNNNNNNNNNNNNNNNNNNNNNNNNNNNNNNNNNNNNNNNNNNNNNNNNNNNNNNNNNNNNNNNNNNNNNNNNNNNNNNNNNNNNNNNNNNNNNNNNNNNNNNNNNNNNNNNNNNNNNNNNNNNNNNNNNNNNNNNNNNNNNNNNNNNNNNNNNNNNNNNNNNNNNNNNNNNNNNNNNNNNNNNNNNNNNNNNNNNNNNNNNNNNNNNNNNNNNNNNNNNNNNNNNNNNNNNNNNNNNNNNNNNNNNNNNNNNNNNNNNNNNNNNNNNNNNNNNNNNNNNNNNNNNNNNNNNNNNNNNNNNNNNNNNNNNNNNNNNNNNNNNNNNNNNNNNNNNNNNNNNNNNNNNNNNNNNNNNNNNNNNNNNNNNNNNNNNNNNNNNNNNNNNNNNNNNNNNNNNNNNNNNNNNNNNNNNNNNNNNNNNNNNNNNNNNNNNNNNNNNNNNNNNNNNNNNNNNNNNNNNNNNNNNNNNNNNNNNNNNNNNNNNNNNNNNNNNNNNNNNNNNNNNNNNNNNNNNNNNNNNNNNNNNNNNNNNNNNNNNNGCCCCUCGGCGCCCGCUCGGCCCUCUCCUGGGUCGGGCGCCCGUAACGCCCAGCGCCCGUAACCCGCUAUGGCCCCCUGGGCAGUUGACAGAUGGGGCCCACGCCCCUGUCUUGUUAGAAAAAAAAACGAAAAGAAAAUGUAAUUAAAAAAAUGAAAAUAAGUAAUUAGUUAUUUAAUUAAUUAUGUAACUAAUUAAUUAAUUAAAUAAGUAAUUACUUAACUUAAUUAACUCCGUUUAGUACUUAAUUAACUUGAUUAGUUAAUUAAAAUUGUUAAUUAGUUGUUAGACUAUGACGAAUGGGACCCACACGUCAGUUUGACCCAGUCAACGCCCUGUUGACUGCUGACGUCAUGCUGACGUCAGCGUACACUAUUCUGGAUAAUGUUAAUUUAAUUAAUAAUUAAUAAAUUAGAAAAUGAUUUAAAAAUUUAAAAAUUAAUAUAAAUUAAACCGUAGCUCAGAUGAAAAAACUUUGUACAUGAAAGUUGCUCAGAACGACGAGACAAAUCUGGAUACACGGCCUGUUUGUUCGUCACGCAUCCCUAGCAUAGCAAACUCGCAACUUUCCCCUCCGGCUCCUCUGCCCGAAAACGCAAAACACCGGGGAUACUUUCCCGGAUGUCAUCCCCCUUCACCGGUAUCACCUAUUACCGCGUUAGGGCACCUCUAACGCCGUUACUUGUCAUGUCAUGCAUCACUAUGCAUAUGCUUGCUUAAAUAUUUAUUAUUUCUUCCCCCUCUUCUCUCGAUAGACACCGAGACCGACGCCGCUGCUACCCAGUACGACUACGCUGUUGACGACCCUCUUUCUUGCCAGAGCAACCAGGCAAGCGCCCCCCUUGAUCACCAGAUAUCGCCUACUCUCUUCUAUACUGCUUGCAUUAGAGUAGUGUAGCAUGUUACUGCUUUCCGUUAUUCCUAUCCUGAUGCAUAGCCUGUCCUUGCUACUACUGUUGUUACCAUUACCUGCUAUCCUACUGCUUAGUAUAGGAUGCUAGUGUUCCAUCAGUGGCCCUACACUCUUGUCCGUCUGCCAUGCUAUACUACUGGGCCGUGAUCACUUCGGGAGGUGAUCAUGGGCAUAUGCUAUAUACUUUACACAGUUACUUUACCUGUGGUACUGUUCGGAGAUGGGGGCUGAAGGGGCAGGUGGUUCCACCCAGGUAGUGGUGGGCCUGGGUUCCCGACGGCCCCCGACUGUUACUUUGUGGCGGAGCGACAGGGCAGGUUCAGACCACCUAGGAGAGAGGUGGGCCUGGCCCUGGUCGGCGUCCGCGGAUACUUAACACACUUAACGAGAUCUGGGUAUUUGAUCUGAGUCUGGCCAUUUGGUCUAUACGCACUAACCAUCUACGCGGGAGUAGUUAUGGGUAUCCCGACGUCGUGGUAUCAGCCGAAGCCUUCGUGACAUCAGCGACUAAGUGGCGCGUGCCGGAUUGGACCGUAAGCCUGCUCUUGUAUUAAGGGGGCUAGUUCUGCUUCCGGCCGCGUUCGCAACGUGCAGGUGUGCAAAGGGCGAUGGGCCCAGACCCCUGCGCCAUAGGAUUUAGACCAGCGUGCUGACCUCUCUGUUGGGCCUAGGUAGGGCUGCGACGUGUUGAUCUUCCGAGGCCGGGCAUGACCCAGAAAAGUGUGUCCGGCCAAAUGGGAUCGAGCGUGUUGGGGUAUGUGGUGCACCCCUGCAGGGAAGUUUAUCUAUUCGAAUAGCCGUGUCCCUCGGUAAAAGGACGACCCGGAGUUGUACUUUGACCUUAUGAUAACUAGAACCGGAUACUUAAUAAAACACACCCUUCCAAGUGCCAGAUACAACCGGUGAUCGCUCUCUCACAGGGCGACGAGGGGAGGAUCAUCGGUUAGGAUUAUGCUAUGCGAUGCUACUUGGAGGACUUCAGUCUACUCUCUUCUACAUGCUGCAAGACGGAGGUUACCAGAAGCGUAGUCUUCGAAAGGACUAGCUAUCCCCCUCUUAUUCCGGCAUUCUGCAGUUCAGUCCACAUAUGAUAGCCUUAUUCCAAUUGAUACCAAUGCAUACAUAUGUAGUGUAGCUCCUUGCUUGCGAGUACUUUGGAUGAGUACUCACGGUUGCUUUCUCCCUCUUUCCCCCCUAUCCCUUCUACCUGGUUGUCGCGACCAGAUGUUGGAGCUCAGGAGCCAGACGCCACCGUUGACGACGACUCCUACUACACCGGUGGUGCCUACUACUACGUGCUGUCCGCUGACGACGACCAGGAGUAGUUUAGGAGGAUCCCAGGCAAGAGGCCUGCGCCUCUUUCGAUCUAUAGCUCAGUUUGUGCUAGCCUUCUUAAGGCAAACUUGUUUAACUUAUGUCUGUACUCAGAUAUUGUUGCUUCCGCUGACUCGUCUAUGAUCGAGCUCUUGUAUUCGAGCCCUCGAGGUCCCUGGCUUGUAAUAUGAUGCUUGUAUGACUUAUUUUAUUUGUAGAGUUGUGUUGUGAUAUCUUUCUGUGAGUCCCUGAUCUUGAUCGUACACGUUUGCGUGUAUGAUUAGUGUACGGUCAAAUCGGGGGCGUCACACGAUGUAUCAUCGGACGGUUCCCUAGGCUCGUCGGACAUGGAUAGCGAUCCAGUCCCGACCCCCACCUCCCCUCAUCCUGCUGACGACGCCGAGGUGCUGUCUCAAGAGGCAUCGGGUCGAGGGGAGACAGUCCUGGAGGCACCUCAAGGCGACCUUCCGGACUCCGGGAGCCGAGGGGACGGGGCCCCUAAGAGCUUCGAGUUCGGCCCUCAGCCGAACACCGCGCUGGAACCUCCAGUGGUUCCGGGCUCGGUCAGGCGGCCUCCUUCUAAGAGGGGCAAGACACCUGUGCCGGUGACCUCUGUCUAUCCAGAGGCGCCGGACAAUCUGCUGGAAGCGCUUCGCAGCGCUUCCAUCGACGAGGAGCACCGCACUAUCAUGAGUGCGGCGAUCCAGAAAGUUUAGUCCGCCAAGAGCGGAUUGACUGAAGCCUGUGCCAGCCUUCUAACAGGCUUUGAGGUAAGUGUUUUAAAAUAUAGGAAAAAUACUACUGCAUAUAUAGUAGCCCCUGAUGCUUUGUUCGGUGUUCAGAAAGAAAAGCCGAACAGAGGAUCAAAUAAUAUCGCAGGACUCUAAUAUAAGUAUGUCAAUAUGCGUAUGCAAGCCUCACUGCUGGCAUCCGCCACACUGACUGCGGAGGUCGCCCUACUGAAGCAGGACCUCGAGAGGUCUAGGAGAGAGCUCGGCCUUGUCAAGAGGCAGCUCGAGGAGAACAAGGGUAAGUAAUACCUUGUCUUUAGAUAUGUAUAUAUAAAAGAAGAAGCGAUUGCAAAAUGACAGGAUCAUCGUACAUUCGCCAGGGGCCACGACCAAGGUGGCAACCCUCAAGCAAGCGCUAACCAAGGCCGAAGAUAACGCGGCCAAGGAGCGCACCGAGUGAGAGAAGCACGAGGCUCGGGUGGGCGAGGUGCAGCAAGAGCUCUAGGCUAUCAUGGUGAAGCACGAGGCAUUGGAGCUUGACUAAAAGACGCGAGAGUCUGAGCUUUCCGCGGCCCUCGAGAGCGCAAAAAGUGCCAAGGCCGAAGCCCAAAGGGGUCUCCAGGCGGGUAUGGCUUUCUAUAUGCAAAGCAAGCAUGUAAAAGUAAAUUACCGAUUACUUACUCGAAUCCGGAGCUCUCCAGGAGCAUUCGCAGAUUUUCCACGCAGCGUGUCCGAUGCCGCACAAUUUUACCAGGCCGAGGAUGGAAGCUCAAUGGAGAAGCUGUUCUGGUAUCAGUAUGCUGAGGCCGGACACCCGGUGCCAAUGAGCGACCAGCUGAAGCAGGUGGUCGAGCUACAUAAGGCGGCCGAUCAGGCCAUGAAGGGCUUUAUAGUCCGGCUGUGGCCUGGCGACGCCCUUCCGAACAGCUUCCUCGGCCUGGUGAGGCGGCUUGUGGAUGCCUGCCCGCGGCUGGAGGUCGUCAAGCGAUCUGUCUACAUUGAGGGUGCACGCCGGGCUUUCGCCCGUGUGAAAUUGCAGUGGGUCAAGCUAGACGCCGUGAAGCUGAUCAAGGAGGGGCCGCCGGAGGGCAAGGAGCACCGCCACCCCGAGAUGUACUACGAGGGUGUUCUGCUGGGUGCCCGUCUCAUAGCGGACGAGUGUUCAAAAGAUGUAAUAUUUGAGUGAGACUUGCUCGUUUUAUCCUGUAUUUAUGAAAACUUGUUUCAUAUGCACUAUGCAACGCUUGUUUGAAUUUAGAAUAUUACCUUCUGUUUGGCCGUUUAUCAAUCUGAGAGAUGGCUAGUCCUCAGCUUCUGCCCCCAUGCCACGAGUGCUGGGGUCUUCGGGAUAAACCUGAGCACUCUUGUUCCCAUAUUUGGGUCCUUGGAGGGAGGUGCUCAGCACAACGAACAAGGAAACCCGACUAAUAAUGCUUUAUCACUCUCACUUAGCGAUAGAAUUCUAUAAUUUUAAAUUUCGGCGAAGCCCCUGGUAUUCGGAAGGCCGAAUUCGGGGCGCGAUACACGCCUUUAAGCCGGACAGGGCCGGCCCCUCGCCCUAAGCGGCAUAAGUCUUUGGGGACUCGAUAACCUCGCCGAACAGCGAUCAGUCUCUCCCCUUAUCAUGACAGUCAGUUUUAGCUUUCUCUACUUAGGUGCCGAACCCAGCAAAACCGGGGCACAAUCGCAGUAGUUCUCCUAGCGCUACCUUAGCCGAUAGAGUGGAACGUAAGGUACCAAAACAUAGGAGCCGGGCAAACCCAACAUUUGACCAAAGACAUGAUUCGGAGCUGAUGCAUAUAAUGCUAUAAGUUUGGGGUGCCGCACUUGUGAAAGUGUUCGGACUUUUCACACCGUAUUGUGGGGUACGUAAGCCCCUGGUGUAUUGGCCGUACCAAAGUGUACGGUUGCAAGGCAUCAUUAAUGAACAUAUAUAUAUAUAUAUAUAUAUAUAUAUAACAAGAGUGCAAUAAUAGUCGUAAUGUCAUGCAUUGUUUAUUCAAAAAAUUACGUUAAAGUAGGGUGAUACAGAUAGUGUGAUAAGCAAAGAGUAGGACUAUGUCCCUUCCCAAGGCAAGCUAAGGAAUGAUAUUAAAUUGAAUAUUUCGCUCGUUACAGUAAUCCACCUAGGAAUUCCGUGGUGUGACGUAGCUAUCUGCCUCCUUGGUUGCUGCAUCGUGUGUUCGGCAAUAGUGCUGCCGGACAGUGUUUCCAGAGGUUAAUGUCCUGAAAAAAAGAGAAAAAUAACCAAACGGGAAGCCCCUAGUGCGGUUUAAGCCGCGUCUUGGGGCGUGCUGCAGUUGUGCCACCCUCCCCACCUGUGCCCAUGGUAUUUUUAAUGCGUAAUUAUGUACGCGUGGCAUGAGUUUCGUCGUUGGGCUGGGAUUGGGGUGGCCGCCUUAUUGCUACGCGAGCUCAGAUCGCGCAAGGCGGUCUAUUUGCCGAUUGCUCCGAGCGCGCUUGAAGGUGUCCGGGCUUUGAAGCGCCGGACUGGUUGAUUGCCUUGAGAGGCUGCUUUGCGCUUCUGCUGCGAGGGCCGCGGUGUGCUCCUCUGUUCGGAGAGAGCACUCUGUGUUUCCAUUGACUGUAAUAACUCCGCGAGGUCCUGACAUCUUGAGCUUGAGGUAUGCAUAGUGCGGUACCGCAUUGAAUCUAGCAAAUGCGGUUCGCUCGAGCAGCGCGUGGUAACCACUGCGGAAUGGGACUAUAUCGAAGAUUAGCUCUUCGCUUCGGAAGUUAUCCGGGGAUCCGAAGACCACUUCCAGUGUAAUUGAGCCUGUGCAAUGGGCCUCUACACCUGGAAUGAGGCCUUUAAAGGUCGUUUUUGUGGGUUUGAUCCUUGAGGGGUCUAUACCCAUUUUGCGCACUAUAUCCUGAUAAAGUAGGUUCAGGCUGCUGCCGCCAUCCAUAAGGACUCGAGUGAGGUGAAAUCCGUCAAUGAUUGGGUCUAGGACUAGUGCGGAAAAUCUACCAUGAUGGAUACUAGUGGGGUGGUCCCUUCGAUCGAAGGUGAUCGGAUAGGAGGACCAAGGGUUGAACUUUGGGGUGACUGGCUCGAACGCAUAUACGUCCAUGAGCGCACGCUUCCGCUCCCUCUUAGGGAUGUGGGUUGCGUAUAUCAUGUUCACCGUCUGCAGUUGCGGGGGAAACCUCUUCUGUCCUUCGAUGUGCGGCUGCCGGGGCUCCUCCUCGUCAUCGCUAUGCGGCCCCUUGUCCUUCUUUUCGGCAAUUAACUUGCGGGCCUGCUUGAACACCCAACAAUCCCUGUUGGUGUGAUUGGCUGGCUUGUCUAGGGUGCCGUGUAUUUGACACGAGCGAUCGAGUAUACGUUCCAAGCUGGAUGGACCUGGCGUACUUUGUUUGAAUGGCUUUUUCCGCUGACCGGGUUUAGAGCCUUUGAAUCCGGCAUUGACUGCCGUAUCCUCGGUAUUUUCGCUGUUAAUGCGGCGGUUAUGUUUGUUGUGACAUGACCUGCUAUUGCCAUCCUUGGUAUCGGAGGUACCAUGGUUCUUUGAUAUGUUAUUACUACGGGCCAGCCAGCUGUCUUCUCCCGCACAAAAGCGGGUCAUGAGCGUCGUGAGAGCUGCCAUAGAUUUCGGCUUUUCCUGACCAAGGUGCCAGGCUAGCCACUCGUCUCGGAUGUUGUGUCUGAAAGCCGCUAAGGCCUCUGCAUCCGGACAGUCGACGAUUUGAUUUUUCUUUGUGAGGAACCAAGUCCAGAAUUGCCUAGCCGACUCUUCUGGCUGCUGAAUUAUGUGGCUCAAGUCAUCGGCGUCUAGUGGUCGCACAUAAGUGCCCUGAAAGUUGUUGAGGAAUGCGGCUUCCAGAUCUUCCCAACAGCUAAUGGAGUCCGCUGGCAAGCUGUUAAGCCAAUGCCGCGCUGGUCCUUUGAGCUUUAGUGGAAGAUAUUUGAUGGCGUGUAAGUCAUCACCGUGGGCCAUGUGGAUGUGGAGGAGGAAAUCCUCGAUCGAUACUGCAGGAUCUGUUGUGCCGUCGUAUGAUUCAAUAUUUACAGGUUUGAAACCUUCUGGGAAUUGAUGAUCCAUUACUUCGUCUCUGAAGCAUAAGGGGUGUGCGGCGCCUCUGUAGUGGGCUAUAUCGCGACGCAGCUCGAAUGGGUCUUGCCCGCUGUGUUCGGCCCGGCCGGAUUUGCUUUUACUGUAUCCGGCGUGACAUUUAUCGUCUCGCAGAGUUGUGCGCCCUCGUGAUCCGUAGAUCGAUCUUGCAUGCUUUGCUUUGUCCUCCAAUAUAUCUCGCAGGUCUGGCGUAUCUCCCCAUGCCUUUUUAUUUGAAUGGCGUCGGGGUGGAGGCUGAGUUUUUGGCUGGACUGCCUCUCUAUCGCGGCCACGAGGUGGCCGAUCCGGGCAGUAACCUGCACUUUGGGUAAUUCUUGGAGGGGUGCUUGAGUUUAUAUUCCUCGGCCGCGAGGACUUCAGUCCAUCUGUUAGUUAAGAGAUCUUGAUCAGCUUGAAGCUGCUGCUGCUUUUUCUUUAGGCUAUUUUCCGUGGCCAUAAGCCGGUGCUUGAAGCGCUCUUGUUCGAUGGGAUCCUCUGGUACAUCGAAUUCAUCAUCGCCGAGGCUUGCCUCGUCUUCGGAGGCGGGCGUGUAAUUGUCAUCCUCCUCCUCUCCGUCUGCCGCUCUUUCAGGAGGGUUGGCUCCUCCAUCCUCCUGCUCUAAAUCUUGCUGGAGGGGAUUAUUGUUGUCUUCGGCACUAUCCGGAGUGUUAUUAUCUCCUGUGCCGGUAUCACCACUUUUGCUUUGGCGGGACUUAGAGCGGCGCCGCUGACAUCGGCGCUUGGGUUGCUUCUUGGAGAGGUCAUCCUCCGUUAUCUCGUCGCCAUUGCCUUCUUUGGGUGUAUCCACCAUGUAUAUGUCGUAUGAUGAUGUGGCUUUCGAGUGCCCUAUGGGCGCUGGUUCAUGUUCAUCUCCUACAUCGUCGUCCAUACCAUCGAUGUCUUCGGAGUCGAAGUCGAGCAUGUCGGUUAAAUUAUCGACAGUGGCUACGAAGUGGGUGGUGGGUGGGCAUCGAAUUUCUUCGUCGUCCGCCUCCCAAUCCUGUUGGCCAUAGUCCGGCCAGGGCUCUCCUGACAAAGAGAGAGACUUUAGUGAAUUCAGAAUGUCACCGAAGGACGAGUGCUGCAAGAUAUCAGCGGCGGCGAAUUCCAUGAUCGGCGCCCAGUCGGAUUCAAUUGGCAGGGGCGCGGACGGUUCGGAGUCCGGAAAAGAGUCCGGCACCUUGGAGUCACGGGCUUUGCAGAGGAUUAGGCUGGUGUUCAACUCGAUCACCGUUGAGACUGCAGCCCCUGAGGCGGUGUCUAGCCACCCGUCCUCGACUGGCGCAGUUGGCUCCGAGCUAAGGGUCAGAGCUGAUGCGGGCGCGGCCUCUGGGGUACUGUCCGGUGGUAGAGCUAGGUCAUACCCAUCGUGACAGUGCAGCGCGCCCGGCUGUGGCUUGAAUCCGUCGAAGAUCAAGUCUCCGAGGAUGUCGGCCGUGUAGUUCAAACUUCCAAAUCUGACCUGAUGGCCAGGGGUGUAGCUUUCAAUCUGCUCCAGAUGGCCAAGCGAAUUAGCCCGUAGUGCAAAGCCGCCGAACACUGGACCGCAUCGUUGUUCAUGAUCGGAGGAGCCAUCGGGCCUAAAGGUGACGACACCGAGGAAAUCUCAAUGGAAGCACCAAUGUCGGUGUCAAAUCCGGCGGAUCUCGGGUAGGGGGUCCCGAACUGUGCGUCUAGGCCGGAUGGUAACAGGAGGCAGGGGACACAAUGUUUUACCCAGGUUCGGGCCCUCUUGAUGGACGUAAAACCCUAUGUCCUUCUUGAUUAAUAUUGAUGAUAUGUGUAGUACAAGAGUAGAUCUACCACGAGAUCAGAGAGGCUAAACCCUAGAAGCUAGCCUAUGGUAUGAUUGUAUACGUCCUACGGACUAAAACCCUCCAGUUUAUAUAAACACCGGAGAGGGUUAGAGUUACACAAGGUCGGUUGCAAAGGAGGAGAUAUCCAUAUCCGUAUUGCCUAGCUUGCCUUCCACGCCAAGUAGAGUCCCAUCCGGACACGGGACGGAGUCUUCAAUCUUGUAUCUUUAUAGUCCAACAGUCCGGCUGUCCGGAGACCCCCUAAUCCAGGACUCCCUCACCCCCACUCCCUAUCGAACCCUAGCCCAAUCGCCCCACCUCCCCCACACCCCCUCGCCAGCCUCCCCACCUCUUGAUCCCAUCUGGAUCGGGGAGGGGAUCACCCCCAUCGACCCCGUCGCCGUCGCCGGAUCGCCCGUCAGCGUCGCCAGGCCUCCUCCCCGCCGCCCGUCUCCGGCUCGCCUCCCCUCUCGCUCCUCUUUCCCGACCCGAUCAGGAUCGUGAACGAGCAAUGAGCGCGACGCCCCCCCUUCAUCGGCGCCAUCACCGUGCGCCACCACCACCGCCUGAAGACCUCGCCGUCGCUGACCUUGUGUCGUCUCCUGGUAUCCCUUCCCGACUCGCGUCCUCAAGCCAGGCCGACCCCCUUCUCGGCAAUGCUGUGAGACGCCCCCCGUUUCCCUCCUCUUUCCACCGUGUUCACCGCGCCGCCUGACGAAGCUACGUACCUAGGGUAGGGGCAUGGACCUGUCCUAAGAGCCCUACCCAAGGACAUCCCUGGAAGAAGUCACCUUUCAAUCGACUUGAAGGUACCCACUCGACGGGUUUAAGACACUCGACCAAGAAGCUACCACUCGACAUGAAGCCAAUCACUCGACUGCCAGGAGAUCUAAAGUCAUUCCACGGGCAAACGGUCGGCUAUUAAGUAGUCUUUAUGGUCAUUAUAGCACUUUAUUACCAGCAUUACCAGUAACGCCCCGCCUUAAUGUACAUUGAACCCUUGGUAACGUAGGCUGGCCGGGGUCCUGGCGCGCUCUAUAUAAGUCACCCCCUCCUCCGAGACAAGGGUUCGCACCUCUAUUGUUCACAUGCCUAUAAUCCAAUCGACCGCCUCCGGGCACUGAGACGUAGGGCUGUUACUUCCUCCGCGAAGGGCCUGAACUCGUACACCUUGGUGUGUUUACAACUUCCCAAUAGCUGAGAUCUAGCCUCUCCAUACACACCCCCCUACAUCACUGUCAGAGUUAGAACCACAAUAGUUGGCGCCCACCGCGGGGCCAGAAUCUUAGCGCUUACUUGGAGAAGUUGCGAUUCUUCUGAUCCCUUUGAUCAUGGUUUCAUGCGGAGUUUUGGUGGAGGGGCGCGAGAUCCGUCUCGGCGCGCUCACAUUCAUCGCCGACGACUCCGCUUGGUUUCAGGAGGCUCCACUCGACAUCGACGUGCUCCCCGUCCGUGGUGCGACGCACUUCCGCGCAUGCGUUCGUGGCGUCCUCCUGCGGCAGCCGUCGACCCAGUAUCGGUCGGCCCUCGUGUCGUCUCCCCGCUCUGUCUCCCUCCGACGCAAGCGCUUUGGUAGGUCGAGACUUUAGAGGUGGGUGAGGCAUGCCGUGGCUCGCCAGUCGGCCGCCCCACAAGUCGCGGCAAUCGAGCCCGACAAAUCCCUCUGCAGCCUGUUCGACUGGCUCCGCGGAGACUUCAUCCGAGUGUGACAGCAGAGACCCAGCGGCUGAGGUUCUGGCGGUCGAUGGGACACACUGUCCUCCCGGUUUCCCUCGCGCUAAUGGAGGCGCGGGUGGGGGCGACCCGUCGCAUCCCCACGAUGAGUAUCUCCCCGAAUGUCUCACGGCAUCGCAGCGAGAGGAACUUCACCGCCGGAACAUAGACGCACUCCACACUCCUAUCGUCGGAGAAACCCCCGAGGCCCGGGCCUUGGAGGACGCGCGCUUGGCUAACUUGGCUGAGCGCACUCGACUGGAGAAUCUCCAGCUAAUACUCGAUGAGCAAGCGCGCCAGUGAGCUCCCGAGUCCAGUCGACGUCAGCUCUUUCCGCCGAUGCAGGUAUAUUGAACCCUAGUUCAGAAUUUGGCCGCCGCGGCCCGUAUAGCAGAGUCAAUUCAGCCCUCCCAGUCAGAGGCUGGCAGGGGCUUGUUGCAGAUCAGAGCAUUGCUCCGGGCGGCGGGGAACCAGAAUUCCGCUGUUUCUCAGUCGCAGAAUAGGAUCCACAGUCGAUCCGUUGCAACAGAUACAGUCCAGUCGGCUCACAGCCCGAGAUCGCCCCCGAGGCGUGAGGGACAUGGAGACCGGCACGAUCAGUACAGAAGAAAUGAGCAGUAUGAUCACCGAUUCGAUCGUGAGGAUCGACGUCGAGUGCCAACCCCUCCCCCGAGGAGUGGGUCAUAUGCGCCUCGAUAGCGAGAUGACAGGCGCCCUCAUAGUGUUGGGCAGAGGAUUCCAGUCGACCCCAGGGACCCAGGCUUUGAUGCGAGAUCCAUCCUUGAUCAAGGUCUGGUUGACAGGAACGGGGCUCACCGAGAAUGCCAGGACAGAGAUGCGCCUGCCAGCAGCAGAGUGCGUGUUUCAGGGACAGAGUGUUUCAGUCGAGCCAUCAGAGCCACAGUGAUUCCUCCCAACUUCAGGUUGGCGACUGGAGUCAGCUAGUUCACCGGUGAGUCUAAGCCUGACACUUGGCUCGAAGAUUACCGAGUGGCUGUACAGAUUGGCAGUGGCAAUGAUGAGGUGGACAUGAAGCAUUUGCCUCUCAUGUUAGAGGGCUCAGCCAGAGCAUGGCUAAAUCAGUUAGUGCCCAGCAGCAUUUACACUUGGGAGGACCUCUCCCGAGUGUUUGUCACAACCUUUGAGGGAACAUGCAAGCGACCUGCAGGCCUUACAGAGUUGCGGUCUUGCACGCAGAAACCGAAUGAAACGCUGAGGGAUUACAUCCAGAGGUGGAUCACAUUGCAUCACACAGUUGAGAAUGUUCCAGAUCAUCAAGCAGUUUGUGCCUUCAAAGAAGGCGUUAAGUACAGAGAAUUGAAUCUGAAGUUCGGUCGAACUGGAGAGAUGUCUCUGAAUCGGAUGAUGGAGAUUGCCACCAAAUACGCUAAUGGUGAAGACGAAGAUCGCCUCCGGAGUGGCAAGCGCAAGGCAGUCGCCCAAGAAACCGGAGGAAACUCCAGUCAGAAACAGAAGCGGAAGGCUGAGCCAGCCGCCCCUGGGGAGGCCCUGGCCGUAACCCAGGGAAAUUUCAAGGGAAAACCCAAGGGCCCCUGGAAGCCCAAGAAAGUCAAGGAUCAAGAUGGAAAUGAUGUUUUGGAUCUGCCAUGUCACUCCACACCAAGAAAGAUGAAGAGGGUAAUUUUAUUUACCCAAAGCAUACCACUCGACAGUGCCAGCUCCUGAUCCAGCAGUUUCAGGGCAAGCAACCCAAAGAUAAGGAAAAAGAGCCAGACAGAGUUGAGGACAAGGAUGAUAGUGACGAUGGAUACCCCCAAGUCAAUUCCACCCUGAUGAUUUUUGCUGAUGUCGAAAGCAAAAGUCGACUGAAAGUCAUUAAUCGUGAAGUGAAUAUGGUUGCUCCGGCAACACCUAGUUAUCUGAAGUGGUCUCAGGCUGCCAUAACAUUCGACCAGUCUGAUCACCCUACGCACAUUGCCACCCCUGGGAGGCAAGCUUUGGUGGUCGACCCAGUUGUCGAAGGCACUCGACUGACCAAAGUCCUGAUGGAUGGUGGCAGUGGCCUGAACAUACUGUAUGCUAAAACAUUGAAAGGGAUGGGCAUUCCGAUGUCCGGGCUCAGUACCAGCAACAUGAGCUUCCACGGAGUCAUUCCCGGGAAGUAAGCCGAAUCACUCGGCCAGAUUGCUCUUGAUGUGGUUUUCGGUGAUUCAAAGACUUACCGCAAGGAAAAGUUGACAUUCGAGGUUGUGGACUUCCAAAGUGCUUAUCAUGCCAUUUUGGGCAGACCAGCUUAUGCACGCUUCAUGGCCUGACCAUGUUAUGUGUAUCUCAAAUUGAAGAUGCCUGGUCCUAAAGGUGUGAUCACUGUUACAGGCAAUCGGAAGAAGGCAGAAGAGUGUUUUCAGAAAGGCUCAAAGAUUGCUGACGCUCAGAUGGCAGUGGUUGAGCUGCAAGAGUAUCAGAAGACUGCAGAUCCGAGUGAGUUGCUACGAGCUAAGAAGCCCACUUCGGAGUCAGCUUUUCAGUAGUCUGGUGAAAUGAAGGCAGUUCACAUUCACCCGACCAACCCCGAGGCUGCCCCGACUCACAUCUCAAAGACGCUCGACUCCAAAUAGGAAGAAGUGCUCAUCCAGUUCCUCCGUGAGAACUGGGACAUCUUCGCAUGGAAGCCUUCUGACAUGCCUGGAAUAACCAGGGGGCUGGCUGAGCACCGUCUACGAGUCGACCCAAAGUUCAAGCCUAUGAAAGAACAUCUUCGACGGUCCGCCGUCCAAAAGAGGAAAGCUAUUGGCGAGGAGGUGGCUCGGCUCUUAGCAGCAGAGUUCAUCCGAGAGAUGUACCACUCUGAGUGGCUCGCCAAUGUUGUCAUGGUCCCCAAGAAGGACAAGUCGCUUCGCAUAUGCAUCGACUUUAAACAUAUCAAUCGGGCCUGCCCGAAAGAUCAUUUUCCUCUCCCUCGCAUCGACCAAAUAGUCGACUUGACCGCGGGGUGUGAGCGAUUGUCUUUUCUAGACGGCUAUUCCGGGUACCAUCAGAUCCGUCUGUAUGGACCCGAUGAGAUCAAAACAGCUUUCAUCACUCCAUUCGGGUGCUUCCGUUAUGUCACCAUGCCCUUCGGCCUCAAGAACGCUGGAGCCACGUUCAUGAGGAUGAUUCAGAAGUGUUUGCUCACUCAAAUCAGUCGGAACGUGGAAGCAUACAUGGAUGAUAUUGUGGUCAAGUCGCGGAAAGGUUCCGACCUGCUGACUGACCUUGCUGCAACCUUUGCCAACCUUAGGAGGUAUGAUAUCAAGCUUAAUCCAUCAAACUGCACAUUCGGAGUUCCGGGUGGAAAGUUACUCGGUUUUCUCGUUUCCGAAUGAGGAAUCAACGCCAAUCCCGAGAAAGUUGGCACCAUACUCCGGAUGAAGCGCCCUGUGCGUGUGCACGAUGUCCAGAAGCUUAUGGGUUGCUUGGCCGCUCUAAGUCGAUUCAUUUCUCGUCUCAGUGAAAAGGCAUUGCCUCUUUACCGACUGAUGAAGAAGUCUGACAAGUUCGAGUGGACUCCAGAAGCUGAUGCAGCGUUUGCAGACCUCAAAGCUCUGCUCUCCACCCAGCCGGUGCUUGCUGCCCCAAUCAGUAAAGAGCCUUUGCUGCUUUACAUUGCAGCCACAGGACAAGUUGUCAGUACAGUACUUAUGGUCGAGCGGGAAGAUGAAGGAUAGGCCUUCAGAGUUCAACGCCCAGUAUAUUAUGUGUCUGAAGUUUUGACACCUUCAAAACAAAGAUAUCCUCAUUAUCAGAAGCUUGUAUACGGGAUUUAUAUGACCACGAAGAAGGUUGCACAUUACUUCUCUGACCACUCCAUUACAGUCGUCAGCGACGCCCCACUGUCAGAGAUUCUGCAUAACAGAGAUGCAACUGGUCGAGUGGCGAAGUGGGCGAUUGAACUCCUUCCCCUAGAUAUCAAGUUUGAAGCAAAUAAGGCUAUCAAGUCCCAAGCAAUUGCAGAUUUCAUCACCGAGUGGAUCGAACAGCAGCUUCCGACUCAAGUUCACCCGGAGCACUGGACCAUGUUCUUCGAUGGAUCUAAGAUGCUGAAUGGUUCCGGUGCUGGGGUAGUAUUGGUCUCCCCCCGAGGAGAUAAGCUCAGAUAUGUUCUCCAGAUUCACUUUGAUUCCUCCAAUAAUGAAGCAGAAUAUGAAGCACUUUUGUAUGGGUUGCGCAUGGCCAUUUCACUUGGCGUCCGUCGCCUCAUGGUCUAUGGCGACUCAGAUUUGGUGGUUAAUCAGGCGAUGAAGGAGUGAGACGUCAGAAGUCCGGCAAUGACUGGUUAUUGCAAUGUAGUGAGAAAGCUAGAAAAGAAAUUCGAGGGGUUAGAGCUUCAUCACAUCCCCCGACUGAAAAAUCAGGUAGCUGACGAUUUGGCAAAGAUAGGCCCCAAGAGAGAAGCCAUUCCCAGCAACGUGUUCCUGGAACACAUUCAUUCGCCAUCAGUCCAAGAAGAUCCUUUUACAGAAGAAGCCCCGCAGCCGAAAAGUGCCACAGAUCCGACUGAAGUCGAAGUCCCUGCUGUGGUCGACCUAAUCAUGGAAGUCUUCGCAAUCACUCCCGACUGGACGAUACCGUACAUCGCGUAUAUCCUAAGGAAAGAACUCCCGGAGGACGAGGAAGAGGCUCGACAGAUCGUCCGCCGAUCCAAAGCCUUCACAGUCACAAGGGGACAGUUGUAUAGAGAAAGCGCGACUGGGAUCGGUCAGAAGUGCAUAACACUAGAAGAGGUUCAGAUAAUCCUUGACGACAUCCACUCGCGGACCUGUGGUCACCAUGCGUCUUCUCGGACCAUUGUGGCUAAAGCAUACCGAGCGGGAUUUUACUGGCCAAGAGCAAAUGAGAUGGCAAAAGAGAUAGUCGACCAGUGUGGAGGGUGCUAGUUCUACUCCAACAUGUCACACAAGCCUGCGUCAGCCCUGAAGACCAUUCCACUCGUCUGGCCCUUUGCUGUCUGGGGACUGGACAUGGUUGGUCCACUAAGAACAGGCAGGAGCGGUUUCACUCAUGUGCUUGUGGUAGUCGACAAGUUUACCAAAUGGAUUGAGGCUAAGCGCAUCAAGAAUCUUGAUGCUUGCACUACUAUCAGUUUCGUCAGAGGGCUAACAUUCAGAUAUGGAGUCCCGCAUAGCAUCAUCACUGACAAUGGGUCAAACUUUGAUUCGGACAAGUUCAGAGCUUUUUGCGCCUCUCAAGGCACACGAGUCGACUACGCAUCGGUCGCCCAUCCCCAGUCGAAUGGACAAGCAGAGAGAGCAAAUGGUUUGAUUCUCAAAGGACUAAAGCCUCGACUGAUGCGCGAUCUCAAGCACGCGGCAGGUGCUUAGGUCGACGAGCUUCCGUCAGUUCUGUGGGGAUUGAGGACCACCCCGAACCGGUCGACUGGAGGAACUCCAUUCUUUCUGGUUUAUGGAGCCGAGGCAGUUCUGCCGAGUGAUCUUCUUCACAACGCACCCCGAGUCGAACUUUAUACCGAAGAUGAAGCAGAACAAGCCCGGCAAGACGCAGUCGACCUACUAGAAGAAGAGAGGGAGAUGGCCAUGAUCAGAUCGACCAUUUAUCAGCAAGACUUGCGUCGAUUCCACGCUAGGAAUGUGAAGAGUCGAGCCUUCCAAGAAGGAGAUUUGGUCCUCCUAGUGGAUCAACAGAAACCACACAAGCUUGCUCCUACUUGGGAAGGCCCCUUCAUCGUCACCAGAGUCCUCCACAAUGGAGCGUAUCACCUCUACAAUGUUGAUCGCCAGAUCGAUGAGCCGCGAGCUUGGAAUGCGGAACUGCUCCGCCCCUUUUACACUUGAGUUCUCCCUUGGACGAGAUGUAAUAAGAAAAAAUUUCUGCAGUUCAUUUUUAUCAAAGGCAAGAGUGUUCCAAUAAUUGCUGUCACUUUUGUUUGCAUACGAAAUCCCCCAGUGGGUGACUUAGCUGCGAAUCCGUUUCGCCUAAGUUUGAAAAAUCCUACCGAGUGGAGAGCCAGAUUCCCACUCGGGGGCUUAGCUCCAGCCCAGUGCUUGCCUAAGUGUUCAAAAAUCCUACCAAGUGAGAGCAAUCCUCCCACUUGGGGGCUUAGCUGCAGUCCAGUACUCGCCUAAGUUCUCCCACUUAGAGACUUAGCUGCAGUCAGGCACUCGCCUAAGUUUGAAAAAAUCCUACCGAGUGGAGAGCAAUCCUCCCACUCGAGGGCUUAGCUGCAGUCCAGUACUCGCCUAAGUUCUCCCACUUAGAGACUUAGCUACAGUCAGGCACUCGCCUAAGUUUGAAAAAAUCCUACCGAGUGGAGAGCAACCCUCCGACUCGGGGGCUUAGCUGCAGUCCAGUACUCACCAAAGUUCUCCCACUUAGAGACUUAGCUANNNNNNNNNNNNNNNNNNNNNNNNNNNNNNNNNNNNNNNNNNNNNNNNNNNNNNNNNNNNNNNNNNNNNNNNNNNNNNNNNNNNNNNNNNNNNNNNNNNNNNNNNNNNNNNNNNNNNNNNNNNNNNNNNNNNNNNNNNNNNNNNNNNNNNNNNNNNNNNNNNNNNNNNNNNNNNNNNNNNNNNNNNNNNNNNNNNNNNNNNNNNNNNNNNNNNCUCUCCUUCCGAGCUACGCCACAAGUACAACAUGCGCUCUGCAAGGAGGACGAGGUGCAGGUCGACUGCUACCCUCUCCUUCCGAGCUACGCCACCAAUUCAAAAUCCUACUGAGUGGAGAGCAAACCUCCCACUCGGGGGCUUAGCUGCAGCCCAGUGCUCGCCUAAGUAUUUGAAAUCCUACCGAGUGGAGAGCAAACCUCCCACUCAGGGGCUUAGCUGCAGCNNNNNNNNNNNNNNNNNNNNNNNNNNNNNNNNNNNNNNNNNNNNNNNNNNNNNNNNNNNNNNNNNNNNNNNNNNNNNNNNAAAUCCUACCGAGUGGAGAGCAAACCUCCCACUCGGGGGCUUAGCUACAGCCCAGUGCUCGCCUAAGUAUUUAAAAAUCCUACCGAGUGGAGAGGAAACCUCCCACUCGGGGGCUUAGCUGCAGCCCAGUGCUCGCCUAUGUGUUUAGAAAUCCUACCGAGUGGAGAGCAAACCUCCCACUCGGGGGCUUAGCUGCAGCCCAGUGCUCGCCUAAGUGUUUAGAAAUCCUACCGAGUGGAGAGCAAACCUCCCACUCGGGGGCUUAGCUGCAGCCCAGUGCUCGCCUAAGUGUUUAGAAAUCCUACCGAGUGGAGAGCAAACCUCCCACUCGGGGGCUUAGCUGCAGCCCAGUGGUCGCCUAAGUGUUUAAAAAUCCUACCGAGUGGAGAGCCAGACUCCCACUCGGGGGCUUAGCUGCAGCCUAGCGCUCGCCUAAGUGUUUAAAAAUCCUACCGAGUGAGAGCAAACCCCUCACUCGGAGGGCUUAGCUGCAGCCCGGUGCUCACCUAAGUACAGGACACAACCCAAUCCGCAAGAAGUUACGCCACAAAUACAAGGUUAUUCCGAGUGAAGAUCAAGUUGCACUCGACAGAUCAAACCAUGAAGAUAUCCAACGAGAAAUCAAGUUCGGAUAAAGCCUAAAGGUCCCAGACCUCAGAUCAAAGUACUCGAGCCCUCGGCUCGGCAGAGUUUAACGGUUACAAAUCCACUCAGCAUUCCGAGGCAAAUUUAAAGUGAAGCACGACGAACUCGUCCAAGUCGAUCCCGUCUGCAAUACGAGUGGCAGCAGCGAUGAAAGUCUCCAUGAAGUCUUGAAAGCUGUGCUUCCUGGUAUUGGCAACUUGGAUGGCGGCCGGCUUUUCUUCUCGCGCCUCCUUGCAAUGGACGCGGACCAGAGACAGAGCGACAUCAGCACCACAUCUAGCAGAAGAUUUCUUCCAUUCCGCCACUCAACCCGGGACUUCAUUCUGUCGAGCCAUCAGAGACUCGAGGUCGUUCUGAAGCAUCAUCCCAGGCCAGAGUGAUGUGUCAAUCCGCGACAUCGCAACCUUCAGUCGAGCAAGAUAGUCAACAACACUGGUAACACGAGACUCCAGUCGGAGCACGUUCAUAGCAGCUUCAUCCUUCACGAGAGAAUUGGCGGGGUCCAAGCCUGGCUCCACUCGACUGGUUUCCUCUUCGAAGUUCUGGCAGAAUUCUGCAAACACGAUUCAAGAGUCAGACAUUGGCUCUACACAGGCUUGGCAACUGCAAGACAGUCGGGGCAGAGUAAUUACCUUCGAGCAUGACGAACAGCUUCUUGGUGAGUCCACCGAGAUAAGCCUCCAGAUCAUUUACCUUCCCCGCCAGCUUACCCGCCUGGUCGUGUAGAACCAUCUUUUCAUUCUUCAGUCGGCUGACCUCUUGAUUAGCUGUCUCGAGAGCAGUUUUCAGCCUCGAGUUCUCCUGUUCAAGAGUUCCGACCGAAGCCAUUUUCUCUUCUCCAAGCUUCGUUCUGCUCAAGGCCUCCUUCUGUGAUUCUGCAAGAUCUUGAUCCUUCUUCUUCAGAGCUUCUUCCAGUUUAUCUGCGGCACGUCGAGUGAAAUCAACAUCAAGAAUGGACAAGCAAGAAAAAUCACUCGUCAAGAAUGGAGAACCUCACCAGCCAUACCUUUUGCUUCUUCUUGCGCCUUCCUCAAAUUCUCUUGAGCAAGCUUCAAGUUAAGGUUGAGCUGGAUCUGCUUAUUCUCCAACUCAGUAUAGCGAGCUACAAGUUCACAGGAUUUCUGCAAAAAGAAAAAUCAGUGGACAGACGUCCAAGAUAAGUUGCUUCCCAAUAACUAAAAGACAACGAUGGCGUUUCUAAGACUAUAGCCGAAUCUAAAACAUUCGACAGUAGUCUCGGGGACUACACCCAGUGGGUGCACUCUGCGUGCCCCCAUUGUAAAAAAAGUCGACUGCCCGCAGUCGACCGGAUACAGUUCCAUUCGACAUGGCCUGACCAGACCGAAUGAAGAAAUACAGCUACAACAACACAAUAUAAAGACUACAGUCGACUGCCAGCAGUCCACCAUAGUCUCGGGGACUACACCCAGUGGGUGCACUUAGCGUUCCCCCACUCGUCCAAGAAUUGGCAGACACACCCAGUGGGUGUACAGAUAUAAAGAUCUUCAAAAAAAAAGAUUCUUCAAACAGCAUAUCGUAACAGACCAAGUGUUGAGUCGACUGACCUGGACGUUACUCUGAAGAGCCGAACUCGCGUCAUAAGCCGCUUGGCUGGCCUCCCAAGCCGCUUUCACUUGUUCCAUCAUAAUCCCCGCCUGGCGUAUGGCCUCUUUUGCAGCAGCUGCUUGGUCCUCAGGGACGGGGUACGUGGCAAAAAGCGAAGGCGGAUCCGCAGUCGACGUCAAGGGCCGCACCCUCGUCAGAGGAAUGGCGAAAGUCACAGAAGCCCGAGUGGUUUCACCACCGUCUCGGGCUACGGCCUCAGGCGCCGGAGUGGAUUGUGGGGUCUCGCCAGCCGACGCUCCCCUGUUCCUUCUCACUCUCAGCGGCACGUCAUCGUCGUCAUCCGGAAGGUUGAUAACAUGAUAAGGAGCUACAAGAAAAAAUUCAAUCGACCAGAGUUGCAAUAAGUGUCCAGUCGACUGAAGGCAGAACAUCAGUAAUCAUACCAGGGUGGAGGUAACAGCAUCCUCCAUCUCUUGGUCGUCGUCCUUGGCAGAGACCUCCGAAGUAGGAGCACUGCAAAUCUCGAAAGUCAGUCAGUUGGCUCAAUGAAUCGACCAAGGAUCUGUCCACGGUCGACAAAGGAAAACAAGUUUUGUUAUUACCCAGAAAUGGUGGGGACAGCCAUCUUCAUCUUGGGCAGAGCCUUGGGCGGCUUGGACGGCGUCGCGCGUGGGUGCUUGGGAGCCUUUCCAGUCAGCGUAGGAGAAGAGGUUCGAGGGCGUUUCGACAACUGCCCAACAGGAGCAGUCGCCUACCACGUUCCCGCGCUGGAUCAUGUGUGAGCUUGGAUCGCCUCUCCCGGUGGGGGGGGGGGGGGGGUCAACCUCCUCCUCCUCCUCUUCGCUGGAGUUGACGUCGUCGUCUCCCUCUCCUUCGCCAUCGGACUCCCACUCGCCUUGAUCGUCUCCACUCUCACAUCCGCUCGCCUCCCCUUCCUCAGUUGGCUCCUGUGCCCCGUUGGGUGUCGAGUACAUCUCAGUAGUCGCCUGGAAAACAACAGACAAGACAAAAGUUAGUCGACCAAUUCAAAGAAGACCAAUGAAGAAAACAAGAUUUCAAUCGGGAGCGUAAAGUCAGACCUGGUCCACUUCGUAUUGUUGUCGAGUGGAGAAACCCUCCUGGCGCCUCGGGGGUUGUCUUUGUUUCCUGUGAUGCUCGUCAGCCACCCCUCCAACAUCUCAUCAGUGACCUCCUCCGGGUGGAUCCGAGUGGUGUCUUCGAGGCCCGAGUACAGCCACAUCGGGUGGCCGCGAGCCUGGAGCGGUUGGAUGCGCCUCCGAAGAAAGACCUCCAGCAAGUCCAUGCCAGUCACGCCAUCACGGACGAGCUGAACCACUCGACCAACCAGCACUUUGAAUUGGGUCUUUUCUUCUGGCGUCACUUUCAGAGAAGCAGGUUUUUGAGCUCGGUCGAGAGAGAAAUGGGGAAGCCCGGUCGACUGUCCUGGGGUCACCUGGUCUUUGCAGUAAAACCAGGUCGCCUGCCAACCACGGACCGACUCUGGGAAAAUGAUAGAUGGAAAACAACUCUUUCCCCUCGUCUGGAUCGCGAGGCCCCCGCACAGCUGGAUCACUUGCGUCCUUUCCUCACUCGACUUGGCCUUCUUGACCGAUUGGGAGCGGCAAGUAAAGAUGUGCUUAAAGAGCCCCCAAUGGGGGCGGCAACCCAGGAAACCCUCACACAAGGAAAUGAAGGUAGCAAGGUACACGAUAGAGUUGGGAGUGAAGUGGUGGAGCUGCGCUCCGAAGAAAUUUAGAAAACUCCGGAAAAAAGGAUGAGGAGGCAGAGAAAACCCUCGAUCGAUGUGGGUGGUGAGAAGGACACACUCACCAUCACGGGGUUGAGGCUCGACUUCUCCCCCCUGGAGACGCGCAGCCUCGUAAGGAAUGACUCCCCCCUCAACCAUAUCGUCGAGGUCUUCCUGCCGAAUCACCGACGGCAUCCAAUCGCCCUGGAUCCAGCCUCUGGGCAGAGCAGUCCUUGAGGAAGAUCCGCCCCAAGCGGACUUCUUCCCUUUCCCCUGCACCGACGCCUUCUUCGCGCGCUCCAGAGCAGACGUCUUGCCCUUCACCAUCGUCGCCGGCGAAUCUCAAACGGGUCUGCGGCGCUAGGGUGAGAGCGGAGGUGGCGGAGGACUUCGCGAAGGGAGAAAGAAGAGAAAGAAGAGAAAGGAGAGAGCACUGUUCGGGAACCCGAGCAGGCGGCUUAUAAGAGGCCGCUCCUGAGUGGCUGACUGGUAGGCCCAGGCUAUCCCGUCAAAUCCCGCAGUAGACGCGCGCGCAGCUCGUGGCGGAAAAGGUGGCACGGGAAUCGAGGAGCUUCUGCCUUAUCACAUCCGAUUACUGCGGCCGCGCCCGUCCCGCUCGCUCCCCGAUGUUCAAAUCCCGCGAAAUCCGCGGGCUGCGGAACAACUCAUCAAAUAGAAGAUCCCUCUCGUGCCGGCACUCGGUAUUUCACAAGUAAGGAAAUUCACUCGACGGGAGACCAAGAAUGGAUCAAGGCGACCGAAAGAAGUUGACAACGUCAUCCUUGGCGAUAGAUCUAGUACAAGACGUCCAUAUGACGCUAAAAACCAGUCGGAAGGACCCCCAACUCCUUCCCCACUCGAACCUCGAUCCAUUCGGGGGCUAAUGACGAAGCUACGUACCUAGGGUAGGGGGAUGGACCUGUCCUAAGAGCCCUACCCAAGGACAUCCCUGGAAGAAGUCACCUUUCAAUCGACUUGAAGGUACCCACUCGACGGGUUUAAGACACUCGACCAAGAAGCUACCACUCGACACGAAGCCAAUCACUCGACUGCCAGGAGAUCUAAAGUCAUUCCACGGGCAAACGGUCGGCUAUUAAGUAGUCUUUAUGGUCAUUAUAGCACUUUAUUACCAGCGUUACCAGUAACGCCCCGCCUUAAUGUACAUUGAACCCUUGGUAACGUAGGCUGGCCGGGGUCCUGGCGCGCUCUAUAUAAGCCACCCCCUCCUCCGAGACAAGGGUUCGCACCUCUGUUAUUCACACGCCUAUAAUCCAAUCGACCGCCUCCGGGCACCGAGACGUAGGGCUGUUACUUCCUCCGCGAAGGGCCUGAACUCGUACACCUUGUUGUGUUUACAACUUCCCAAUAGCUGAGAUCUAGCCUCUCCAUACACACCCCCAACAUCACUGUCAGAGUUAGAACCACGACACCGCCUGCCGUGCCCCUCGCCGCACGCCCACCACCGCGCCAGCCCCCACUCUGUGGACGACCCUAGCCGCGCCCGCGCCGUGAUCCCCUUUUCCGCCCUACCUUCCCGCACUCGCCGCGGUCCCGAUGCUCCCCCGCGCCCUCUUUCAGGGGCGCCGACUGCCCCUGUCCCAUUACUCGCCGCCGCGCCUCGCCACCGCUCUACUGCUACGUUACUACUGCGCUGCGGCCGCCGCCUCUUCCCGCUGCUCCGCUAGCGCCGAAGCUCCCGGCUGGCUCUGCCACUGGUCACGUUUAACUACCGGUCUAAAUGGCCUAACCUCCCGGCAAAUGAACCCCCAGUAACCCACUGACACCGGGAGCCACAUCCCCUAAUUAACCAUUAAUAAAUUAAAACUCUUAAAUUAACAUUAGUGUAUGACAUGUGCGUCCCCUGUUAAUUAAUAAUUUACAUUAGUGUAUGACAUGUGCGUACCCUGUUAAAUAAACUGAUUUAAUUAAAAUCUAUUAACUUCGAGUCUAUGACAUAUCACUACUUGGGAAAAUCCUAGCAGUAGCGUGGGUAUUUUUCCUAUCAGUUGCGCCGGAUACCGCUCUACUGAUAAGGCACUACAGCUAACAUGUAGCAGUAAUGCGUGUCAUCCAACGCUACUGCUGUACAUGGCUAGCAGUAGCGAGCUUUAGUGCAAAGCGCUGCUGCUAAUAUCUGCAGCGCUUUUCAGCAUGAAGUGAUACUGGUAAGGGACCUCUACUACUAACUUUAUUCCCCUCGCUACUGCUAGUUUUAUUAGUUUCUGUUUUUUUCUGCAUAUUUCUUUUGUAUUUGAACAGGCUUUAUACAAUAAUAUUUAGCGUAUCAUACACAUACAAAUGUAAUCAUAGCAUAUACAUACAAAUAGUCUCGUCAAAUCAUGUCAUCAUCAUAAUCAUCAUCCAUCACAAAGUGGUCUCUCGUCAUCAUCUCUAAAAUAGCGAUACAAGUCUCGAUUACUUGCAACUACAUUGUCAUCCGUCUAAACAAUGAUAUACGCGAGAAGAGCUAUCACUAUGAGUGAGAGCGGAACUAUGCAGUACAUGAGUUUGUAUCCCUCUCUCGCAUUAGCGUGAACCUAAACUAACUACUAGUUGUCGCUCGGAAACCAGAAACCGGUACACCUGGGCCUGACACUCCGUCCACUCAUCUUAUACUCCUGGCGUAGCACUUCUGUGCCAUCGAUGAUCUAUGCACCUGCAUCGUCACAUGAGUCGAUGAUAUGCAACAUAUAUAGUUGAGCAAUAGAAACAGACAGACUUGGCAAAAAUAGAAGCAACAUAUCAUAAGCAUAAAUAACAAAGUUCAUCAUACCCAAAAUGCCCUAACUAGAGUGAUCUUCGCUAGUCGAGGAGGACGGUUUAAUUACAUCACAAAUAAUGUUUCAUCUUGCAUAACUCAAAGUGCCAUCAUACAGAAAGUAUGAACUAAACGGACACAUUGUCAUAUGUCGACAAUCACUCCAACAUGUCGUGCCAUCGAUCCAAGUCAAGGAGAUAGUCCCCGAGCUUAGUGAAAGGCUUCAGGUUGAGACGCUGAGCGGCAACGCGUGUUCGGACGUCUUCCCUCGACAUUUUUCCUUCUUCAUAGAACAUCCCUGUUUUUUCGAUGACCUCCCUCAUGAUGAUUUGGGCAAGUUCGCACUGGAAGUGAUAGAACUCAUCUUGAAGUCGAUGAUCCUCGAUAUCUCCUAAGUUCUUUGCCCAUUGCAGAAUAUGGGCAUCGCCGAAUCUAGGUGUCAUGCAAAGGUUCUGGUGAUCCCGUAUGUACUCCAUCAUGUGGUGUAGGACAUAGAAUCCAUCAUUAAGAGAAUCACUCAGUUGCUGGAUACAGCAGAAGCCGGUCUUAUGGCCGAAGGCGGGCCUGCCGUCCCUUUUCUUCUUGUCCUUGACCUCUCCACCCCGUGCACCGUAGUAAAACAUAGCACCGUCGAGAACAUACUUGAUGUGGGUGUAAUCCUUUUUUUUAAUGUUCUUCGAUGAGUCCAAGUAAAGAGCGUGGGAGUAUCGGGGGUAGAGGAUGAUGAGGAUGGUGCACCCGCCGCUGCGCAAAAUAAGUACACCUCAAAUUAAUUAGCCUCCACCGUGCAAAUGAAUGAUUGAAAUCGUAGGAAGGAUAUCCGCGUGGAUGACUUACAGGGGAUGAUAAGGCACAAGAAUCACCUCCUUGUCCUUAUUGGCACGCAUGAAAUUGACGAUGUAUUCCUCGCGUAUUCACGGUGCUUUGCGUGGACUCACAAGAAGACCUCGUGCAUGAAGUACCGAUCAGUGACACAGAUAUGAGGUAUUUGCUCAACCCCGAUGAGGUAGUUCAUGUGCAAGGCAUAAAGGUGGACGAAUGUAAAAUCCAGCUUCUUUAAGUGAAACAUGUCGAAGAUGUAAUCCAAUCGAAGGAAGAACUUGUUCGAGGGGAAUGUGUCGAUGUACGACAAUUGCAGCGACACGUUAACCACGGAGAGUGGGUAUGCUGGAUUUUUUGAGGCAAUGAGGCCUUUCUCUAUCAGCAACACAUCAUCAUGAAGUCUCCUUAUAUCGCCAAAUCAGGCCCCUAGCGCUGCUUUAGGUAGGAUUGGUUAACCGGGGAUACGCCAUAUUGCCGCACCGAGGAUAUCUAUACGGUCUUGAACCCGAGCCUGCUGAGGUGGCUGGAUCAUAGAAGCACCUUUGUUUCCUUUCCUCGGUGUCUUCCUUGGCUUCUUUGCUACCGGAAAGUCGUCUAUAAUAUGUUCAGCCUCUGGAGGCGGCAAUUCAGGCACCAACUCAUGCGCUCAAACCCUGAGUAGGCGCCAGUAUUGAGGUAUUGUUGAAUGUCAUCGUCGUCCUCAUCUAUGGCGAUGUCACUAGCGACAAAUCGAGCCUCUUCCUCACCCCGUCCGCUAUCACCCAGCACGACAGCCGACGCUAAUUGGGUAGGUGGGGUGUUGAUGUUCGUACCUAACUGCGUGCUCGUGUGUGUGCUCCCGGCCGCCUCCAGACAAAGCAGACUCUUUGACCACAACAGGACCCACCCAUUGCAACCACCAAGCCGCUGCGGGGUCUCGUCGUCAUCCCCUAGUAUCGGAGGAGCCAAAUUCUCGUGGCCCGGUUUGACACUGGCCACGAAAACUUUGAAGACAUACGGGGGGAUUGGUCGGCCAUGGAACAAUGGUUCCUUCGGCUUCAUUACCGUCACCUUCCCCACGUCCACCUUUUGGUCGCCGAUGUUGUACAAUAUGGUGCACGGGGUUACAUCGGCCUGCAAAGACACCGUGAGAUUAUACAUUUAUGGAAGAGGGCCGGUGUGACAGAUACCGUGAGGGCGUCGAGCUCAGCCAAAGACGAAGGACAGCUGAGCACGGCCGGUGUGGGAGCCGGUGUGGGAGCCGGUGCAGGUGCAGGUGCUGGUGCAUCGCUAGUCGUGCUACUCCCGAAGAAGUCAACAAUGGGAAAGUCCGCUGCAUUUUUUCUGGAUUUUGCAUGCUCCAAUUGAAAACGGCUGGAACCAAGACAAUAGACAUAUCUGCAACCACCUGUUUUGCGGCAGCUACCGUUAUCGUGACAGUCUCAGAUGAUUUCUUCUCUACUGCAAUCUCAACCUUCUUGUCGAUGUUUUCUUCAGUUAACCUCCAUCUUUCCUUUCUCUCCUCCGUGGUCUCACGGUAGCACUUCUUCCACGUGGCCCCGUCUCCGACACCGUGAACGCGUCCAUACGACGACCGAGUCUCCACUGGGAGUCCUUUCAAUAUGUUCAAUGCCCGGUUGAAUGGAGUGUCCCACUUGGGCCUCGCCAACGCCUCAGACGGCGAGUCUCUUUCGGUCGCAAUCUUGUGCUGCUCUCUCUACAAAAGGAACAAGGAUCAUUUACAAAUAUGACUAAACGUGCAGUCGAAUUGAUCAGAAACUAAAAUUACCAGCAGUCUCAUGAACUCCGUCGUGAUCGGGUCCGUCUUGAAAACCUUCUUGACCGAGUGCCAAUGGUGCCGUGCCCUGAGGACGUCAUGCUCCUACAGGACGGUGAAGUCCGCCAAGGGGUCUAGGAUGCCAGACUUUCGCGUUUCGUGUCCUCCUUGGCCCAUAUGGACCUCUUCCUGCUGUAACCACGGCUUCCGAGGUGGCGGUGCCCCAUGUUCCUUUGUUGAAACCCCUUCAUGUACUUUGACUUUGUUUUGGCAGUUUCAGCCUCGCAAGCCGCCUUGAAUAUUUCAAAGUGCUCUCCCGUGAUUGUCGGAUUAUCCUUUACAAUCUCGGAGUAGGGUUGAUACGUCUCCAAUGUAUCUAUUAUUUUUGAUUGCUCCAUGCUAUAUUAUCUACUGUUUUGGACAUUAUUGGGCUUUAUUAUCUACUUUUAUAUUAUAAUUUGGACUAACCUAUUAACCGGAGGCCCGAGCCCAGAAUUGCUGUUUUUUUGCCUGUCUUAGGGUUUCAAAGAAAAGGAAUAUCAAACGGAGUCCAAACGGAAUGAAACCUUCGGGAACGUGAUUUUCUCAACGAACAAGACCCAGGAGACUUUGACCCUACAUCAAGACACAAGGCGAAUCAUGUACGUAGCCACUAGUGAAACAUAUUAUCUUUAUUAUAUCUAUCAGAUCUCACUCUCGUAAGUGGCCGUGUUGGGAUUGACAACCCCUAUUCAUGUUGGUUGAGAGGAUUGAUUUGUUUUGUGCAAGUACAAAGGACUCGCGCGUAGCCUCCUAUUGGAUUAAUAGCUUGGUUCUCAAAAAGUGAGGGAAAUACUUACGCUACUUUGUUGCAUCAUCCCUUCCUCUUCGGGGAAAACCAACGCAGUGCUCAAGAGGUAGCAAGAAGGAUUUGCUGNNNNNNNNNNNNNNNNNNNNNNNNNNNNNNNNNNNNNNNNNNNNNNNNNNNNNNNNNNNNNNNNNNNNNNNNNNNNNNNNNNNNNNNNNNNNNNNNNNNNNNNNNNNNNNNNNNNNNNNNNNNNNNNNNNNNNNNNNNNNNNNNNNNNNNNNNNNNNNNNNNNNNNNNNNNNNNNNNNNNNNNNNNNNNNNNNNNNNNNNNNNNNNNNNNNNNNNNNNNNNNNNNNNNNNNNNNNNNNNNNNNNNNNNNNNNNNNNNNCCUCCACCCUCGUGGGCCCCCUGUUGCUCCACCGACGUACUCCUUCCUCCUAUAUAUACCUACGUACCCCCAAACGAUCAUAUACGGAGCCAAAACCCUAAUUCCACCGCCACAACUUUCUGUAUCCACGAGAUCCCAUCUUGGGGCCUGUUCCGGAGCUCCGCCGGAGGGGGCAUCAAUCACGGAGGGCUUCUACAUCAACACCAUAACCUCUCCGAUGAAGUGUGAGUAGUUCACCUCAAACCUACGGUUCCAUAGUUAUUAGCUAGAUGGCUUCUUCUCUCUUUUUGGAUCUAAAUACAAUGUUCUCCCCCUCUCUUGUGGAGAAUUAUUCGAUGUAAUCUUAUUUUUGCGGUGUGUUUAUUGAGACCGAUGAAUUGUGGGUUUAUGAUCAAGUCUCUCUAUGAAUAAUAUUUCAAUCUUCUCUGAAUUAUUUUAUGUAUGAUUGGUUAUCUUUGCAAGUCUCCUCGAAUUAUCAGUUUGGUUUGGCCCACUAGAUUGAUCUUUCUUGCAAUGGGAGAAGUGCUUAGCUUUGGGUUCAAUCUUGCGGUGUCCUUUCCCAGUGACAGUAGGGGCAGCAAGGCACGUAUUGUAUUGUUGCCAUCAUGGACAACAAAAUGGGGUUUUCAUCAUAUUGCAUCAGUCUAGCCCUCUACAUCAUGUUAUCUUGCUUAAGGCGUUAAUUUGUUUUUAACUUAAUACUCUAGAUGCAUGCUGGAUAGCGGUCGAUGAGUGGAGUAAUAGUAGUAGAUGCAGGCAAGAGCGGUCUACUUGUCUCGGACAUGAUGCCUAUAUACAUGAUGAUACCUAGAUAUUCUCAUAACUAUGCUCAAUUCUGUCAAUUGCUGAACAGUAAUUUGUUCACCCACCGUAGAAUACUUAUGCUCUCGAGGGAAGCCACUAGUGAAACCUAUGGCCCCGGGUCUAUCUUUAUCAUAUUAAUCUUCUACUACUUAGUUAUUUCCUUUGCUUUUUACUUUUCCUUUAUUUUACUUUGCAUCUUUAUCACCAAAAUACCAAUAAAAUUAUCUUUAUCAUAUCUAUCAAAUCUCACUCUGGUAAGUGGCCGUGUAGGGAUUGACAACCCCUAUUCGUGUUGGUUGCGAGGAUUUAUUUGUUUUGUGCAGGUACGAGGGACUCGCGCGUAGCCUCCUACUGGAUUGAUACCUUGGUUCUCAAAACCUGAGGGAAAUACUUACGCUACUUUGCUGCAUCAUCCCUUCCUGUUCGGGGAAAACCAACGCAGUGCUCAAGAGGUAGCAAGGGUUCCUUUUUGUCGACGAUCCGAUGUUUCAACCUUGUUUUCCAGGCGGCCAACGCGUCGCUAAACUUGGGCAUGGCGUGUUUGUUUAUCUUCUUCAUUGCCACGUCCUUAUCUGGAUCAUUAUUAUCCUUUUCAUUGCAGUCAGGGAACAAGAAUAUCUGGUGCAGCUUCUUUAGGAGGGAGGGCCUCAUAUUAUCUAUCUUCUGUAGUUUCCCAUCGUUGAUCGUGGCAGUUGUCCGUACGAUGCAACCUAUUUGAUUGCCGUAGCACGAUCGCGCUUCCUCGGGCGCUAUUGUCUCAAAAAUACCGUUGUCCAUCUCCGUGACCACCAGUCUAGUACUCAUGAGCUGGUUUGGGUGCCGUGGCCUCUUUGCUUUCGGUUCUAGACCAGCUCCGCUAGUCUCGGCGCCGGUCUCAGUCUCAUCACCGGUCUGCAUGUCGGUAUCAGUCCCCGAUGCGACAGCACAGUCGCUGCAACAUGGGUAAGGGAGACCACAUCAGUGCUGGGGUGGUCUGAAAAUUGGGACACACUUUCGCGCAUUGCGGGCCGCCUCUCAGACAGCUACUGGGGAGGCGGCGGAGUACCUGGGUGCGCGACGAAUCCCCGGGAACUCGGUGACCAACUUCCUUCCCAUGUAGCGCAUGGAGACGAUGGCGACCCCGCCGAAGAGCAGCUUAGUUGCGAGCUGCACAGCCUCGUCCACCUCCUAAGUUGGGACCUCCGCGCGAGCGUUGCGGGGCCGCCGCUCGGAUGGCUUCUGGAAGGCGCUUGUACAUGGGCACAGGGUGAAUCCCGGCAAGAGCUGGCCAUUGGUGCGCGCAAGUAGACGACGACGUCGCCGACGAAGAGCAGCCCGGCCAGCUCGCCUCACUCUCCUUUGAUUAGAAUUGAAAGAUUGGGAAGAAGCAGACUUGAGCCUGCAGGGAAAGGAUAAGGUGACGAUGCAGUCUCCACUCGUUCGGGGCGACACGCGUACUGAAUGUAUGAGAAACGCGACGUGGCAGGGACCCCAAGAUACUCCCUCCAUUUAUUUUUAGUCUGCAUAUAAAGUUUGGUCAAAGUCAAGAUUUGUAAAUUUUAACUAACUUUAUAAUAAAAAAAAUCAACAUUCACAAUAUGAAAUAAUUAUUACCAGAUGCGUCAUGAAAUGUAUUUCCAUACUAUAUAGGUUUGGUAAUGUAGAUGUUCAUAUUCUUUUAUAUAAAUGGGAAGUAGAGGCACUCUUCCAUAUAAUGAAGUUUAUAAUAUAUGUGCUUAUAUUAUACUAUAAUUGUUUGAAUAACUUAGCAUAUGUUCAGAUGUAUGAUAUCUGUAAUUUAAGCGCUUGAAUUUUACAUAUAAAUAUUUAUUAAUAAAUAUGUACCCCUAUAAUAGCUAGGCCGUGCAGUUGCACGGGUAGAUGACUAGUGAUUACAAUCUUGUUUGUGUGCAAGUCAAGCUUAUCUAGUUUACACGUAACAACUUGUAGAACAUUACAAAAUUUAUGCUUGCUAAUAACUUCUAGAACACUACAACACUUGACAUGUAAAAGGAAUUUGACGAGUCAUGGCCUACUAAAGAAAGUUACAUUACUAGUCUUAUAUCUAUCUUAAUAGACCACACAAGACUACAAAUUAAGUACCGUGACAGCCAUGAUUAUCUAGUUUAUGCGUAACAAUUUGCAGAAAAUUACAAACUUAGUUUUAGAAAAAUAGGCAAUCCAGAUUAGUGUUUGAGCUGUAAAGUGAAUAAGAUGAGUCAUGCGUGUUAUCACACCUUUUUGGUGGUGGAAUGAUAGUGCAAAACAAGGAACUUUAAUGAACAGUCCAAUAAUACACUUGUAAGUAGUGCCACCAAACAGAACAUACCAAAUGAUGAUUUUGAGAAGCAUCCAAGCACUUUCCACACAAACAAAUGCCAAUUGUGAAAGAGAUCAUUCCAUGGCAGCUAUAAAUAGCCCCGUAGCAUGACGAUCAUCCUUCCUCAUCCAUCAUUCUCAUAAGUAGAGCGCAUCAUUUAAGCCAAGCAAGCUGUGGUCAAUACAAAUCCACCAUGAAGACAUUUCUCAUCCUUGCCCUCCUUGCUAUCGUGGCGACCACCGCCACAACUGCAGUUAGAGUUCCAGUGCCACAAUUGCAGCCACAAAAUCCAUCUCAGCAACAGUCACAAGAGCAAGUUCCAUUGGUACAACAACAACAAUUUCUAGGGCAGCAACAACCAUUUCCACCACAACAACCAUAUCCACAGCCGCAACCAUUUCCAUCACAACAACCAUAUCUGCAGCUGCAACCAUUUCCGCAGCCGCAACUACCAUAUUCGCAGCCACAACCAUUUCGACCACAACAACCAUAUCCACAACCGCAACCACAAUAUUCGCAACCACAACAUCCAAUUUCACAGCAGCAGCAGCAGCAACAACAACAACAACAACAAGAACAACAAAUACUUCAACAAAUUUUGCAACAACAACUGAUUCCAUGCAUGGAUGUUGUAUUGCAGCAACACAACAUAGCGCAUGGAAGAUCACAAGUUUUGCAACAAAGUACUUACCAGCUGUUGCAAGAAUUGUGUUGUCAGCACCUAUGGCAGAUCCCUGAGCAGUCGCAGUGCCAGGCCAUCCACAAUGUUGUUCAUGCUAUUAUUCUGCGUCAACAACAAAAACAACAACAACAACCAUCGAGCCAGGUCUCCUUCCAACAGCCUCAGCAACAAUAUCCAUUAGGCCAGGGCUCCUUCCGGCCAUCUCAGCAAAACCCACAGGCCCAGGGCUCUGUCCAGCCUCAACAACUGCCCCAGUUCGAGGAAAUAAGGAACCUAGCGCUACAGACGCUACCUGCAAUGUGCAAUGUCUACAUCCCUCCAUAUUGCACCAUCGCGCCAUUUGGCAUCUUUGGUACUAACUAAGAAGAAAAUAACUCUAGUACUAGAUAUAUGAAACACCGUUUUCUCAGUCCAUGGUUUGGUCGUUGUAGCGGUGAAAAAAUAAAGUGACAUGCACUAUCAUGUAAGAACCCAAACUAUACUAGUUCAAACUUGGGAAUAAAAGACAAACACAGGUCUUGUCUACAUAUUUAUGCUGCAUCUAUUUAUAUAUUAAAAGUAAUAUAAGGUGAACCAGGAGCAAGGUAAAUAUGGUAGAAAAUUGCAC
rnacentral:lncRNA from 1 species